UAUUUUCUCCAGAAACAUCUGAAUGCUGCAUGCAUCAUGUUGCCUUCUUGAUAUGAAAAACAUGUUGUGGAGUGCUUCUUGAACCAAUCCUUGAGUGGUUUCUGUUGAGAUAAGUUGUAGAUACUUGUACACUUGUGAUCCUUGCUUGACGUAUGCUUUCAUGGUUACACUCCACCUCGAGGUUCCAAAGCUGAACAAUAAGAUUUGUUUCUGGAUAGAGAUAAUGGAUUGAAGGCUGCCAAAAAGAUGUAGAUUCCCUAGCUUUAGAUGAUCUACUAGCCCAAAGAAAUCCCAUGUCAAGCUACCAAUAUCCCUGUCAGAUAUAAUGUGUACUGUUAUGAUGUUUGCCUUACUUCCCAAAUAUUGAUUAUCAUUUUCUCGGUUUAUGUGUGUUCUCUGUCUUUCCUCUUAGUCUUAAUUUUAUGGUGAACAAAUUAUUCAUCCUCUCUCUCUCUCUCCCUCUCUCUCCCUCUCUCUCCCCCCUCUCUCUCUCUCUGUGUUUUUGUUGUUGUUGUUGUUGUUGUUGUUUAUGAAAUCACUUUUCUUUGCACACUCCAUUGUAUGUCGUUAUACUGGAUUAUCGAACUAUUCUAAUGUACUCUAGGUAAAUGUAUAACAUCAUUAUGUUGGCAUCCUGAUGGCAAAGUAGUUGUCUUGGGACUAGAAGAUGGUACAGUUUCACUGCAAGAAUCCCUUAUCUUCAGAGUGUGUUCUUGUCUAAUAUCUCUUGGGAAAGAUUCUGAAUUGCUCAAAAGCCGCAUGAUGCAUUGCAAACAGCAAGCUUGCUCAACAAACAUUUAGCUGCUAAUAGAGAUGGCAAUCCAUGUUUAUGGGUCCUGUCUGCCAAUGUCAAAUUAACAGUGGACUGCUAGUUAGGUGAAUCUGAGCACGAAAGCCUUAACAGAUCUUAUUAGAACACUCUUUUCGAACAUGCCCCCUUUGUUAAAUAGGUCUACAAACGACAAGAGGCCCGUUUAACUAAUUAAAGUGAAUGGUUCAUUCCAAUCCAAACAUGACCUGCGCAGCAUUUAUAACUUGUACAAUACAUGCAAUAUGCAUAUCUUCGUCAAUGUCUUAUAAUUUUUAAGAAGAAUAGCCGUAAACUUACAAAGUCCUCGGUUUAGAAGCAGUUAUCCAUCCAAAGAUGACUGAGACAGCAUAUAGAAGCAGUUAUCCAUGGCAUGCUCAUUUUCAUCAAAUUAUUAGUUUCUUUCUAUUAUUUAAAGUGACAUAUGUCCAGUUCGGUCAUAUUAGGAAGGUAAUAGUUCAGGUGACUCCUAAAUGAUAGAAUUUGUAUGUGCCUUAAUUAUGCUUGUGGGUGGAAAUUUUUGUAGAUUACCAGUUAUUCAUUAAGCUAGCUGUUUGGUCAUGGGUACAAUUGCUCAGAACUUGGCUGAUGCUGCUGCCAUAAAGUUUCUUUGCAAUGUCUUACCAAUUUACUAAUCAUUAUCCACUUCAUGGAUUAUGUUUUGCUUUGAAGAUCUUAUUUUUACAUAUGAAUGUUAUCUUACCAAUCUAGCUGUCUUUAUGGAACUGUGGAUAUGCAUCGUGUUGCUUGUUAUAUGCUAGUGCUUGUAGCAGUUAUACGUAGUGUGGUAUUUUUUUUUCUAACUCGGUAUAAAUAUUAAGCAGAAUGGAAAACUGUUAAGAAGCUUAAGUCCCAUGCGGCAGCUGGGGGUGUGUCUCAAUUGGGAGGAGGAUGCCCAAGUGAAUAGAGUAUGCAUGUUUCAACUGAAAAAGUUUCAUCUAACUUCUCGAUCUUGAUUCUUAACAGACAAUAUUUUAUUGUUCAUACCUUUCAUGUUCUAUCUAAUGCUUUGUUUGCAGUUAAGUAGUUAUUUUAGUCUGGUCUACUAAAAUAUUUCUUUUCUCAAACUUAGGAUUUUAUUCAACAGCUUCAAUAUGGGUUUGUGGAAGGUUUUUUGAAAACUUAUGUUUGGUGUCAACUGUGAGUUGUUGAUUUGUUGAUUGUUGACUCCUUAACCUUAAUCUCUUGUUAUAUUUACCUUCUUCUUCUUCUGUUGUUUUUUUUUGGCCAAUUGGAAAGAUAGUUAUCCAUUUUUUAAUAGGACACUUCUGGCAACGCUUUGGCAUUUGAAGAUUGCACUACUCGUCCCUCCAGCUCCAAGAGCUCCUUGCAUGCCUGGACUAGUACCUGGAGAAACUGGUUUAACUGACGAUGGUCAAGAUUCAUUCAUAGUGCUCUCAAAUUCUUCAAAGCAAUGUUUCAAUAUCCUUUGCAGUGGAGAUGAAGAUGGGGUUUUGUGCUUUAGUAUAUUUGGUGUCUUUCCAAUUGGAAAUGUUGUAAGCCUCCUGUUUCAGAUCAUAUAUUUAGCAGUAUAGUCUAUCAGAUUCGGUCAAUGACUACUUCUUUCCUUUCUUGCUUCCAUAGAGCAGUCUUUCUUUAUAAAUGGAUCUGAUGGCAGAAAUUAGUACAGCCUGAAAGUAAUAGACUGGUCAAUUAAACAACUAUACUAGGUGAAGUUAUUCUUGUAAAAGUUCUAGAUUUCACUUCUACUGGUCACUUCAGAGAUGACAUCUCCGACUUUGAUACAGCACAAUUAUUUGAAGCUUUUGUUGUUUGCCCCGAGUGCUCCUACCUAUACUGCAGUUGAAGCAACUAAAGGAGAAUUUGGUGUCUGUCUGGGUUAGCCUGCUGUACAGACUUUUUUUGCUUUUGUUUUAGACUUUUGAGUUUCUGCUCUUUUUUAGGGAGAUUGAGAACCUAUACCACCGUCGGUUGGGGAAAGUGUUCGAGUGUGUAUGUUUGUGUAGAUAGUUCUCUCUGUGGGUGUGUAGCUAUUAGAAGAUUUAGAAUUUUAGGUACUCUGAACCUUCCUGCAUGUUUGGGUUUAGUAUUGUUUCAAAGUGAAAACAUGAUAAAACUUCUCAACAGACAUUUGAUUAGUCUAGAAACGCAUGUUGGAGAAUUGUUCUAAUCAGUAUCAUUAAGGUUCCUAUCAGUUGUCUCUUUAGUUUCAUGGAGCAAGUCCUUAAUAGUUAUAAUUCCUUGUUGGGACUCUCCCAAAUGGACUCCCUUGGGCCCACCGCUUAUCAUUAGAUCUAUUAGUGUGGAAUAUGGUUUCGGUUUCCUAUAUGGGGGAGGGGGGUGGUUUAGAUCUAUGUACGAGUUUCUGAAUUGUCAAUGAUGAUUUGAUCACAAUGUCUUGACUUGGUUGACUACUUAAAGUCGAUUUCAAAAUCCUAUGCCCUUUACCUAGGAUAGGUAAUUUUCACUUUAAGAUGAGAUAUUUUAGAUGGAAAAUUGAACAUGAUUGAUAGGAAAUAAUUUGUUAUGAAAAUUGAUGUAGCUCAUUUAGUUCAAUGUUGAGCUUUUGGGUUGUCUUUUUUCUUUUUUUAAAAGGAUGCCAGUGGCAAGAAUACUAAGUUUCUUGCUCUAUAAAAGCUCCAAUAACCCAAAGAUAAUUUGGUGCAAGCAUAGGAAACUGUCCAAACCAUUCUUGUCCACCCACUUCCUCCCUAUUGGGCAGUUUGUAGCGAGACUUUACUGGUAAGAUUGCAUCUAGGGCAGAACCAGUUGUGGCAAAGACUUGAGAGAUUUCGAUUGGUGUCUUCCAUUGGUCUAGACAUUAAUGACCAUCUUCUCUAGCAGGAGUGCAUCUCUUGAUAAAAGCAGCAUUGGCAUGGUGAGCUUACAUCCGUUGCCAUUGAAAUAAAUAAAUAAAUAUAUUUGACUACAUGAAAUCAAUAACUUGACAUCGAAGAGUUCCUCACAGGUCCAGGCUAGUACUCGGAGAUGUUGAUUUGACUGACAUUGGUCAAGAAUCAUCUGUAGAGCUCUCAAAUUCUUCAAAGCAAUGUUUAGUGGAGAUAAAGAUGAGCUAGAGUUGGCAGUUAAGCUCUUGAAUUUAAAGAGAUAAUUUAGCACAUAUAAAGUAUUGUAAAUUUAUUACUAUAAAAAAACAUUGAUCAUGAAUUGCACUAGCACUCUUUUUUUUUUUUUUUUUCGUUCACACUCCACAAUUUCAAGUAGUGACCUUUUAGUUUGGAUCGUUGGUAUAUAAUAGCAGUGAUAAUCAUUUUAGCUUGCAUUGUUACAAUUGGAUAUUAGAAUAAGCUUAUUUUUAUUGUAAAAUGAAGUAAUUAAUGCAUUGGCUUUUUUUACAUUUCACUCAAUUCUUGAUGCAAAUCUUUUAAAUGGAGUGGAUUCAAUGUCUAAAGAGCUUUGUUUUAUGGAGUAACUACAUAAAAAAUGCAUUAAAUGGUAUCUAAAUGGAUGGACCUAGUAUUAAACAUACAAAUUGCUUCACAUCUUGUACCAGCCAAGUUGAAUAACAAUAUUAAUAUUUUUAGAUAUAUUUUGAGUGGCAAGUAAAACCUAUUUAACACAUUUAUAAAAUAUAGCUACGUGUCAUUAUCUAAGAGUAAUAGAUAAUUGUUAAAUAAGAAUAAUAUGCUUUUUGGGUGGCAAGUAAAACCUAUUGAACAUUUUUAUUAACAUAGCUAUUCCUUGUUAUUUAAGAGGAGUUGCAUGCAUUUAUGUUUAAGUAUUGUAUAAAGUUAUAUUUAAUCUAAAAUGAACUAAGGCCGAAUGUUUCAACUCCAUUCAACCAUAUAAGUAUUAAUACGACAAUUUAUAGGUGUUUAAGGAAGAUUGCAAUCGCUUAGCGAAACCACGCAAAAACAUUGGCCCGCAAAAACAUUGGCCGGCAAAAAUUUGAAAAUUUUGAUUUGUCGAUUUGUCUGUGGGUUAAUCAAAAAAUCGUGAAAUCAAUAAAUUUGAUUAAAUGAUGUAUCGGUAACUUCAAAAUUAAGUAGGGAGAAGAGUAGUGGGCCCGGCGACUCGUUUGAAAUAAGAAAUGGACAAAAGGCAACAACCGGUGGGACCCAGCCAUCAACAGACAGAAGAAAGAAAAUUAUUACAAACUAUCUAAUUACAAAUCUGCCCAUGGAUUCUAAAACCCUAUGAAGCGCCUCGACUUUUGCUUCCCUCUUUUUUCUAUGCUCCUAGUUAUCUAAAGAUGCGGAAAUUUUAGAUUGAGUUUUUAUUUUUAUCCUGAACCUUUUUUUCUCAAAAACCUCUUAAUUUUAAACCCAAUGCUACAUCAGCCCCCGAUUUUUUAUUUAAAAAGAAUUUCCCAACUUUUUGUCCAGUUCCAAAUGGAUCUCGAAUAACAAGAGGAUGUGCUCAAGAGAGCAAUUUCCAUCUUGACAACGAGGCAAUCUCGACAUUCAAGGAUCAGAAUUCAUGGCCAAAGAGGACAGGAAAAUUUGGUCAUAGAAAAAAAAGUAGAGAAUUCUCGGCCUAGUCAUUAUCCUGACGCUUUGCGUGUUUUUAUCAUUUACUGAGCACUUGUCUGGAAAUUAUUGGAACGGACGAAUCUCUCUAUCUCUUUCUCAUCCACUUUUCAUUUUCUCUCGCAAAUCCAUGUCAAGUCUCAUCCUAAGUCUCUAUCCACUUUUCCUCUUCCCAACAAAUGCACCGUUCUAUGCGUCUAGGUUGCACGGACAUUCUCCAGGACCCUUCGUGUCGUGUCCAACAUGCUCCAACACGCGGUCAACUGCCUUCGACAUGCUCCGACAUGUAAGUCGAAUAUUCCGGCACGUGACUCCAACACGCACGGAAUUAUUUUUAUAAAUUUCCAAAACUUCUGGAGUCUAAAUAUAAAUAUAUGAAAAAAAAAUAAAAGCUAAAACAAAUUUCCAAUAUUCGUUUGAAAAUGUUAGGGUGCUUAAAGUUGCAAAUUUUUCACUUGAUGAGCCGGAGAUUGAGGUUUUUUUUAGAAGAAGUGGAUAAUGUGGAUGAAUGACUUUUUGUUAUAUUUGAUGAUGUAAUGUUGAUUAUUUUUUUUCUUAUUAUUAAUUUUUAAAUUUAAUAGUGGAACGUGGAUUACUUGUUUUUUCCUCCAAGUUUUAUGGAUCAUUAUAAUGAAAUGUAGUUGAAUUGGUCAAAUUAAAACGAUGAAUGAUAUUAACAAAUGUAGGAUUAAUGUUUUUAGUAUAGAAUUCUAGGCUCUUUUUAUUAUUAUUAUUUAGUUAUUUAUGAAUUUAUAUAUUAAAAUAUUUUUUUAAUAUAUAACGUGUCGGAACGUGUUGAAAUUCUCUACUUUUGAGAAAUGACGUGUUGCGUGUCCAUAUUGGUACAAUCUAGCUAUGCGUAUCAUCUUUGGAUUCUCUUGUGCACUGAGAUUUCAGCCACGUGAAGGCAACAACUCUAAGCACAUGGUUGACAAAGCUUGACUUGUUGGUGUGAGUUCUGAUUGCCAAUUGGUUCCAUUGCAUAAAUCAAACCACAAGAGAAUGGGCAACAAGAAGGCAUUUUCUAUUUCUUGAGACGCAUUCUGGCUUUUUUCUCCGUUGGACUUGAAGGGGGAAAAUCAAGGACAGAGCCAGAGCAAAGCCGAAAUGCAUUGUCCCAUUUUUGGGCAUUCUUAUGCCGGGUUCAUGGCAUCGAUCCUUCUCUCCAUGCUUGCAUUCAAUUUUCUCAAUAAGAAGGAAACUAAUGUGAUAAUUUAGCACUUGUAAAGUAUUGUAAAUCAAUACUAUAAGCUCGUGCCACGAGCACUCUUUUGUUUUUUUUUUUUAAACACUUCAUGGUGUCAAGUAUUGACAGUUUAGUUUGGAUUGUUGGUAUAUAAAUAGCAUUGAUAAUUCUUUUAGCUUGCAUUGUCACGAGUGGAUAUCAAAAUAUAGCUUCUUCUAUGAACAUACAUAUUGCUUCACAUCUUAUGCCAAACAAGUUGAAUAACAACGUUAAUAUGCUUGGAUAUAUUUUGAGUGAUCAAUAAAACCUAUUUAACAUAUAAAUAAAGAUAGUUACCCCUAGAUCUAUAUAAAAUAAAUUGUUGGAUGAGAAUAAUAUACCUAGGUGUAUUAUGGGUGGUAAGUAAAACCUAUUUACAUUUUCAAUAACAUAGCUACCCCUCAUUAUUUAAGAGGAAUCGCAUGCAUUAUGUUAAAGUAUUUUUUAAAAUAUUGAACUAACACUACAUGUAUUAGUUCCAUUUAAUAAUAUAAAUAUUUGAAUUAACAUGCAUUACAAAUUAUAAGUGUUGAAGAUAGAUUGCAACCACUAAACUAAACCAAGAAAAAAAAUUGGAAAAAAUUUAUGAAUUUGGCUUUGGGUUGAUUAAGAAAUCAUGACAUCAAUAAAUUUGAUUAAAUGAUUAAUUGGUAACUUCAUAAUUAAAUAGAUAGGAGAGUAGUGGGCUUGGCCACUCCUUUGCAAUAAGAAAUGGACAAAAACUUGAUACAAGAGAGGAUAGCCUGAAGUUAAGGAAUGACUUGUGGGGCCCAACCAUUGUGAGUAGGGGUAGAAAUAAAAUUUUCAUAUGCUAUCCAAUUACAAAUAUGCCCCCCGGAUGAUGGGAACAAGCGAAGUCCUCGACUUUCUCUUUCCUUCUUUUAUACAUCUUAAAAACCCUUAAAUUUUAGGUCCAAUCUUAAUUUUAUUCCAAAUUUUUUUAUUUCACAAAAAUCUCAACUUCAAACCGAAUGUUACAUCAAUCCUCAAUUUCUUCAUCUAUUUUUCUUUUUCAAAUUUUAUAUACAAUCCCAAAUGUGUUCCAAAUAACAACAAAAAAUUCUUGAGGAUGAGGUCAAGAGAGCAAUUUUCAGCUUGACAAAGGGGCAAUCUCGGCAUUCAGAGAUUGAAAUUCACGGUCAAAGAAGACAAGAAAAUUCGGGCAUGAAAAAGCAGAGGAUUCUCGGCCAAAUGGGUGGGGCAUUUUUCCACAUGCAAUAGUUGCCAAAGGGAGCUCGAAAAAGAAAAGGAUGGUGCUUCUCUUCCUGGCCAAGAAAAGGGGGGAGAGAGGGUUAUGGUCUGCAAAAGAAAGAGAGCUUUUACAAAGAAAAACUGAUAAAGUGGUCUGCAAAAGAAAGAGAGCUUUUAUAAAGAAAAACUGAUAAAGUGGUCUGCAAAAGAAAGAAAGAAAAGAAGAACAGAAGAGAUGAAAAGAGAAAAAUAGAGAGAGAGAGAGAGAGAGAGAGAGAGAGAGAUUGUCGUGGCACGCCUGACGAAAUGACAGAGAGCAAAAUGCUGCAAUUUCACCGAAAGCUUGUUUAAUCUACUUUUGUAAAUCUACAUUUCCUUGUAGUUCACUUUGCCUGUGCAUUGAAACUUCCACCAAUUGAAGGCGAUGACCAUAUAAAUGCAUGUUUAGAGGUCCCGAUCAAUGAAUUACUAAUUUAUAUAUAGUUCGACAAAUUUGAAUUAUCGAUGCAUGCCGAUUGAUUUGAUUAGAUAAAUUAAACCAAUAAUAUAUAUAAAAUAAAUCAAAAGCAAAAGCAAAAAGGCAUUUUGACUUAUUUAUGAGAUUUGAAGGGGAAAUUAAGACGGAACCGAGUGAAAAAUAAAUUCUUCUCAUUGUGUUACGGUACCAAAUGAAUAUAUACACAUUUAUGCACGUUGAUAAUUUUUUAUAAUUCUUGACACGCUUUGAUAACAUAAUUUUUUAGAAUAAGUUAUCCUUAUUUAAUACUAAAAUGAAGUUUAUCGGUUUGCCUGUAUAAUAUAUCAGGCUCAAAGUAAGAGGGGUAAAUUCUUAAGUGUGAUUAAGAGCUUAAAAAUAUUUUACGAAAAACACCUUUUCUGACAAAAAAUAAAUUAACAAAAGAAAGAGGAAAGUUUGUCGGUGUAGGUGGUGGACUAAGCGUGCCUUCUUCAUUGUCUUGACGCUUUGUAUGUUUUUUUUUUUUUUUAUCUAUUUUGAGCACUUGUGUGGAAAAUAUUGGACUAGACAAAUCUCUCUCUCUCUCUCUCUCUCUCUCUCUCUCUCUCUCUCCACAUUUCAUUUUCUCCCGCAAAACCAUGUGACAGGCAUGUGAGGGAAGCAGUGACAACAAGGGAAAGAUAAAAAUUUGGAGCAAGGAAGAAAGAAAUGUGCAAAGGAACUAGAAAGAAUUGUCGUGGAGUUGAAAAGUCUACUUGGAAAAGAAAUUAGACAAGAGGAAAGAAAAAAUAUUCAGAGCAUUGAUGUGUUCAAAGUUGUCUCCACCUUAAAAGAUACGUAGCGAUGGUUAUAGAAAUAUCUAUCCUCAUACUGAUUCUUAUUCAACGUUGGUUGCUUUUUGGUUAGUCCAAGAAAUAAUAAAAUUAUCGAUGAUUCAUGCAUUUGCACGUGUCUUGUCCAGAUGGAUUGCAACUUACUGUCCAUGUCCUAUUAUAUAUUUAGAAAAUCUUCCCUUUAUAUUUGCCAUUGUAUUCAAUUACUAGCAAAAUUAAGGUAAAUGUGUAUAAAAAAUUGUGUGUCAUUGAAAGUCAUUUCGAUUGGUUCUACGAUGGGUCUAAUUCAAUGCUAUUGGCUGCCCUUUUGUUUGUCCAAGAAACAAUAAAGGGAGAAAUGCAAGGAGUCCUAAAAGUAUUCAAAAUACCAAGUCACUAGAGUUUUCCUCUCUACUUUCUUUGAGUUUAUAAUCAUAUAAAGUCUUUAUAUAUAUAUAGCAGAUUUUAAGUGAUCGUUGAUAAUGCAACGUCUCAAUAGUGAAAUGAAAUUUAUCAAUUAGAUAUGCUAAUACCUAAUUGAUUCAAGUUAAAUUUGUAAUUGGGACCGAGAGUUUAAAAAUAUUCAACAAAAGUAACUUUUCUAAUGGAAAUAAAUUAGAAAAAGCAAAGGAAAGUGCAAUGGUGCAGCAAUUAUCCUGACGCUUUGUAUGUAUUCAUCAAUUACGAUCACUUUCUAUGGAUACAAAUAAAGCAGUCAUCUUUUAUUUUUUAUUUUAUUUUUUUCAUUGCUUUUGCAUCGAAACUUGCUUACAUGUUAUUUUCUUCCAGGGAAGGAUCGCCUUGGAUUCUCCUGUCCUUUGAAACUUCCCCAACAUUAAGGCAACGGCUAUAAAUGCAUGGUCGGGUCCUGGUCAACAAAUUACGUAUUUAUAUCCAGCUCGGCAAAUUUGAAUUAUCGAUAUAUGCCAACUGAUUGGAUUAGAUAAAAGCAAAAAGGCAUUUUGAUUAAUUUAUGAGAUUUGAAGGAGAAAUUAAGGCACAACUAGAGCAAAAAACAAAUUCUUCUCAUUGUGAUGGGUACAAAAUAAAUACAUAUAGCAUGUUGAUAAUUUUUUGUGAUCCUCGACACGUGUUAUCUCAUUAAAUUUAUAAAUAUUGAAAUGAAGUUUAUUAGUUUAACAGUAUAAUAUUUAACAGGCGUAAAGUGAGAGGGAUUAAAUUUAUAAGUGGGAUCAAGAGCUUAAAUAUAUUCAAUAAAAAUACAUUUCCAGUGGAAAAUAACUUAACAAAAGGAAAGGAAAGGGAAAGUUCAACGGUGCAUGCAAUGGAGUAAGUUCAACGAAGACUCGUCCAAAGUCUCUUUCCACUCAUCUUCCCAACAAAUCCACCGUUUUAUGGGUAUCGAAAUUUUAUCGGAGCUUGUUUAUUAAUUCUCAUCCGUUUUAAAACUUCUUGGCAGGCGUCUUUUUGUCUCUCUCUCUUCUCUCUUGUGAAGAUUGUUUCUCCUCCUCCUCCUCUUCGCAUAGUUCGCCAGAGAAGACAGAGUCGCGACACCUUUGCUCCUCCUUUGUUGCCGCAACUAGUCUUGAGAAACGGUAGGCCCCUCUCUCCUUGGCAAUUCUUGCUCUCUCUCUUUGGCGAUUCUCGCUUUGUUUUUCAUGGCUCCCCUUUGCCUUUUUUUUUUUUUAAUCAGGGUUUGAUUUGUCGCUCGAUUGAGCGAGAGGGUUAGUCGUAGAUCGUUUGCGUUUUGCUGUUCGUUCGAUUUCUUCCUGUUGUAACUCGUCUCGCGUCGUUUUUGGAGGUGCUCUCACUUUCGCCAUCGACGUACGGACCGCUCGUGCUCUCGCUUCCCGUCCUUCUUGACCACAAAUCUGCAAUCUGGGGUUCCCUGCAAUUCUUCUUUCCUCGUGGGUUUCUCCCCCUUUGCGGAAUCGAAGUAGUGGGUAAAAGCGGUUGCUUAAGAAGAUUACCAGUGUCACAAAGCGGUGGGUUCUCAAAUAGUGCCGUCAAAUCCUCGAACAUUCUCGAACUCGCUCGAAAUGCUCCCCUUACCUGUCUGUCCCCAGCAGAGUUUUGGCUGGGCUUUUUCUCGAAUAUACGUUUUCCAGCAUCCAUUCUUGAAUUUUCAUGCCUUUCUGUUCUCUUGUACGAGGUUCUUUGAAUUGAAAGAUUUAGAAGCAACGUAUUUUUGUUCACAGUUUUCUGGGUUCUAGCAAUUUCAUGAUAAGCUCUUCAUGUUUUGAUUGUUUUAAAUUUGCUUUGAGAUUUAUUAUGUGAUGAAUAAAAGUUGGGUUUGUUUUUUGGUGUUUUGCUUCUUUUUGUUGGGUGGUUGUGUUUCAGAAGCGCACCUGAAGUUCGGAUUUUGGAGUCGAAAGACCAGGAGAUAAAGUAGCAUUUUUUGACUCAAAGCAGGUAUGAUCAUGAAAACUUUCACCCGCAAUCAGACAUGCAAAGUUUUAAUUUUUGGAACUGUGUUGGUGGCUUAUAUAUGCGUGGAGUGGCCUCUUUUUACAACCUUUUUUAAUUUCUGUCUGUUUCGCUCGCUCGAGGAGGUCGGUGGUUUCGAAAUGAUGGAUGCGCUGAAGAGGCAUGACGAAUGUGGGAGGGGAGAAGCAGAUGGUUAUGAGAGGGGUAGAGCUUGCGGGGUGUUGUUGUUCAUCCGAGUUAUAGAUUAUUCUGGUACUGCAUUGAGUGAGGUUUUACUAUCGUGUUAUUGUCCGUAAGUCGGUUACAAUGUGAUUUCUUUUGAUUGAAUAAUGACAAUGAGGAGUUAUUUGAAGUAUAGAAAAGAGAAUAAUGAGAAUAUUUCUAUACAGUUUUUCCUUGUCAAGGCUCCAUGUGCAUUUAGCCUAAUCUCUGCAAACACUGCAGGAAUUAUCAAUGGCGAUAGUUAUCUAGCAUAUUAGGCCUCAUUCGAGUUUAUGAUUCCAAUUAGCCAAUGAUGGCAUUUUUUUUAUUUAAAAUUUAAAAAACACGAAUUUAUGAUUCCAAUUUCACCUUCCUCUUUCAAGAAUUUUCUAUAAUCAAACUAUAAUUGGCAUUUUAUAAAUUAAAUGAAAAAAUUGGGAAUAAUUUUUUUCUGGGAGUAGAGAUUUUUAUUCUUAUACCAAAUGCGUUUUUGUUUUGGGAAUAGAAAUUUUGUGCAGUUACUAAACGUGUUUUUUUGCCCAAAACAUAAACGUUACGAAAUGCACCUAAGUAGACAGAAGAGCAACUCAUUCGGAAUAAAAAACUAAUAAAAAUUUGGUAGAGAAGACCGGUACCCUCAAGUUAAGCAAGGACUGGGUCCAUUGGGCAAAGGGAUAGAUAGAAAAAUAGAUGCUAUCUAAUUUCAUAUAUGCCCUUGGAUGAUUAAAACAAGUGAAACUCCUCGAUUUUCUCUUCCCUUUUUUAUAUGGGCUUGCUUUCCUGAAAACUCUCAAAUUUUAAAUGUAAUUUUAAUUCUACCCCAAAACUUUUUAUCUAAAAAGAAUCUUUAACUUUGGAUUUGGUCGUAAAUCUACUCCCAAUUCUUUUCUCUGAAAAAUUCAAAAUUUGAUGUCCAAUCCAAAAUAUGCCCGGCCAUUUUUUUAUCUGAAAAAAAAAUCAAUAACCAAUCUCAAAUUUACCUCAUUAAUCCUACACUCAAAAAUAUUGUUACUUGUUUGAUGUGGCAUUAAAAAUCCAUGUUAAAAAAAUGACAUGGAAAAUUAUAUCCAAAAUGAAAUCGUGUUUGAUCAGAAAAUUAGAAAAUUGGGAAUCAGUCCACGUAGAUUAGUUCACUAAUCCAAUUUACUAGCAAAAAAGGGCACACAAAUAUGUGAUUGAUUUAGAUUAUCUAGGGAAAUGAAUUUAAUUUCUUCAAGGGUGGAAAGCAUUUAAUCAAUCUAAUGAAUAUGUUUUUCAUUAGUUUUGUUGCUAAAAUAAUUUAUUAGGAUUAAAAUCUAAUUCACAAGAAUAUGAUGAUCAAAAGUUUACUUUCUUAGAACAUUUUGCAUAUAAUCACCAUAUAAGCUUGUACAUAGGAGCUUGUACCCUUCGAGAUUAUCAUUUUGUCCAAACACAGUAAUAAAAUCAUCUUAUAACAUGCAAGAGCAUGACCAUUUCAUAAUAUUAAAAAAGGUAAAUUCAAAUUUAUUGAUUAUAUAUAUAUAUAUAUAUAUAUAUAUAUAUAUAAAUUCAGCAUAUUGAAAUUAAGUACUUUAUUCUAUAAAUGAUAAUAAUCCGAAAGAUGAGACUACUUUUGAUACUAUGUAGGUAAGGACAUAGCUCUAUAUACUUUGUGGAAUUUUUUGACCAAAAGACCUUUGUGGAGUUAUAAUUAUUUAAGUUUCUAUGGUUAAAAAAGCUUUAUUUAAGUUCUAAACAUUAUUUAUUUAUACAAAUAUAAAACUGAAAACUUGAGAAUUUCUCGUGCUCUCUCAAAAAAUUCACUAUAUCCUUACCUAAUAUUAUGAUCUAAAUGAAUGAGAUGAUGCAAAACUGUUAUCCAAUGCCAUAAAAAUGCCUACACGCGUCUUUCAAAGUUCGUGAAUGUUCUUGGACGAAGGAAAAGAGGUUCUGAUUGCGAGGCCUGCCUUCAUGCCAAAAUUAUUAUUUUUUCACCUAAAGAAAUAAGAUUUAGGUAGUAGGCCUCAUCUAUUUUCUCUUCUUCCCAUAUCUAAGGCUAACAUGAGGUUUCGUUUUUAGUGACCCGUUUUAUUAGAUCAGAUAGGCUUCGGUCCUGGUUCCAAAAAUUACUAAUUAGUUCAGUUCUUGAUUCGUGGAUAGGAUCAGAGACUUGGAAUCGACCAUUCUAAUUUACGGUAUCAUAAUAGCAAUUCUCUUUUAUUUUUGGUUUUAUUUUUUUCAUACCUGUGCACCGAAACUUGCUCACAUGUUAUCUUUCUCCCAGGUAGGAUUGCCAUGGAUUCUCCACUGCACUGAAACUUCCACCACGCGAAGGCAACGCUUGAAUUUUAUUGGUGCGUGCCAACUGAUUGGAAUAGAUACAUCAAACCAAUUUAAAAAAAUAUAUGUAUGAUAAAGAAAAGCAAAAGCAAGAAGGCAUUUAGAUUUAUUUAUGAGAUUUGAAGGAUAAAUUAAGGUUCGACAGAAAAAAGAGAGGGAAAAUUAAGGUAGAACGAGAACCAAAAAGACAUUAUUCUCAUUGUGCUCAGGUCCAAAAUAAAUAAUAUAUAUAUAUAUAUAUAUAGCAAUUUGAUAAUAUUUAUAAUGGUUGACACGUAAAUAACAUAAUUUUUUAGAAUAAGUGAAUGUUAUGAUACAACAUUUCAGUUUUAAAAAGAAGUUUGUCGGUUUGACAGUAUAAUAUUUAAAAGGCUCAAAUAAGAAGGGUAAAUUCCAUAUGGGAUUGCAACCAAAAAAUUUUCAAAGUGGGAUCGAGAACUGAAAUAUAAUUAACAAACACACAUUCUCUUAUGGAAAAUAAAUGAAUAAAAGAAAAGGACAGUUCGAUGGUGCAAGCAGUGGACUCGGCAGGGGACUCUUCACUUUCCCGACGCUUUGAUGUUUUUAUAUAUUCCGAGCACUCAUUUGGAAAAUAUCGGACAGGACGAAUCUCUCUCUCUCUCUCCCCCAAUCUUUCAUCUUCCCCUGCAAAUCCCUGUCACAGCCUCGUCAUAAGUCUCUCUACGCUUUUCAUCUUCCGAACAAAUCCACCGCUUCAUGUGUAUUGAAAUUUUAACAUACCACAGUAGAAGAGGCUACCACAAUAGAAGAGGCAAUAAGGCGUUUCCUGUUUUCUGAGGGGCAUUCUGGUUUUUUCUCUGUUAGGCUUGAAAGCUGAACUCAAUGGCAGAGUCAGAGGCCGAAAUGCAUUGUCCCAUUAAGAAGAGGAAAACUAAUGCGAGUAGAAAUGCAGAAGACGUUGAUAUUGGUUCAUCUGGUUCGAUGACUGUGCCGACAGAAACUAAUUCCGUUGGAUCUGGUUCAUCUCCUAUGGAAACUAACAGCAUUGCAUCUAGUUCGUCGACCGUGUUGACUGGAAACUGUUAUGAGGUGUUCUUGAGUUUCAGAGGCCCAGAUACUCGACAUGGCUUCACCGAUCACCUCUACAAUGGGCUCCUCAAUGCCGGAAUUGAUACUUUCAGAGAUGAUGACGAGCUCUGCCAAGGCGAGAACAUUAGACCAAAGCUUAUGGCGGCCAUCAUGAGCAGUCAGAUUCUGAUUCCCAUUCUCUCCGUGACUUACAGUACAAGUAGUUGGUGCUUGGAUGAACUCGUUCAAAUAAUGGAGCGCAAGAAUAAUAAUGGGCAGAUAGUGUUGCCUAUAUUCUACAAAGUGAAACCAGCCGAUGUGAGAUAUCAAAUCGGGAGUUUCGGAGACGCAUUUCAUGAGCGUGAGAGGCGCUUGCAAGAGAGGACUUUUGACCCAACGAUUUUGGAGAAAUGGAAGAAGAACCGGCACCCCAAGGNNNNNNNNNNNNNNNNNNNNNNNNNNNNNNNNNNNNNNNNNNNNNNNNNNNNNNNNNNNNNNNNNNNNNNNNNNNNNNNNNNNNNNNNNNNNNNNNNNNNCCUUGAAAGGAUACGAAGCCAAUGGGUAAAAUUUUUCACCAAAACAUUCCCUACUUCCUUUUAAUAUGUGGGUGUUUACUAGUUCUUAUUCUCACCGGCACUUACAUUCAAUAAGAUCUUGUUGGCAGUAAAAUCCCGCAAUGCAUGAGUUCUAUAAGUUUUUUUUUUUAAAGAUUUUUGCUUUAAUGAUAUUGACCAAUCUAAUAUAGAUUUUAUUGUUAUGAUCCCAUUGCCUGAAUAAUAAGAUUUUACGAAUGAAAAUUUACUCUUGUUCCAAAGAUUUUGUAAUAUUGUGCCAUUUUUAUAUCAUGUUUAUGGUGUACCCUACAUUAAUCUUCGUCACAAAUUUUUCUAAAUUCUUAUUUAUUUGAGAUUAAGAGUACAACUUAUUGGUGAUUUUUAUUUAGAGCUCAUAACAUCAUAUACCGUGCAUGGUGAUUGUCAAAGCCAUAAUUAUUUAUAUUCCCAAGUUACUUAUAAUAAAAUAAUUAAUGUUAUUGAUUAGUCACUAUUAAAAUUAUUUUUACAAAAGAAAUGUUCCAUUGGUUAUAUAUGAUGACGGUAAAUGUAAAAAAGGAGAAAAAGGAUUAUUUUUAUUAUGUGUUUGUUUAAAUAAUUAAACUCAUUUUCCUAUCUUCGACAAGUAAUUUCUAUCUCAUUCACCUACAUAUAUUGAAGCAAUGUUCUUAUUUUGGGUAAAAAUUAUUCUUCUACCUCCCUAUAAAAUCAAUAUUAGAUAAAUUAAAAUCAUAGAAUAUAGACACUCAAAAGGAAAAUAAAGUACAACCUGUCAUCAUCCCUAGAGGCAAUGAAAACAAUGAAGAACACCAAUCUAUAAUGAUACUAAAUUCACAACUUGAGUAGAAACUUGAAAGUGUGUAGAAUUGUACAAACAAGGAGAAUCCCCUCAAUUGCUUUCAGGUCGUUAACAACAUCACAAUCUGAACGACUUUUUGGAUUGGUAUUACAGGAGCUAAAAUCCUCUUGCAUCAAAAGUUAUGACCAGUUCGUUGAUCGAUUACAUACUCUCAUACUAGGUUGGCUUGUUGGAAUUGCUUAUUCAAACGCUCUAGAAAGUUUUCAAAGUCAUGUCCGCGUAAUCUCUAAUAUCUUUAACAAAAAGGAAGUUUAAAAUUUUGGUUCAAAUCCAUAACAUAUACAAUAUUCAAGAUUCAUAAGCAUACCCUCAAAUUUCUUCCGGCUUUAUAAAUUAUCUCAGAGUAAUAAUGGCAUGCCUGAAACAACCACAAGCAUUUCUCAACUUUCAUUUUUAGCAUAGAAGAUAAUAAAUGUAGAUAUGGCAAAAAUGAAUCUUAAUUUUUUUUCAAUUUAUCCCCUGAUUUGUUUAUUAUUGUGUUCUCAAUAGACAAACAAUAUAAAAUUAUUGUUGCACUUAUUUAAACUCUUCUCCCAUUUGAUAGGUAUGAAGCAAAGUUGGUGAAAUUGGUUGUUCGAGAAGUGAUGAUUGCACUGAAGAAAAAGUUUGAAUUGGUUAUUUCUACGAAUUUGGUUGGAAUUGACAAUCAUGUGAAGAACGUUAUGGGACUUUUGGAUGAUAAAUCUCAUCCCCCCCUAUUUGUUGGCAUCCAUGGAAUGGGAGGCAUUGGCAAGACUACUCUUGCUAAAACCAUCUACAACAAGAUAUCCAAUCAAUUUGAGCAUCGUAGCUUCAUUGCUGAUAUAAGGGAAUCAUGGAAGCAGGGGGUUCGUCACUUACAGAAUCAAUUAAUCUAUGAUAUAUUGAAGCAAGAAAAUGUAGUUCGUAAUGGGGAUGAAGGGAUUAGUAUCAUCUCCUCCAAGUUUAAAAAAAAAAAAGGUCCUUGUUCUUCUUGAUGAUGUGGAUAAUGUUGUUCAGUUGAAGAAUUUGGCUAGUAAUCGUGAUUGGUUUUCUUCGGGAAGUAGGAUCAUUAUUACCACUAGAAACAAGAGGAUUCUUGAAGAAGUUGGGGUGGACUACGCUUAUGACCAUAAGGAACUGGAUAAAGAUCAAUCUUUAAUUUUAUUUAGUAAACAUGCAUUUCGAAUGGACUAUCCUCCAAGGGAAUUUAAGGAACUCACUCAAGAUGUUGUCUCCAUCACUGGAGGGCUUCCCUUAUCGGUGGAGGUUUUUGGUUCAUUAUUGUGCGGAAAAGAGCCAACACAAUGGAGAGACACGAUAAAUAAGUUAAAAAAGAUUCCUCAUAUGGAAGUGCAAGAAAGGUUAAGAAUAAGCUACGAAGCAUUAGAUGAUGACAAAAACAAAUAUUUUUGGAUAUAGCUUGCUUUUUCAUUGGCAUCGACAGAGAAUCGCAUCCUACAUGUGGGAGGCUUGUGACUUUUUCCCNNNNNNNNNNNNNNNNNNNNNNNNNNNNNNNNNNNNNNNNNNNNNNNNNNNNNNNNNNNNNNNNNNNNNNNNNNNNNNNNNNNNNNNNNNNNNNNNNNNNAGUUGGAAAUGAUCAUAUACUCAGAAUGCACGAUCAAUUGAGAGAUCUCGGUAGGGAAAUAGUUCGCAAGGAAAACCAACGGCAGCCUCAGUACCGUAGCAGGUUAUGGGACUCCAAGGAAGCUCUGAAAGUGCUAAAGGACAAUAAGGUAACCGUUUCGUUUCUUUUGCUCACUCAGUCCAUGUUAUACUGUUAGAGUAAUGUUGGUCCUCCACUCUCUGCUUGCUCUAGUGAACAGAGAACCUUCUACUAUUAUUGCCCUCGAAUGUUUCAUUGAAGAGAUUAGAAAGUAGGGAGGUUGCUUUCUCUUAGUAAGUAUUGUAGUGUUAUCUGAGGUUUUACUUAAAGUGUAUAUUACGAAAUUAUCUCCAAGGAUGAGAUAUUUUCAAAUCUUUUAGAUACUUAACAGGGGUAUUCUAUAUUGGAAAGAUCUUGAAUUUCUAUGAUUGCUUCAUCUAUGUCUUCAACAUACGCAGUAAAUAACUUGACUAUGCUACUGUAAACCAUAAGUACUCAGGAUAUAUAAGUCAAAGAAUUAUAAUCUCUAGAUAUUAAAAUUAAUACAAUAGGACUAACGAUGCCCCACGUUUCUCAUGAAAUUUUAGUCAUUAUUGCAUAAUGGAGAAUGGAAGGGAUACUCAUUUUAUGUGAUAUUACGUUAGGAAUCCCAUUUACCAAUACUCAUAGGAUAAGGACUGAUUUAAAACUUGCCGAAUAAGAUAGGAACAUAAAUUCCUUUUAUAUAUAAUACAGAUGAGUGAGUAUCCACGAAAUCUUGUACAACAUUGUGAAGUACAAUAGCAAAAUUUCUGGUUCCAAGAAAAUGACAUGUGGAAGUCCAUGAACUUUCUGUAUUACUUCUUGACUUCUUAUGCAUAAUUAUUAUUAUCAUUUUAUUUGUGAAAGCUUGCUACGAUUUGGUUCUCAGGAAUAACUAUUCUAUUUCCAUUCUAUUUUGAUGAAGCAAUUAUCCNNNNNNNNNNNNNNNNNNNNNNNNNNNNNNNNNNNNNNNNNNNNNNNNNNNNNNNNNNNNNNNNNNNNNNNNNNNNNNNNNNNNNNNNNNNNNNNNNNNNCUAACACGCGGCAUUAUAUCGUAAAAUUUUUGUUCCCAGAAUCAGUUUGGGACAAGAUUUGAGAAUAAAAAAAAAGUUGAUUCUGCGUCCGACAAUCAAAAAAAGAAUCAACACAAUAAAACUCUUCUUCUUCCCUUCUGCCAUCCCGUGACUGUCGCCCGCCACCGUCCGCUGCCGCCCGCCGCUAGCCGCCGCCGGUUCAGCGAGCUCGCCGGAGGCAAGCCCAGCCACCGGCGAGGCUUGGCCUCGCCAGAUCUGGGGAGGCCAAGCCUCGCCAGUGGCUAGGCGAGCCUCGGCAAUCCCCGGCGAGGCCUGCCUGUCCACCAGUGAGGCUCGGCCUCGCCAGAUUUGGCGAGGCCAAGCCUCGGCGGGGCUGGGUGAGCCUCGCCCAGCCUCGCCGAGGGUCGGCGAUGCUCUGGUGAGGUCGUCGGCCGUCCUCCGGUCGGUAGCCGGUCCGGCGACCGGCCACAAGAAGAAGAAGAAAAAUAGGAGAAAAAGGAAAAAAAGAAAAAAGAAAAAAAGAAAAAAGGAAAAAAAAGAAAAGAAAAAAAGUAAAAAAAAGUUAUUUAAAAAUUAAAAGAAAUUAAUUUGGAACAGAAUCAAUGAACACAUUAUCAAACGCAAUUCUAUUCCAGAAUCAGAAAUUUUGGACAGUUACCUAACACGUUCUUUUACUCAGAAUCAGUUCCCGGGAACAGAAUAAAAAAUAAUCAUUUCUUGUUAGAAUCAGUUCCCGAGAACAGAAUUGUUACCAAAAGCGCCCUUAAAAUCAAGAGUAGUUAUUCCUAUCAGGGCCAAGGAGUAGCUAUUCCAUGUAGGCUUGUAGCAAAAAAUAGCUUCAAUUUUCUCAUUUCUAAAAAUGGUUUGCACUUUCCACAAUUAAUUUUUUUAAUAUUUUUAUUAUAGUUGAGUAUUUCGGUUAUUUAUGAUUAUGAUUAUAUCAAAUUGUAAUUUAUAUUUAAACUAAAAUUUAUGAUAAAAUCAAAAGUUUAGAUAUUAUUAAUAUAGCUAAUAAGUUUUUUUUAUGAUUAUGAAUAUAUCAAAUUGUAAUCUAAAGCUAAACUAAAAUUUACGAUAUAAUAAUAAGUUGUAGAGAAUAUUAACAUAACUAAUAUUACUGUCUUAGUUAUUUAUGAUUAGAAAAUAAUUAAUUAAGAAUAUUUCAAGUUACUACUAGUAAAUAAUAAGUACAUAAUAUAUUAAUAUAACUAUUGUCACAAUAUUCGGUUUCUUGUAAUUAGUUAUUACUCCAAUGGAAAAUAAGAGUAUCUGUUUUUUUUUUUUAUUAAGUAGCACAGUCGAGUAAUAUACACAUAAAAAUUAACGUGAAAUUUACAUAGAGAAAAAAUAUUUCUAUUAAAAUAGAUCAAAUCAACUUUUGAUUUUGCACAUUGCAAUUUGAUUAAAUUCCUUGCAUUGCACGCUUGUCUUAACUAGUAAGGGAAAGAAGGAGAAGAAGAUUACAAGUUGUAAAGUUUUUACUUUGAAUGAACCAUGACAUCAUAAUUCUUUUUUAGAUCCGAAUGUAUACGGCCAAAUUUCAAAAUGGAAGUUGACAUCCUUCACUUUGUUAGCCUUUAUAAAUAUUGUUCAUUGGGCGUAAAAAGAAAAAUCAUAUCUUCGCAUUGCUGGUCUCUUGAACACAUUAAUGCACGUCAAUCGCAAUAUGAACAAAUAAUAUUAGAUUACUUUAGUUGGAUUUAGUAUUAAUAAACGUUGAUUCUUGCUUGCAGGGAACGGACAAGAAUGAGGCUAUUGAUCUAAGUAAAGGCAACUCAGAAGGCCUCGGCAAAAUAGAUGAGCGAGAUGGCAACAAUUACACAGCAGAACAAUUCAAAAAAUUGACGAGUCUAAGAUUCCUUUUCAUGAAAGGGGCACAUCUUAGUGGAGAUUUUGAGGACUCAAUAGAGGAGUUAAAAUGGCUUCAAUGGCAAGAAUGUGCCACAAGUUUUGAAGUAGACAAUUUUCACAUGCAGGAAUUAGUUGUACUUGAAUUGAAACGUAGUGAAAUAAAUGAGAAAUGGGGAGGAUGGAGUUUUUUCAAGGUAAGAAUUAAACUCUCUUUUUUUUCCUCUCUUUUAUGCUUUCUUUUGAAUCAUAAUGACUCUACACUCACCCAUCGACAUUCAUUGUUGUUGUUGUUUUUUUUUUUUUUUGGUAGAUGGCAAAGAAGCUUAAAUAUCUAGACCUUUCAUUUUGUCGAUCCUUGGAAAAUACUGACUUCCUCUCAGCUUUUGAGAAGUUAGAAGUUCUCAUCCUCAGGGGUUGUGGGAGACUAAAGCAAAUCGACGCUUCCAUUGAAGACAUUAAGGGCCUCCUACGCUUGGAGCUGGACAAUUGUUUCUACCUCAGGGAGCUUCCAGCAGAAUUAGGUAAAUUAAAAGCACUGCAGCAACUCAAUCUAUCCGAAACUCCAUUCCUUUUUGCAUUACCAGAUAGCAUAGGGUCUUUGGAGAAUCUAGAGAUUCUAGAUAUUACUCACAGUGGUAUAGAAGAAUUACCCAAUGGUAUUGGGAGUCUGAGAAAGCUCAGAGAGUUAUGUGCUUGUGCUUGCAAAAAUCUGACAGGGAUAAUGGUAGAAAGCAUGUGUAAUCUUUCUUCCCUACGACGCCUUGAUUUUAUAGACUGCUUCAAGCUCCAAUCGCUGCCAGAAUUUCCUUCCGGCUUAACAUAUUUGGGCGUCACCUGUCAAAGUCGCAAAUUGCCUUCGCUUUCCCACCUACCCCAUCUCAAGCAACUACAAGUUAGGGAUUGCGGAUUUAUCCAGUGCAUCCAGGAGCUUCCAUCAAUGCAAUUAAAGAGUUCAGAAUGCUCCCAACUGACGGACAUUGAAGAAAUGGAAUCACCACAAUCCCUAAACACGCCCUUCAAAUUCGAAUCCUUGGAAGUCUGUUGGUGUGAAUCUAUCAAAAUGCUGGACGUUUCACAGUUUGUCCAUCUAAGGACAUUAGUUGUUUGCUGUUGCAUGGAUCUAUUUGAAAUUCGAGCUCUUGACAAAUUGAUAUAUUUGGAAAGCUUGGAGAUCAAAAGGUGUCAUUUAAUCAAAUAGGUGGACCUUCCAAAACUCGAGCUCAAGGGUCUGAAGAAAUUGACUAUUAAGACAUGCGACAAAUUAGCCGAAAUUCAAGGCCUUGAUAGGUUGGAGUAUUUGGAAAUGCUAGAUAUCUUUGAGUGCACUUCAAUGAAAAGGCUAGACCUUCCAAAAUCCGGGAAGCUGAAGAAAUUACAAGUCAUAAGAUGCGUAGAAUUAGCCGAAAUUGAAGGCCUUGAUAGGUUAAAGUUGCAGGAACUGAAUAUCAUCGAAUGCAAGUCACUCAAAACAAUUCCAGAAUUAUCUAGAACUCAGAUUUAUUGAUCAAAAUGAGAUUACAAAUAGUGAAAUGAUAGGAUAUGAAUCAGACGAUAUGGAUGACUCGGAUGAGUCAAUAUAUUGGAAGUAAUCCCCAUUUACUAUCAAAGGUACAUAGAGCAGGUAAGUUACCUUCGUUCUUUUGAGAUCUACUAUCCAAUUUUCAUUUGUAUUUCCUGCUCCCAAUAUCUUUCAAGAUAUAUGAUCUUCUCAAUAUUAUUUCCUAGCUGACAGUGUCAUCGUUGUCUCCUUACUUGAAUUCAAGGAAUUGAGGGGAGAUAUCCAUGGAAAUUGUUGUGUGCUUUGCCAACAAGAUUUUGCCUAUCAUGCCAGUAAGGGAAAUAGAUGGAAAAGACUUUCUAAGUGCAUCAUUUGUCAUUAGUUUUUGGGUAAGAUCCUUCAUCCUAUGCAUAAAAUAAAGAUUCUCAACGUUUGAUUGAUUUUGGGAAUGCUGGAAGUAGUGCAUAAAAACUUAUGUAUAUAGGUAUCUGAUAGCAUGCCAAAGGUCAUUAUGUAGGUCGAGAAAUGAAAAAUGAAGUACCCAAUAGGGCGGUCCUCCUAAUUGAGGUUUUAGUUUGCUCUGCCCUUACCAUGUAGCUCGUGACUGCAUGUUUCUAAGUUAUGCUUAACAGUUAAUUUACGGUGCAAAUGGAGCAUCUUGACAGGGCAUCCCUUGGCAUCAACCAUUGAGUUCCAAACAUUUUAUUUCACAGAACUGUCUGGAUUGGCUGAUUAAAGUAACCGUAUCAGUUUAGAAAUGCUAAAUGCAAGAACAAGCUCUUCUUCUAGUGGUGUGGCUGUGAGUGAAUUAAUAAACAGGGAAGAAGCAAAAGCAUUGUGAAGUAUUUGGAUCGAUCUAGAAAAUUGCAAUUCGAAUUUUAUUGACUAUGGAUCCUUGUUCAUUUGGUUUGAAUCCAGAAUAUACCUACUCCAAGGCUAAUAAUAGAUUAUCCCAAAGAAUGCAUCUUGAUGUUUGUAGAGUUGGUAAAGCUAUCUGUCAUAUACUUGAACUUUUGAGCUAAGCAAGACAUUACUACAAUGUCCUUUGACAUAAUCGUCUGUACUGUAAAAUAAAUUCCUUAUAUUGUGUAUAAGCUCUUGUUAGUUCAUUUACUUGCUGAAAUGUAAAAGACAGGAGGCAUCUGUAUAAGUUUCCUGAGGAAACUUUUCGAUAUCCUAUACGCCAUUUGAAAACUGCCUUUCAUUAAUUCUAAUGCAUGAAUAUCAUGUAAUGGUAAGGAAAAGAAUCAUACUAUGUCCCACAAAACCAAGCAACUUGAGUUGAAUUCACUAUGUUAAUUUGAUCAAAGCUUCUGUGGGUGAUGAUGUUAGAUGCCCCAUUAGUUGGAUCCAAAGAGCUCAAAAGGAAUAUUGAGUUUGACAAACAGAGAUUUGUAAACUUCAGAGUAUUAUUACUAGUUCGUUGAUGUUAGUUUCUAGAUUGAUUUCAUCCGACUCACUGGUAGGAUUCGGUUAUUUUCACUAGUUGAUGAAAAUGCUGAAAUAUCUGAGAGAGCUUUCGUAAGGCACUUCUAAAAUAAAUCGAAAUCAUAGAAAGAUUUGGAGCUCAAUGCAUACUUGGAAUGGUAAAAGUUUGUUUGCAUGUUGUCAUCUCACAUUGCCCUGCUUAUGUUUAACAGAAGCUUUACAGAGCUGAAAAUGUCCGCCUCCACUCCUGUGAUCAAGUCUCUCUAUCUUCCUUAUUUUCUCUUCCAUAUGUUACUCUAGGAUUCAAGUGGACUUUCCUCAUCCUCUCACUCUUCAACUGGCUCGAGCGUUCCUCUAGGUUUGAGCUCUAUCCUUCACAAGCCCUCUUUCAGCUCGCAUCCUUGUGAUUUGUUCUAGUGCUAAUGUUGCGUUUUCGAUUGCUCACGGAGCUUUAGCUAUGGAGACCAGCGAAGGACCACAAUGUGUCGUCCUCCUGUUUCAGCUUCAGUUCGAUAAAUCACUAGCUUCUCAGGUUCGGCUCCUAGUGUUCUUUUGUGACCUAAUGGGCAGUUGACUUGAUUGUUCCAAGUUGAUUUUCUGAAGUUUGCUUGAUUUUUGAUUGGCAGGUGACGAUGGAGUGGAAUCCAAAGAAGAAUUGGCCAGCGAUGGUCGAGAAGGACUCGAAGGCAAUGUCCAUUGGCAGAGGCUGUGGACAGUCUCUCCUUGUAAUUACUUCAAAGUGAGAAGGUUGGUCAGCUUAGUAUUCCCUGGAUACUACGAAAUAUGGUCAGCUUGGUAUUUGCUUUCAUGUACUAUAGCAGCUAUUUUGGUAGGCCUUCAUUGGGUUGUGCGAUACAUUUGUAGGCGAGAGAAUUAUAAUACCAUGGUGUAAUGGAACUUGGUCGUGCUUUAAAUGUCAGAAUGAUAUGUUGUCAAGCCUAGUAUUGUUUUCAUGCGUUCUAGCAGCGUGUCCACAGUAGUUGCUAAACUGAUGAUGUGCAAUGGUAAAUGACUCUUGGUUUGUAGGUUAGUUCUUCAUUUUAGAUCGUCUUUCUACAGUCCUCAUAAAUACUUUGAGCACUUCAACUAGAUAAGAUUGACUCAAGUUAGGGUGGUUUGCUGCUCAUCAACCCUGGUUUUUGUUGGUCCAACAUAUUUCAAUUAUCCAGAUGGUAACGAGGGUUAAAAUAGAUGGGUUGAUUGUUGUUUCUCGUUGGAUUGUAAGGUCUCACUUUUUUAAAGAUAAAGUUUAAUUUCUUGUGCUUUCUGCUUUUAUUUAUUAUGUCAGGUCAGGUCAGCAAGAUGUCUUACACGCAUUAUUGUGCCAGAGAAUUACUGCAACUUGGAGGUUUGGGGACAGUGAAUAUUUGCGAAGGACACUUGCAGAGGAAUUUCAACAGAUGGAACAGAGGUAUUAACAAAAGAAUUAGAAAUGUGAGAUGCAAUAGAAUCUUGUUCUUGCAUAGAAGUUCGUAUCUGAAUGUGUCGUUUAUUGCUCUUUCAUUGUAGAUUCUUCUCAUUAAUGCUAUAUCUAGUUUGCCAUGCGUAAGUGUUCUUACCCAUGCCACCUCUGUGGGAAAAAUAUGAAUUAUGGGACAAAAUGUUGCUGGUAUCUAUUGUUUAAAGUGAUUCAUUUUCCCCCUUUCAAGUUUGGUCCUCAUUGCCGAUAUGUGUACCGAAUGUGAGAUUCUUGAUCUCAUUGUAUGCAUAACGGGAGUUUGAGUAUGAUUGCUCGGAUUCAAAAUUGGACUGUGUGAACAUUGCCAGUCUUUGCUUUUUGGUGUUAUCCAACUCAUCAAUUAUUUGAGUUUGUUGAUCUUUCUAUCCAUUUUCCUAUUACCAAAAAAUUGUACGAAUAUUUUUCAUUUCCUCGCCUAAGUAGCCAGAACUAUGAGACCAUAAUGUGAGAAGGAGAACAAGAUAGGGAAACCUUUGGGGGUGGGGUGUUGGCUUCUAGGUUUUGUAGUCAACAAUGAUUUCCACUUACCCUCUUCUUAAUAAUCUAGUGUUUCGUAUUUGGUCUUAGGUUGAUUACUUGACAAUGUAAUUGGAACUUAAGUUGGGUGAUCUUGUCGGAUUGGGAUUUCUGUUUAGCUUAUGAUCAUUGUGUAUGGAAAAACAGUGCCUCAUCUUUAGAUUAGGGAAUGAUUUAAUCAUUACAGUUUCAAGGAAGCUAUCAAGAUGCCUUUUUUACUAUUUAAAAACAAAUCUUGAUAUGAAUUUAUUGUCACAAUUCCCUCAUAUGUUUGUUUCAGCAUUCACUAGAUACAUUCCCUUUUCACUAUCCUUCUAUGAGGUAUAUACCUUUAAUCUAAAACUACAAUUUUCUCUAGAGAUUUACAUGUGCAUAGUACAAAUACAGGAUGGCUCUAAAUUUGCUUCAUCCAAUCAAACUCAUGAAAUUGGGUUUACAGAUUAUAUCUCCUUCCAAAUAGUCUUUUGUUAGAUGUUACAAACAAUAUAACAAUGGCGAGGUGAUUUAUGAAUGAUUCAAGCAAUGUGAAGUAAGGAAGGCCUUUGGAAUUGAUCUUGUUGUGCAUCCCUCCUGGUUACUAUCGUGUGGAUUUGGCUCUAUAAAAGGUAAAAGCUAGGUAUAUCAUAUGUUAAAUCCCUUAUUUGCAGAUGUGGCUAAUAUAUUACGUUGGAAACAGGAACUUCAAAUUGUUAUGCUGCUAAAUAAGAUGAAUGAUGCUUGUGAAAACUUGAGAGAUGCCUGGAUGACGAUCUUGCAUACCAGUGACGUUCCAUUUAUGCAUAUUUUAGGAAACACUUGUGCAAUUAACUGGGAAUUGGACCAAUUGAAAGGUAACUUGUGGAUCUAGAGUUUGCAUAAUGAUUCCUUACUUGUGAGAAAUAUAGGAUGCUCCUGAGUUCUAUUUGUUCCUAUACAUGUCAAUUCUCAAUUUAAGACAUUUGAUGGCAAAAAGGAAAAACUGGGAUAUUGUGCUUUUCUUUUGAGUCUGGUUUCACUGCGGAAACAAUAGCGGUCAACAACUGGUGGUAUCCACCCUGUCGAACAAGUAACCAUGUGUACUUCUCAACUGGUAACCCAGCAAACCUAUCAACUAGUCUAGCCCAGUUCUAGGCCUUCUAAAAACGUUAAGGAAGGGUGUUGAAGUUGGGUUGGGGUUUGGAACUCCUACCUCUUGUAACUAAAAGGCAUGCCAACCAUUUGCUUUGGUGUCUUCUUGCUUCAUUUUGUGGUGGAUAAUUUAUUUAUUGAUGGUAUUGGCUUAGUCUAUUAAAAAUUUGAACAAUUCUAUCGAGAAUAGGAACCCUAUCUUUUGUGCUUAAGUAGCUUUGCCGAGUGAACUGGGCUUAUUUUGUUUAGGAAAUUUGUAUUCUAUUAGACAACAUCACAUGCAAUUGGUUCAACUGGUUGAACUGUCAGAGCAUGGUUCUACUAGUUUGACUAGUUGAACCACUAGUCUUUAUUCCUUUGUUCUUCUUAUAAUGUAUCUGCUCUCCUCACCAGCGUGAGGAGUGGUAGCUUAGUUUUUCCUCCUCUAUGCGUAUACAUCCUAUUUCAUGCCUGCAAUUUUAAAGGAUGUUGUACUUUCUGCCUUAACAUAACUGCAAAAGUUGUGUUGACAGUUGGUGCCUUGUACUUGAAUGUUUGUUAAGGAAUGUGCAUUUGAUGACCCUAAUGGGUUAGUAGUGCCACUUUUGCUUCUAUUUUGUGAGAACACUUUUGCUUGGUUGUCUCAUUCUCACUUCCAAAACACUAACCCAGUGAAAAUACACAUCUUGGACUCUAUCUUACACCUAGAGAUGGAGAAUGAGAAGAUUUGCUGCAUUCCCUAUACUGUAGUUCCUCCUUGGUAGUGGUAAAAUUUCUUUACACCGCCAUACAAUUGAGCUAAGGAUCAACUCAUUGUGAUGCCAUGAAUUGUAUACUCUGAAAACUAUUUUCCUUGAGCUUCUUACCAUGUCCAUUUGCAGUUUGGAUUUUUGGAAACUUGUUGUUGCCCAUUGUCUUUCCUUUCUGUAUCAUUUUUUGAUAAACUCGCCAGUAUUAGUAACAAAUUUAUUUCAUUGACUAAGUGGUGGAGCUGGAAUUAUCCUGUCGAUGCUCCCUACUAAGUUUCCACUUUUGCAACAUACUCUUAAGUUUAAAUAUGACUGGCAUAGGUAUGUUGUGCCUCUUUAAUGGACAAUUUCAUGCUUGUUCCGAUGGUUGAGAACGUGCAAAUUUAUGCUCCAAAGAAUAUCUUUUUCAUUUCAUGAAGUACAAUACUGAGCUAUUAGGUUUUCCUAUAAAUUUUAGAUCAAUUGGGAGGUCAAAGUGAAAAAAAAAAUGAAUCUUUAGUGGCCAGACAUAUACAGAAAGAAUAAUUAUCUUCUUAUGGUAGGUUCAUUGCAGUUUGAGUUACUGAUUGAGAACUAGUACAUACAUGUUCACGAUGAUGGACACUAUCAGGGUCUUUAGUGUAGAAAGAUACCGUAGAGCAUUCAUGGUUCACAUGCAUACGAUAGCCUCUUCAGUACACAAGUAUUGCUUCCACCUAUGUUUUAGCAUGAUGCAAGUAUUGUACUUAUUACUUUUACCUAACAGAGGUAUCAAAACAUCAAAUUAGUUAUGGCCAUAUUAUAGGAACAUGGGAGUGAAAUCAAGUUGAGUUAUUUAUUUUUGGCUAUAGCAAGCAGGGGUGUGGCUUGUGUUUUGGCUGCAAGAAAGCUAGCCCUGGUCUACAUACUUGGACGAGGAUGAAGAUGAAAUCUCAGAUUCAGAAUGAAUGUCUACUGUGGGUGGACCUUUAUUGCUGGGGACAGUCUCACCUGGUAAUUGCUUCAAAUUGAGAAAGCUCUCUCUUUUUUCUAUUUAGUGUGUGAAGUGCUUGAAUGUCUUAAUUGAGAACAUGAUUUUGAACUGAGGAGUUGGCGUUUUACAGAAAAAACCUAGUGUGAAUGAAGGUUUCGAGUGGAAAUCUAGAUUCUGUUCUAGUUUAUGUGGUGGUGAUUGUACUUGAUAUUACGAUUAUAAUAUGGUUGUUUAUGUGCACUGAUAUUUGUUUCGGUGGUAUCUAAUUUUGUUUGGUCAUAAGGAAAGUAAAACGUGAAGUAACUUAGGAUAUUAUCAUCGUCCUUACAAAGAAAUGGAUAGUUAAGGUAGAGCAAUAUUCGAGGCAGUUUUCUUAGAAAUAACUUUAAACUUUACAUUAUGGAAGAACUUCCCUGCUGAUAAUUUUUAAUGCUUGAGUUGACUUUCAAGAGUUGCCAUCAGUUGACCAACAUGAUGCCUCAUACUUGGAAGCCUAAAUUAUCUUGUUCAUGCUUUAGAUUUCUACUCAACCUGUAAGUAUCGUCUAUCUUUCAGUAAAAAGUCCCUAAAAAUCUAUGUAGUUCAUAUGUUGAAAGUUGUGAGGCAAAUUUGUUUCAAAAUUUUAAACAUUGUCGCAUGAGUCACGCAUCAUUUUUGUUCUCGACUGCUUAAGGCCUGCUUAGUUUUAGAGAACAACUUUAAUUUCCAUCGUCAUAGAAACUGUUUUCGAUGUUUUGUUGACAAAAUAUUUGUUUAGUGAAAAUAAUGUCAUCAUGGAUGAAAAUUGUGAGAAUAUGCUCAGGUUACAUCACAUUCCAAAAACAGGCUUAUUUAUUCCAAAUCUCCAUGUUUGCAUUUGGAAUCGGAAUACAAAAAAGUCAUCUCCAGUAUGUGAUUUUGAUUCUGAGAAUAGUUUUCAUUUUAUUUGUCAACUGCUUUUGGAGUGUUACCAAACACAUUUUCUGGUCUAUUUUAAUUCUCAAAUUGAAAUCAAAAUAGACUUUUGAGAAUCUUUAUCAGCCGAAUGCCUCCUUAGAUUAUCAAUCUCUUUCUGUCUGCAGAAAAAAUGGACUUCAUCAAGUUGCUUAACAAGCUCUGAACAUUGAAGAUUACUUCAUGUCAUCCAGGCAUCAUUAUAUGUAAUGCAUAAGCAGUGGGCUGAUGCCAUUAACAUAUUUCGAGAGGAAGUUUGAUUUGCUGUCAAACCUUGUUAGUGACCAUGGCAAGUGAUAUUGUUAACUCAGAGUGGUAGAUGGCGUUUCUUUUUUUCUUCAUUUAACUAUUUUUGUUUGCUUAUCUAGGUCUUGACUCUUUCCCUCAGGAGGAAUUUUCCAAUCUAUCAGUUUCGUGUUAAUUCUCUGGAUGAAGUGGUGUGGCUAAUUUUUUUACGCUCUGGUGCUGCUAUGGACCUUGGCCUUUUUGGUUGGUUUUUAUGAUCUCAGUCUACUAGUUUGUCCAAUGAUAGUGUAUGAAAGUGUGUAUCACAAGUUGUUUGUGGUGCUGGAAAAGAACUUCUGUUGGUUGUCCUCAAUUAUCUGUGGGUGUGCGUUAUUAUCUUUGCAUCUGGCCUUUUUCCUUCAUGCAUCUUAGUGAAUCUUGGAGGUGAUCGGAUAGAGAUAGGAAUUUGCUACAGGAAAUUAUUCUUCUGCACAUUUUGAGACAAGCCAUAUUUUUCAGAACAUCCCGAUGUUGAUUCUUCAUACAAUCAUAUUGUAUACAAUGAUAUGAAUUAUUAAUAUUAAGUGACUGGAAAGGAUCAAGUAAAAUCUGAUUUGAGUCUAAUUCAAUAAGUUGGCAAUAUCUCCUAUAAGCGUAUAAUGGAAAUUGUAGGUCAUUAAUCAUUGGUUUGAACUUGAACUUGAUCUAAGUUUGAGCUUUGAGUGUACUGUACAUGGAGAUUUGGAUAUAGAAUGUUUAUAUGUUCACAUUAUAAUUAGCAGGUGUAGAUAUAUGUUCUCAAUUUAAAAGGAAAGAGUUUAUUGCCCACUUCGAUCUUAGCAUAUAUCCCCUUACAAUUGCGAGAGUCAAUUUUUGUACCAAAUAAUCAUAUUCAAAGCUUUGUACCCAUCGAUAUUACUAUUAGAGCCUGGGGGAAGUUAGACUUAUUUAUAUUGCCAAAUUCCACCCAUUGAACUCAGUGUAGUUAGUAAAACUCCUCUUUCCUGUGUUAUGUUUAUGGUCAACAAGCUAAGGAUGAGAAUGAAAACUCAGAUCUUCAAAGAAAUGAGCAAAAAACUAACUAGUGGGUGCUCAGAUGAUAGUGAAUCGAGCCUACAUGGAUCUAAUCUGUGAUGCUUAACCAUGGUUAUGAGAGCCUCUGCUCUUAAUCAUUUGUUUAGUACUUAGAUGUGAGAAUUGAUUAUUUUGUAUUAUUAUUUUUAUUUUUAGAUCACGAUUUUUGAUAUACCACCUCUUUUUUAGCAAACCAAUGCUGAGGAUGUCAACUCCUAGUAUUGAAAUUGGUUUUACUAAGUUGCAUGUCAGAUAGAUUCAUAUUAGGUGUUUGAGACCUACUAAUGCAUUAUACUCACAUUUUUCCUCUUCAAAUCAAUUUUGUAUGCUACUCUUAGUCCCUACUAUUGCUUCUUUUCUGGUAGUGUGUUGGUAGCUCUUUGGAUCCAACGUUUCUUUUGAACUUUUUCGAUCUCGACUUUUAGUAGUAGCGGCACCCUUUUGUCAUUGUGACAUUACUCGCAAAAAAGUGAAAUGUUGAUGUUGGUACUUGAAAUUAUAUGAUGAGAUAACAUGUGUUGGAAUAAAGGGCAAUUGGAAUAACUUAAAAUCCUCAAAAAAGUGUGAAGUUUCUUUUUAUAGAUUUUACAGUUCACCUAUGGGGUGCAGCCCAUAUACCAAAGGAGCCCAAAAAACUAAAGCCAUAUACAAAACAACUCCCAAAGCUAAAAGGGAGCUCAAAUACUGGGUCAAUCAUCGACUAAUCAACCAGGGCAUUUACAUCCAUAUGCAAGUCUACACUAUACCAAAAGUGUGUGGCUUUAAGCCAAAUUUCCAUAAAAUGGAACAGACGAUUUCUCUCCAUCAGAAGCUCUCUUGCUCGAUGCCUUCCAAAUUAGCCAAAAGAAACAGGGGAAUUGAGUUAAUCCCACUUGUUGUGCUGUAAAUGAAUGCCCUGCCAUGCCCAAAGUUCUUGCUCAAUAAAACCUUUGAUAACCCAAGAUAACAUGGCACAAGCAUAGGAAACUGUCCAAACCAUUCUUUCCCAGAACAAUGAAGGAGGGGAUGCCGUGUGGACUCUGCCUCCUUUUGAUGAGGAAACACCUAUUAACCAGUAUUUUGUCUCAUUUAUAAAGUAAGGAUUUGUUCCUAGGUUGCUUCCCAAGCAAAAAGAGACUCUAAUUGGAAUUCUCACUUUCCAAAUCGAUUUCUGAGGAAAAUCUAUUUUGCCACGAAUCUACCUAUUGAGCAGCUUUUCCCCCCUUCAAAUUUGGUCCUCGUUGCUGAUAUGUGCACCAAAUGUAAAAUUCUAGAUCUCUGUGUGUAACGGGAGUUUGAGGAUGAUACCUGGGCUCAAAAUUGGUUUUAUGUAAAUAUUGCAAUCCUUUAAUUAAAAGUUUGUGUUUUUGGUUUUACCGGACUCAUCAAUUAUUUGAGCUAAAAUAUUCAUUUCUUGUUUAGCUAAUUCAAGACUUUUGUUAAUGGGUUUGUAGAUAUUUCUAUCCAAAUGCCUAUUACCAUAAAGUUGUCCUAUAUUUUUCAUUUCCUUGUCUUAGUGGCCAGAACCUUGAGACUAUAAUGAGAGAAGGAGAGAAAGAAAAGGAAACCCUUGGGGGUUAGGGGUUGUCUUUUGGAGGUUGUCAUUAACAAUGGUUUUUCACUUACCCUUUGUCUAAUAAUCUAGUUUUUCGUAUUUGAUGUUUGAUUACUAUGAGAUUUUGUGAUACCACUGCCAACUAUUCUAAAAGCUUAAGCUGAUAGAUGAAGGCAUGAUUUAUUAUUUAAAUAUUCUAACACUCCCUCUCAUGCUUAGUCUGGUCUUUUUGCCUAGUAUUAAGCGUGGAAAUUUAAUUGGGAAGACAAAUAGGGGCCUAGAAGAUUCGAACUCAAGACCUCCUAACUCUGAUACCAUGUAAGAUUUUGUGGGAUCACUGCCAAUUGUUUUAAAAGCUUAAGCUGAUAGAUGAAGGCGUGAUUUAUUAUUUAAAUAUUCUAACAAUUACUUAACAAUGUACAUAGAAGCUUUAGUUGGGCGAUUUUAUUUGUGCUCUGUGUUUAACUUAUGAUCCUUGUGUAUGGAAACACUGUAUCUCAUGUUUCCUGAUUAGAAACUAAUUUGAUAAUCACAUUUUCAAGGAAGCUACCCAUAUGCCUUCUCUUCUAUUUUGAAAAAGAUACUUUGUAAGAAUUUAUUGCCACAAUUCCCUCUUAUGUUAGUCUUAGCAUCCACCAAAUAUAUUCCCAAUUCUUUGUCCUUCUAUAGGGUAUAUACCUUUAAUCUAAAACUACAAAUAUUAUCCAGAGAUCCACAUGUGUAGAGUCCAACUGUUUUUUCAUGCUAAUCAUUACUCUGUAUGGUAUUGCAGGAUACUUUGAAUUUGCUUCAAAUUAUAUUUCCUUCCAAAUACAUGAAGAGUCUUUUUUAGAUGUAACAAAUCGUAUAGUGGUAGUGAGUGGACUUAUGAAUGAUUCAAGCAAUGUGAAGAAGGAAAGAUCUUUGGAAGUAUCUUGUUGUGCAUCCCUAUUGGUCACUAUUGUGUGGAUUAGACUCUAUCUGAGGUAAAAGCUUUGUAUAUCAUAUUCCGUGGCCUAAAUUUGCAAGUAUGGCUAAUAUGUUCUGUUGGAAGCAGGAACAUCAAAUUAUUAUGUUGCUAAAUAAGAUGAAUGACACAGGUGAAAACUUGGGAGAUGCCAAGAUGACAAUCCUGCAGGCUGGUGACCUUCCAUUUGUGCAUAUUGCAGGAACCACAUGUGCAAAUAACUGGGAUUUGUACCAGUUGAAGGUAACUCAUGGAUCCGGAGCUUGCAUAUUGAUUUCUGACUCAUGAUAUCUAGAGUUCUAUUCUAAUCAUGUCAAUUCACUAUUUAAGACAUUGAUGGCAAAAGGGAAAAAGUAGCAUAUCGUGCUUUUCUGUUGACUCCUAUUCAUGUCAAAGUUUUAAGAAGUGGCUUUGGUUGGACUGGGAACCAGACCAGGCCAAUCUGGUUUCCCAGCAAAAUAGUAUUGAUCAAGAACUGGUGGUAUUGACCCUAUUCAACCGGUAACCAGGUGUACCUGUCAACUGAUACCCAGCAAACCUGUAAAAAAGUUCAAAGGAGUGACGUUGGAAUUGGGUUGGGGUUUGGCUCUCCAACCUCUUGUAACUAACAAGUGUGCCAACCAUUUGCUCUAGUGUCUUCUUGCUACAAUCGUGGUGGAUAAUUUAUUUAUUGACCAUAUUGGCCAAAUCUAAAAUUGAACAGGAUGCUAUUAAGAUGACAUCAAGCAUGUGUAAUCUAUUAAUAUGCUACAAUGUCUGCCGACUCAUUGGGCUUCUUUUGUUCUAAAAGUGUGUAAUCUAAUAUAUGCAAAGUAUUCUAUCAGAUGACAUCACAUGCAAUUGGUUCAGUCGGUCAAACUGGAAGAGCAUGGUUCUACCACUUUGAUUGGUUGAACCACUGGUUUGGUUUUAAAACAUUUGUUCUUUUAUUGUUCCUAUUUAUUAUCUGCUCUUCUCAUCAGCACGAUUAGCAACAGCUUAGUUUUUCCUCCUAUGUGCAUGAUGCAUACACAUGUCAUUACAUGCUUGCGAUUUCAAAGGAUGUUUUACUUUCUACCUUACUAUAACUGCAAAAAGUUCCAACAUGCCUUGAUAGCUGGAGCCUUGUAUGUAGGUUAAGAAAUGUGUCUUUGAUGGCCCUAAUGGUUUAGUAGUGCCCUUUUUGCUUGUAUUUUGUUAGGAUAUUUUUGCUUGGUUGUAUUAUUUUCACUUCUGAAACACUAAUCCCGUGAAACUGCACAUCUAGGACCAUAUCUUACGCCUGGAGAUGGAGAAUGAGAAGCCCCCGUCCCGUAGUUCUCCCUUGUCAGUUGGUGGUAAGAGCAUUUUGACAUUAUCAUACCAUCAAGCUAAGGAUCAAUUCAUUGCUAUGCCAUCAAUUGUAUGGUUAUGAAGGUGUUUUUCUUUGGGCUUCUUGCCAUGUCCAUUUGUAGUUUUAGAUGUCUGGAAACUUAUUGUUGCCUAUACUCUUACCUUAGUGAUCAAUGUUUGAUAAACUUGCCAGUGUCGAUAACAAAUUUAUCUCGUUGGUUGGGUAUUGGAAUUGAAUUAACCCUGUCUGUGCUCCUUACUACAUGUCCACUUAGAACCUUCUAUUAAGUUCUAAUGUGACUGGCAUAGGUACACUGUGCCUCUUUAACAGACCACUUCAUGUUUGUCCCUAUAGAUUGAAGAAGUGCAAAAUAUGCUCCAAAGAAGAAUAUUUUUUAGUCGAAGAAGUAAAGAAAAUGAAGUAAUAGUUUUCCCCUAAAUUUUAAAUCAAUUGAGAGGACAAAGCGCGAAAUGAUUUAAUAGUCACCAGACAAAUACAAAAUGAAUAAUCAUUCUCUCAUGGUAGGUGCAUAGCAGUCUUGAGUUACUAACUGAGAACCACUAUUUACAAGUUCAUGACCAUAGAUGCUGUCAUGGCAUCUAGUGUGGCAAGAUACUGUGGAGCAUUCAUAGUUACAUGCAGGCUGUAGCUCUUUAAGCAAUUAAGGUUUGCUUCCUGCCUGUGUUUUAGCAUAAUGCAUGUGUUGUAAUUUUACUUUUACCCAACAAAGGUAUCUAAACAUCAUGUUAGUUAUGGCCAUACAUUCAAGGAACACUAGACUGAAAUCAAGUUGAUCUUUUUUUUGGCAAUGGGAGGUAGAGGUGUGGCUUGUGUUUUAGCUGCAAGAAAGUGGGCCCUGAUCUACAUGCUGGACGAGUAUGAAGAAGAAAUCUCUGAUUCAAAAUGACUAUCUGUUCAAGAGUUUGUGGUGGUUAUGCUUAUGUUGCUGCUGUGGGUGGACCUCUCAUACUUGGAGCUGCAGACAUUGGUGUGAGAAGCAAUGCAUGUGGGCUUUUUGACUGAUGCUCUUCGACUUCACCCUUUCUGGAGAAGUCUUAAUCCAUAUCUGCCAUGUGCCUUUUCUGCUAGGCAGUUAUUUGUCGAUAAAAAAAAAGUGUGAGUAAAAUGUAGUGAUUUAUCUAUCGAGUGGGAUAGAAUUGACCGAAAGAUGCUAAAUCAUGGCUUCUAUCUUAUGGUAACUGUCGUCAUGGUAUUGCCGUAAGGUUUGAGACCUGCUCGAUAAUGCCAAGCUUUUGCUUCAUCUGUAUAUGUUCACUAUUUUCAUGUGUAAGAGAACCAAUUGUUUGGUUAGGAUUAUCUACACUUUGGGCUGAAUGGUUCGGGCAGUGUACUCGACUAGUGAACUCUGCAUUUGAAUGUUGAGAUCUCUUACCCGAAAUUGACUUGCUCCUCUCCACGUGUCAUUGUUAAGUGACGCAUUUGAUCUAGUGUAGAUAAUGCAUUCUUGCAGGGAACAUGACUAGCCAAAUAUAUGGUUUCAGUUUGGCAAUAAAGAACGUAGCCUGUAUUCCAAUCUCAGAUAUUUGGAGCCCUCAAAUAGAUGGUGGGUUUAGGAUCAUGAGAUUCUAUCUACAGCAUCGUGAAUGGACUUUGUAUCCUUAAUAAAGGGCAUCAUGGAGUCUUUUAAUUAAAUGAUGUACAUCCAGGAAUCAAUAAUUUUUUAAUUGUAGCAUUCUUUCUCUCGGAAUUAUUGCCAAUCAGGAGAAAGUAUGCAUGAAUGUAACAUGUGCAUUUGUGAUACUUCUUUUCUUAUAUUUAUUAUUUGUCAUGAUGAUAGAUCUUUGGGAACUUCGGCUGAAUUGACUCUGAAAUUAAAUCCUCCUUUAUUUAUAGCCCUUCCAAAUCGUCACGUCUUCAAUGUAUUCUUCCUAAUGCAUGUGCAGAAAUAGUGACAUUUAACAUUAAUUAUAAGAUGGGACAAUAACAUUAUCAACAAAAUAAAUGAUUGUUAAUAGGUUCGCUGCCAGUGCAAAUCCCAUGUAAACUUUAAAUUCCAUAACCUGUUUUACACAAGCUUGUUUUGGAGAAGUUGUCGUUAAAAGUUUCGAGGACAGAGAAAAUAAGAAGAGAAGGGUAGGAAAAAGAAGUAUGGCUAAGGUAGACGCUCUACUAUUAAUAGGAAAUGUCUAAGAAGAUAACUUGUGUCUAUCGUGCCAGACACUUUUGGCUAAACCUUCUAUUUAUAGCCAAUGUAGGGCCUCAUAAAAUUUACUUCUGCCACUAUUCUUAGUAACAAUAGAACUAAUUAUCAUUUGUAACUCAACAUCAUUAUUAAACUAACCGUCCGAAUGAUUGGGGAAUAUCAAGGUAACUUAGCAUCAUGUCUUAACAAGGGGUGUUCCGAAAAAUAGCUUUAUUGCCUGUGGAUCGCAGCACACUGGCAAAACUUAAUACAUGGGACUCUGAUCAGAAAAUUAGCCACUUAAGAAGGCAACAAAGCUGAUCUAUACACAAACAAAUAACUUUAUUAAUGAUGAUGGGGCACCUAAAUGCCCUCAUAUUAGUUUAACCAACUAAUCUUCUUUUCUAAUUGGAUCUCCUAGUCAUCUAUUGAUAAAAAUAUAUAUGGAAACAUGUCGCCGUGUGCUUAUUACAUCUUUUCAACUAAAGAAUACCCCAAGUGCCAAAACUUGGCACGGGAGAUACUUAAGCGCCAAAACUUUGAAAAUGUACACUUAAGUGAUAGUUUCGAAGUUAAAUAGAACACUUAAGUGCCGCUCCGACUAAAAUCCAGCUAAAUUGCUGACGUGGCAAUUUUCCGGCAAGUUUGGUCCAAAAUAACAUUAUUUUGCACGCUGACGUGGCAAGAAAAUGCAAAACGACGCCGUUUCAUGUCUGAUGUGUAAAUAUAAUUUAAUUAAAUUUAAACUUAGUUUUAUUUAAAAUNNNNNNNNNNNNNNNNNNNNNNNNNNNNNNNNNNNNNNNNNNNNNNNNNNNNNNNNNNNNNNNNNNNNNNNNNNNNNNNNNNNNNNNNNNNNNNNNNNNNNNNNNNNNNNNNNNNNNNNNNNNNNNNNNNNNNNNNNNNNNNNNNNNNNNNNNNNNNNNNNNNNNNNNNNNNNNNNNNNNNNNNNNNNNNNNNNNNNNNNNNNNNNNNNNNNNNNNNNNNNNNNNNNNNNNNNNNNNNNNNNNNNNNNNNNNNNNNNNNNNNNNNNNNNNNNNNNNNNNNNNNNNNNNNNNNNNNNNNNNNNNNNNNNNNNNNNNNNNNNNNNNNNNNNNNNNNNNNNNNNNNNNNNNNNNNNNNNNNNNNNNNNNNNNNNNNNNNNNNNNNNNNNNNNNNNNNNNNNNNNNNNNNNNNNNNNNNNNNNNNNNNNNNNNNNNNNNNNNNNNNNNNNNNNNNNNNNNNNNNNNNNNNNNNNNNNNNNNNNNNNNNNNNNNNNNNNNNNNNNNNNNNNNNNNNNNNNNNNNNNNNNNNNNNNNNNNNNNNNNNNNNNNNNNNNNNNNNNNNNNNNNNNNNNNNNNNNNNNNNNNNNNNNNNNNNNNNNNNNNNNNNNNNNNNNNNNNNNNNNNNNNNNNNNNNNNNNNNNNNNNNNNNNNNNNNNNNNNNNNNNNNNNNNNNNNNNNNNNNNNNNNNNNNNNNNNNNNNNNNNNNNNNNNNNNNNNNNNNNNNNNNNNNNNNNNNNNNNNNNNNNNNNNNNNNNNNNNNNNNNNNNNNNNNNNNNNNNNNNNNNNNNNNNNNNNNNNNNNNNNNNNNNNNNNNNNNNNNNNNNNNNNNNNNNNNNNNNNNNNNNNNNNNNNNNNNNNNNNNNNNNNNNNNNNNNNNNNNNNNNNNNNNNNNNNNNNNNNNNNNNNNNNNNNNNNNNNNNNNNNNNNNNNNNNNNNNNNNNNNNNNNNNNNNNNNNNNNNNNNNNNNNNNNNNNNNNNNNNNNNNNNNNNNNNNNNNNNNNNNNNNNNNNNNNNNNNNNNNNNNNNNNNNNNNNNNNNNNNNNNNNNNNNNNNNNNNNNNNNNNNNNNNNNNNNNNNNNNNNNNNNNNNNNNNNNNNNNNNNNNNNNNNNNNNNNNNNNNNNNNNNNNNNNNNNNNNNNNNNNNNNNNNNNNNNNNNNNNNNNNNNNNNNNNNNNNNNNNNNNNNNNNNNNNNNNNNNNNNNNNNNNNNNNNNNNNNNNNNNNNNNNNNNNNNNNNNNNNNNNNNNNNNNNNNNNNNNNNNNNNNNNNNNNNNNNNNNNNNNNNNNNNNNNNNNNNNNNNNNNNNNNNNNNNNNNNNNNNNNNNNNNNNNNNNNNNNNNNNNNNNNNNNNNNNNNNNNNNNNNNNNNNNNNNNNNNNNNNNNNNNNNNNNNNNNNNNNNNNNNNNNNNNNNNNNNNNNNNNNNNNNNNNNNNNNNNNNNNNNNNNNNNNNNNNNNNNNNNNNNNNNNNNNNNNNNNNNNNNNNNNNNNNNNNNNNNNNNNNNNNNNNNNNNNNNNNNNNNNNNNNNNNNNNNNNNNNNNNNNNNNNNNNNNNNNNNNNNNNNNNNNNNNNNNNNNNNNNNNNNNNNNNNNNNNNNNNNNNNNNNNNNNNNNNNNNNNNNNNNNNNNNNNNNNNNNNNNNNNNNNNNNNNNNNNNNNNNNNNNNNNNNNNNNNNNNNNNNNNNNNNNNNNNNNNNNNNNNNNNNNNNNNNNNNNNNNNNNNNNNNNNNNNNNNNNNNNNNNNNNNNNNNNNNNNNNNNNNNNNNNNNNNNNNNNNNNNNNNNNNNNNNNNNNNNNNNNNNNNNNNNNNNNNNNNNNNNNNNNNNNNNNNNNNNNNNNNNNNNNNNNNNNNNNNNNNNNNNNNNNNNNNNNNNNNNNNNNNNNNNNNNNNNNNNNNNNNNNNNNNNNNNNNNNNNNNNNNNNNNNNNNNNNNNNNNNNNNNNNNNNNNNNNNNNNNNNNNNNNNNNNNNNNNNNNNNNNNNNNNNNNNNNNNNNNNNNNNNNNNNNNNNNNNNNNNNNNNNNNNNNNNNNNNNNNNNNNNNNNNNNNNNNNNNNNNNNNNNNNNNNNNNNNNNNNNNNNNNNNNNNNNNNNNNNNNNNNNNNNNNNNNNUCGACGGCGGGGAGGUGGCAGCGGCAAGGGCUCAGCCCUCAACCGCCCCCUUCGAGCCUCCACCCCCCUUUUUUUAAGUUUUUUAAUUUUUAUAAUAUUUUAAAUAAAAUUAAGUUAAAUUUAAUUUAAUUAAUUUUUAUAUUAUUAUUUACAUAUCAAACACGAAAUGGCGUCGUUUUUGCAUUUUCUCACCAUAUCAGCUUGCAAAAUGAUGAUAUUUUGGACCAAACUCGCCGGAAAAUUGGCACGUCAGCAAUUUGGCUGGGUUUUGGCCAGAGUGACACUUAAGUGUUUUAUUUAACUUCGAAACUGACACUUAAGUGUACAUUUUCAAGGUUUUAGCACUUAAGCGUCCCCUUGUGCCAAGUUUUGGCACUUAGGAUGUUCUUUACUCCAUCUUUUCUUAUCUACUUAGUGGUAAAAAUAUCCUGUCAAUAUCCACUUGGCAUCACCUAAGUGAAAGUGAGUUUUAGCUAUUCAAGUGUGGAAACACUUGACAUCCUUUCAAGCCAAAUGAGUUUUGGAUGUUUGGCACACAAUAUUAGGAGAAAUUACCAAGAAAGUCUUAAGCCUAUUGUGCUUCCACCAAUUCAGUCCUAAACUUUUAUAUUUGGCUAAUUGAAUUAUGAACUUUUUGAGGAUUUGCCAAUGUAAUCAAGUCAAAUUUUGAGCGGAAAUUGCUUACGUGUAUAAUGUUUACAAUUUUUUCUUUUUUUUUUGACUUUUUUCUUCUUCUUUUUUCCCUUUUCCUUUUGCUAGUGGAUGGUGAGGGCGAGUGACUUUGGCAAAUUCUAUGGUCUUUGUCCAUUCUAAUCCCUGUGGAAUUGACUGCCAUAUGUACUUUUAUCUUAUAAUGUGUUGCAUCUCAAACUCCGAAUAGUUCCACAAGCAUAGUUUGCCUAUGAGAGAGAGGAAGGGGAAAAUUGUUAAAGUUUUAAAUUUAUUACACUUUUGCCAAUUCAGUCAUAAACAUUUUAAUCAUGCCUGCUAAGUCGUAAACAUUUUAACAUUUUGUCAAUUGAGUCUAUCAAACUAAUUUUGGUUAGAAUUUACUAAUGUGGACGGCCAACACUGAAGUCACUUUUUUAAUAAUAUUUUGAAUCUUUUUCUAUGGUUUUUUCUUUUAUUUUUUUUACUUUUUUUGCUUUUUUUGGGGGCGGGGGUUUGGAGUUAAGCCGGCAAGGGCCACAACGCCCUCACCGGCCAAAGCGAGGGCAUGUGAGCCCUCAAGCUAGGUUAGCCGGCUGCCCUCGCCAGCCUAACUCCAAAACCCAAAAAUAAAAGCAAAAAAAGUAAAAAAAAUAAAGAAAAGAAAAAACCAACAAAAAAUUCAAAAUAUUAUUUAAAAAGUGUCAUUUCAGUGCCUAGCAUCCGCGUUAGCAAAUUUCGGUCAAAAUUGACUAGAUGAACUCAAUUGGUAAAAGAUGAAAAUGUUUAGGAUUUAAUUGACCAAAUUGAAAAGUUUACGGCUAAAUUAACAAAAAUGCAAUAGAUUUAGGACUUUUUGGAUAAUUUACCCGAGAGGGGGUAGUAAUGGAAGUCCCGAUUUUGAUUUGGUUAAACAUAUAUACGUAACUCUCAUAUGUCGAACUCCCUUUGUUUGGGUUAUCAUGCUUGUAAAUUUGACGAUCUUGACCAGUAUCUUCGAUCCAUUCGGCAUCUUCUUAUUUAUCACCUCGGCCUACUUUGCAAAAUAUGAAGUACAUUGGGCGACUGCUAUUCGAUAUACUACCGCAGCACACCACAUGGGGAAUCAACUCUAAAAGCGUCUUCAACUCUUCAACUCUUCAUCUUGCAUCACAUCGGCUACUAUUUUUACAAUUUGUCCCUUGAAAUCAAUUCUUUAAAAUCAUUAUAAGAGAUCUAGCCAUUUCCUUUAUGUACAAAAUGAACAGUGACACAUGUAUAUUGUAUUCUCCAUACCAUUAGAAAGAACGUGGAUAUCUUUCUCAAAAGUAAUUCUUUUAGAUGAGUUGCAGAUAUCUCUCUCGAGAAAAUGGGUUGGGGUUUGGAACUCCAACCUCUUGUAACUAAUAGGCAUGCCAACCAUUUGCUUUGCAUGUUUUCUUCCUUCUUUUUGUGGCGGAUAAUUUAUUUAUUGACUGUACUGGCUUAGUCUAUUAGAAAUUAAAAUAAUACCUCUGAGAACCAGAAUCCAGUCUUUUGUGCUUGAGUCUGCCAAGUGACUGGGGGUCCUUUUGUUCUCAACAUGCAUAUUCUAUGAGAUAACGUCACAUGCAAUUGGUUCAACCGGUUGAACCGGGAGAGUACGGUUCUCAAGUUUAACUGGUGGAACCACUAGUCUGGUUUUAUAAACUUUUGUUCUUUUGUUCUUCCUACUUAUUAUGUAUCUGCUCUCCUCGUCGACACGAGUAUAAGAUUAUGAGAUUAUAUUUCAUAUUCUAGAAAGAGUAUCAUGUAGCCAAAAAACUUAAAGAUGUAUAGAUAUACACAAAUCCAAAUUGUUUAAUUUUAUCAUUCGUUCUCUAGGAUUUAUUGCCAAUCUAGAGGAGAAACUCUUAUAGACGUAAUAGCUUUGUGUUUGAUCAUAUGCACCAAGAUGGUAAUCGUAUAUAUGAUUGUAUGCAUGUAAAAUGUGCAUAUGUAAUAUUUCCGUUCCUCUGUUUAUAAAUUAUCAUUAUGAGAGCUUCUUUGUCGACUUUAGCUGAAUCUACUAUGAGAUUAACCUACUUUAUUAAUUUAUUUCCAAAUCUUCACGUCAUCAAUGUAUUCUUUCCCGAUGCAUAAUAAGUGCAGAAAUAGUGACAAAGACAAUUAAUAAUAUGAUGAAACGAUAAAUAUUACCAACAAAAUAAAUUAUUGGUAUUGGUAUUUGGUCCACUACCAGGGCAAACCACGUAUUAAAUCAAAUUAUGCACGAGCAAUCUUAGAUGAGCUCAUUUUGAAGAGACUACAAUUAAAAUUUUCAAGGACCGAGAAAACAAGAAGAGAAGGCCAGGAUCACGAGUACUACUUGAAUAUGGAGAGACGCUAUACUCUUGAUAUGACACUAAUAGAAGGCGAUUUGUGUCUAUCACUCAUAACACCUUUGGCUAAACCCUCUAUCAUAGCUAUUGUGUCGUCUUAUAAAAUUUGCUUCUACUACUGUUUUAGUAAUUAUAGAACUAUGUUUGUAACUCAACAUCAUUAUUAAACUAAUAAUCUAAACGAAUGGAGGAUAUUGAGGGAACUUGGUAUCAUAAUUUAUCAGUGGAUGCAUUCUGAAAAGCAGUUGUAUUGCCUGUGGACAGCAGCAAAUAGGCAAGACUCAAUACAUAGCACUCGAUCAAUGUGGUUGUAACGCUGAAGCAAAACACGCGCAUAAUCCGAGCACACUCUUUGAAUGAUAUACCUUGCAUUCCUUGCAUGUGAAAAAUCAGAGAACCUUUUCAAGAAAGAUGUUGAAAGAACUAGAGUAGAGAGAUACCAUAUGAUAAAAAAUUAGUAAACAAAGCUAUUCUAUCUACAUAUUAAAUGCUAAUUCGUAUAAGAAAUUAGCCGAAAUUCAAGGCCUCAAUAGGUUAGAGCAUUUGUCCGGGUAAGUACACUAUCAGUGCCAAAACUUGUGUACGGUACUCACUUUGGUGCCAAAACCUUAUUUUGGAUCACUUAAGUGCCAAAACUUUUGAAAAACGAUCAUUUCAGUACCAACGCCAAUCUGGUUGGCUGGAAAUCUAACGUGGCACUUUUUUAUUAGUUUUUGAAGUUAAUGUGGCUCGCCGAAGAGUACAAUUAGCAUUUAAACAACAAAACGAUGCCAUUUGGUGUCUUUCCCCCAAUUCAAAACCCUAAAUCCCCAAAUUGUGAGAGAGAGAGAGAGAGAGAGAGAGAGAGAGAGAGAGAGAGAGAGAGAGAGAAGGCAUGGCAUGGGCUUUCUGUCGUCUUCUUCCUCAAAGAACAACACUAGCACCAGCCAACAGCGACACCAGCAGCGCACCAGCACAACUCCGCCUUCGGUUCGUCCGACAUUGUUGAAAAGUCCAAGCUCUUAUCCUCCUCCUCCUCUCCUCCUCCUUCUCCUUCCCCCUUCAAAAGGACCCACUUCAGCCGCUCCCUAAGCAAAGCCCAAUCCGCCAUCUCCAUCUACGCCCUCCUUGUUUCCCUCACCCUCCUCAUCUUCACUCUCUCCACCUUUGAUCCCCCUUCUUCCUCCUCCUCCUCUGCCCUCGCCUCCUAUUCUUCCUGUCACUUCUUGCUCGAGAACAACCUCAGCCUCUCCUCGCUUGCCAAGUCGAGCAACUACGACGGAGGCCGAAUGACGGUGGCGAGCAACUACGACGUAGGCCAAGCAACGAUGGCGAGCAACUACGAUGGAGGCCGAGCAACGAUGCGAGCAACUACGAUGGAGCAUGAUGGCGAGCAACUACGACGAGGCCGAGCAAUGAUGGCGAGCAACUAUGACGGAGCCGAGCGAUGGCGACCGAACGACGCGGUCGAGCGAGCUAGUGACAUUGGGUGAGGAUCAGAUAAAAAAAACCUAUUUCAUCGAAAAAAAUCCCCAAAUGAGUUCUGCGAUGUUGUUUUGUGAGGCCAUCACUAGGAUGGCACAACGAUGUCGUUUAAAGCCAUAUCGAUUUUUUUUUAAUAUAAAAGCCACGUAAUCAUUUUAGCCAGAAUCUCUCGCCAGUGGCACCAAAGUGAUCAUUUUUCCUCCAAUUUGACACUUAAGUGAUCCAAAAUAAAGUUUUGGCACCAAAGUGAGUGCCGUACACAAGUUUGGCAUUGAUAGUGUACUUACCCCCAACAUUUGUCAUAGCUAUAUAUCAAAGAGUGCACUUAAAUGGAAAGGCUAUACCUUCCAAAAUCCGAAAGUCUAAUGAUUUAAUUUGUUAAUUCGUGCAAGAAAUUAGCCAAAACUCAAGGCCUCGAUAGGUUGGAGUUCUACAAGAAGACCAGAUAUCUCUAGGUGCACUUCAAUUGAAAGGCUGCUCCUUCCAAAAUCCAAGAGUCUGAAGAUAUUGAAGGCUAAUGAAUGCAAAAAAAUUGGUCAAAAUUCAAGGCCUCGAUAGGUUGGAGUUUUUGAAAUAUCUGAUUAUCGUUGGAUGCAAAGCACUCAAAACUAUUCCAAAAUUAUCUGGAACUCAGAUCAAUAAUAUGAGAUUAAAGAUAGAAAAAUGGUACAAAUUGUAUUAGAGUAUACGGAUAACUCGGAUGAGUCAAUAUGGUGGAAACGACCCCCAUUUACUAUCAAAGGUACAUAGAACAGGUAAAUUACCUUUAUUCUUUUGAGAUCUACUACCCAAUUUUCAUUUGUAUUUCCUACUCGCAAUAUCUUUCAAGAUUUAUGAUCUCGCCAUUAUUAUUUCCUGGAUGAUAGUUCCUCAUUGUUUUCUUACUUGAAUUCAAGGAAUUCAGUGGAGAUGUCCAUGGAAGUUCAUGUGUGCUUUGGCAAAAUGAUUCAGCUUAUCAUGCUAGAAAAGGGAAUAGAUGAAGAGGCUUUCUAAGUGCAUCAUUUGUCAUUAGUCUUUGGGUAAGAUCCUUCAUCCUAUGUAGGAAAUUAAAGAUUCUCGACAUUUGAUUGAUUUUAGAAUGCUGGAAUUACUGAAUAAAAAUUGAUGUGUAUAGGUAUUUCGAUAGUAUGCUGAAGGUCAUUGUAUAGGUCGAAGAAAAUGCUAAAUGAAGGACCCUAUAUGGCGAUCCUUCUAAUAUGAGGUUUUAGUUUGCUCUGCGUUGACUAGGCAAUUCAUGACUGCAUGUUUCAAAGGUACACUUAAGAGUGAAUUUAUAGUGCAAAAGGAGCAUGUUGAUAAAACAUCCCUUACUAUGCAUAGUCUACUGACUUGGGAUAAGAUUUGUUCACCCAUUGAGUUCCACACAAUUUAUCUCACAAAAUUAUCUACAUUAGCUUAUUAAAGUAAUCAUGUCAGUCUAGAAAUGCUAAAUCCAAUAACAAGCUCUUCUCCUAAUGGUGUGGUCAUGAGUGAACUAGCAAACACAACAAAAGCAAAAGCAUUGUGAAUUAUUUGGUUUUAUUGAUAAAAUUGUAAUUCAAUUUUUUUUUGACAAUGGAUACAUGUUCAUUUGGUUUGAGUCCAAGAUAUACCUACUCCAAGGCUAAUAAUAGAUUAUCCCAAAGAAUGCACCUUGAUGUUUGUACUGCUGCUAAAGCCAUCUGCCACAUACCCAAACUUUUGAGCUGAGCAAGACAUUACUAGAAUGAAUUUGACAUAAUUGGUUGUAUUGUGAAAUAAUUCUUUAUAAAGUGCAUAAGCUCUUUUUAGUUCAUUUACUUGCUGAAAAGUAGAACACCAUGAAGCAUUUGUGUAAGUUUCCUAAGGAAACUUUUUGGUAUCCUAUAUGCCAUUUGAAAUUUGUCUUGCAUUAAUUCUAUUGCAUGAAUAGUACAUAAUGAUAAGGAAAAGAAUCAUCCUAUGUCCCCCAAAAGCAGACAUCUUGAGUUGAAUACACUAUGCUAAUUUGAUCAAAGCUUUUGUGGUUGAUGAUGUUAGCUGCCUUAUUAGUUGGAUCCAAAGAGUUCAAAAAGAAUAUCGAGUUUGACAAAUAGAGACCCGCAAACGUCUUACAUUAUUAGUAGUUUGUUGAUACUAGUUGGUGGAUUGAUUUCAUCUGGCUCAUUGGCAUGAUUUAGUUAUCAUGCCAAUGGUUAAUGUAAGUGCUGAAAUGUUCAAGGGAGCAUUCGCAAGGCACUUCUAAAAGGAAACAAAAUCAUCAAAGGAUGAGGAGCCUAUGUUUCUUGAACUUCUCCAAACACUGUCAAUGCAUCCUUGGAAUGGUAAAGGGUGCGUGCAUGCUAUCAUCCUUUUGGGCCCACCAGUUAAAGUGUCCAUGAAAAUAAAGAAAUUGAAUUGGUGGGGAUGUCAUAUAUGCUAGAUAUACUAGCUAUGUCAGAUGCAAAAAUGUUUGAUACCCACGUGGAGUUAGUAGGUUUAGGCCCUAUAGAAUACCGUUUCAAUGUUGUCGGGCACCUUUAUAGUUUUCCAGAGAUUUAUGAUGUUGUUUCUCAAACUGUAGUGAUUCUUCUAGCUCAUCUUCUUCCUCUUUUUUAAUGAUUGAGCAUUCCAUACAAGGACAUAUUCAAUGUAUACUAGAUUGUAGAGUAUAGGUUGGAAAUUUUCUCACAUUUUGUACUAAUUGAAGUUAAUUUAUCUCUUAUGAUUACAGAGGGGCAUUUUCACACUUCAUUUUGAUUGAUCAAGUUUGCUGGUCAUCUUGAUUAAUUAAGUUUGCUGGUGGGAGUUUAACUUACUUGUUAAUAGGAUAUCUCAAGCUAUGCUGCUAUAUCCAAGUAUCUUAAGUUCUUACAUGACCUUUUCCAUUGGUAAUUUAAAUUUGUAAGAGCUUAGGAUUAGAUCGCUAACCUUGGCAAUUCAUGUGAUCUUUUCUCAAUGGAAAAGUCUAGAAAAGAGGCAUUCUUUCUAGAAACAUCUGAAAGCACCACGCCUCAUAUUGUCCUCUAGAUUUGGAGAACAUGUUGAGUGCACUAUAGUACUUGAGCCAACCCUUGAAUGGUUUCUACUGAGAUUCUUAGUGGUAGAUACUAGUACACUUAUGAUCCUUGCCUGAAGUAAGCUUACAUAGAUACACUCCAUCUUGGGGUUCCAAGGUAGACAAUAAGAUCUAUUUUUGAACUGAGAUAAUGGAUUGAAGGCUACCAAAGAAGUAUAAAUUUGCAUCACUUUUGAUGACCUACUAGCCCAAAGAAAUCCCAUAUCAAGCAACUGACUUCUCUCUAAGUUAUCUUGUAUUGUUAUUGUGACAUCCUGAAUUUUCGACCCCAUCCCGAUAAAAUGAAAUGGGCAUUUCGUCGACGUGCCCAUGGUCUUUUUUCUCUAAGCUGAUCACUCACAAGUUAACUAAUCUAUUAGGUGAAGCUGUUAAGGAUAUAAAUACGGCAGAUUUGAGAAUUCGAUCGAAAAUCGACUGCUUGACCGUGAUAAUCGACAAGGGUCAAUACAACACCGUUAUAAUCGAAUUGUGAUCAGAUAUAGGUCGAUUUGACGGAAUCAUGUAAUUGAAUUGCGGGUGAUUCCACAUGAUUAUGAAAUUCACGUCGAACAGCACUAACUCGAUUUUCUGUCAAUUUUAUACUCGAUGCCCAUAAUUGAAACCUUGCAAUUUAUACGAUAAUCGCGAGUCACCGACGAGUCAAAGAUGCACAAACGUGGAUUGAAAAUUAUUGACCACGGGUCAAACACGAUAAUAUCCCUAAAAGUUACUCGGUAGGUUAGAUUGUACUAAAAUCGCAUCCGGUCGAUCUUUAAUCGCGAAAUUGAAUUUGAUUUCAGGAAUUGAACGUUUGAGCGUGUCACAAAUUAUUUUUAGGACCUCGUCUCAUCUUUUGAAGCAAUUCCGUCGAGGCCAGAAAAUUACGGAAAAAUCAAUUUCGGCAAAUGGGAUUUUGGAAAUUUGGAUAGGCACCUUAAUUGGCAUUUUUGGCUACCAAAAUGACUUGAAAUGUGAAGAUUUGGAAGGAAAAUCACCGAUGGUUGGUCUCUUGACAAAGUGGCUAAAGACUUUGGAGGCUUGAACACUCAAGUGCAUGGGAUAUUUUGCAUGGCCCCCUAUUGGCCCAAGCCUUGACUUCUUGGCCUUUUUCUUUCCCCUCCAUUUCCCCUUCAUAAAUGCACCUCCCCUAGCCGAAAUCUCUCUGCAGUCUCCUUCUUCUUACUUCUUCAUCAUUUCUUCAUCUUCUCCUCCAUUUUUGCUUACUGCCACUGCUCCAUCUUCCAUCCCCUCAGCCGCACGCCCAAACAAAGCCACUCCAGCUCCAGUCGACCAGCCAGCCUCACUAUCCAUCACCUAGCUGGUCCUCCUCACCACCUCACGUCAUCCUCGAGCACACUCAACCACCUUCGUCUGCCGCUCGCGCCGUCUAGCCCGCCAGCAACUAGUAGCUAGCCUCGCUCGUCCACACACCGUCCCCCAUGUUCAGCCACAUCGACCAGCUAUCCAACUCCCUUGAUCCAGCCCUUCCAGAACCGAUUUACCAGCCUAAGCUGUGAGCUUGUGGGUUGUUUUUCAGCCUCAUCCGGCCUUCUGUUGGUGACGCAGUAGGCUCGGGUCUUGGUCGACUUCGCGCCGCCAUCGUCGUGAACCUGUCGCCUCGCUAAUCGAGUGAGUUAACACCUUAAUCUUGGAUUAAAAAGUUAAUCACACUUAGUAGGUGGAUUAGUGUUAGUUAAGGAUUAGUGGUUAGUUUAGUUAGUGUAACUAAGUUAGUUAGAAUAGUUAGUUACCUAGACUAGCUUAAUUAGGUGGUUAGUUAGGUUGAUUAGUUAGCUUAGUUAGGUUGAGGUAAUUAGCCUAGUUAGAUUAGUUUAGUUAGCUUAAUUAGGUUAAUUCGGUUAGCUUAAUUAGAUUAAUCAAGUGGAUCAUUUUAAAUAAUUUGUAAUUUAUUUAAUUAAUUGUAAUUUGUUUAUUUAAUUAUAAUUAGCAUAAAUUAUAACGGGAUAUAUCUUGUCGGUUUAGUAAGAUGUCUUACCCUCUUUAUUGUCUCAGAGAAACAAUGCAGAGAGUCAGAGAAUUGCUACAGUUUGGAGGAUUUGGGGACACCGAAUAUUUGGGAAGGACACUUGCAAAGGAGUGUAAACAAAUGGAAUGUGAGCAUUAGCAAAAGAAUUAGAAAAGCUGAAAUGUAAUAGAAUCUUGUUUGUGUAUAGAAGUUCUUGCUUGAAUGUGUUGUUUAUUGCUCUUUCACUGUAAAUUCUUCAUAUUAAUGCUAUAUCUACUUUUUCCAUUCGUAAAUGUUCUUAAACAUGCUAGCUUAGUGGGAAAACUAUGAACUAGGGGAUAAAUCAUUGCUGAUAUGGGUACCAAAUGUGAAAUUUGGAUCUCUUUGUAUGCAUAAUAGGAUUUUGAGUAUGUAUACCGAGGCUCAAAAUUGGUUUAUGUGACCAUUGCAAUCCUUUAAUUAAAAACUUGUGCUUUUGGUUUUACCCAACUCAUCAAUUAUUUGAGCUGAAAUAACCAUUUCUCAUUUGGCUGAUUUAGAACUUCUAUUAAUGGGGUUUGUCUAUAGAUAUUUAUAACCAUAUGCCUAUUACCAUGAAGUUUUACCGAUAUUUUUCAUUUCUUUGCCUAAGUGACUAGAACCUUGAGACUAUAAUGAGAGAAGAUGGAGAGAAAGGAAAGGAAACCAUUCAGGGUUAGGGGUUUUCUUCUGGAGGUUGUCCUCAACAACGGUUUUUCACUUACCCUCUGUCUAAUAUCUAGUUUUAUGUAUUUCAUCUCAAGUUUGAUCACUAGAUAAUGUACAUGAAAGCUUUAGCUGGGUGAUCUUAUUAGAUUUGGCUCUCUAUUUAGCUUACUAUCCUUGUGUAUAGUGUAAGUGCUAGUAUGAACACCUAGAGAGGGUGAAUAGGUGUGAAGACAAUUUUUUGCAAAGAACGGUAGAAAUAUUUUACUUUUGAAACUGAGUUUGAAAAACAAUAAACUCAAGUGAGUUCAAACUUUAGCAGUUAAAUAGAACUACAAACAAAAUAAAGGAGUUCAGGGAAGAGAACGGGAACACAAAAUUUAUAGUGAUUCGGCUUAGAUCAAGCCUACGUCCACUCUCCACGCUGACAGCCUUCUGGCUGGAUUCCACUAAGAAUCAAAAAUGAAUUUACAAUCUUGUGAUCUUGAUUUCACGGUGAAUAGUCCCUACGACUCUCUCACGAAGUCUUACCAUGAGUCUCUCUCUUUUGUAUACAACUUUGAGCUCAGUGUUUGGAGUGACAAGGAAAUGGAAAGCUUCAGACUUUGAAAUUUCUCUUUCAUGCACUCUAUCAAACAACUAGAGAGUCCACCUUGAAUACUCCUUCAUGCCUUCUCGACCAUUGGCACUUUCCAAAGGAAUUCUUCCAAUAAACCCAUUGGACAGAAUCAAUCAAGGAGAUCUCGAGCCGUUUGAAAAUUGUGAUGAAAGCCCGUUAAUCCUGUUCGCCCAUACAAUCAGGAUCUUGAUUUCCAUAAGUAAAUUAUUUCUAUAUUUACUUGCAAUCCGAAAAGAUUUGAUGUAUCUAUAGUGAUUCCAAUAAAGAUGAUCUAUCUUGUAGGUGAUAUUUCCAUCCAAAGGGCCAUAUAUAACAUGUACGAACCGAACUCUUGAAAUAAGAAGGAUAAUCUCACAUUUGGAUAAGUCUUCUUUAUUCACGUGCGUUCAGUUUGGAGUUUGUCAGAAUGGGCAGACUUCUGAUGUCGAACAAACUUUGAUACUAAAGUCUAGCAGUCUUCAAACUUUGAUACUAAAGUAUGGCCAUCUUCAGAUUUUGACACAAAAAUCUAGAAAUCUUCAUAAUAAACUUUGGAUAAGUUUUGUCAAUUUCAAAACAUCAAAGGAGUAUUCUCCAACAUAUAGAAAUACCGAUCUCAUGUUCCUGAUUAGGAAUUAAUUCUAUCAUCAUAUUUUCAAGGAAGCUGCCCAAAUGCCUUUCUCUUCCAUUUCGAAAAAGAUAUUUUGGUAAAAUUUAUUGCCAAUAUUCCCUCUAACGUCUAUUUCGGCAUCUACCAGAUAUAUUCCCAAUUCAUUGUCCUUCUAUGGGAUAUAUACCUUUCAUAUGAAACUACAUAUAUUAUUGAGAGAUCCACAUGUGCAAAGUAAAACUACUUUUUCAUGCUAAUCAUUUCUUUGUAUGGCUCUACAGGAUGACUCUAAAAUUGCUUUGAUACGACUUCUUGAUCUUGAUUCUUAACUGUCAAUGUUUUAUUCUUCAUAUCUUCCAAAUUAUUUCUAGUUUUUUGUUUGUAGUUAAGUUUCCAACUUGGAAUCUUAUUUCAUAGUCCAGCAGCUUUAAUACAAGUUUAUGGAAGAUUUUCGAGAUCUUUAAAGGACUGGGUGCUCUUUGUUUCUUGAACUUCUCCAAACUCUUGACAAUGAAUGCUUGGAAUGAGAAAGGACGUUUGCAUAUUGUCAUCCCACAUUGCCCUGAUUAUAUCUAACAAAAGCUUUGGAGCUAAAACUGUUUGCUAACUUGAGAGGUUUCUAAAAUACUGAAAGUCUAGCCAACUCGUUUGAUAUAAUGGUUGACGAAUCGGACGGUUGUAUUUUAAGUGGGAAUCGUAGUUGACAUCGUAUGGAGGUCUGUUGGAGUUUAAAGAGAGCUGUUUGUGAUUCAAGUGCGGAUCUUCAUGCUAAAGUAGAAGCAAUAUUCGAUGCUUGCCUGCUAAAGUUUGUGGGGUUGAUAAAGAAAUUAGAGGUUCUUACUAUGGGAAGCUGUUGUUAGGUCGAAGGUCUCCGAAUCAAAGUCUUGCGAGACCGAGAUCUUAUUCCUAUUGAUUUUGCUAUUAGAGUGAUGGAGGAUUGUUGGCUGGUGCCGUCUCUUUGUGGGGUUUAGCGAACAUAACAUCAAAGAAAGAGAAAAAAAGUCAAAAAGACCCAAAAAAAAAAAAAAAGAGGGGCCUUUUUUGGAGUGAAGGUAAGGAAGAGAGAGAGCUUCUCGAGAAGUGCGCACGAAGAAGAGGAAAAAGGGGCAGCGAUUUUUGGGUCCAUAGUUGGAGCCCUAAUGUAACUGAAAUUGGCUCAAUUUUAGAAUGUUAUUCAUGAGAGUGAGGCCUUUGAGUUGAUUAAUUUCGUUUGUUGAAAACCUUUUUCAAGUUGUCUCUCAUUUUCUACUAUCAUAGUUAAGGUUUCUUGCUCUAUUUGUAUUAAUCCACCUCAAUAAUGAUGAAAUAUCAUUGUAUUGUUGAUGUUACUAUUCUUAGUGAAAGUUUUUGAGCAGUUCGUGAGUUUUCCCCCACUGAAUUUUCCACAUAAAAGUUUUAGUAUUAUUGUUGCCUUGUUUUUUUUUUUUUUAACAUUUCAGCAUUAUAUUUAUUUAUUUUGAGAUCAUAGUGCUGGAAUACACAGCUAGUUGUUGCUAGUGUUGAGUCCAUUUUGGUUAGUUUAAUUUUGGAGAAAAAAUUGCUUGUGGAUUGGAUUAGUUCUUAGUGAAUUGUUACCUAAUAUACCCCAACAAGGUUGUUGGAAUAGGAGUAGAAAAUGUUUCUAGUGUGAAGAAGGUCUCCAGAGCCCAAUUGAUGCGCAUUUGAGACCGUGCUUCUAGUGGGAUAUUAAAGCUCAAUUGAUGUUGCUUUAGUUUUUUGUAAUAAAGAAUUAGCCCUAACAAAAGGAAAAAGGACAUAAAUAGUCCAGUAGUCAAGGGUGCAAUGUCAUCCGUAAACUUUUGAUUUACUUAAUGUUUAAUCUAAACCCUAAGAUAUAUAAAAAUGUUCAAUACCAUAUUUCCGUUAAUUUAAAAUUUAAUGAAAUUUGCUUAUAUGAUUCCCAAUUCAUUAUGAUUUUGAUCAAUUUGAUAACAUAAGAAAGGUGGCUACUAUGAUUAUAAGUUAACCCAACAGUUUGGUAACCUUGCUCGUUUCGAAAUCGCAUACUUUUCUUCAUGAGAAAUGAGCCUAGACAUCAAGUUCCAUCUGACAUAUGACACAAGCCGGCCCGACUUAGCCUGCCCAUCAAUCAAAAGAGUCCGCCUUCACUUUUGUAAUCAUGUCUUUGUCUCUUAUUUUUCUCUCUCGCCUGCUCCUCUUCAUCAAUUUUCUCUGCAUGAUUUUGGACUCUAGUGGACUUUCUUACUCUCUUGAUCUUCCAUUCUUCGACUUGCUCUUUAGCUCUAUUCUUUCCUAACUAGCCUCGAGCCUUCCUCUGGGUUUGAGCUCUAUCCUUCGCAAGCUCUCUUUCAGCUCACAUUUUCCAUCGACACUUCUAUACACUCCUUGCAAAUUGUUUUAGGCCCAGCGCUGCGUUUUUCAAUUGCUCACGGAAGCUAUGGACGUUUAUGAAGGACUGCAACGCAUGCUUCCACUUCAGCUUUAGUUCAACAAACCAAUGGCUUCUCAAGUUCGGCUCCUAGUCGGCAUUCUUUCACAAGCUAAUGGGUAGUCGACUCGGUUUCCACUCGGUUUCGUGAAGUUUGCUCAAUUUGCUCAAUUUGAAAGGUUUGUCAUUGCAGUAGCAACCCUCUUCUUAAAAGAUAUCCUCUAGCUUCCGAAGAUGCUCAAGUAAAGUUAGCUUCGAGUUUCUUCAUGUUUCUCAAUUAAGUAUAAGUGCUCAAGAAUACAGCCACCCAUCAAAAUCUUCUUGUUCACGUCAUUGCUCACCUUAACCUGGUAGAUGGACAAGGACUUGAGCAAAGUCUAGUCGAUCCUUGACCGCCUAGCUUUGAUACCACUUAUUGAGGGAAAAAGUAUCGAAAAAGUCCUAAACAUAUUGCAUUGGUACUAAUUUAGUCAUAAACAUUUUGAUUGGACCAAUUAAGCCUUAACUUUUUCAUAUUGGCACAAACUUAGUUCAUCAGACCAAUUAACUAGAAAUUGCUGACAUGGAUGCUGAUCGGCCGAUUAGCCCCGAGAUGGACAUUUUAGAUGGAUAUUUUAAAAUAAUGUUUUCAUAUUUUUUUUGAAAUUACUAAUUUCUUUUUUCUUUUUUUCCUUUACCUUUUCUUUUCGUCGGUGGUCAUUGCCAGUCGCCGGCCAUAGCCAUAACCGGCAAGGGUCAACCUUAUCAAGCCAUGCUUGGGCGAGGGUGAGUGUUAGCCGUGCCUUGCUAUGGCGAGGCCCCCCUCACCAAAUUUGGCAAGGCUAACUGAAGCAUUUUGAGCAAGAAACUAUGGACAAUCAAAGACUCAUUUAUAACAUGUAAUGAAUUUUAGAAAAUGACGAUAAGUAUGCCUAACAUAUACAGAUAAAUAAACAUCUAUCCACAGCUCAAUUUUGUAGGAUGGACAAUUUUCAUCACAUUAUUGUCUAAGAUCAAUGUGACACGUGAGUAGCAGAACAUUGCCAUUUAUGGGAGACCUAUAAGGGCAUACAAUUUUUUUUUUGAACGAGUCCUGCAAGGGCAUACACAAUUACUUUUGAAAACAUUCUUAGUAAAUACAUACACUCUCUUGCAUCUAAUUAAAUAAUUAAAAUAGAAUAUAAAAUAUAGUUGAUUAAUAAAAGCCCUCAACCUUCUACCCACAAGACUGCACUGAUAACUUGCCCUAAUGUCCAUUGAAUCAUACCCUUUAAAAGCAUUUCCUUCCACUUUCCAAUCCCAUAAAAGUGUCACACCAGUGUGUGAAGUCCAUGAGAGCAUGCAAUCUAAAAUAACUAAGGCAUGAUGAACUAAACGAUGAAAUAGGCCAAAAGCAUCAACGUGGGUCCAGUAAUUUUUUGCUAAAUUUAGUCUAGAUUCUUUUGUAUAACUUUAAGUUUAACAUGAUUACCAUCGUUCAAAAAGUGUCUCUUAAGGUUUAUUUGUGUUUUUCGUUUCCUAAUGCAUGGGGAAAAACUAAAGAAAAGACAAUUCACUAUAUCAUAAAGUUGAAAUAUAUUGGAAGACUAAUUAGGAAGGAAAGUAAAAUUAGUCAUAGCAAAGCAAAAAAGGCCGACUAUCAUUAACCCAUUAGUUGAAGGAACAUGGAGGCUCUUGAGAGGUGACAACAAUAAUAGUGUACCUUCUUAACAGUAGCAUUCAUAAGCUGGCUAUUGGCAUCAGAGCCAUGCCUUUUAUACGAUAAAAUGGUAAGGUGCUAGAAUUUAUUAGAAGUAUUUUAUUUAAAAUAUAUAUUAAUCAUUAAAAAAGGGAAAAAUGGAAAAAAAAAGUGGAUGGGGCCGGGCCAGGGUUGGGCCUGCCUGGCCCCUCCUUUUCCUGUUUGCUUCCCCUUUCGGGACGGCCCGUUCUUCUUUUUUCCCUAGCCCGGCCUUCUUCUUUUUCUCCCUUCCUCCAUUCCUUCUUUUCAGUGCUGAACAGGUUGAAGAGAGGACGGAGGACACGGGGAGCGUCUCAUCGGAGUUGGUGGUCGGAGGCAGACCAGUACCGACGGCUUGCGUGGCAAGAAGCCAUCCGCGCCGGCUAGAGAGCUUAAAAGGGAGGAUUUUUUGAGAGAAAUAGAGUGAGAGAGGGAGAGAGAGAAAGGGUGGAGAGACCGUGAGAGCAACCGAGAGAGAGCAAGAGUUUGAGAGCGAGGAGCCCUCCGGCGGUUUGGUCACGCCCGAACCCCGUCUGACGACUCCUGGCUGCAUUCUCGAGCCGGGUAGGGACUCUCGGCCGAUACCCCAGUUUGUGCCCCUGCCUUGCCCCGUUUCGGGCUCGCCGGACCAGGCUUCCUCGUCGUCCGGUUCGCGCGAGCACCGGCCCCAUUCGUCUGUGCGCUGCUGUUUUGGAUCACUACUGCUUGUUGAUUAUUAUUGCGAGUCCCGGCACGAGUUGGUACUCGGUUUUUCCCCCCUUUUAGCCAGCGCGCUUUAAACGUUCGAUGAAAUUCCUAAACCCAACCCCGUUCGGUUUAAUCUCUACUCGAAGUUAUCGAAAGUGGUCUGGACCGUUCGAGGCCAUUGCGGCCCGUUGGGUCAUCUCUUACCUUAUUUUUUGUAUGAUGAAUGAACCCGGAGAAGAAGUCAAGCCCGACUUAUGGCCCGGCUCGGCCCGUAUCCUCUCUCUUCUUCCUCAUUGUCUCUCUCCCGCCUGUUCUUCCUCUCCCGCAAUCUUCUCUGCAAAAUUCUCAGGCUCCAGUGCACUUGGUUACUCUCUCGCUCUUCUCUUCCAACAGGCUUUCUUCUAGGGUUUUCGGGCUCUCCCUCUCACUUUACAUUUGCCACCGGACGCUUUGGCUGCUCCCCGAUCUUUUUUGGCUAUGGAGACCGACCAAGGGUCGCGGCACGUGCUUUCCUUUCAGCUUCAGUUUGACAAGCCGUUGGCUUCUCAGGUUCGGCUCCCGUUUCGACCUUCUUUCGCGACCUAAUAAUGGGCGGGUCGAUUCGAUUGUUUUCCCAUUCGGUUUUGUGUGAGGUUUUGGCUCGAUUUCUUCCGAUUGGCAGGUGAAGAUGGCGGAGUGGAAUCCGGAGAAGGAUUUGCUGGUGAUGGUCACGGAGGACUCGAAGGUGGUGCUUCAUCGCUUCAAUUGGCAGAGGCUGUGGACAAUCUCUCCUGGUAAUUGCUUCGACUCAAGAAAGUUCUCCUCGUUUUAUUUUUUAUUCUUUAUUCAGCGUGUUCUUUUCUUCAACGAUGGCUUGGUGUGUGCCCUUUGAGUCGUUGGCCUUAUUCCCCCUUUGCUUUUCCUUAAAUGUGCCACGAUCCUUUUCCCCAAAAAAAUCACUUCAAUUGCCAAUCCAGUUCAAAUUGCGUUUGAUGGAGAUUUGGUCAAUAUAGAGGUGUAGUGCUUGAAAGUCUAAAUGAGGAUGUGAUGUCGAACAAAGGAGUUGGUGUUUUACAUGAAAAUGAAGAGUGAAUGAUGGUAAUGGGAGGGAAAAUAUGGAUAUGACGUAGUUGCAAAUAAAGAAUCCCAAGCUGAUACUAGUUGAAUAAAGCGAUUUUUAUUUACAGACACGACAAAUUCCUAUAAACUUCUAGAUAAUCGUGGUGCCUUAGGAGAUUUCCAUAACAUAAGUGACAAUCAUUUAGACCAACCGGGAGUGUACCCGACUCUUGUACUGCUAUCUUGUUGCCCUUUUCACGCUGCACCAGUCAAAGUGUUCAUGAAGAUAAAGAACUCAAAUUGGAGGGGAUGUUGUUUAUGCUAGAUGUUAAGUUGCUUUAAUUGAGUUUCCUUUAUUAUCAAAGUUUUAUUUCCUUUUUUACUUACAUAAGGGUAUUAUUGCCAUAUACAGUUUAUAGUCAAUAUAAAUACAAUGGGUGUAGGGUUUCUAUGACUACAGAAAUCUACAGCCCCUUCUUUCUUUCUUUUACGUUCUCCUUCUCUUCUUCUCUAUUCCUUCUCUCUUCUUCUUUCUCUCUUACUAUACACUGCGGGUUCUCUAAUCAGUUUUGUGACAUGGUAUCAGAGCAGAUCUAACUAUUUGAUUACUUAAUCAUAUUGCUGGUUUGAGAGUCCCCUAGUAACCCUACUUCUUCUCUGGUGCGUAGCCACCUAAAGCUGCAAUUUUUAUCUGUUUUCUCUUCAAGUCUCAAUACAUAUGAGAUUAGAAGAUAUCGUAUUCAUCAGGUUCAGUUUAUGAACAUGGAUUACAACACUUGCUGAUCGACAGAUUCAAGAAUCAGAGUAUUCUAUUGAUUAUGGUUGACUGGUCUUGCUGGUUUUCCAUCAACCAUAUAAUUAUUUGAAUCGAGAUUUCUGGUCAGAUAUUUUCUUCUAUACAGCAGUCUCUAUUUAUGAGUUUUCAGCAUCCCUUUGGUUAAUUGAUGGAGCCAAUUACAUCUAAUUAUACAUUAGUGUUGCUGCUUUGUUACUUGCACUAAAGUUUCAGCCUUCUUGAUUAGUGGUAGAUAUACUUAUAUUGAGAUUAUCAUCAUGAGUGAUACUAAGGCUCCCACAGAUAGUGUCAACGUUCAAAUUACCACUAUUAAAUUAAAUGGAUCCUCCAAUUACUUGUUAUGGGCCCAAGCUGUGAAGGUCUAUAUUAAUGCCAAAGGGAAACUUCAUUAUCUUACCACAGACCCUCCUGCUGAAAAUUCUGGAAACUAUAGUGGUUGGAUGAGAGAGAAUGAUACACUUCUGGUGUGGUUAUGGAAUAGCAUGGAACCAUCCAUCGCUGCUAAUGUCAUGUUCCACACAACUGCUAAGGGAGUGUGGGAUGAUCUUAUGGAGAGUUACUCACAAGACAAUAAUAUGUCUAGAGUUUAUGAACUAUAUGAGAAGAUCUUUAAUUUUAAACAGGGAGACAAGUCUCUUGGAGAAUAUUAUAGUGCUUUGAAAGGUAUGUGGGAAGAACUCAAUCUUUAUCAGCCCAUCACUACUGAUCUUGAGAGACUAAAGACACAACGAGCUGAAUUUCAAGUGGCCAAAUUGUUAUCUGGCUUGAAUGCUGACUUACAGCCUGCGAAGAGUCAGCUUCUUGCUGGAGAGAGAGUUCCUUCUAUGAAUGAAGCAUUUUGUCGAAUUCAGCGCAUUGUCCCUCCGUCUUCUACUUCAUCUAAAGACAAUUCAGCAUUUGUGGCUGGUAGUGGUGGUCGUGGUCGUGGUGGAUUUUCCAAUAGAGGUCGUGGUUUCGGAGGUCGUAGUCGUGGUGGUGGACGUAGUGGACAAAGUUCUGAUCGAGAUAACUGUCAGUGUAUACACUGUGGCAAAUUCGGUCAUAUUGUUGACACUUGUUGGGCCAAGCAUGGCAAGCUGAGUGGGCUCAACGAUCAGUUACUGCAAAUACUGCUAUGUCUGAAGGGAGUGCUCGAAAUGUGUCUUACAGCGACAUGAACCCAUCUCUCCCACCUGGGGGUAGUUCUUCUGAGUCUACGGCUCGAGAUGAUAUGGUUGCACAACUCAUCAAACGUGUCCAACAACUAGAGGCUUCCAAUUUCUCAUCCACUGUUACUCUUGCACGUACAGGUAACAUGGCCUCUAUAUCUAAUUUGUCUCCUAACACCUCUUGGGUCAUUGACUCGGAGGCUUCUAGUCAUAUGACAGGUAAGCAAGAACUAUUUUCUUCCCACACUAACUCUAGUCCUUCAUCCGAAAUUAUUUUAGCUAAUGGUUCAUCGACUCAAGUGGUUGGAUCAGGGACUGUUUCACUUACAUCUUCCUUAUCCUUGUCCUCUGUUUUACAUGUUCCCAAACUUCCUUUAAAUUUGUUAUCUGUUAGUCAGUUAACAAAAGCUUUUAGUUGUUUAGUUACAUUUUAUCCAUCUCAUUGCAUUUUUCAGGACCUUCAGACAAAGAAGAUGAUUGGUGGAGGGCAUGAAUGUGAUGGACUCUACUAUCUCAAUGGUGUCUCCACUGCUGACGCCAAUGGUCUAGCUGCUAGCUCUAUUACCCCCCUAUUAUGGCAUUCUUGUUUAGGGCAUUUAUCUUUAUUUAAGUUACAACAAAUAAUUCCCGAGUGUAAAUCAAUUUCUACUCUUGAGUGUGAGGCUUGUGAACUUGGGAAACAUCAUCGUAGUUCCUUUCCUAGUCGUAAUAAUUCUCGUGCAUCUACUUUACUUGAACUUGUUCAUUCGGACAUCUGGGGACCUUCCCGUAUUGCUAGUAGAAAUGGUUUUAAGUACUUUGUUACUUUUGUGGAUGAUUAUUCUCGUUUAACAUGGCUCUAUAUGCUUCAUGACCGCUCUGAAUUUUUACAUGUUUUUCAAUUAUUUCAUCGUGAGGUUACUAAUCAGUUUAAUACAUCCCUUAAAAUUUUGCGAACAGAUAAUGCUCUAGAAUAUACACAGAAAUCAAUUUCUUUGUUUUGUUCUAAUCUUGGUAUUAUACAUCAAACAAGUUGUACUUAUACCCCUCAGCAGAAUGGUGUGGCCGAGAGAAAAUACCGUCACCUUCUAGAAGUUGCUCGUUCACUCUUAUUUCAUAUGAAUGUGCCAAAAUCAUUUUGGAGUGAUGCUGUUCUUACCGCAUGUUACCUCAUAAAUCGUAUGCCUUCCACCGUCCUCAAUCAUCAGUCACCAAACAGUGUUGUAUUUCCUGAUAAGCCGUUAUUCCCUCUUACCCCACGCGUCUUUGGGUGUGUCUGUUUUGUUCAUAACCUACGUUCCGGUUCUGAUAAACUAUCUCCUCGUGCUACUAAAUGUAUUUUUCUCGGAUAUUCACGUACACAAAAGGGAUAUCGGUGUUAUGAUCCUACAACUUAUACUCAAUACGUUAGUGCUGAUGUUACUUUUUUCGAGGGCACACCAUACUAUUCUACUGAGGGUAAAGAGUUUUCAACUGACAUUAUAGCCGGUCCUCCUAUCCCACAACAAAUCCCCCUAGAUUCUAUUAGUCCGUCUCUAGUAUCUCCUCCCUUGCAGGUGUAUCAACGGCGAAAGCAGUCUACGGCACCACCAGUCUCCAGCUCUUCCAUGCCCUCCAAUCAAUCUUCCUCCUUGUCUCCUGGUCCAGACGAUCUUCCUAUUGCCCUUCGCAAAGGUACUCGGUCUUGCACACAAAAAUCCUCUUUGGCUUACCCUAUUGAGCGUUAUGUGUCUCUCUCACAUCUUCCUUCUCCAUUACAUGACUUUGCUCUAUCAUUACAAACUCACACAAUUCCUACUUCUACCACUGAGGCUUUGUCUCGCCUUGAGUGGAAGAAAGCUAUGGAUGUGGAAAUGGAAGCUCUAGUGUCUCGCCAAACGUGGUCAUUGGUUGAUCUUCCCCUUGGGAAAGAUGUGGUGAAGUGUCGUUGGGUGUACACUAUCAAGUACAAUCCGGAUGGCUCAAUCGAGCGUCUUAAAGCUCGACUCGUUGCUAAAGGUUUUACUCAAACUUUCGGAGUGGAUUAUUUUGAGACUUUUUCCCCUGUGGCACGUCUCAACUCUGUUCGUGUUAUUAUUUCUCUUGCUGUGAAUUUCGAUUGGCCAUUAUAUCAAUUGGAUGUCAAGAAUGCUUUUCUUUAUGGUGAUUUGUCUGAAGAAGUAUAUAUGGAGCAACCUCCUAGGUAUGUUACUCAGGGAGAGAAUCGUAGUAAAGUAUGUCGGCUACAUAAGGCCAUUUAUGGGUUGAAACGAUCUCCAAGAGCAUGGUUUGAAAAAUUUAGUUCGGUGAUUUCUAAAUGUGGUUUCCACCAAUGUUAUUCUGAUCAUUCUAUUUUUGUUCGCAAGAAGGAAUCGGGGGUAGUCAUUCUUGUGGUAUAUGUGGAUGAUAUAAUCAUCUCUGGUAGUGAUAUGACUGGCAUUUCUAAGAUUAAGUCCUUUCUUCAGCAGCAAUUUCAGAUUAAAGACUUGGGAACUCUUAGGUAUUUUCUGGGCAUUGAAGUUUUACGAAGUAAAAAAGGUAUUAAUUUGUCUCAGCGAAAGUAUGUUCUUGAUCUUUUGUCUGAGACAGGUACACUAGCUUCCAAGCCAGUUGAUACUCCUAUGGAUCCAAAUCAAAAGUUUGGAGUUGAUGAUGGAAAAGAAAUUGAAGACAAACAUCAAUAUCGGCGUCUAGUUGGGAAACUAAUUUAUCUUACUGUUACACGUCCUGAUAUUUCUUUUGCUGUUGGUGUGGUGAGUCAAUUCAUGGAGUCACCUAAGAAAGCUCAUUGGGAUGCUGUAUGUCGCAUUCUUCGAUAUCUUAAAAGCUCUCCUGGUAAGGGACUAAUUUAUAAAUCUAAUGGUUCUUCUACUUUGAUUGGCUAUUCUGAUGCUGAUUGGGCUGGGUCAACAUUUGAUCGACGGUCUACAACUGGGUAUUGCACUUUUAUUGGUGGUAAUUUGGUUACUUGGAGAAGCAAAAAACAGACUACCAUUGCCAGGUCUAGUGCAGAGGCUGAAUAUCGUGCUAUGGCACAUACUGUGGCUGAAUUGUUGUGGUUGAAAUCUCUUCUCCAAGAGCUUGGAUUUUCUAUUAAUCAACCUAUUGACAUGAUGUGUGAUAAUCAAGCAGCUAUUUAUAUUGUUGGGAAUCCUGUUUUUCAAGAGCGAACUAAGCAUAUAGAAGUUGACUGUCACUUUGUUCGUGAUGCUGUGAAGCAGAAGUUGGUUGCUACUCCUUACGUUGCCUCUAGAGAUCAAUUUGCUGAUAUGUUUACCAAAGCAUUAUUCCGUCCUGCUUUUGUUGCUGGUUGCUCCAAGCUGGGCAUGGGUGACCUAUAUGCUCCAGCUUGAGGGGGAGUGUUAAGUUGCUUUAAUUGAGUUUCCUUUAUUAUCAAAGUUUUAUUUCCUUUUUUACUUACAUAAGGGUAUUAUUAUCAUAUACAGUUUAUAGUCAAUAUAAAUACAAUGGGUGUAGGGUUUCUGUGACUACAGAAAUCUACAGCCCCUUCUUUCUUUCUUUUACGUUCUCCUUCUCUUCUUCUCUAUUCCUUCUCUCUUCUUCUUUCUCUCUUACUAUACACUGCGGGUUCUCUAAUCAGUUUUGUGACACUAGAUAGACUAGUUAUGUCAGAUGUAGAAAUGCUUGAUGCCCACUAGGAGUUGGCAGGUUUAACCCCUGCAAAAUACCAUCUCAAUGUCGUCACGCAGCUUUAUAGUUUUCCUUCAAUUUCUGUUAGUGACUCUCACGAUGUAAUAUCACUUAUGGCUCUGCUUCUUCCUAUUCUUCUACUGAGUGUUCCCUACAAGGAGAGAUUUAGUUUAGGCUGGAAAGUCUUUCACAUUUUGUAAUGCUAAAAUUUAGAGUCAAGUAUGGAAAGUUUUGCACAUUUUGCAUUACUUGAAGUUAAUUUAUCUUCUUCUGAUUACGAGGGGCAUUUUGUUACAUCAAUUUAAUUAAUCAAGUUUGUUGUUGGGAAUUUAACUUACUUGUGAAUAGGAUAUAUCUCAAGCUAUGCUGCAUACAUGUAUACAUGGAGGGAGGAGUUGGAGAAAGCAAAGAGACUAAGAGGGUAGGGGGAGCUGCAUCCAAGUAUGUUAAGUUCUUAUAUGACUUUAUCUUUUAGUAAUUCGAAUUCAUAAGAGCUUAGGAUUACAUGCCUAACCUUGGUGGUUUUUUUAAUCUAUUCUCACUUGAAAAUUUAGAUAGGAGGUAACAUCUGAAUGCUUCACGCAUCAUAUUGCCUUCUGGAUAUGAAGAACAUGUUGUUGAGUGCUUCUUGAACUAAUCCUUGAGCGGUUUCUGUUGAGAUGUUAAGUUGUAGAUACUUGUACACUCGUGAUCCUUCCUUGAAGUAUGCUUUCAUUGAUCCACUCCACCUUGAGGUUCCAAAGCUGAGCAAUAAGAUUUGUUUUUGGACUGAGAUAAUGGAUUGAAGGCUGCCAAAAAGACAUAGAUUCCCUAGCUUUAGAUGAUCUACUAGCCCAAAGAAAUCCAUGUCAAGCUACCAAUAUCCCUUUCGGAUAUACUAUGUACUGUUAUGAUGUUUGCAUCACUUCCCAGAUUUUAUUUAUCAUUUUCUCGGUUUUUGUGUGUUCUCUGUCUUUCCUUUUUGUCUAUUAAUUUAUGGUGAACAAAUUAUUCAUCCUCUCUCUUUCUAAUUUUUUUUUCCUUUUUUUGGUUGUUGUUGUUGUUGUUUAUGAAAUCACUUUUCUUUGCACAUUCCAUUGUAUGUCGUUAUACUGGAUUAUCUUAAUUAUUCUAAUGUACUCCAGGUAAAUGUAUAACAUCAUUAUGCUGGCGUCCUGAUGGCAAAGUUGUUGUCUUGGGACUAGAAGAUGGUACAGUGUCACUGCAUGAUGUUGAAGUAAGUUUUCUACGUUAUUACUAUAAUGUUGCCCUCACAACUUCUCAACUGGGAAUCUUCCUGCAACAAUCCCAUUUCAUCAGAAUGUGUUCUCCUCUAAUCUCUCUUGCGAAAGAUUCUGAAUUGCUCAAAAGCUGCAUGAUGCAUUGCAAGCAGCAAGCUUGCUCAACAAACAUAUAGCUGCUAAUGGAGAUGGCAAUCCAUGUUUACGAGUCCUGUCUACCAAUGUCAAAUUAACAGUGGACUACUAGAUAUGUCAAUCUGAGCAUGAAAAGCUUAAUAGAUCUCAUUAGAACACUCUUUUUGAACAUGCCCUCUUUUUUAUAUAGGUCAACAAACGACGAGAGAUGAAUAACCCAUUUAACUAAUUAAAGUGAAUGGUUCAUUCCAAUCCAAGCAUUACUGACACAGCAUUUAUAACUUGUACAAUACAUGCAAUAUGCAUAUCUUCAUCAAUGUCAUAUAAUUUUUAAAAAGAAUAGCCGUAAACUUACAAAGUCCUCGGUUUAGAUGAUAUCUUGUGUCUUAUAUAUAUAUAUAUCAAUUUAACUAAUUAGAUUGAAUGGUUCAUUCCGAUCCAAACAUGACCGAGACAGCAUAUAGAAGCAGUCAUCCGUGACACGUUCAUUUUCAUCAAAUUAAUAGUUUCUUUCUAUUAUUUAAAGUGACAUGUCCAGUUCAGUCAUAUUAGGAAGGUAAUAGGUCGGGUGAUUCCUAAAUAACAGAAUUUGUAUGUGCCUCAAUUAUGCUUGUGGGUGGAAAAGUUCAUAGAUUACCAGUUAUGUCAUUAAGCUAGCUGUUUGGUCAUGGAUACAAUUGCUCAGAACUUGGCUGAUGCUGCUGCCAAAAGGUUUCUUUAAGCCGUCUACCGAUUUACUAAUUAUUAUCCACUUCAUGGAUUAUGUUUUGCUCUUGAAGAACUUAUUUUUACAUAUGAAUGUUAUCUUACCAAUCUAGCUGUCUUUAUGGAACCGUGGAUAUGCAUUGUGCUGCUUUUUAUAUGCUAGUGCUUGCAGAAGUUAUAUGUACUGUGGUAUAUUUAUUUCUAACUCGGUAUAAAUAUUAAGCAGAAUGGAAAACUGUUAAGAAGUUUGAAGUCCCAUGCAGCAGCUGUGGUGUGUCUCAAUUGGGAGGAGGAUGCCCAAGUGAGUAUGCAUCUUUCAACUUAAGAAAGUUCAUCUUACUUCUUGAUCUUGACUCUUGACAGACAAUAUUUUAUUGAUCAUACCUUUCAUGUUCUAUCUAAUGCUUUGUUUGCAGUUAAGUAGUUAUUUUAGGCUGAUUUACUAAAAUAUUUCUUUUUUCAAACUUAGAAUCAUAUUCAAUAGCUUCAAUAUUGUAUCUAUGGAAGGUUUUUUGAAAACUUAUGUUUGGUGUCAGCUGUGAGUUGUUGAUUUGCUGAUUGUUGACUCCUUAACUUUAAUCUCUUGUUAUAUAUAUAUAUAUAUAUAUAUAUAUAUAUAUAUACACAUAUACAUAUAUCUUCUUCUUCUUGUUUUUUCCCCAUUGGAAUGAUAAUUAUCCAUUUUUUAAUAGGACACUUCUGGCAACUCUUUGGCAUUUGAAGAUCGCACUACUCGUUUCUUCCCUCUAGCUCCGAGAGUUCCUCGCAUGCCUGGACUAGUAUCUGGAGAAACUGGUUUAACUGACGAUGGUCAAGAUUCAUUCGUAGAGCUCUCAAAUUCUUCAAAGCAACGUUUCAAUAUCCUUUGCAGNNNNNNNNNNNNNNNNNNNNNNNNNNNNNNNNNNNNNNNNNNNNNNNNNNNNNNNNNNNNNNNNNNNNNNNNNNNNNNNNNNNNNNNNNNNNNNNNNNNNNNNNNNNNNNNNNNNNNNNNNNNNNNNNNNNNNNNNNNNNNNNNNNNNNNNNNNNNNNNNNNNNNNNNNNNNNNNNNNNNNNNNNNNNNNNNNNNNNNNNNNNNNNNNNNNNNNNNNNNNNNNNNNNNNNNNNNNNNNNNNNNNNNNNNNNNNNNNNNNNNNNNNNNNNNNNNNNNNNNNNNNNNNNNNNNNNNNNNNNNNNNNNNNNNNNNNNNNNNNNNNNNNNNNNNNNNNNNNNNNNNNNNNNNNNNNNNNNNNNNNNNNACUGCAGUUGAAGCACGUAAAGGAGAAUUUGGGGUCUGUCUGGGUUAGCCUGCUGUGCAGACUUCUGCUGUUGUUUUAGACUCUUGAGUAUCUGCUCCUUUUUAGGGAGAUUGAGAGAGCCUAUACGACCGUCGGUUGGGGAAAGUGUUCUAUGAGAGUGUAUGCUUGUGUGUAGAAAAUUCUCUCUGUUGGUGUGCAGCUAUUAGAAGAUUUAGACUUUUGGGUACUCUGAACUUUUGUGCAUGUUUGGGUUUAGUACUGUUUCAACGUGAAAACAUGAUGAACUUCUCAACAGACAUUUGAUUAGUCUAGAAAUGCAUGCUGAAGAAUUGUCCUAAUCAGUAUCAUUUAGGUUCCUAUCAGUUGUCUCUUUAGUAACAUGGAGCCAGUCCUUAUAGUUACAAUUCCUUGUUGGGACUUUCCCAAAUGUACUUCCUAGGGCCCACUGCCUUUCACCAGAUCUAUAAGUGUGGCGUAUGGUUUCCUAAUGGGAGGUUUUUCAGAUCUAUAUACAAGUUUGUGAAUUGUCAAUGACGAUUUGAUCACAAUUUCUUGACUCGGUUGACUACCUAAACAGGUAAUUUUCACCUUAAGAUGAGAUAUUCUAGAUGUAAAAUUAAACAUGUUUGAUGGAAAUCACUUGUUAUGAAAAUUGAUGUAGCUCAUUUAGCUCAUUGUCGAGCUUCUGGGUUGUCUUUUUUUAUUAUAUAUAUAUAUAAUGUGGACCUGCUAAUUUAAAAGAUGCCAGUGGCAGGAAUACUAAGUUUUUGUGGAAACACAAUGUAGAACUGCUAAUUUAAAGCCUUCCAAGUUGCAAUGUGAUGUAGAUAUUCUGUAGUCUGGUGUUGAGGUAAGUGCAUUAAAGGCCUUCAGAAAAGUCGAAUCAGUACCUAUACUGCACUUGUGCUGUUGCCCAUGAAGUUUACAUUUUUUGCUUAAGUUGUUGCUUCUCUCUGUUUUCUAGUUCCAUCAUUGACCUGACCUAAAAAUGAAUGUUAUGGUGCUUGGUUAUCUUUAAGUUGACCUUGUAGAAAUAGCACAGUUCCACUUUCCACUAGUUAUUUUAGUUUGGAAGCUUUUUUAACUCUCUGUUUCGACUUUAUUUGUAUAGUUGCUUUGUUAUAUUGAGUUCACUAUUUUCAGUUCGAUAAUCAGUCGCUUAUUGCUUCUUGCUAUGUGAUUGCCGUAAUGCAUGGGAAUGUGCACCAGAAUAUACAUGAAUGUGAUAUUCCUAUGACAACCAAGGACAGAGACACUGUUUGCCGACUUCUGAAUGCAUCUGUGAGGAAGGUACACUGACUAAAAUAGUUGCCUCUCAAGAGCCUCCAUGUUUCUUCAACUAAUGGGUUAAUGAUAGGAGGCCUUUUUGCUCUGCUGGGACUAAUUUUAUUUUCCUUCCUAAUUAGUCUUCCAAUAUAUUGCAACUUCACGAUAUGUUAAAUUGUCUUUUCUUUGGUUUUUCCCAUGCAUUAGGAAAAGAAAAAUACAAAAUAAACCUUAAGAGACACUUUUUGAACAAUUGGUGAUCAAGCUAAACUUAAAGUUAAACAAAGGAACCUAGACUAAAUGAAACAAAAAAUUACUGUGAAUUGUGCAUAGUUUCUUGCUCAAAAUGCUUUGGUGACCAGCAAAGAAUUUCAUUCACUUUGUGACAUUUAAGUUAUAGUCAUCAGAUACAUUGUCUUCUCAUGAACACCUUAUUGGAAUUUGAUAGAGAAACUAUCGAGUAAAAGCUCAGUGGUAACUAAACAUGUUUCUAUAAAAAUGUCAAACAGCCUGACACAGAAAAUGUCAAACAGCUUGGAUAAUAUUUUAUAGAUGUAAGAUGCAGACUUUUUUCUAAACUUCAAAUGUACCUACUGUAAGUUUAUUCCUGUGAUUGGAUUAUUCCCAGAUAUCAUGUCGGGAUGUUUCACCAGAGCCAAGCUAACUGCCCAUGUAAUUGUUAUCAUUAGGUGGCUUUAUCCAAGGAUCUUUGUCAUUUGAUGGUUGCAUGCUCAGGAGAACUUGUUGAAGACAUUGUUGAAUCAAGAGGGUGUCAAACAGUUGGAGAUAGUACGCAUGGCUUUCAUUGCUUAGUGCUUGAUACUUCAAUAUUCCAAAAGAGGUAAAAUUGCACUUGCAUUUAGUGUUAUUCAUAUUUUAGGUGAAACUUCUCUUCUCUCUCUCUCUCUCUCCCUCUCUCUCUUUUAAGUUUGUGCAGCAGUAAUUGGACUCCAUAUUAUAAUUAUAUUACAAUUGUUCAUGUGCACUGAUAUUUGUUUCAGAGGUAUCAAUUUUGUUUGGUUUUACAGAAAGUAAAACUCAUAUUAACUCAGGAUAUUAUUGUCAACCUUAAAACGAAACUGAUGGUUAACAUGGAGCACUUUUGAGGCAUUUUUCUUGGAAUUUAACCUACACUUUGCAUGAUAGAAGAACUUUCCUUCUGAUAAUUUUAAAUGCCCAAGUUGACGUUCAAGAGUCGCCAUAAGCUGAACUACAUGAUGCCUCAUACUUCGUAGCCUGAAUGAUUUUUUUCAUGCUUGAUAAGGUUUUCACCUGACCUUCAAGUAUCAUACCAUCUUUCCGUAGAAACCUCUAGAAAUCAACGUAGUUCGAAUGUUGAAAGUGGUGGGACAAAAUUGCAGGAGUUACUCUUGCAAAAUUUUGAACUUUGUUGCAUGAUUCACAGAACAUUUUUGUUCUCUACAAUUAGAGGCCUGCCAAGUUUUUGAUAACAUUUUUUGUUUUCGUUUUUAUGGAAACUGUUUUCGAUGUUUUAUCACAGAAAACUUGUUUAAUGAUGUAUGUCGUAAGGAUGAGAAUUGUCAGAAUUUGCUCGUGUUCCAUCGCAAUCAGAAAAGAGGCUUAGUUAUUCCAAAUCUCCAUGUUUGCACGUGGAAUGUGAACGCUGAAAAGUUGUCUUCAGUUUCUAAUUUCGAUUUUAAUAAUAGUUUUCCUUUCAACUGUUUUCGAAGUGUUACCAAACACAUUUUCUGGACCGUUUGCAUUCUCAAAUGAAAUGAGGAUAGAUAUCUGAGAAUCUUUAUCUGCCGAAUGCCUCCUUAGAUUCUCAAUCUCUUCCUGUCUGCAGUAAAAAUGAACUUCAUCAAGUUGCUCAACAGGCUUCCAACAUUGAAGAUUUACUUCAUGUCGUCCAGACAUCAUUAUCAGUCAUGCACAAGCAGUGGGCUGAUGCCAUGAACAUAUUUCAUGAGAAGUUUGAUUUGUUAACAAGCCUUAUUAAUGAUCAUGGUUAGUGGUCCUGUUAAUACAAAGCAGUAGAUGGCUUUUCAUUGUUCUUCAUUUGACUGUUUNNNNNNNNNNNNNNNNNNNNNNNNNNNNNNNNNNNNNNNNNNNNNNNNNNNNNNNNNNNNNNNNNNNNNNNNNNNNNNNNNNNNNNNNNNNNNNNNNNNNUCUAGGUCUUGACUCUUCUCCUCAGGAGGAAUUUUUGAGUCUUCUAGGUGGUGCUAGGACCAGUCCUGCAGUCCAUCAGUUUCUUGUUAAUUCUCUGGGUGAAGUGGUAUGGCUGGUUUUUUUAAGUUCCGGUGUCGCUAUAGGACUUAUGUUCUUUUUGGUUGGUUUUCAUAAUCUUAGUCUGCUAGUUUGUUCAAUGAUAGGGUAUGAAGCGUGUAUCAAAAGUUGUCGGUGGUGCUGGAAAAGAACUUCAGCUGGUUGUCCUCAAUCAUCUGCAGGUGCACGUUAUUACCUUUGCAUUUGGCCUUUCUCUGAUAAAUUAUUGAGUUUUAAGCAUCGCACAGAACAGUCUUAAAUGGUGAUCAGAUAGAUGUAGGAAUUUGUUAUAGUAAGUUAUGCUUCACACAUUUUGAGACACGCCAUAUCUUUCAGAACAUCCUGAUGUUGAAUUCUUAUAUGAACCUAUCAUAUGCAAUGAUAUGGAUUACCAACAUUGAGUGGCUGGAAAGUGUGAGGUAAAAUUGAUUUGAUUCUGAUUUAACAAGUUGGCAAUCUCUACUAUAAGCGUAUAAUAAAAAUUAUAGGUCAUAAUCAUUGGUUUGAAUAUGAACUUGAUCUGAGUUUGGGCUUUCAGAAUACUGUAAAUGGAGGUAUGGGUAUGGAAAUUUUUAUGCAUUUAUGUUAUAAUUAACAGGUAUAGAUAUAUGUUCUCUGUUUCAAAAGGAAAAAACUUUAUUGCCCGCUUCAAUCUUAAUACAUAUCCCUCAUAAUUGCGGGAGUCAAUCUUUAUAGUAAUAAAUCAUAUUCAACUCUUUUUACUUACUAAUAGCUCUAUUUGAGCCUAGGAGAAGUUAAGACUUAUUUAUACUACCAAUUCCACUCGUUGGACUUGCUGUAGUAAUUGAACUCUGCUUUCUUAUGUUAUUAUUACUGUCAACAAGCUAAAAUUGAGAAUGAAAACUCAGUUAUCAGAAGAAAAUGAGCAGAUAAAAUAACUGGCGGGUGCUCAGAUGAUAGUGAAUUGAGCCAACAUUGAGCUCAUCUGUGAUGCUUAACCUUGGUUAUGAGAGCCUCUGUCCACAACAAUUUGUUCAUGUACUUAGAUGUGAGAAUUCAUUAGUUUAUACUUUUUACCAACUUUUCCAAUUAGGUUGCCAUUUUUUUUAACUAAGCACCAUCUUUUGGCAGAGUAAUGCUAAAGAUGUUAUGUCCUAGUAAAUGAAAAUGGUUUACUUACUCACAUGUGAAAUAGAUUUGUAUUAGAUGUCUGUAAUACACUUGCCUAAAUGCUUGGAUCUUACCACUUCAAACGAGUUCUGUAUGCUGGUCUUUGUAUCCGUAGUAUUGUUCUGUUUUGGGAAUGUGUCGGUAUCUCUUUGGAUCAAGAGUUUCUCUUGAGCUUUUUGGAUCUUGACUUUAGGUUGUAGAGGCACCCUUUUGUCACGAUAACUCAUAAAAGGAACCGCAACUGUGAGUUAAUGGAGGGUUUUUGUGCUCAAUAAAAACAUGCUACAUGGAUGAUGGUUAUGCUGAUUAGCACAAAAUCAUAUGUGAGAUGUUAGCAUUUGUACUUGAAACUACAUGAUUACAUACAAUGUUAUGAUAUAAGAUAGUUGGAAUAACUUAAAAAUCCUCAGAAAAGAAUAAGUUUCUUUUAAUAGAUCAGAAGUUCAUCCAUAGGACACCAAGGGGUUGCAAACCUAUAUAAGAUUGUAGCCCAAAAAUUAAAGCCAUGUACAGAACAACUCUCAAAACCAAAAGUGAGCUCAAAUACAAGAUACAUCAUCGACCAUAUUAAUCAAGUCAAUUACAUCCAUAUGCAGUCUCCACUAUACCAAAAGUGUACGAGUUUAAGCCAAAUUUCAACAAAUGGAAGAUCUCUCUCCAUCAAAAGCUCUCUUGUUAGCUCCUUCCAAAUGAGCCUAAAAACAGAUAGAGGAAUUGAGUUAAUCCUUCUUUUCGUGUGGCACUGUAAACGAAUGCGCUGCCAAGCCCAGAGUUCUUGCUCCUAAAAGCUCCAAUAACCCAAAGAUAAUUUGGUGCAAGCAUAGGAAACUGUCCAAACCACUCUUGUCCAUGAACAGUGAAGGAGGAGAUGCUGCAUGGAUUCUGCCUCCUCCUUGUGGAGGAAACACCUAUUAACCAGUAUUUGCUUCUUUGUUGUAGGUUAUCUAAAGUGAGGAUUCAUUCCCAAGUUGUUUUCCAGGCAAAUAGAUAAACUCUAAUCAGAACCCUUACUUUCCAAACUCUAAUCAGAACCCUCAUUUUCCAAGUCACUUUUUGAGGAAAAUCUGUUCUACCACCAACUUCCUCCCUAUUGAGCAUCUUGUAGUGAGACUUUACUGGAAAGAUUCCAUCUUUUUCAUCGUUCCACACAAAUGCAUCCUCAUAGGCAACGGAAUUCUUGGAGUAAUAUAAUACAUUAAAAGAGAUGUUAAAAACUCCCAAUCUUGGGCUUGUCUCACAAACUCAAUAUCCCAAAUGAUCAUUUCCUUGCCUAGACAUGCCAUCCAGCUUUUUAGUUGUUGUAAUGCCUAUUUAGGAGGAUCAAUUUCUAAGAAGUCUUGUAGCACCACACCUUUAUUGCAUGUGGUGCCUUUGGAAGGAAAGCAACAAAAUAGUAGAGUUUGAAAUCUUGGGUAGUUUUGGUGGUGUACCUUUUAAAUGGCUUUGGACAUCAUGUUCUGAUUUCAUAUGGUCUUCUGAUGUUUUAUUUUUGUUUGUUUUUCUUUUGUUUUAUUCUUGUAUACUGAUGCGUUAGAACUUUUUCUUUAAUUAAAAUCCUUUAUCAUCUAUAAGAAAAUAUAUUGCCAAUAUCUUCUCUGCCAGAUCUCUUUCCAUACAUGUGGGCAAUUUUGUGUGUUGUUAACAUGUGCAUUGCCCAAGCACAUGCAUGCGAUCAUGUGCUUGCACAGGUGUCUGCAUUUGCACAUGCACACUGUAGGGCUGUUGCUAAUUAGAUCGGUUCCUUGCUUCUCCUGGGUUCAGGACUCUCUUGUACACUGCACAUUCUUGUUGAUUAUUACUAUGGUGAGAAAUAAUGUUUCCUGUUAGUUUCUUUAAAGUUAUAGACUCUUCUUUUUACUUUUUUGAUAUGUAAUUCUAUUGAAGAGCAUCAUGGGGUUCGUCUUAUAUACAAAUUACCACCCAUAAGCUUGUAUUUAUCUAAGAUAAUUCAAAAAAGGACUUACUGUCUAAAGAACUGCCCCCACAAUGCCGAAAAAAUAUGGUGGUUAUCCAAAUAUCUAUCCUUUACAGCUCCUAUAUAAUUUAUUUCUUUUGUAGGAACCUGCCUAUUUUUUUCUUUUGAAAGUUUAUGAACUUUCUUUAUCUCCAUGGUCUGUCAAUCAAUGCUUUGGGGCUCCUUUCUCCUGUUGUUUACUCAAAAUGUGCAUUCACGACAGUGUAGAAUUUUGUGGAACAAUUGCCAAGUCAUCUAAAAGAUUACCUAUCAAAUAAAGACCUGGUACUUAAUUACUAUAAUGCUCCCCCUCUCACGUAGGCUAAGACUUGGCCUUAGAUUGAAGGAUAGAUAUUUGAUAAUUGGGGAGGUAAAUAGGUAGCAAGGUGAGUUUUAAGCCUGAAACCUCCUGCUCUAAUUCCACAUAAAAUUUUGUGGGACCAAAUAACUAAUCAAAAAGUGUAAGCUAUGGGAUAGAGAUGUAGUUUGAUAUUUGAAUGUUGUAAAGAAGUUACCCUUGCCCAAGCUAACAGCACAAGGGCUGGGGCUUUGUCUCCUUAAAAACAUCAGCAAUUCCUGUCAGCUGUGUUUAUAGCCCACAACUAUCACAUAAAUAAUCUCUCUCUAUCUCUCUCUCUCUCUCUCUCUCUCUCUCUCUGUGUGUCCUUUCCCUUCACACACACACAGCCACUUUGGGCAGGACUUGAUCAUUUCACACGAACAUUCCAAACUUCCAGCCUGCUUGCAUGAAUUGGAUGGUAGACUAGGCUCCAUUUUCGGACUUGAUCAUUUCACACAAACAUUCCAAACUUCCAGCCUGCUUGCAUGAAUUGGAUGGCAGACUAGGCUCCAUUUUAUUAAUGAUUUUUCUUUGUCAGAGAAUCUAGCGUAUGCUGUGUAAUUCAAACACAGUUUGCAGUUGAAAGAUAAGGAUGGCUUGUAAUGGCCAUUUGCUGCGUGAAACAUUUUCUUUCAUAAAAUUUAACAUCGAUGGUUCCUAUUACUGUUUAGCGUUUAACUUAUAUGUUCGAUGUUAUCUUUAUCCCUCAUGAGUGUGUCAGUUUCCUUGACUAGAGAGGAUAUUCGACUUGUGGGGUUAACUAAUUGACUUAUUGUUAUUUACAUUGUUAUUUACCUAGCAGCCUGCUGUAGAAAUUAUUGGCUUUAGAAUGGGUGAGCUCAGGGGUCUUUCGAGAUGGCGCUCUCGUUACCUGGGUAUUGGUUUGGAUGAGACACUGGUGGACAAUGCAGUAGAAAAGGCUGGAAUGCUGCUUGUACAGGUUGAGCGAUUCAUAAGGGUGCUCUCAUCUGUUGUGCAGCAGGUAGCCUGUUACAAUCUUUGUUAUGAUUUCUCUUCAUUUCUUGAUACCUCCUGUUUUCUACUAUUUUCUAAAAUCCUUCCCGUCUCUCAUCGUGCAUGUCUUUAGUCACACUAAAUUCCUAAAUUUUAAACAUGGAGUUGAACUACUUGUGGAUAUAAGACACAAGAUCUUGUGUGCUCAGAUGACAUAUUAUUCUAAGUCGAAUAGCAUUAUCUAUUUGAAAUACGAGCUGUUUUGUUGGGAUUUUGAAGAAGAGACUGUUAACCAGGCAUUUGCACAUGACUUGAACCUGUUUAACAAAGUGCCAUUUUGCACCUUUUAAGAUCAUGAUGAAAUACUGACAAUAUCACAUUGUUGUUUGUUGAUAUCAUCAUGUAUUUGAAGGGCCAGAGAGAAAUUGCAUGGCUUUUUUUUUAUCUUUGCUUCCUGCACCUUGACAACUUAGGGUUUGUUGAUACCUUUUCAAUUUCGCACAUACUACACUGAAGACAUGCAUUCUUUCUUGUUUGAAAAUGAAAAUAUUGCCAGUGUGACCACUGAAAUCUAGAGAAGCUCGGAAUAUUGAGCCAGCGGUGUAAGCAUUUUAUAUUGGUUGAUUAUGUGCAUGUUGCUGAAGCUUUUGGUUUUGGUUUUGUCUCUCUUUCAGUUUGCAAAUUUCUUCAGCUGGCUUCUGAAAUGUAUAAAGCAACUUAGGUCAGAGCCAAGCGAUCAACUUUUAACAUACAAUAGGUUUGUCUGACUUUUGUCCAUCAGGUUCAGUCCUUAUGGUGAAUCCCUAUUUACUCUUAUGAAUUUCGACAGUGAACUUGUUGUCGUGUUCUUGAAGUUUCUGUAUGAUCAAGAUCCUGUUGUGCAGCUUCUGGAUUUAUCCGAGGCUGAUGAAGAAAUUGACAUUGAUUUGUAAGUGAUUUCCUCUAACUUGUCCAGUUCUUUAUCCGAGGCUGAUGAAGAAAUUGACAUUGAUUUGUAAGUGAUUUCCUCUAACUUGUCCAGUUCCUAAUUUUAAGUCAUUUACAAUAUGGCACCCAGAACCCCUGAAUCUUUAGUUAAUACUUGUUCACACCUGAUGGAGUCACCAAGUGGACUGUUUGGCAUUGCCAUGUACGGAAAGCUUCCAAUAGAUAUGGCUUGUAUACUCCUUGAAAGUUACUUUUUUUCCUGUCAUUUCAGUCAACAUUAACUUUACUUGGGCUGAGAUGUGACAUGUCAUUAUUGUUGACAGAAUGGCUACCCAUUGAAUUAAUAAAUUUCUUCUCUUGUGAAUUAUCUGAAGUUUUGCUCCUACUUGGUGUUCUUAAUGAAUUUCAUUCAUAUAAUAAGAAAAUGUUAUUGCCUAGCCCUAGUUAUGGAAUCAUAUGUAUCAUUCAGACAUGAUGACUAAUUUCAUAAUUUGACAUAACCUUCUAAUGCCGAGGGUGGGGCUAACCUUCUAAUUCCAAGGGUGGGCCAUCUCUUCAUUCUUUGUAGCUGAAAUUCGGUGAGGCAAUGGCUUGAAUACUGUGAAGUGUCGACAGCUUAUUAUUUCCUUCAUGUACUCUAGCAGCAAAUCUUCGUAGCCCUUCACUAGGUUGUGCUAUCCAUUUGUGUGCCAGAGGAUUAGAAUACCAUGGUGUAAUGGACCUUGGUCACGCUUUAAAUGUCAGAGAGGUAUCCUGUCAAGCCUAGUAUUCUCUUCAUGUGCUCUAGUGGCUCACUCCUGCUUUAUUGCAAUGUGACCAAAUUAGUUGCUAAACUCAGGAUAUGAAAUUGUAAAUUACUCCUGUUUUGAGGGUUAGCUCUUCAUUUUAAGUCAUCUUGCUACUGUCUUUGUAAUUACUUUUAAGAGCACAACGAGAUGAGGUUGACUCAAGUUAGGGUGCUUUGCUGGGCUUCAGCUGUGGUUAUUUUUGGUCCAGCACUGUGCUGUUAACCACAGAGUAACGAGGAUUGAAAUUGACGGGUUGAUUGUUGUUUCUCAUUGGACUGGAAAGCCUUUUGAAAAUCAAGUGUAAUUUCAUGCACUUUUCUGCCUUGAUGUAUGUCGUCAGGUCAGUAAGAUGUUUUACACACAUUAUUGUUUCAGAGAAACAAUGGAGAGAGUGAAAGAAUUAGUACAAUGUGGAGGAUUUAAGGACAGCAAAUGUUUGCGAAGGACACUUGCAAAGGAGUUUCAACUGAUGGAAUACAGGUAUCAGCAAAAGAAUUGGAAAUUUGAAAUUUAACAGAAUCUUGUUUGUGCAUGGAAGUUCUUCCUUGAAUGUGUCUUGUUGCUCUUUCAUUGUCAAUUCUUUGUAUUUAUGCUAUAUCUAGAUUUUCCAUUACCAUGUUUUUUUUUAUGCAUGCUACCUCAGUGGGAAAUAUAUGAACUAAGGGAUAAAUCAUUGCUGUCAUCUGUCAUUUGAAGUGAUUGAUUUUUUCCCUCCUCCAAGUCUGGUCCUCAUUUCUGACAAGUGUACCAAAUGUGAAAUCCUUGAUAGCUUUGUAUGCAUAACAGGAGUUUGAGUAUGAUGGUGCAGGUCCAAAAUGGUUUUAGUAAACAUUGCAAUCCUUCAAUUAAAACCUUGUGCUUUGGUUUCACCCAACUCAUCAUUUAGUUGAGCUGAAAUAUUCAUUUCUCAUUUAUCUAAUUCAGGUAUCUCGACAAUUCCUGUUACAAUAAAAUUGUACCCAUCUUUUUAAUUUGCUUGUCUGAGUGGCCAGAACCUUGAGACUAUAAUGAGAGAAGGAAGAAAAGGAAAGGAAACCUUUGGGGGUGGGGAGUUGUCUUCUGGAGGUUGUACUCAACAAUGGUUUUUCACUUACCCUCUACCUAAUAAUCUAGUGUUUCUUAUUCGAUCUCAUGUUGAUUACUUGACAAUGUACAUGGAAACUUAAGUUGGGUGAUCUUAUUGGAUUGGGCUUUCUGAUUAGCAUAUGAUUAUUGUGUGUGAUAAUGCCAUAUCUCAUGUUUACUGAUUAGGAAUAAUUUUAAAUUUUUACAGUUUCAAGGAAGCUGCCCAGAUGCCUUUUUCUACUAUUUCAAAAAAGAUAUGUUGUAAGAAUUUAUUGCCUCUAUUCCCUCUUACAUCAGUUUCAGCAUCCACCCAAUACAUUCCAAUUUCACUGUCCUUCUAUGAGGUAUUUACCCUUAAUCUGAACAAUUUUAUCCUGAGAUCUGCAUGUGCAGAGUACAACUGUUUUUUCAUGCUAAUCAUUUCUUUGUAUGGCUCUGCAGGAUGCCUCUGAAUUUGCUUCAUCUAAUCUGACUCAGGAAGUUGGGUUUACAGAUUAUAUUUCCUUCCAAAUACCCCACGAGUCUUUUUCAGAUUUUACAAACUGUAUAGCUGUAGUGAGGGGAUUUAUGAAUGAUUCAAGCAAUGUGAAGCGGGGAAGACCUUUGGAAGCAAUCUUGUUGUGCAUCCCUUCUGGUUACCAUUGUGUGGAUUUGGCUCUAUAUAAGGUAAGAGCUCGGCAUAUCAUACUUUAAGAAUUUGUGGAUGUGGCUAAUAUAUUUUAUUUUGAAACAGGAACUUCAAAUCGUUAUGUUGCUAAAUAAGAUAAAUGAUACUGGUGAAAACUUGGGAGAUGCCUGGAUGAUGAUCUUGCAGGCCAGUGACCUUCCAUUUGUGCAUAUUUCAGGAACCACUCAGGCAAAUAACUGGGAGUUGUACCAAUUAAAGGUAACUCUUGGAUCCUGAGCUUGCAUAUUGAUUUCGUACUCGUGAUACGUGUAAGAUGCUGCUGAGUUCUGUUUGUUCUGAUAUGCCUCAGUUCACUUUUUUUCAUUGAUGGAAAAAAUAAAAUUGCUUUUCAGUCGACUCCUGUUCUUUUCACUGUUUUAAGAACUGGCUCCGGUUGGAUUGGGAACCAGACCUGUCCAGUCUGGUUUCACAGCAGAAACAGUAGUGGUCAAGAACUGGUGUUAUUGACCCUAUUGUUAUCAGGCGUAACUGUCAACUGUUGACCCACAAUUCUAUCAACUAGUUUGGACCAGUUCUGGGCAUUCAAAAAGUUUAAAGGAAGAGUGUUGGGGUUGGGUUGGGGUUUGGAACCCCAACCUCUUGUAACUAGCAAGCGUACCAACCAUUCACUCCAGUGUCUUCUUGCUUCAGUUUGUUGGUGUAUCAUUAUUCAUUGACCUUAUUGGCUUAGUCUAUUAGAAAAUUAAAUGAUGUUCUUGAGAACUUGAAUGCUAUCAUUUGUGCUCAACGAGGCUCUGCCGACUCAGCCAGGCAUCUGUUAAUCUGAACACGGGGUAAUCUAAUAUAUGUGGAGGUAUUCUAUCAGAUGACAUCACAUGCAAUAUUUUAAANNNNNNNNNNNNNNNNNNNNNNNNNNNNNNNNNNNNNNNNNNNNNNNNNNNNNNNNNNNNNNNNNNNNNNNNNNNNNNNNNNNNNNNNNNNNNNNNNNNNNNNNNNNNNNNNNNNNNNNNNNNNNNNNNNNNNNNNNNNNNNNNNNNNNNNNNNNNNNNNNNUGCUAUUUACACUUGGGAUUCUGAAGGAUGUUUUACUUUCUGCCUUACCAUAACUGUAAAAGUUCCAACUUAUCUUGGCAGUUAAAGUCUUCAACUUGUAUGUAUGUUAAGAAAUAGGCAUGUGGUGUCCCUAAUUGAUUUUUUUAUUUUUUUGGUUAGAAUGUCCCUAAUAGAUAAGAAGUGCCAUUUUUGCUUCUAUUUUGUGAGAACAUUUUUUGCUUGGUUAUCUUAUUCUCACUCCUGAAGCACUAACCCAGUGAAACUAUGCAUGUAGGACUCUAUAUUACACCUAGAUAUGGAGAAUGAGAAGAUUCGCAGCAUUCCCCAUAAUGUUGUUCCUCCCUUGUCAGUUAGUGGUAAGAAUUUUUGACACCAUCAUACAACUGAGCUAAGGAUUAAAUCAUUGUCAUGCCAUCAAUUUUAUAGUCCUGAAUUUUUUUUCCUUGAGCUUCUUACCAUGUCCAUCUGCACUUUUGGAUGUUUAGAAACUUAUUGUUGCCCAUACUAUUUCCAUUGUGUAUCAAUGCUUGAUAAACUUGCAAGUUUUAGCAACAAUUCCAUCUUGUUGACUAGGUAGUGGACUGAAUAAAUACUGUCCAUGCUCCUUACUACAUUUCACUUAUGUUGGAGAAAUCUUUCUAGAAUAUUUUGAAGCUGACAAAAUGUUUCUUUCAGUCUAAAGUCUGGAUGUUCGGAGACCGUCAGUUUAAAGUUUGAAGACUUUGUUCUCUCGAGACUCAAGACUCAAGAUCCAAGACUCAAGACUCAAGACCCAAGACUUAAGACUCAGGACUCAAGACUUAAGUCUAUUCUCACUGACAGUCUUUCUAAUCCAGUGACGAAGGAAAUCCAAAGCCGAGGUUUAUGGUUGAGGAUUCGAUCCUAUCCUCUGGAAUAGAUUCUUUGGUUGGAUAAUCGUUUCGGAUUCUUUAAUUCUUAUCUAAGAUCGAUUGAAGAUCCGAUGGUCGACGAAAUAAUCUUGCAAAGUUCUAUUCAUGGAAACCGAGAUCCUGAUUGUAUGGGCGAACAGGAUUGAUGGGCUAUCAUCAGAUUCAUUAAAUAGCUCGGAUGAUCUUCUUGAUUGAUUCCGUCCAACGGGUAGAUUGGAGGAAUUCCUUUGGUAAGUGCCAACGGCUAUGAUGGCAUGAAGGAGUAUAAAAGGAAGACGUCUAGUUGUUUUAAGUAUGUGAGUGAUAGAAAAAUUCCAGAGUCUGAAGAUCCUUGAUUGUUAUUUGAGACUGUUCGAGCGAAAUUGUAUACAGAGAGAAUAUAUACUUGGUGACGCCUUGAGUGAGUGUGGUAGAUCAUCUACACCUAGAAAUCAAGGAAGAUCAACACUAUAACAUCUCUUUGAUCAUAGUGGAAUCCAGCCAAUCGGCUGUCAGUGCAGAAGAGUGGACGUAGGCUUGAAUCAAGCCGAACCACUAUAAACUAAGUGUUCAAUUCUCUCUUUCCCUUACUCAGUCUUGCGAUUAAAUCUUUAACUGUUUAAAUAUCGUGCAAGCUUCGAGAAAUUUUUUAUAUACCUAUUCACCACCCCUCUAGGUACUCGUACUAGCUAUUUCAAUUGGUAUCAGAGCCCGUGUUCUUACUUUGUUUGAAGUGUUUUACUUCAGAGUAAAAGAUCCAUGGCUAGUAUGCUAGCACCAGGACUGAUGGAGGGGCAAAGCAAUACCAGACCUCCCUACUUCGAUGGAAAGGAUUACAACAUCUGGAAGAACAAGAUGAAAGCUUUCCUACGAUCAAAGGAUCCUCUGGAAUGGGACGUUGUGGAAAGAGGAAUCACUCCUGCUGCUGCAUCAAUCUCUGAAAGAGGGAAAGACACUAUUGAAGCCAGCGGAAUGUCUCAAGAAGAAAUAAACAAGAGACAAGCACUCGAUGCUAAAGCAAUUUAUUCUUUAUAUUGUGCUUUGUCACCAACUGAAUAUAACAGAAUAUCUUCUUGUGUUACAGCAAAAGAAGUCUGGGAUAGGUUACAUAUCACUUAUGAAGGGACAGAUCGAGUGAAGGAGACCAGAAUUAACAUUCUUCUUGGUCAAUAUGAAUCCUUCAAAAUGAAACCAGGAGAAUCUAUAACUGACAUGUUUAGUCGUUUUACAGAUAUUGUCAAUGGUCUUGAGAACCAAGGACAAAAAAUUUCUGAUCCCAUGAAGGUGAACAAGCUUCUGCGUGGACUCUCUAAGGAUUGGAAUCAUAUAAAGACUUCAAUAAGAGAGACGCAAAGAAUCAUGCCAUUAUCUGUAGAUGAACUGAUUGGAACUCUUCAGUCUUACGAAGUGGAACGAAUUAAUGAAGACGAAGAUCCAAGAGGUAAGAAAUCUAUUGCACUAAAAUCAAAUGAUGAUUCUGAUUCUGAAGAUGAUAUGGAUGAUGAGGAGCUCGCCCUCAUGAUAAGAAGAUUCAGAAAAUUGAAUAGAAAAGGCAGAAGGUUCAUCCCAAAGAAACAAAGUUUUCAGAGACAGCAGACCAAGUCUGUUGAUGAUGAGGAACCAAACAAAGAUGUAGUUUGCUUCGAAUGUAAAAAGAAGGGACACAUCAGACCCAACUGUCCUCUUCUGAAAAAGAAAAGAGGAAAAGCUGAGAAGUCUCGAAAAGCUCUUAAAGCCGAAACCUGGAGCGAUACAGAGUGCGAAGAGAGUGAUGAGGAAUAUGCCAACCUAUGUCUGAUGGCGCAAUCAGACUCAGACUCUGGAUCAGACUCAGACAGUGAAUUUGAGGUAAGUGAUUAUAAAAUCCCUGUCAAAGUCUCUAAAUACAUUGAUGAAUUAUGCUUCAGUCUUAAGACUUCUCUUAAAAAGAUUUCCGAACUUAAAAAGGAAAACUCAGUUUUAAAACAAAAGGAAAACAUUUUAGAAGAAAAGAUAAAAAAUUUAGACUUAAAUGUUUCUACUCUUAAAGAGAAUGAAGACAAUCUCUCAAAAGAAAAUGCUUUCUUAAAAACGGAUUUAUCAAAUAUUUCAAAGAAAUUUUCAAUAGGGUCCGAAAAACUUGAAAAAGUCCUUUCAAUCCAAAGACCUUACUUUAAUAAGUCGAGUCUAGGUAUGACAGCUGAAACAAUUCCUUUGAUUGAUUUUCCGAAAGUAAAAGAAAGAAUUAAGAAAAGACCAUCGAGAGAGGCUUAUAAAAAUCAUUUCAAAAGAGUUUUUGUAAAGUCUGUAGGUCGAAAUGCUUUAAGGUGUUCUAAGUGUAACAGUCAGGAUCAUUUUGAAAAAGAGUGUCCUAUGGUUUGGAAGCCUGUUAAGAGAGUAUGGCCUAAUAAUGCUCAUCCUACUAACACCAAAGGACCCAAGAAAAUUUGGGUACCAAAGAAAGCUUGAGACUCUCUUUUGAAUGCAGGUCUCUGUCAAAAAGAAGAUAAAGUGGUAUCUUGACAGCGGAUGCUCAAGACACAUGACAGGAGACUCAAAUUGUUUCAUUAAGCUUAUUCAAGUAAAUGGUGGAAAAGUUUCAUACGGAGGAAAUAGCAAAGGAAGUAUUGUGGGAUUCGGGACUGUAAAAAUUGGAAAUCUCACAAUAAGCAAUGUCUCUCUAGUGGAAGGACUCAACUACAAUCUACUCAGCAUUAGCCAGCUGUGUGAUACUGGUUACAAGAUCUCCUUUCAAGAAGGCAUAUGUUCUGGAAUUAGCAAAGAUUCGACACAGUCUUUCAUGGGUCGAAGGCAUGGAAACAUCUACCUCCUUGAUGUAAAGCCAAAUGAAGAACAAUGCUUAAUCUCAAUUCAAGAUGAAGCAGUUCUAUGGCACAAAAAACUUGGCCAUAUCAACAAGAAGCAAUUAGCCAAAAUCUCUUCUAAGCAGCUUGUUCGAGGUCUACCUAAAUUGCCAUACCAAAAGUCUGACUUAUGCACUCCAUGCAUUCUGGGAAAGCAGGUAAGAAAUUCAUUUAAGCAAAUAAAUCAUGUAUCUACUAAUCAUGUACUGCAGUUGCUUCAUAUGGAUCUCUUCGGACCAACAAGAACCCAGAGCAUUGGAGGUAAGAAAUAUUGUUUAGUGAUUGUAGACGAUUUCUCUCGCUUUACCUGGGUAUAUUUUCUUGCAAAUAAAUCAGAAACCUUUUCGUACUUUGAAAAGUUUGCUAAAAAGGUUCAAAAUGAAAAAUGAUGUGUUAUUUCUAGUAUAAGAUCAGAUCAUGGAAGUGAAUUUGAAAAUCAAGAUUUUACGAAAUUCUGUGAUAAAUCUGGUGUUAAUCAUAUGUUUUCCUCUCUGUAUACUCCAGAGCAAAAUGGAGUUGUGGAAAGGAAGAAUAGAUCUCUUCAAGAAAUGGCUAGAACACUUUUAAUUGAAAGUAAAAUUUCUUCACGAUUUUGGGCCGAAACUGUUUCAACUGCUUGCUAUAUUAUAAAUAGAGUCUUUCUAAGACCUAUUCUUGAGAAAACCCCCUAUGAAUUGUUCAAUGGUAAGAAGCCUAUUGUUUCAUACUUUCAUGUAUUUGGUUGCAAAUGCUUUAUUUUGAAAAAUGCAAAUGAUCGAGUUGGUAAGUUUGAAGAAAGAUCAGAUGAAGGCAUCUUCCUUGGAUAUUCUACAUCAAGCAAAGCUUAUAGAGUCUACAACAAGAAAAGCCAGUCUGUGGAAGAAUCAAUGAAUGUCAAAUUUCAAGACUCAGUGCAAGAUGAAUCCAGCCAAACCCAGUAUGAAGAGACUGAACCCGCUCUAGACCUUCAAAUGUCUACAUCUCAAGAAGCAUCUCAGAUUCUGGAAGUCCAUCAUCAAGACGCUUAUAGAGAAUCAAAUAAAGAAAGAGAUCAUCAACCUGGCAAAUCAACUAGUAACUGGAAGCACAAAUCCAGUCAUCCCAAAGAUCUCAUUAUUGGCGAACUUAAUGAAGGAAUCCGCACCAGAUCAAAAAGGAAUGAAGAAUCUAGUGCUGUGGCUCUCAUCUCUGAAAUUGAACCAAAAAGCAUAGAAGAAGCUUUAUCUGAUGAAAGCUGGAUCGAAGCUAUGCAAGAAGAGCUCAGACAGUUCAACAUCAAUGAUGUCUGGGAAUUGACAUCUAAACCAAAAGGUAAAACCGUUAUUGGAGCCAAAUGGGUAUUCAGGAACAAGAUGAACGAAAAAGGAAAAGUCGUACGAAACAAAGCAAGACUCGUGGCCAAAGGAUAUACGCAAGAAGAAGGAAUAGACUAUGACGAGACUUACGCACCAGUUGCAAGGUUAGAAGCUAUUCGACUAUUGCUUGCAUUUGCUUGUUACAAAAAUUUCAGGUUAUUCCAAAUGGACGUCAAAAGUGCUUUCCUAAAUGGAUUUAUCCAUGAGGAAGUUUAUGUGGAACAACCGCUUGGAUUUGAAGACCCAAAGAAGCCAGACUCAAUCUUCAGACUGAAAAAGGCUCUGUAUGGUCUAAACCAAGCACCUCGAGCUUGGUACGACAGACUAAGUAAGUUUUUAUUACAGAAUGGUUUUGUCAAAGGUAAAGUAGAUACUACUUUGUUUAUCAAAAAGGAAAACAAAAACUUUUUACUUGUUCAAAUAUAUGUGGACGAUAUUAUUUUUGGAUCCUCUAAUGAAAGUCUUUGCAAGAAAUUUUCUAAGUCUAUGCAGGAUGAAUUUGAAAUGAGUAUGAUGGGAGAGUUAACAUUCUUUCUUGGACUACAAGUGAAACAAAUGAAGGAAGGAACUUUCAUCCAUCAAGAAAAAUAUGCGAAUGAUCUUGUCAAAAGGUUUGGAUUGGAAAAGUGCAAAAAGACCGACAUACCAAUGUCAUGUUCUCAGAAGAUAGACAAGGAUGAAGAAGGGAAGAAAGUAGAUCAAAAGUUGUACAGGAGCAUGAUCGGUUCACUUCUUUAUCUUACUGCUUCUAGACCUGAUAUUUUGUUUAGUGUUUGUAUCUGUGCUAGGUUUCAAUCAGAUCCUAGAGAAUCACAUCUCAUUGCCGUGAAACGUAUUAUCAAAUACGUUGCUUCAUCUUCAAGCAUCGGUCUUUGGUAUCCAAAGAGGGGAGACUUUAAUCUUCUAGGAUACUCAGAUGCAGAUCUGGCCGGUUGCAGAGUCGAUAGAAAGAGCACUUCUGGAACUUGUCAACUGCUUGGAAACAGGACAGUGUCUUGGUUUUCAAGGAAGCAAAGCACUAUAGCUCUCUCAACGACAGAAGCAGAGUAUGUAGCUCUUGGAAGCUGCUGUUCGCAAAUUCUAUGGAUAAAACAACAGCUACAAGACUUUGGCAUUGAAGACUCAUGCACAGAAAUCAGAUGUGACAACACCAGCGCGAUCAAUCUCACCAAAAAUCCAAUCCUUCAUUCAAGAGCAAAGCAUAUUGAGAUUCGUCAUCACUUUAUUAGAGAUCAUAUUCAAAAUGGAGAAAUCUCGAUUCAAUUUGUUGAUUCAAGAGUCAACUAGCAGAUAUAUUUACAAAGCCUUUGGAGAAAAAUCAAUUCGAUUUUAUCCGCUCGANNNNNNNNNNNNNNNNNNNNNNNNNNNNNNNNNNNNNNNNNNNNNNNNNNNNNNNNNNNNNNNNNNNNNNNNNNNNNNNNNNNNNNNNNNNNNNNNNNNNCUUGAGAAGUUAAAAUCUAGAGACUCACCAACUCUAAGACUUUGAUUUCAUAGACUUUAAAACUGAGACUCAAUCAUUCAUGGCUAAAAGACUGUAAGUUGCUAUCUAAAAGGUACGAAUUCUCAUUUAUCUUAUCUCGAAAAGGUACGUUCUUUUAUUCAGAUAUAAUUCGUGUGAAAUUUGAAAACUUGUCUUUUUAAAGGAAGUUAAUUUUGGCAGUUAUUGAUUUUGAAAAGAAGUGUUUGUACACUUUCCUUAUGCCAUUUAAACUUCUCUUUUCAAAUCCGAAGAAUAUAUAUAUAUAUACAGUUAUUCUACCCCCAAUUUUCAAAACCCUAAAAGGCACUCUCCUCCCGAUACUGUUUCUACUCUUUGUUCGUUGUCGAGAAAGUGGUCAUUUUUCUUGGGAAAAGCAAGUGAAGGAAUCCUCCAAUAGACAAAGAAAGAUGUCGUCUUCGAGGAAUUCAUCAAGAAUCGCAAACAGGGGACCACAGAGAAUGGAGAAGGGACCGACUCACUUCGAUCUUACUGAGGAAGAAGACUUACCAAGUCAGCGACAAAGUCCGAUUCGCUCUCCUCCACAUCAUUCAGCAUCUCCUGCCCCACAAGGUGCAAAUCUGGAAGAAGAGAUAAUCGAGGAUGUCGACCCAGUAAGAGUCCAAAGACCCUCCUUUAUCUAUAAGCUUUAUCGUGCGUUGAAAACCUCUGGUUCUUCAUUAAAAUACAUAGAUGAGUUCCUUAAGGACAAAAAUUAUGGAAAUGAGUAUCUUUUUCUGCGGAAAAUGGAAGAGUUGGGAAUUGCUCCGAAAGGAAGAGCAGAGGAGGCUCUUGCGAACAUUCCAAGUGAUCCUCGUAUACCAGGACAAAAUCUGAUUGACGGGAACGAUGAUGACAAGAUGUUCCUUGAAUUUAAACCUAGAAUGGGUGUGGCAGCAAAGGUGAAAGGAAAUCGGAUGGAUUUGUUUAAAUCUAAGGAUCAGGAAAAAGUGUAUUUCAGGCUGUUGAAAAGAGGGGUAAUCAACCCUAGAAGUGUCGAUUUUAACUUCCUGGACACCAUCAACUUGAACUUAAGGGAGAAGUUGAAUUUGCUUCAACUUGAGACUUUUUGCUCUGACUCUACAGACGGGUAUGAUCAACUGACCGCUUAUUUCUAUUCAAAUCUUAGCUUUUUGGAUGCGAAUAGAAUUUCAUUCAGUGUUCGAGACCAAGUCUAUGUGGUAUAUGUGAAUAUGUUGGCGGACAUAGUUGGAGUUGAACGGGGACGCUAUCUCCCAAUCAAAGUCUCACCUGCUCGAACUACUCUGGAUCUUGUCAAAGAUAGGGACAUAGAUAAGAAAAUUAUCUAUUCCAGGAUGAAUGCCAUCAACAUUGUGCUUCAUAAGAUUGUGAUCAACUGUCUCAGACCGAAGUCUACGUCAAAGACUUCUGUGUCUCUUUCUGAAGCAAAGUUGAUGUAUGCGAUCAACUCAGGACGGAAGUUUUCUCUCCCGCACACUAUUCUUUUCCAUAUGUACAGAGCAGUGUCAAAAGACAAAGGACAAUUGCCUUAUCCUGGUCUGGUGACCAAGAUCUUCAGACAUCUGAAUAUUGAACUGCCACAUACUUUUUGUGUUCGACCGUGUGACAAAAUGGUGGUAGGGUUGAAAAUGCUAAUGAAGAUGCGUCUGCAAGAACUCUCCAAGGCAAUGGAGAAAUUCAAAGUGAAAUCUCCAGUCCAGUCUGCUUCAAAAAGGAAAGGAAAGAAGGCCAUUGGUGCCUCAUCGAAAAAGAGGAAAAGAACUCUUAUCCUGGAGGAUGAGGAUGAAGAUGAAGAUGAAGAUGAUGAAGAUCCCUCUAUCCCAGCACUGACAAGAACAAGACGUUCUGUGUCUUAUCCGAUAGAACUUCAGCAGAGAAGAGAAGAAGAAGAGCAGAACAGAGAAGAAGAAGAACAGAGAGAGAAGAAGAAAGAAGUCGAAGAAGAAGAAGGAGGAGAAAAAGAAAAGUCUGCUGACAAAUCUGGAGAGAAGGGAAAUGAAGAGCAUGAUCAUCACUCUUCCCCUUUCGAUGUCCUAGAGACAGGGGGAGUUAGUGAGCAAGAGAGGUCUACACCUCAUGCUGCUGUCAGUGAAGAUCUAAGACAAUCUCCAGAAGACCCAGAAGAAGUUCAGGUCUCUCAAUUGCCUGAAGAAGGUGAUACGUCGAUUCCAAAUCUGCCAGACCAUACAGAAGCGCCAUCGUCUGCAUACACACCAUCUGAGAAAGCCAAUGCCAGUACACAGACAGAUGAUUCUGCAGAUCUUCGUAGCAUCAUGAAUAUUCUUCUGGAAAUGCGUAACCAGAUAUAUGUUCUGGACUGUGAGAUCCAAGCUUUGAAGCAUGCUGGACAAGCAUCUUCAGUCUCUCUGGAGGAUAAAUUCAAAGACCUCGCUCUGCAACUUCAAGCCAAUGCCAAGGGAGAAGAGGUAGCUCAUCUGCGAGAAGACAUGAAGAAGCUCGAAGGAGUAGUCCAGUCCAUUGGGGAUUUCCAGAUCGUGCGCAUUCCCAAGCAGACAUGACUCAUUUCUCACCCUUUUCAAUGCUGACAAAAAGGGGGAGAACCAAAAUUUGAACCAUUUAAAAACUUUGACUUUUGUGGUUAUGUUUAUUUUUGAGUAUGACUUGAGAACUUGAACUUGGGUGUGAAUUUGACUGAAUUGGUUGUGGAUUAUGAUGCUUGGCUGAUUGCAUUUAUUCAAGUAUUGUUAUAUGGUGUUUCUCAUGAAAGACUAACCAAUUUUCUGUGGAUGCAGAGUCUGGUUGUUUUAUUAAUCUUUAUGAGUUAGCCAUAUUGCUUGAGAAAUGUUUUGCAGGUCAAAGUUGUUCAAAUCUUCAAGAAAGUUUUGUCACCAUCAAAAAGGGGGAGAUUGUUGGAGAAAUCUUUCCAGAAUAUUUUGAAGCUGACAAAACGUUUCUUUCAGUCUAAAGUCUGGAUGUUCGGAGACCGUCAGUUUAAAGUCUGAAGACUUUGUUCUCUCGAGACUCAAGACUCAAGAUCCAAGACUCAAGACUCAAGACCCAAGACUUAAGACUCAGGACUCAAGACUUAAGUCUAUUCUCACUGACAGUCUUUCUAAUCCAGUGACGAAGGAAAUCCAAAGCCGAGGUUUAUGGUUGAGGAUUCGAUCCUAUCCUCUGGAAUAGAUUCUUUGGUUGGAUAAUCGUUUCGGAUUCUUUAAUUCUUAUCUAAGAUCGAUUGAAGAUCCGAUGGUCGACGAAAUAAUCUUGCAAAGUUCUAUUCAUGGAAACCGAGAUCCUGAUUGUAUGGGCGAACAGGAUUGAUGGGCUAUCAUCAGAUUCCUUAAAUAGCUCGGAUGAUCUUCUUGAUUGAUUCCGUCCAACGGGUAGAUUGGAGGAAUUCCUUUGGUAAGUGCCAACGGCUAUGAUGGCAUGAAGGAGUAUAAAAGGAAGACGUCUAGUUGUUUUAAGUAUGUGAGUGAUAGAAAAAUUCCAGAGUCUGAAGAUCCUUGAUUGUUAUUUGAGACUGUUCGAGCGAAAUUGUAUACAGAGAGAAUAUAUACUUAGUGACGCCUUGAGUGAGUGUGGUAGAUCAUCUACACCUAGAAAUCAAGGAAGAUCAACACUGUAACAUCUCUUUGAUCAUAGUGGAAUCCAGCCAAUCGGCUGUCAGUGCAGAAGAGUGGACGUAGGCUUGAAUCAAGCCGAACCACUAUAAACUAAGUGUUCGAUUCUCUCUUUCCCUUACUCAGUCUUGCGAUUGAAUCUUUAACUGUUUAAAUAUCGUGCAAGCUUUGAUAAAUUUUUUAUAUACCUAUUCACCCCCCUCUAGGUACUCGUACUAGCUAUUUCAACUUAACAGCCUACUCUUAAGUUUGAAAUAUGACUGGCAUAAGUACAUUAUGUCUCUUUAAUGGACCACUUCAUGUUUGUUCCCACAGUUUGAAGAAGUGCAAACUUAUGCUCCAAAGAAGAACAAUUUUUUUUUUCAGUUGAAGAAGUAAUAUACUAAAGUAUCAGGUUUUCCCCUAAAUUUAAAUCAAUUGAGAGGUCAAAGUGCAGAAAAGGUGAAUCUUUAAAGGCCGCACAAGUACAGAGAAUAAUCUUCUUAUGGUAGGUUCACCGCAGUCUAGUUACUGACUGAGAACCUGUACAUGUUCAUAAUGAUAGAUACUAUCAUGGUAGCUAGUAUAGCAAGAUACUGUAGAGCAUUCGUAGUUUACAUGCAUACCAUAGCCUCCUUAGGCACCAAGGUUUGCUUACCGCCUAUGUUUUAGCAUAAUGCGUGUUGUACUUUUGCUUUUACCCAACAAAGGUAUCUAAACAUCACGUUAGUUAUGGCCAUAUAUUCAAGGAACGUUGGACUGAAAUCAAGUUCAUGUUUUUAUGGCGACGGCAAGUAGAGGUGUGGCUUGUGUUUUAGCUACAAGAAAGCGGGCCCUGGUCUACAUACUGGACGAGGAUGAAGACGAAAUCUCUGAUUCGGAAUGACUGCCUGUUCAAGAUUUUGUGGUGGUUAUGCUUGUGUUGCUCCUGUGGGUGGACCUCUCCGAAGCUGCAGACAUCGGUGUGAGAAGCAAUGCUUUUGUGACUGAAGUUUUUCGGUUCCGCCCUUCUUGGAAAGUGUUAAUUUAUACUUGUCACGUGCCUUUCCUGCUUGGUGGGCAUUUGUUGAAGAGAAAAUUGGAGCAAAAGGUAACUAUUUAUCUAGAGCCAUGGCUUCUGUUUGGUGGCAAUUGCCUUCAUAGAAUUGCUGCAAGCUUUGAGACCCAUUCGAUAGUGCCAAGCUUGUGCUUCAUCUGUAUAUGUUUAUAACCCUCAUAUAUAAGAGAAACAAAUGCUUGGUUUGGAUUAUUUAUACUUUGGGUUGAAUGGUUCACUUGGUGUAAUCGACCAACGAACUUUGCGUUUGAAUGUUAAAAUCUCUCACCUAAAUUUGACUUGCUUCUCUAUGUCAACGUUAAGUGAUGCAUCCAUUUCAAAGCACAAAAUACGGUUGUGUGGAAGGGCUACCCUCCGGGAUCAAUAUAAUCAACAUGACCAGCCACUAAAGAGCAUUUGACUAUAUUGCUGCAUCAGAAAUUCAGAAUCCGCAAAUGAACGGUAGGUUUAGGAUGAUGAGAUUAUGUCUACAAUAUCUUCAAUGGACUUGUGUUUUCUUAACCAAGAGUAUCGCGUAGCCAUUGAAUUUAAUGAUGUAUAAACUUAUAGGAGUGUUCAAUUUUUUAAGUAGUUCAUGACAUAAAGGAACUGUGGAAUGACCCAGUAAAUAUGAAAGAUCCAGAUACUCAAUCUUAUGAUAAAGGACAAAAUUCUAGUGCAGACCCAAUAUUAAAUCAAACAGACCCCGUGCAGCUUUGCAUCAAAGCUCGUUAUAGAGAAAUUCAAGUAAACCAUUUCAAAGAUUGAGAAAACAAGAAGAGAAGGCCAGGAAAUCGAGUAUGAGAGAACUUAGGGCGCGUUUGGUUUAGUGGUUUAAGCAUAUUGGGAAAAUGUGAAGUAAGACUGAAUUGCCAACGGUGCCACGUAAGACUGCCGGCGCUGACGUGGAUAAUUUUUAAUAACAUUUUAAUAAUUUUUAAUAUUAUUUUUUUUUCCUUUUUGGCUUUUUCCUUGGCCAUUUCUAGACCCGUUAAACGGGUGGGUCGGGUCGGGUUUGAGUCGGGUCAUAAAUGGUCCGAGCCAAAUCGACCCAUUUAACCCGUUUAUGACCCAUUUAUUGUAGUGCAAAUUUUUUGACCCAUACCCAACCCGACCUAUACCCAACCCAUACCCGACCCAUUUAACGAAACAUAAAAAAGCUUAUAUAUAUUUUUUAAAAUGGUAUUGCUAACAUGAUUUUAUACAAUACAAAUUUUAAAAAUAAUUAUUUAAAAAAAUCGAAUAUUAAUUAUUUUUUAUUUUUAAAAAUUAAAUUUUAUAUUGUAACUUUCUUUAUCUUUCUUUUUCUUUUUCUCUCUUCAUCUUUGGCCGCCUUCAGCACGACGACGGCCGAUGACCGGCCACAGGCGAGCUGGCUCGCCCGGGCUGCCGACGUCGACGAGAGCGAGCUCGCCCCUCGCCGGAUCUGGCGAGGUGGGAGCCUCGCUCGACGCCGGCGAGUUUGAGUCUCGCCCAAUCGGCGAGGCUCAGGCCUCAGCGGACGUCGGCAAGGCCUCCGCCUCGCUAGAUCCAGCGAGCUCGAGCCUCGCCGGACGUCGACGAGGCCUUCGCCUUGCCAAAUCUAGCAAGGGGCGAGCUCGAGGCUCGCCGGCGUUGAGCGAGCUCGAGCUCGCCCCUCGCCAGAUAUGGCGAGGCUCGAGCCUCGCCGGACGUCGGCGAGGCCUUCGCCUCGCCAGAUCUGGCGAGCUCGAGGCUCGCCGGGCGUCGGUGAGGCCUCCGCCUCUCCAGAUCCGGUGAGCUCAAGCUCGCCCGAUGCCGGCGAGCUCAAGGCUUGCCUGGCCGGUCGCCGGCCAUUGCCGUGCCGGUGACCGGAGGAAGAAAAAAAACGGAAAGAAAAAAGAAAAAAUAAUUAUAAUUUCAGUUUUUAUAAAAAAAAUUAUAAAGUUAAAGAGAAGAAAGAGAGAUAAUGAGGUUUUGAGUGAAAAAUGGGUUAAUAAAUGGGUCAAAGAGCUGACCCAUUUAAAACCCAUAUAUCUUAGUGUUUACCCAUUAAAACUUAUUAUGGGUGCUUUAUAAGAUAAUNNNNNNNNNNNNNNNNNNNNNNNNNNNNNNNNNNNNNNNNNNNNNNNNNNNNNNNNNNNNNNNNNNNNNNNNNNNNNNNNNNNNNNNNNNNNNNNNNNNNNNNNNNNNNNNNNNNNNNNNNNNNNNNNNNNNNNNNNNNNNNNNNNNNNNNNNNNNNNNNNNNNNNNNNNNNNNNNNNNNNNNNNNNNNNNNNNNNNNNNNNNNNNNNNNNNNNNNNNNNNNNNNNNNNNNNNNNNNNNNNNNNNNNNNNNNNNNNNNNNNNNNNNNNNNNNNNNNNNNNNNNNNNNNNNNNNNNNNNNNNNNNNNNNNNNNNNNNNNNNNNNNNNNNNNNNNNNNNNNNNNNNNNNNNNNNNNNNNNNNNNNNNNNNNNNNNNNNNNNNNNNNNNNNNNNNNNNNNNNNNNNNNNNNNNNNNNNNNNNNNNNNNNNNNNNNNNNNNNNNNNNNNNNNNNNNNNNNNNNNNNNNNNNNNNNNNNNNNNNNNNNNNNNNNNNNNNNNNNNNNNNNNNNNNNNNNNNNNNNNNNNNNNNNNNNNNNNNNNNNNNNNNNNNNNNNNNNNNNNNNNNNNNNNNNNNNNNNNNNNNNNNNNNNNNNNNNNNNNNNNNNNNNNNNNNNNNNNNNNNNNNNNNNNNNNNNNNNNNNNNNNNNNNNNNNNNNNNNNNNNNNNNNNNNNNNNNNNNNNNNNNNNNNNNNNNNNNNNNNNNNNNNNNNNNNNNNNNNNNNNNNNNNNNNNNNNNNNNNNNNNNNNNNNNNNNNNNNNNNNNNNNNNNNNNNNNNNNNNNNNNNNNNNNNNNNNNNNNNNNNNNNNNNNNNNNNNNNNNNNNNNNNNNNNNNNNNNNNNNNNNNNNNNNNNNNNNNNNNNNNNNNNNNNNNNNNNNNNNNNNNNNNNNNNNNNNNNNNNNNNNNNNNNNNNNNNNNNNNNNNNNNNNNNNNNNNNNNNNNNNNNNNNNNNNNNNNNNNNNNNNNNNNNNNNNNNNNNNNNNNNNNNNNNNNNNNNNNNNNNNNNNNNNNNNNNNNNNNNNNNNNNNNNNNNNNNNNNNNNNNNNNNNNNNNNNNNNNNNNNNNNNNNNNNNNNNNNNNNNNNNNNNNNNNNNNNNNNNNNNNNNNNNNNNNNNNNNNNNNNNNNNNNNNNNNNNNNNNNNNNNNNNNNNNNNNNNNNNNNNNNNNNNNNNNNNNNNNNNNNNNNNNNNNNNNNNNNNNNNNNNNNNNNNNNNNNNNNNNNNNNNNNNNNNNNNNNNNNNNNNNNNNNNNNNNNNNNNNNNNNNNNNNNNNNNNNNNNNNNNNNNNNNNNNNNNNNNNNNNNNNNNNNNNNNNNNNNNNNNNNNNNNNNNNNNNNNNNNNNNNNNNNNNNNNNNNNNNNNNNNNNNNNNNNNNNNNNNNNNNNNNNNNNNNNNNNNNNNNNNNNNNNNNNNNNNNNNNNNNNNNNNNNNNNNNNNNNNNNNNNNNNNNNNNNNNNNNNNNNNNNNNNNNNNNNNNNNNNNNNNNNNNNNNNNNNNNNNNNNNNNNNNNNNNNNNNNNNNNNNNNNNNNNNNNNNNNNNNNNNNNNNNNNNNNNNNNNNNNNNNNNNNNNNNNNNNNNNNNNNNNNNNNNNNNNNNNNNNNNNNNNNNNNNNNNNNNNNNNNNNNNNNNNNNNNNNNNNNNNNNNNNNNNNNNNNNNNNNNNNNNNNNNNNNNNNNNNNNNNNNNNNNNNNNNNNNNNNNNNNNNNNNNNNNNNNNNNNNNNNNNNNNNNNNNNNNNNNNNNNNNNNNNNNNNNNNNNNNNNNNNNNNNNNNNNNNNNNNNNNNNNNNNNNNNNNNNNNNNNNNNNNNNNNNNNNNNNNNNNNNNNNNNNNNNNNNNNNNNNNNNNNNNNNNNNNNNNNNNNNNNNNNNNNNNNNNNNNNNNNNNNNNNNNNNNNNNNNNNNNNNNNNNNNNNNNNNNNNNNNNNNNNNNNNNNNNNNNNNNNNNNNNNNNNNNNNNNNNNNNNNNNNNNNNNNNNNNNNNNNNNNNNNNNNNNNNNNNNNNNNNNNNNNNNNNNNNNNNNNNNNNNNNNNNNNNNNNNNNNNNNNNNNNNNNNNNNNNNNNNNNNNNNNNNNNNNNNNNNNNNNNNNNNNNNNNNNNNNNNNNNNNNNNNNNNNNNNNNNNNNNNNNNNNNNNNNNNNNNNNNNNNNNNNNNNNNNNNNNNNNNNNNNNNNNNNNNNNNNNNNNNNNNNNNNNNNNNNNNNNNNNNNNNNNNNNNNNNNNNNNNNNNNNNNNNNNNNNNNNNNNNNNNNNNNNNNNNNNNNNNNNNNNNNNNNNNNNNNNNNNNNNNNNNNNNNNNNNNNNNNNNNNNNNNNNNNNNNNNNNNNNNNNNNNNNNNNNNNNNNNNNNNNNNNNNNNNNNNNNNNNNNNNNNNNNNNNNNNNNNNNNNNNNNNNNNNNNNNNNNNNNNNNNNNNNNNNNNNUGUUGGCUUUUACUUGAAAAUUACUUUAAAAUAAUUGUUAAACGAUUGAGCAUUUUCCCAAGGGUUUUAGAGACUGAAAGCUCUUUGGGAAUGUUAAACCAAACGCAUCUUAAGGGUUGACAAUGCAUGCGUUAUGGGAAAAGGCUGCAUUGCCACUGGAUAACAGCAAUAGGCAAGACUUGUCACAUGGGUCUCCAUGGAUUUGGUCGCAAUUCUAAUGCAUAAUAAGCGUAUAAUUCAAGUACACUCUUUGAAUGGUACGACCUUGCAUUUCUUACAUGUGAUACAUCAGAGAACUUUCCUGAAGAAAGAUGUCGAAAGAACUGAGGUAGAGAGACACUUUUCAAUGAAAAAAAGUAGUCGCUUAAGAAGGCUUUCGACGAAGCUGUUCUAUAUACAGAUGAAGAAUAUCACCAAUGAAAUAAUACCACCAUUUAAGAAAGAAGUACCAUCAUUUCUAUCAGGAAUAGAAUCAUCUUCCCUAAAACGAAGAAAGAACUAUGAACAAGCCCGGACUUCGAUAGUUGGUUGGUCUAACUCCACGAGUCUGACACCUGUCUUCCUGAUGAAGUACCCCUACUGCAGCACCGCCUUUAUCUUGAGCCAGCCAAUAACACCUCUGCCGGUUCCCCUAACAAAACCAUUAUCGGAUAACGGGUCAUUACACGGUGUGCUUUCAGCAAACCAUUUCUCAAAAGCAUCAAGAUCAAUUGAUUGGAUCUCUUCCAUCACAUGAUCGCCUUCAAGAAGAACAUGAUCAUAUCCUCCAUUGUCCAUUGGGCUCGAAGAACCGAUCAUUUGGCGACGUAUGGCAUUCUGUACAUUGAUACCAAGGGGCUGUGUUGGCAAUCCGGCAGAAGUACUAUCAUGAAAUCCUGGAGGAAUCUGAACAUUCGAGCGGUCUGCAGACAUGGGCUGAUGUGCAGCUGGAGGAAAAUUUGGUGAUUGAAACGGCAAUACCAAAGCCGUUGCACCAUUGAGUCCUGGAGAAAGAACUAAAACAUUAAUGCGGUUCGUAAACAUAGGCCGACGUAAGCACAGGUCUACGAGCCUAUAAAAAUUCUUGCAAUUCAUCAUGAGCUUUUACAAUUCUGGUAUCACAGAAAGUGCUAUCAGUUUUUUUUUUCUUUUUUCCCCCUACCCUGCACAUCUCUUUAAUUUUUCUUGCCCCUGAUCUUUGUAAUCUUAACGCGCUUCAAUUGACAAGGCCCUUUCUAAAAUGACAAAAAUGCAAAUAUAAACAUAUUGCCAUGUGCUCAUACAUCUAGUCAUAUCUACCUAGUGGUAGCAUUAUCUUGUCAACAUUUCACUUAGCAUCAUCUAAGUGAAGGGUUCAUGAGUAUCGCCCCUCCCCGUCCCCAAUCCCCCACUCAAAAAAGNNNNNNNNNNNNNNNNNNNNNNNNNNNNNNNNNNNNNNNNNNNNNNNNNNNNNNNNNNNNNNNNNNNNNNNNNNNNNNNNNNNNNNNNNNNNNNNNNNNNUACGUAUAUAUGUAUUGAAUGAGGCUCAUUUUGCAACAAUCACAGCUGGACAAACGAACGUCUUUAUAUUAAGUGGAACCCAAAAGGAUCAGUUACACAAUGCUUUUAUAUAUAAAAGCUCAACAAUCAAGUGGAAAUUCCAAUUUUCAUUGUAAUUUCACAGGCCACGUCUUUGUAUGUGCUUAAAGGGAGAGACAGUAUUGUGUUCUAGAGAACGUACCUUCAGCAGUGGAGCUCACAUUUGCCGGAGGAGCUUCCAGACCAAACGGGGCAGGAAAGAUUGGUGGAGCCAAAUAACGUUGAACAGGGUUGCGCCUCAUUGAAUCAGAGAACGUCUCACCAUUGAACUCUCUCACAUCAUUCCAGUGAGCCAAGGCCUUUUUCACAAUUGCAUCUCCAUGUUCCUGGGAAAAACACACCUGGUAUAUUGCUUAAGCUGUACUAAUGGAAGUAUUUAUCUCCAUUAUUGACAGAUUAACAUUCUGGCUUCAAGCAACUACUUUUUUUCGACAAGUAAAGUUGCAUUCCAAUGGAUGAACUUGUAUUCAGAUUAAGUACGUGAGUGCAGCACAGAUAAAGAAGAACAAUAUUGAAAGAACCGCAAUUUGCUUUAUGCCUAUAUCUGCCCAUUUCUCUACCACGUAAAGGUCAGGCGCUCAAAAGAUGUAAUUUAGAGUACAUUCAAGGCAAGGCCCUCAAUGUAAAGAUGCAAAGUUGAUCAAGAAAGGACCAGAGAAGAAAUAAAGCACUCAUUGAUAUGUAUUGUGCAAGUAAUUAAGAUCUUGAUGGUUAUAAACUUGGAAAGUAAUGGUCACAACGGGAAUGUGUUAAUCGUUUAAACAAUUUGUUGAUGAGUGCCUCAGAUUCUUGUGGAUGAAACCGAAUUAACUGCUGAAAGCGGUCUUCAACUACUCAAUACAGAAGACCACUUAAAUUUACAAGGUCACCAACCUUCAACUUUGCUUCACAAAGAGAGCAAGCCCAAAAUCACUCUAUUAAUAGAAAGGUCUCUAUUCUGAUCUAAACGUAGCAUCUAUUUUUUUCUUUUUAUUCUCUUCAACAGGAACUUUCAUUUUUACUUUUAUGAUCAGAAAAAAAAANNNNNNNNNNNNNNNNNNNNNNNNNNNNNNNNNNNNNNNNNNNNNNNNNNNNNNNNNNNNNNNNNNNNNNNNNNNNNNNNNNNNNNNNNNNNNNNNNNNNUGAAGUAAAAUAAAAUAAAAAGUCUCUAGACUUCUCUACAAAUGGCUAAUAACAUAAGAUAGAGAAUUCUAGACUUCUCGUGAAGCAUAGACUUCUUUAGACUUCUUUUGCUUGUUCUAGGAUUUUCUUGACUUUUCUAGCUAAUAUCAAUCUUGAAGCUUCUAGAAAUUGGAUCACACAUUCCAACAAUAACCCGUCAACACUACACAGAAAGCCUUUCUCAACAGCAUCACAAGGGAAGUGCAUUCACACCUCGCAAGUUGGGGAGAAUGAAUGCUUCCAAGCUCCACUGCUUCCAUCUGUUCAAAACCACCAACAGCAGAAUUGCCAAAGUUGGAGACAUCCAAAAAAUGAAGCAGAAGGGAUAUGACAGAGACAAACCAAUAAAUUUAUAGACUCUGUUUAUCUUACCAGUUUCUGAACAGCAUACUCUAUUGAGUGCAACCAUUGCGCAACCACUUCAAGAGCAUGCCCAGUGCAACUACACAUGUAAAUUACACUCUGAAUAACUGCUGUCUAGCGGACUCAUUCGUAACCAAUAGACAAAUAUCCAUAUGUAACAUAUUAUUCACUAGUCCAAAUAAAUGUCAGACCUAAUUACAGGAUAAAAACAUAGAUACUACACUCAAAAAAAAAAAAAAAAAGUUGACAUGAAGCUGGAAUACGUAUUUAUCCAGUACAGUUAUAAAAGAAGCCAGUAAAGUUAAUUAGCAGCUAUCUACAACUGCAGAGUCUUUUCAGUGAUUAACAAAAAAAAAGUGUCUGCAGGUAUUCCCCUUUGCCUAAAAGAAUCAUGGAUUGAUGGCAUAUGAGAAUCUGAUGAUAUUUUCAUAUGGCGAGACAACACAAAUGGAAAUUCUACUGGAGGAAUCGAUUGAUGCAGAUAAGAUACUGCCAGUGAACCCAAGAAAUAUAUUCACCUUUGACAUUCAGGCGAGUGAGACUUAGCCCGCUCCAGCACUUCUCUAACCUGUUUAGCAAAGAGUGAUAGCAAAGAAUUACGUUGCAAGAAUCAUCUGUCAUGUAAUCAUUGCAUUCAAGUUUCACAUCACAGGCAUCUUCUUUGUCCUCCUUCUACAUUUAAAUUGAUAUCGACCACAUUUCCAAGAUUCAUGGCGACAGUUAUAUCCAGGGCACUUCAUUGAAAAUUUGGAUCUUUUCGUGAUUCAUACUGUCCAAAACAACAUGAAAAGCCUAAAGCAUGUUCUCAGUGCAAUUGCUUCACAUGAAAAGCCUAGAAUAUUCAACGGGUCAUUUUUACCACACAAAGAAUAAUUCUCUAUACAUCUCACAGCUAUUUCUCAUACGGAUUUCCAUCCAGAAACUGACUGGAAUGUUAGAAAUUCAUCUAACUGCUCAACUCAAAGAGAUCAGGAAUUGAAAUAUGNNNNNNNNNNNNNNNNNNNNNNNNNNNNNNNNNNNNNNNNNNNNNNNNNNNNNNNNNNNNNNNNNNNNNNNNNNNNNNNNNNNNNNNNNNNNNNNNNNNNNNNNNNNNNNNNNNNNNNNNNNNNNNNNNNNNNNNNNNNNNNNNNNNNNNNNNNNNNNNNNNNNNNNNNNNNNNNNNNNNNNNNNNNNNNNNNNNNNNNNNNNNNNNNNNNNNNNNNNNNNNNNNNNNNNNNNNNNNNNNNNNNNNNNNNNNNNNNNNNNNNNNNNNNNNNNNNNNNNNNNNNNNNNNNNNNNNNNNNNNNNNNNNNNNNNNNNNNNNNNNNNNNNNNNNNNNNNNNNNNNNNNNNNNNNNNNNNNNNNNNNNNNNNNNNNNNNNNNNNNNNNNNNNNNNNNNNNNNNNNNNNNNNNNNNNNNNNNNNNNNNNNNNNNNNNNNNNNNNNNNNNNNNNNNNNNNNNNNNNNNNNNNNNNNNNNNNNNNNNNNNNNNNNNNNNNNNNNNNNNNNNNNNNNNNNNNNNNNNNNNNNNNNNNNNNNNNNNNNNNNNNNNNNNNNNNNNNNNNNNNNNNNNNNNNNNNNNNNNNNNNNNNNNNNNNNNNNNNNNNNNNNNNNNNNNNNNNNNNNNNNNNNNNNNNNNNNNNNNNNNNNNNNNNNNNNNNNNNNNNNNNNNNNNNNNNNNNNNNNNNNNNNNNNNNNNNNNNNNNNNNNNNNNNNNNNNNNNNNNNNNNNNNNNNNNNNNNNNNNNNNNNNNNNNNNNNNNNNNNNNNNNNNNNNNNNNNNNNNNNNNNNNNNNNNNNNNNNNNNNNNNNNNNNNNNNNNNNNNNNNNNNNNNNNNNNNNNNNNNNNNNNNNNNNNNNNNNNNNNNNNNNNNNNNNNNNNNNNNNNNNNNNNNNNNNNNNNNNNNNNNNNNNNNNNNNNNNNNNNNNNNNNNNNNNNNNNNNNNNNNNNNNNNNNNNNNNNNNNNNNNNNNNNNNNNNNNNNNNNNNNNNNNNNNNNNNNNNNNNNNNNNNNNNNNNNNNNNNNNNNNNNNNNNNNNNNNNNNNNNNNNNNNNNNNNNNNNNNNNNNNNNNNNNNNNNNNNNNNNNNNNNNNNNNNNNNNNNNNNNNNNNNNNNNNNNNNNNNNNNNNNNNNNNNNNNNNNNNNNNNNNNNNNNNNNNNNNNNNNNNNNNNNNNNNNNNNNNNNNNNNNNNNNNNNNNNNNNNNNNNNNNNNNNNNNNNNNNNNNNNNNNNNNNNNNNNNNNNNNNNNNNNNNNNNNNNNNNNNNNNNNNNNNNNNNNNNNNNNNNNNNNNNNNNNNNNNNNNNNNNNNNNNNNNNNNNNNNNNNNNNNNNNNNNNNNNNNNNNNNNNNNNNNNNNNNNNNNNNNNNNNNNNNNNNNNNNNNNNNNNNNNNNNNNNNNNNNNNNNNNNNNNNNNNNNNNNAAAUUAGAUUAAAAUAAUCUAAAAUUUUAUUUUAUUUGAUUUUAUCUUUUAAAAAAGAGCCAUAGGAUCCUCGCCGAUGGGUCACCGCGGCCGCCACAGCUGCCAAGAGUGAUCACGUCUACCAUCCGGAAACUCAUCUUCUUGCAGCAAUGCCCUCUUCCUCAACAUAAUGAAGGAGGACAUCUGCACUCUAAUGGAGAAAUGAACAUUGCUGAUAAUUCUGUCAACUGAAGAUGUUCCUCCAUGAAGUGCCCUAUUUCUUUCUUUCUGGAUGAAAUAAAUCGCUGCACCAGCCCGUAAGACCCAAAAAAAUUCAGCCUGCCUAGGUGACCUCCACCGGCCCUCUUCGGCGUUGGUGACCCACCGGCGUGGGCACUUUUUUUUUUUUUAAAAAAAAUAUGCUUUUAAUUUUUGUAAAAUCUAAUUUAAGUUAGAUUUGGAGAAGAAAAUAACAAAGAACGUCAUAUUAGCAUUUUUCUUGACGGAAUUAACAGAAGGAUUUGAUUGCAUUAAUUUGACAAGUUUUGUACUUUUUAAAAAUCUUAAAAUACAAUUACACUUUCAUUAUAAGUUUUUAAACUUCAAAUGCACUUAUUUCUAUUUGUUAUCAUCUAUAGUGCUAAAAAAAAACAUUAAUCACUUCUAACCACAUGCGAUUAUAAGGCCAAACUCCAAGCUUGGCUUUCUGUUGGACGUGGCCAAUUUUAUUAUAAUAUUGAAAAAAAAAAGAAACAAUAAUAAUAAAGGUUAAUAUUACGAAAAAUUCCGAAUUGGUACACUGUAAAAUGUUUACUCAAACUGAUUUUUAAACUCUCCGAAACCCUAAAUUGCUUUACGUAUAACAAAUUUACUUUUUAUUAAUUUCCAUUAAUGCUUAUUGUCAAAUCAUUGAAUUGGAUGGCACGUGCCUUCCGUUCGUCACAAAUGUACUGAUUUGGAUUUUUUGUGGUAUUAAUCCGAUUUAAGAUAAACUAACAUAAAAUAAAUUUAUCACAAAUAUACAAAUUUGAAGUUUUUGGUGAUUAAAAAAUUAAUUUAUGAUAAAUCUAUUGUAUCUAUAUCAAUUUUGGAUUGUAGUGAUCAAAAAAUUAGUUUAGAAUAAAUAAAUCAAAGGUAUAUUAAUUUUGGGUUUUUCCUAACAUAAUUAACCCAAAUUAUAAUAAGACAAAGAAUGCGAGUGGAUUAGCAUAAGCCUUAUGCCAUAAGGUGGUGGAGUGAUUAAAUUAAACACAUGCAAACCGAACCGAGUGAAGUGGGGAUUUUGUCAACUCUGAAGGCUGCUUGGCUUUCUGGUGUACGUGGCCAAUCUUGCAGUUCAAGCUUUGUCCUCUCACGCGUUUCCCCAAUACGGUGACGUUGGCAGGUGACGCGGAAAUAUUUCAAUAAAAUCCCAAAAUUUAUUCAAAAUUGAAAUUGUAGCCCAUCAUCCAAUAGAAGAUGUGCUUACAAGCACUAUUACGAGUAAUUUGGCUGGGAGGAAUUCCUUCUAUAAUCUCUCACGGUGCUCUAAUAUAUUAUUUAUUUUGUCCUAAAAGAGGAAAUUAUGAAUUUUUCUUUUUUGAUAAUAUAAGUUUAUUACUGCUCUCUCGACCCACGUAAACAAACAAGGGCAAUUCCAGGCGGCUAAACAAGGGAGGCCAUUCGACUCAAAAAAGAAAAAAAAAUCAAGGGAGGCUAAAGUUAAAACUGGCUAAAAUCUAGAGUUUAGGCUGCUAUGGAUGCUAUUGCUUUAAUAUUUUUUUUUCUUUGGUCGACUUUUCAACGUUAACUAUUUUUCCAUCUCGCAAUAAAUGUGCGUGCGGGAAUGUCACCUCCUGCCAGGCUCCAAAUCCGAACUUAGAAUUUAGGGAAUGACCGAAUAUUCCCUAUAAAAUAAAGGACAAAACCUUCAACCGUUAAUAGCUACCUUUCACCGAAUGAAUAUACUAACAAAGUUCAGAGUGUCGUAAAUUAACCCAAAUGAGAGUUUCAUGAUAGCCCUUACUCAAGCGAUCUAAAUAGAGCUCCAUGUCAUUCUAGGUUGCUCUCUAUGUGACUUGUCAAGUAUCUUUUACUUGCACCCUGAAAUGGUAUCGAAAGGGGGUGAACAAAAUUAUGACUACGGAGGUAACAAUCACCACUUCAAUGAAAUUGAGUAGUGAAUGAUGCCAAAAAAAAUUUGUGUCAAUUAUGUGGCACAUUAACAAAAACACCACAGUUAAAUCACGUGCAUCAUACAUCAUCGAUUUACUCAACAUAAAGAUACUAGAUCAAUUGCUCAUAUCGGAACACUAUGGCCACACUUUGGUAGGUUACAAGAUCUAGAGAACCACGUCCGUUGUAGUUAAGCCCUAGAAAACAUAUCACUUGUGGUUGAGCCCCAAAAUCGAACCGAUUAGCAAAUAUAUAUCAUUUCUCAAUGCAUAGGUUGACCAUGUGUAUCAAUUCAAUAUCAAUACAUGAUAUUUGACAUAUCAAUAAGUGAUUUGAAAUAAUUCACCUACAUAAUCAUUUUCAUUGUAUAUCCAAAAUGACAACAACUUGAAAAUCCAUCCAAUACCCGAUCCAAUAAUAUGACAAAAUAAUUUUACAUCUUAGUAACAACGCGAUGCAAGUUUCAGCCCUUCAUCAGAAAUUGCACCAACAGAAAUAGAGGCUGAACUCACUUGGGCCAAGAAGCCCGUUUAGGACGAAAUUUAUGUGAAUGCCCUUUGAUACUCGAUUUUGGAUCCAUGGGCCCGAUAAGUAAACCCAAUGGUCCAAAAAUUACUUAAAGCCUUGAAACAUCCAAAGAUCCUCAAUUAUAAUUAUUGUUAUUUUGCAGGAAAUUCGUCCAUUUUGCAUAAAACAUAUAGAAAUUAGAUUUUUUUUUUUUUCAAUUUUCGAUCGCUCUAGUCUAUUUUCUUCAAUGAUAUCACUAACCUUUGAAAGGCUACAAAUCAGAAUUUCAUACCACCAAUAUUUAUCUCAACAAAUCAAAUCAACUAGAAAAUUUUCGAUGUACAUACAAUUAUUGUUUUAUAACAUUCACUAUUCUAGUAAAUUUCAAAAAAGUAACAGAAACAUUCAAUAUUUCUAAAAAUCAUGAUAUAUCUCAUGAGCUUGAUUAAAAGAAGAUAAAGUCAAGGAGGGAUCUAGGGCAACAAUCCUACAUACCUAGUAAUUUCAAUAUUAUUUGGAAGUACGAUAAUCCAACCGUUGAACACCUAUUUGAGUCGUCCCAUGCCCUAAUCCUGAAGUCAUUCUUCUAAAUUUUUUUUAGCCAUCGAUGCUUCCUUUUAUCAAAUUCUAAGUUAAUGCUUUUUCAUUUUUCACAUAUACAUGGUCUUUCUAAUUUAUAACGUUUUGAUUGAAUAUUACAUUUUCAUGAAUAUCAUGAUUUUCUUUUGUAUUAUCAAUUAUGUAUUAAUCAAUUGAGUUGUUAUUACUAAAUAGAUUGUUAUCAAAACUUGGGAAUUAAAUGUAAAAGUCAGAUGUACUCGAAAUCUUGCUCCCCAUAAGCCAAUUUUUUACACCUCCACUCAACGUAGAAUUAGAUAAUGUUCUGGAGGCAACUCUAUGGGAUUUUAUGACCAUAUAUUAUACGCUAUAACCGUCGUUGAAUUUUUGUUAUUUUUAAGCAAUAGUAAGAUCUGAGUAAGGAGGGGAAAAGAGCUGAAUUAGUGUGAUAUUAUUGAUCUGUAAGUCACAUUUCGUCAUUUGAUUGACCUGUUUUACAUGUAGUGGUCAGAAUGUCGAAUUGUAUGAACCAUGGCAUUGACGGGAAAAUUAUCAAAAAAAAAAAAAUCCUAAACUUAUUGCAUUUGUAUUAAUUUAAUCCUGAACCUUUUAAUUGUAUCAAUUAACUCCUAAACAUUUUCACAUUUUGCCCGAACAAUAGCCCUACCCAAUAUUUUCUCAUAUUUUCUCUAUCUACUUGGACGUGCUAUUGGCUAGAUGCAAUUUUGAGUCCAAAGUAGAUCCACGCAGCACUUGUCGCCUCACCUCUUUCCCCCACCCCCUCUUGUCACCCUAGCUUUUUGCCAGGAUUAGUUGCGAUUCAGCCCUCAGUCGAGACACUACAAUGUUUCAUCCGACGAUGGAAACAACGCCGACUCAAAACCUCAUCAGUAUUAUUACAUAGUUCGAGCAUCUUUUUGCUCAUCCUGUUAGCACCAGGUGCGUUGCCUCAGAGACGCGCGGAAUGUUCAUCCUUGUGCUGAUCACGCAUGUUUCAGGUCCAAUUCUAGUUUUAUACUGAAUAUCUACUCAUCGUUAGGAGUCUUGGAUGAAGGGUUUAUGUCUCCCACAGUCUCUACACUCGACUUGAUUCGGGUUGUCGGGUUGGUUUCGACAGGAGCGCAUGUGAUCACAGGGGGAUAGAAUACGAAAGAAAAGGAAAUACUUCCACCACUAAUCAUUGAACAGUAACAACAACAAUAAUAAUGAUAAAUGGGAUCAAUAAAUCUAUAAAUCAAGAGGGGUUCCGUCAUCACCACCAUCACCAUCUCUCGUCAUAGUUGUCUCUCGUUCACAAAAAUAAAAAAAAAUGGGCAUAAAAAUGCAAAAAAGAAAACGAGAAAUAUUUUAGUUGGCAGGGUUGCCGCCGAGGGCCUUGACGGCAGUUGCUUUGAGGGCCUUGAUGGAAGUUACCUGCUGAUGGUACUAUAGCUGUUGAUGGUCCAAACCAGAAGAUCCACUGCCCAUGAACAUCCACAUUCACAGACAUCAAUCGAUACUAGCCUAAAAUCAUUAUCUCUUGGCAAUAAUACCAAAUUCCAAAUGCUUACAUAACAUCUUUGAUCAAAGAGGAUCAUCAAAUCAAAGGAACCAGAGUUCUCACUACCAUAAAUGCAAACGAUUCGCAUGUUUUUAUUUAGCUCCUAAUGUGUUAUUCAUGUAGUAAAGCUUGAUUUAAGAAAGUAGAGAGAGUGACUAAAUUUAAAAGAGUUGAUGAAAAUGUUUAUUCGUUUAAGAAGGCUUUUAAACAAAUAUGUUCUAAACACGAAUGAAUAACCGAACACAGAUGAGUAACUCAUAUGCCCUCAUCUAAGAAAUAAUACCAAGAAUUCUAUCAGUAAACGGAUAAUCAUCUUACGUAGUACAACAUUAAGGACGAAUCAAAUCAAGCCUGAAGAAUUGAUUGAAAAUCUUCAUAGAACAGAGCAGAAACCAAUAGCUAGAGUAGAGCAAGUAGGUAAGGCAGUCUAACCUCAGGCCAAACAAAAAUAAGAUAAUUGUUCUGUAUCCAAGUUGGAAGGGUGUCAUCUUUGAAGUGACCAACGGAUGUGAAAUCUAGCCUGGGAAAUGGCAUGAACAUCUGAAACUUUCACAAGCAUUCUUGGUAUAAUUGUUUACUUAAUCAGCCCAUUACUUUCCAGGCAAUACUGACUUACUAAGAAAAAGUGCUAAAUGAGAAGCCAGAACAAGGAAAGAAUGAAUCGUCGGCUGUAUCCGAUUUACCAUACUGCUAAAUAUUUGAUUUCAACACACGGGAUGCUUAUGAUAUGUCCGAUUGGAAAGACACCAAAUAUACUGAAGCACAAAUGCCCAUCGUUGAAGAAACCAACACACUGAAUGAAUGAAUGAAUGAAUGAAUAGAUUAAUAAAUAAAUAAAUAAAAGAAGUUCUCUAGUCUUAGCUAUACUCAGGAGAGAUUGUUUACAACCUCCGCCAAAUGAAGCGAAGAAGCAACCACAUUUGAGUCCUCCGUGACUAUCGCUAGCAAAUCCUUCUCUGGAUUCCACUCCGUCAUCUUCACCUGCCAAUUGGAAGAAAUCGAACCAAAACCUCACAAAACCGAGUCGGAACAAUCGAUUUGACCCACCCAUUAGAUCACGAAAGAACGCCGAACGGAAGCAGAACCUGAGAAGCCAAAGCAGUUUGUCGAACUGAAGCUGAAACAGAAGCACACGCCACUAGCAGCCGAAAAUGCAGCCACCAGAUAUGCUGUAACAAAACGCGAGGAGGGCACAGAAGCGUCGGUGGGAAAUGCAAACCCAUGGUGAGCUUGUGAAGGAUGGAGCUUCAAUGGAGGGAGGCUUGCAAGGUCCAGCGGAGUCCGAGAAUUCGCAGAGAAAAGUUGCAGAUAUGAGGAAGAAAGAGAAUUGGGGUAAAUUUCGGACUUAACACCACCGUUCCUGGUACCUCUAACAGAACAAUCAUCAUCGAAUCGUGGGAUCUGACAAGUCAUCACAUUCCAAAAUGUCAUCUAAAUAAAUUGCUGGGGAAUCUCCCAUCAUGGGAUUGCCUUCAGGAUGAGGAAGUGGACUCCAAGACUGGAAGCUUGAUGUCGAGGCACAGGGAGGUUCAGAGUCAAGGACACUCCCGCCCCCCGUAUAGUCCGUUUGGCUCGAAGAAUGGAUCGUAUCGCUCCACAUGGCAUUCUGGAAAUCGUUACCAUGAAACAGCAUUGGCAAUCCGGCAGUAGGGAUACCAUCCUCUCCUCGAGAAUUUAGAACAUUCUAGGGAACUAAUUUUUAAAUCCCCGUUGCAAUUAGCAAUUACUAAUUUAGCAAAAGAGAAGGUUGGAUGACGGGAACGGAGGAAAAGACCGGCCCUCCGCAACGCCACCUCGUCCCGUGUGGGGCCUCACCCCACCGGACACGUCGACAUCAUUUUAGCCUUUUCUCGCCUUUUCACCCCCUCAUCUCAUCUUUGAGGCCUAGCUCCCUAUUCCCAGAACUCCCACCUUCAAUGACUUUUCAUGGUGCAUCUUCAUGCUAUCUAAAGCUUCACCGAACCAGGAGGAAACAUUCAAAAUCUCACGCUCAAAAGUAAUCCUAUACCAUUGUUACUCAUUCCAGCUCUUCGCCGAACCACCGUCUCCUACCAUCGGCUAACCAUUGCGCUGGCCAUUGCCUCCACAAAAAGUAAGGAACAAAAGUGGAGAUAGAAUCGGAUAAACCAACCGAAUAUUCAAGCUCAAAAAUUAACCCUCGGACCAUCAGGUUUUGAGUGGCUCCUCAUCGAUGACCAUCGUUGAAGGCAGCAUGAAAGCCUAGUUUAUCAGUGGUGUAAGUAGGCUACGAUGGGCACUCGCAACCGGCGAUUGGAACCUUUACAACUAUCUACGAACAGAACAACGACCAGCAAGGGAGUCUUCGGACAAGAUCUGGGCUCUUCGGUUUUCACGAUGGGAAGGCAGGGAGCAAUAGUGGAGCAGGAAAGGGCGGCUCGGGAAUAGCAAGGGUAGGUGGCUUGGCAACUAAUGGAGUCGAGAGGAGUGAUGGAGAGGCUCAUCGAAGUGAUGGCGUGGGUUUCAAUUGUCGAAAUGGGCAGCGGCGACUAUUGCUCCAGCUCCUCAAGAGAAUCAAGUCCAAGAACAAUGGAUGCAGCUUGCAGUGACGAGGGUGAGGUCGGAUGUGAUGGGGCAACGGUGAAGGUGUAUACACGGUGCUCAUGGAGAGUCAAUCCUCCUUAUUUUUCUCUCUUUUCUUCCUUUUUUUUAAACUUGUGGCGCCUCCCUCUUGAACAUAAAAAGAAGCCAAAAGAAGAAGAAAAAAAAGGGCCCCUUCCAAGAUGAGAAAAGAACAGAUUUUAUUCUCCAACGAAGUUUUGUGUAAUUGCGCCAUGUGACGCGAUCUUGAAAGGUGUGAGCUCAAAUUCCAUGAUAACAGAUAUGGUGUUCUAACUAGUUAAUCGAUUCUUGAAAUUGAUAUUUCUUUGAUUUGAUUGUAGGUACUUAAAUUUCACUAUUUCUAAAUCAAAUGUCUAAAAAGAAUUAAAGACUAUUGAAAUAAUUUUUUUUUUCAGUCAAAGGUAGAUUCUUGAUUUGACCAAAAAAAAAGGAUUUUAAGCCAUUUCUAUGAAAACUUGAAAUCUAAACGCCUAUUCCUACAUGCUUACGUUGAAUUAACACCUAUAUGCAAUUAAAGUACUACUGAUACAAAUCUAAUUUUUUUCAAGUUAAGAAAUGAGUGUCGCCACGAUCGGGAUCUUGAAUCUUGAAUUUUUCUAACUUUAGCCAUUAGGAUUAUUUGGAUGUCAAUAGUAAUAUAUAUAUAUAUAAUAAAAUUAUAAUAACUGUUGGUAUUUUUUUAAAAAUUUUGGCAACUUACCAAAAUGCUACUAACCGAAUAAGUUAUCGAUCAAAAUUUCGUUGUCAACUAGUUUUGAUAUUUACCGAUGCUAUUUAUGUUUAUCACUAUGUAAAUUGAGCCCUCGAGUGUGAUAUCACAAAUCAAGCGGAAUCAAGCAAACAUAUUCUUUCACGGGCUCAAGCUCGCUUAUGUACGCAGUAUGCCUACUCAAUUUUGUUCAUACUCGAUUAUUAUAUGAAUGAUGAUUUUUGCAGAUGUCGGACAAGCUUGGAUUUAAAAAAUUAAGGUUCGGUACUCGGCAAUUCAUGACGUGCGAGGCCCAUCAUCAUGGGCUCAUAGAUGUAUUAAAAGGCGCGGGAAAGUGGUUGCCUCUCCAUCGAGCUGACACGUGUCUCUAUACGGGAAGCCAGAAACUUAAGUCCGAGUGAAAUGAACCCUCAAAUCGGAGGAAGGCUCUCCUUCCGGUUCCUCCCUUCGAUCGUCGAUCCAGCCACCUUGCCCCCGACUCAGUGAUCCACCACAUCUUCUCGUCUCUCGACCUCGCACGCAUUGUCCGCACGUGCGUUUUUGUCGAAGCGGCGGCGAUCCGUCUGGACCGCCGCCCGCGGACCUCGUCUUCUCCUUCCCCUGGCGGAAUGCCUCCCCGUCCGUGGACGGCGUCUUGAUCCUCUAGGCGUCUUGAUCCUCUAGACGUCGAUUUUCUCGACCGUUGCGCGCCUGAGCUCAGUCCGUGGCUUCGCUUUGCUGUCGACCGCCGUGUCGAGGACCUCUCAGUCGAUGCGACUAAGAGGUCGUGCGAGAUGGCCGGCCAUUUCGCAUUACAGCGGCUCCUUUUAUGGAUGCUCUUCGUUUGGUGAACCUGCACUCAGGGCUCUGUUGCUUCUCGUUGAGUAGGAGUAUCGCUUGGAUUAAUCUUAGGUCCCUGUCCGUCUGUGACUCGGAGGUGAUGCGUGAGAUGUCGAAUGGCAGCCUCGUUCUCGAGGACCUUAGUUUGGAAGGAUGCUAUGGUUUAAAGCGAACCAUCAAGGUUUGUUCGAGAACUUUGAGGGAAAUUGCGGUCAAUGGCUGCUUUCGGUAUGCACUUGAUGAGGGUUUCCCCUUGGAGAUAUCAAGUCCUCUGUUGCUGUUUGAGAGGAUUUUCUGGUAUGAUGAGGCAGCUGGUAACGGAAGUCUCAAUCCUUGAUUGAAGCGGAGUCAAACUUUUUUAUGAGAGUGCGAGGAUUUUGGAAGGCCAUCUGAUUGUUUUGUUCAAAAUCGGUUUGAGUCUUACAGAGGGUAUUGCAACCUGGUUGAGGGACUGCUUCAGAAGCUGCAGAACGCAUCUAAGCUUUUGAUUGGUAGUUGGUGCCUUCAGGUGAGCAGAUUGUUUUUGAUUUCAAAUUUAACUCGUUUGGUUCAUACCUAUGGAUAAUUCAUUGUUCCCUCUCCCUCGAGUUAAGGAAAUUCAUUCCAAACUUCAGCACAAGGAAUCUGGUUUGCAUCGUUUGCUACUCUGCCUGAUGACCACCGGUGCAAAUAUGCAUCGUGCCUUUAGAAUAACUACUGAAAAACCAAAGAAAAGGCAGCUGGUUUAGGGUCAUUCUUUUUCCUGCUCAGUAGUGCAUAACCAUCAUUCCAAAGAUCAUAGUAUGUUAUUAAUGAAAAGUUGUCGUGUCCUGUUUUUUUAAAGACUGAAAAAGCAGUUGUUGACUAGAAUUAGUAUAUGAGUUCUACUAUUUCAAACUCAAAAGCUUUAGCAUCACUCAAUUUGUCAUAUAGGUGGGAACCAAAGGUGUUCUCAAAGCAUACACUUGCUGGGUUUUUUAAACAGUAUUUUGAAACCUAUUAAUAGAUAAUUGUUAAAUAAGAAUAAUAUGCUUUUUGGGUGGCAAGUAAAACCUAUUGAACAUUUUAAUUAACAUAGCUAUUCCUUGUUAUUUAAGAGGAGCUGCAUGCAUAUAUGUUUAAGUAUUGUAUAAAGUUAUAUUUAAUCUAAAAUGAACCAAGGCUAAAUGUUUCAGCUCCAUUCAAUGAUAUAAGUAUUAAUACAAUAAUUUAUAGGUGUUUAAGGAAGAUUGCAAUCGCUUAGCGAAACCACGCAAAAACAUUGGCCGGCAAAAAUUUGAAGAUUUUGAUUUGUCGAUUUGUCUGUGGGUUAAUCAAAAAAUCGUGAAAUCAAUAAAUUUGAUUAAAUGAUGAAUCGGUAACUUCACAAUUAAAUAGGGAGAAGGGUAAUGGGCCCGGCGACUCGUUUGAAAUAAGAAAUGGACAAAAGGCAACAACCGGUGGGACCCAGCCAUCAAUAGACGGAAGAAAGAAAAUUAUUACGAACUAUCUAAUUACAAAUCUGCCCAUGGAUUCUAAAACCCCAUGAAGCGCCUCGACUUUUGCUUCCCUCUUUUUUCUAUACUCCUAGUUAUCUAAAGAUGCGGAAAUUUUAGAUUGAGUUUUUAUUUUUAUCCUGAACCUUUUUUUUCUGAAAAGCCUCUUAAUUUUAAACCCAAUGCUACAUCAGCCCCCAAUUUUUUAUUUAAAAAGAAUUUCCCAACUUUUUGUCCAAUUCCAAAUGGAUCUCCAAUAAUGAGAGGAUGUGCUCAAGAGAGCAAUUUCCAUCUUGACAACUGGGCAAUCUCGACAUUCAGGGACCAGAAUUCACGGCCAAAGAGGACAGGAAAAUUUGGUCAUAGAAAAAAAGUAGAGAAUUCUCGGCCUAGUCAUUGUCCUGGCGCUUUGCGUAUUUUUAUCAUUUACUGAGCACUUGUCUAGAAAUUAUUGGAACGGACGUAUCUCUUUGUCUCUUUCUCAUCCACUUUUCAUUUUCUCUCGCAAAUCCAUGUCAAGUCUCAUCCUAAGUCUCUAUCCACUUUUCCUCUUCCAUGCAUCGUUCUAUGCGUCUAGGUUGCACGGACAUUCUCCAGACUUUUCGUGUCGUGUCCGACACGCUUCAACACGCGGUCAACUGCCUUCGACAUGCUCCAACACGCGAGUCGAAAAUUCCAGCACGUGACUCCGACACGUAUGGAAUUAUUUUUAUAAAUUUCCAAAACUUCUGGGGUCUAAAUAUAAAUAUAUGAAAAAACUAAAAAAAAAUAAAAGCUAAAACAAAUUUCCAAUACUUGUUUGAAGAUGUUACGGUGCCUGAAGUUGCAAAUUUUUCACUUGAUAAACCGGAGAUGGAGAUUUUUUUUUUUUUGAGAAGAAGUGGAUAAUGUGGAUGAAUGACUUUUUGUUAUAUUUGAUGAUGUAAUGUAAUUAUUUUUUUCUUAUUAUUAAAAUUUAAAUUUAAUAGUGGAAUGUGGAUUACUUGUUUUUUCCUCCAAGUUUUAUGGAUUAUUAUAAUGAAAUGUAGUUGAAUUAGUCAAAUUAAAAUAAUGAAUGAUAUUAACAAAUGUAGGAUUAAUGUUUUUAGUAUAGAUUAAUUCUAGGCUCUUUUUAUUAUUAUUAUUAUUAUUUAGUUAUUUAUGCAUUUAUAUAUUAAAAUAAUUGUUUAAUAUAUAACAUGUCGGAACGUGUCGAAAUUCUCUACUUUUGAGAAAUGUCAUGUCACGUGUCGCGUGUCCGUGUCGGUGCAACCUAGCUAUGCGUAUCAUCUUUGAUUCUCUUGUGCACUAAGAUUUCAGCCACGUGAAGGCAACAACUCUAAGCACGUGGUUGACAAAGCUUGACUUAUUGGUGUGAAUUCUAAUUUCCAAUUGGUUCCUUUGCAUAAAUCAAACCACAAGAGAAUGGGCAACAAGAAGGCAUUUUCUAUUUCUUGAGACACAUUCUGGCUUUUUUCUCCAUCGGACUUGAAGGGGGAAAAUCAAGGACAAAGCCAGAGCAAAGCUGAAAUGCAUUGUCCCAUUUUUGGGCAUUCUUAUGCCGUGUUCAUGGCAUUCUCUCCAUGCUUGCGUUCAAUUUUCUCAAUAAGAAGGAAACUAAUGUGAUAAUUUAGCACUUGUAAAGUAUUGUAAAUCAAUACUAUAAGAUCGUGCCAUGAGCACUCUUUUGUUUUUUUGUUUUUUUUUUUAACACUUCAUGAUGUCAAGUAUCGACAGUUUAGUUUGGAUUGUUGGUAUAUAAAUAGCAUUGGUAAUUCUUUUAGCUUGCAUUGUCACGAGUGGAUAUCAAAAUACAGCUUCUUCUAUUAAACAUACACAUUGCUUCACAUCUUGCGCCAAACAAGUUGAAUAACAACGUUAAUAUGCUUGGAUAUAUUUUGAGUGAUUAGUAAAACCUAUUUAACAUACUUAUAAAGAUAGUUACCCCUAGAUCUAUAUAAAAUAAAUUGUUGAAUGAGAAUAAUAUGCCUAUGUGUAUUAUGGGUGGUAAGUAAAACCUAUUUACAUUUUCAAUAACAUAGCUACCCUUCAUUAUUUAAGAGGAACCGCAUGCAUUAUGUUAAAGUAUUUUUUCAAAUAUUGAACUAACACCGCAUGUAUUAGUUCCAUUUAAUAAUAUAAAUAUUUGAAUUAACAUGCAUUACAAAUUAUAAGUGUUGAAGGUAGAUCGCAACCACUAAACUAAACCGAGAAAAAAAUUUGGAAAAAAUUUAUGAAUUUGGCUUUGGGUUGAUUAAGAAAUUGUGAUAUCAAUAAAUUUGAUUAAAUGAUUAAUUGGUAACUUCAUAAUUAAAUAGAUAGGAGAGUAGUGGGCUUGGCCACUCCUUUGCAAUAAGAAAUGGACAAAAACUUGAUACAAAAGAGGAUAGCCUCAAGUUAAGGAAUGACUUGUGGGGCCCAGCCAUUGUGAGUAGGGGUAGAAAUAAAAUUUUUAUAUGCUAUCCAAUUACAAAUAUGCCCCCUGGAUGAUGGGAAUAGCUGAAGUCCUCGACUUUCUCUUUCCUUCUUUUAUACAUCUUAAAAACCCUUAAAUUUUAGGUCCAAUCUUAAUUUUAUUUCGAAUUUUUUUAUUUCACAAAAAUCUCAACUUUAAACCAAAUGGUACAUCAAUCCUCAAUUUCUUCGUCUAAUUUUUUUUUUUCAAAUUUUAUAUACAAUCCCAAAUGUGUUCCAAAUAACAACAAAAAUUCUUGAGGAUGAGGUCAAGAGAGCAAUUUUCAGCUUGACAAGGGGCAAUCUCGGCAUUCAAAGAUUGAAAUUCACGGUCAAAGAAGACAAGAAAAUUCGGGCAUGAAAAAGUAGAGGAUUCUCGACCAAAUGGGUGGGGCAUUUUUCCACAUGCAAUAGUUGCCAAAGGGAGCUCGAAAAAGAAAAGGAUGGUGCUUCUUCCNNNNNNNNNNNNNNNNNNNNNNNNNNNNNNNNNNNNNNNNNNNNNNNNNNNNNNNNNNNNNNNNNNNNNNNNNNNNNNNNNNNNNNNNNNNNNNNNNNNNNNNNNNNNNNNNNNNNNNNNNNNNNNNNNNNNNNNNNNNNNNNNNNNNNNNNNNNNNNNNNNNNNNNNNNNNNNNNNNNNNNNNNNNNNNNNNNNNNNNNNNNNNNNNNNNNNNNNNNNNNNNNNNNNNNNNNNNNNNNNNNNNNNNNNNNNNNNNNNNNNNNNNNNNNNNNNNNNNNNNNNNNNNNNNNNNNNNNNNNNNNNNNNCCAUAAAUGCAUGUUUAGAGGUCCUGAUCAAUGAAUUAUUAAAUUUAUAUCUAGUUCGACAAAUUUGAAUUAUGGAUGCAUGCCCACCUGAUUAGAUUAGAUAAAUUAAAUCAAUAAUAUAUAUAUAUAUAUAUAUAUAAAAUAAAGUAAAUGCAAAAGCGAAAGCAAAAGCAAAAAGGCAUUUUGACUUAUUUAUGAGAUUUGAAGGGGAAAUUAAGACAAAACCAGUAAAAAAAUAAAUUAUUCUCAUUGUGUUACGGUACUGAACGAAUAUAUACACAUUUAUGCAUGUUGAUAAUUUUUUAUAAUCCUUGACACGCUUUGAUAGCAUAAUUUUUUAGAACAAGUUAUCGUUAAUGAUACAACAUUUUAGUACUAAAAUGAAAUUUAUUGGUUUGCCUAUAUAUAUAUAUAUAUAUAUAUAUAUAUAUUAGGCUCAAAGUAAGAGGGGUAAAUUCUUAAGUGUGAUUAAGAGCUUAAGAAUAUUUUAUGAAAAACACAUUUUCUAAUGGAAAAUAAAUUAACAAAAGAAAGAGGAAAGUUUGUCGGUAUAGGUGGUGGACUAAGCGUGCCUUCUUCAUUGUCUUGACGCUUUGUAUGUUUUUGUCUAUUUUGAGCACUUGUGUGGAAAAUAUUGGACUAGACAAAUCUCUCUCUCUCUCUCUCUCUCUCUCUCUCUCUCUCUCUCUCUCUCUCUCUCUCUCUCCACUUUUCAUGUGGGGGAAGCAAUGACAACAAGGGAAAGAUAAAAUUUGGAGCGAGGAAGAAAGAAAUGUGCAAAGGAACUAGGAAGAAUUGUCGUGGAGUGAAAAGUCUACUUGGAAAAGAAAUUAGACAAGAGGAAAAACAAAAUAUAUGCGGAGCAUAUGUGUUCAAAGUGGUCUCCACCUUAAAAGAUAGUAGUGAUGGUUAUAGAAAUAUCUAUCCUCAUACUGAUUCUUAUUCAACAUUGGUUGCUCUUUGGUUAGUCCAAGAAAUAAUAAAAUUAUCAAUGAUUCAUGCAUCUGCACGUGUCUUGUCUAGAUGGAUUGCAAGUUGCUGUCCAUGUCCUAUUAUAUAUUUAGAAAAUCUUCCCUUUAUAUUUGCCAAUUGUACUCAAUUACUAGCAAAAUUAAGGCAAAUGUGUGUAAAAAAUUGUGUGUCGGUCGGUUCUUUGUUGGGUCUAAUUCAAUGCUAUUGGCUGUCCUUUUGUUUGUCCAAGAAACAAUAAAGGGAGAAAUGCAAGGAGUCCUAAAAGUAUUCAGAAUAUCAAGUCACUAGAAUUUUCCUCUUUACUUUCUAUGGGUUUAUAAUCAUCUAAAGUCUUUAUACACACACACACACACACACACACACACACACACACAUACAUAUAUAUAGUAGAUUUUAAGUGAUUGUUGAUAAUGCAACGUCUCAAUAGUGAAAUGAAAUUCAUCAAUUUGAUAUAGUAAUACUUAAUUGAUUCAAGUUAAAUUUGUAAUUGGGACCGAGAGUUUAAAUAUAUUCAACAAAAAUAACCUUUCUAAUGGAAAAUAAAUUAGAAAUAGCAAAGGAAAGUGCAAUGGUGCAGCAAUUAUCCUAUGCUUUGUAUGUAUUCAUCAAUUAUGACCACUUUCUAUGGAUACAAAUAAAGCAGUUGUCUUUUAUUUUUGGUUUUAUUUUUUUCAUUGCUUUUGCAUUGAAACUUGCUCACAUGUUAUUUUCUUCUAGGGAAGGAUCGCCUUGGAUUCUCCUGCCCUUUAAAACUUCCCCGACAUUAAGGCAACGACUAUAAAUGCAUGGUCGGGUUCCCGGUCAACAAAUUACGUAUUUAUAUCCAGCUCGGCAAAUUUGAAUUAUUGCUAUAUGCCAACCGAUUGGGUUAGAUAAAUCAAGUCAAUAAGGAAAUAUAUAUAAUAAAGCAGGAGCAAAAGCAAAAAGGCAUUUUGAUUAAUUUAUGAGAUUUUAAGGAGAAAUUAAGGCACACUAGAGCAAAAAAGAAAUUCUUCUCAUUGUGAUGGGUAUAAAAUAAAUAAAUAAAUAAAUAAAUAUAUAUAUAUAUAUAUAUAUAUAUAUAUAUAGCAUGUUGAUAAUUUUUUGUGAUCCUCGACACGUGUUAUCUCAUUAAACUUAUAAAUAUUGAAAUGAAGUUUAUCAGUUUAACAGGAUAAUAUUUAACAGGCGUAAAGUGAGAGGGAUUAAAUUUAUAAGUGGGAUCAAGAGCUUAAAUAUAUUCAAUAAAAAUACAUUUUCAGUGAAAAAGGAAAGUUCAACGGUGCAUGCAAUGGAGUAAGUUCAACGAAGAGUCGUCCAAAGUCUCUUUCCACUCUCUUUCCGCUCACUUUCCACUCAUCUUCCCAACAAAUCCACCGUAGACUCGUCCAAAGUCUCUUUCCACUCAUCUUCCCAACAAAUCCACCGUUAUAUAUGGGUAUCGAAAUUCUAUCGGAGCUUGGUUAUUAAUUCUCAUCCUUUUUAGAACUUCUUGGCAGACAUCUUUUUGUCUCUCUCUUCUCUCUCGUGAAGUUUGUUUUUCCUCCUCCUCCUCUUCGCAUAGUUCGCCGGAGAAGACAGAGUCGCGACACCUUUCCUCCUCCUUUGUUGCCGCAACUAGUCUUGAGAAACGGUAGGCGUCUCUCUCCUUGGCAAUUCUCGCUCUCUCUCUUUGGCGAUUCUCGCUUUGUUUUUCAUGGCUCCCCUUUGCCUUUUUUUUAAUCAGGGUUUGAUUUGUCGCUCGAUUGAGCGGAGAGGGUUAGUCGUAGAUCGUUUGCGUUUUGCUGUUCGUUCGAUUUCUUCCUGUUGUAGCUCGUCUCGUGUCGUUUUUGGGGGUGCUCUCACGUUCGCCAUCGACGUACGGACCGUUCGUGCUCUCGCUUCCCGUUCUUCUUAACAACAAAUCUGCAAUUUGGGGUUCCCUGCAAUUCUUCUUUCCUCGUGGGUUUCUCCCCCUUUGCGGAAUCGAAGUAGUGGGUAACAGGAAAAAUGAGAUUUUGGGGUCGAUAGUUCGUGUGUUUCACAAGUGUGGUAGAAGCGGUUGCUUGAGAAGAUUACCAGUGUCACAAAGCGGUGGGUUCUCAAAUAGUGCCGUCAAAUCCUCGAACAUUCUCGAACUCGCUCGAAAUGCUCCCCUUACCUUAUCUAUGCAUUUGUACCUGUCUGUCCCCAGCAGAGUUUUGGGUGGGCUUUUUCUCGAAUAUACGUUUUCCAGAAUCCAUUCUUGAAUUUUCAUGCCUUUCUAUUCUCUUGUACGAGGUUCUUUGAAUUGAAAGAUUUAGAAGCAACGUAUUUUUGUUCACAGUUCUCUGGGUUCUAGCAAUUUCAUGAUAAGCUCUCCAUGUUUUGAUUGUUUUAAAUUUGCUUUGAGAUUUAUUAUGUGAUGAAUAAAAGUUGGGGUUUUUUUUUGUUGGUGUUUUGCUUCUUUUUGUAGGGUGGUUGUGUUUCAGAAGCGCACCUGAAGUUCGGAUUCUGGAGUCGAAAGACCAGGAGAUAAAGUAGCAUUUUUUGACUCAAAGCAGGUAUGAUCAUGAAAACUUUCACCCGCAAUCAGACAUGCAAAGUUUUAAUUUUUGGAACUGUGUUGGUGGCUUUUGUGGAAAUGAGCAUGUAAAUGCGUGGAGUGGCCUCUUUUUACAGCCUUUUUUCAAUUUCUGUCUGUGUCGCUCGCUCAAGGAGGUCGGUGGUUUCGAAAUGAUGGAUGCGCUGAAAAUGCAUGACGAAUGUGGGAGGGGAGAAGCAGAUGGUAAUGAGAGGGUAUAGAGCUUGCGGGGUGUUGUGGUUCAUCCGCGUUAUAGAUUACUCUGGUACUGCAUUGAGUGAGGUUUUACUAUCGUAUUAUUGUCCGUGAGUCGGUUACAAUGUGAUUUCUUUUGAUUGAAUAAUGACAACGAGGACUUAUUUGAAGUAUAGAAAAGAGAAUAGUGAGAAUAUUUCUACACAGUUUUUCCUUGUUAAGGCUCCAUGUGCAUUUAGCCUAAUCUCUGCCGAUUGGCUUUAGUUCGAAACACUGCAGGAAUUAUCAAUGGCGAUAGUUAUCUAGCAUAUUAGGCCUCAUUUGAGUUUAUGAUUCCAAUUAGCCAAUGACGGCAUUUUUUUUUUAAAUUUAAAAAACACGAGUUUAUGAUUCCAAUUUCACCUUCCUCUUUCAAGAAUUUUAUAUAAUCAACUAUAAUUGACAUUUUAUAAAUUAAAUGAAAAAAUUGGGAAUAAAUUUUUUUUGGGAAUAGAGAUUUUUAUUUUCGUACCAAAUGCGUUUUGUUUAGGGAACAAAAAUUUUAUGCAAUUACCAAAUGCGUUUUUUGUCUAGAAACUAUUUUGGGGAACAGAAAUAGAAAAAAUUAUUUUUAAAUAGAAAUUGUUCCUGAGAACAAAAACGUUACCAAACGUACCAUAAGUACCUUCAAGUUAAGCAAGGACCGGUAGGACCCAUCCAUCGGGCAAAGGGAUAGAUAGGAAAUAGAUGCUAUCGAAUUUCAUAUUUGCCCUUGGAUGAUUAAAACAAGUGAAACUCCUCGAUUUUCUCGUCCCUUUUUUAUAUGGGCCCGCUCUCCUAAAAACUCUCAAAUUUUAAAUCCAAUUUUAAUUCUACCCCAAAAACUUUUAUCUAAAAAAAAUCUCUAACUUUGGAUUUGGUCGUAUAUCUACUCCCAAUUCUUUUCUCUGAAAAAAUCAAAACUUAAUGUCCAAUCCCAAAUAUGCUGGACAUUUUUUUAUCUGAAAAAAAUCAGUAACCAAUCUCAAAUUUACCUCAUUAAUCCUACACUCAAAAAUUUUGUAACUUGUUUGACGUGGCAUUAAAAAAUCCACGUUAAAAAAUGACAGAAAAUUGGGAAUCAGUCCGCGUAGAUUAGUUCACUAAUCCAAUUUGCUAGCAAAAAAGGGCACACAAAUAUGUGAUUGAUUUAGAUUAUCUAGGGAAAUGAAUUUAAUUUCUGCAAGGGUUGAGAGCAUUUAAUCAAUCUAAUGAAUAUGUUUUUGAUUAGUUUUGUCGCUAAAAUAAUUUAUUCGGAUUAAAAUCUAAUUCACAAGAAUAUGAUGAUCAAAAGUUUACUUUCUUAGAACGUCUAUGCAUAUAAUCAUCAUAUAAGCGUGUACAUAGGAGCUUGUACCCUUCUAGAUUAUCAUUUUGUCCAAACACAGUAAUAAAAUCAUCUUAUAACAUGCAAGGGCAUGACCAUUUCAUAAUAUUAAAGAAAGUAAAUUCAAAUUUAUUGAUUUCGGAAUAUAUAUAUAUAUAUAUAUAUAAUAUUGAAAUUAAGUACUUUAUUCUAAAAAUGAUAAUAAUCCGGAAGAUGAGACUACUUUUGAUACUAUGUGGGUAAGGAUAUAGCUCUAUAAACUUUGUGGAACUUUUUGACCAAAAAAACUUUGUGGAGUUAGAAUUAUUUAAGUUUCUAUGGUUAAAAAAGCUUUAUUUAAGUUCUAAACAUUAUCUAUUUAUACAAAUAUAAAACUGAAAACUUGAGAAUUUCUCGUGCUCUCCCAAAAAAAUUCACUAUAUCCUUAGCUCUCCCAAAAAAAUUCACUAUAUCCUUACCUAAUAUUAUGAUCUAAAUGAAUGAGAUGAUGCAAAACUGUUAUCCAAUGCCAUAAAAAUGCCUACACGCGUCUUUCAAAGUUCGUUAAUGUUCUAGGACGAAGGAAAAGAGGUUCUGAUUGCGGGGCCUGCAUUCAUGCCAAAAGUAUUAUUUUUUCACCAAAAGAAAUAAGAUUUAGGUAGUAGGCCUCAUCUAUUUUCUCUUCUUCCCAGAUCUAAGGCUAACCGUGAGGUUUCAUUUUUAGUGACCCAUUUUAUUAGAUCAGAUAGGCUCCAGCCCUGGUUCCAAAAAUUAGUAAUUAGUUCAGUUCUCGAUUCGUGGAUAGGAUAAGACAUGGAAUCGACCAUUCUAAUUUACGGUAUCAUAAUAGCAAUUCUCUUUUAUUUUUGGUUUUAUUUUUUUCAUCCCUGUGCACCGAAACUUGCUCACAUGUUAUCUUCUUCCCAGGUAGGAUUGCCUUGGAUUCUCCACUGCAUUGAAACUUCCACCACACAAAGGCAACGCUUGAAUUUUAUUGGUGCGUGCCAAUUGUUUGCAAUAGAUAAAUCAAACCAAUAAAAAAAUAUGUAUGAUAAAGAAAAGCAAAAGCAAGAAGGCAUUUGGAUUUAUUUAUGAGAUUUGGAGGAGAAAUUAAGGUUCGACAGAAAAAAGAAGGGAAAAUUAAGGUAGAACGAGAACCAAAAAUACAUUGUUCUUAUUGUGCUCGGGUACAAAAUAAAUAAAUAAAUAAAUAACAUAAUUUUUUUUAGAAUAAGUGAUUGUUGUAAUACGACAUUUCGGUAUUAAAAUGAAGUUUAUCAGUUUGAUGGUAUAAUAUUUAAAAGGCUUAAAGUAAGAAGGGUAAAUUCCAUAUGGGAUUACAACCAAAAAAAUUCCUAAGUGGAAUCAAGAGGCUGAAAUAUAAUUAACAAAAAUACCUUCUCUUAUGGAAAACAAAUGAGCAAAAGAAAAGGACGGUUAGACGCUGCAAGCAAUGGACUAAGCAGGGGACUUUUCAGUGUCCCGACGCUUUGAUGUUUUUAUAUAUUCCGAGCACUCGUUUGGAAAAUAUUGGACAGGACGAAUCUCUCUCUCUCUCUCCCCCAUCUUUCAUCUUCUCCUGCAAAUCCCUGUCACAGCCUCAUCAUAAGUCUCUCUACACUUUUCAUCUUCCGAACAAAUCCACCGCUUCAUAUGUAUUGAAAUUUUAACAGACCACAAAAGAAGAGGCAAGAAGGCAUUUCCUGUUUUCUGAGGGGCAUUCUGGUUUUUUUCUCUAUUUAGGGCUUGAAAGCUGAACUCAAUGGCAGAGUCAGAGACCGAAAUGCAUCGUCGCAUUGAGAGGAGGAAAACUAAUGCGAGUGGAAAUGCCGAGGAUGUUGAUACUGGUGCAUCUGCUAUUAUGACUGUGCUGACGGAAACUAAUUUCGUUGGAUUUGGUUCAUCUCCGACAGAAAUUAACAAUAGUGCAUCAAAUGGAAAGUGCUACGAGGUGUUCUUGAGUUUCAGAGGCCUAGAUACUCGAGAUGGCUUCACCGAUCACCUCUACGAUGGGCUCCUCAGAGCCGGAAUUCACACUUUCAGAGAUGAUGACGAGCUUUGCCAAGGCGAGGACAUCAGACCAGAGCUCAUGGCAGCCAUCACGAAUAGUAAGGUCCUGAUCCCCAUUUUCUCUGUGAAUUAUGGUACAAGCAGUUGGUGUCUGGAUGAACUGGUUCAAAUAAUGGAGCGCAAGAAUAAUAACGGGCAGAUGGUGGUGCCUAUAUUCUACAAAGUGAAACCAGCUGAAGUGCGAUAUCAAACCGGGAGGUUUGGAGAGGCAUUUCAUGAACGUGAGAGUCGUUUGCGUGAGAGGUCUCCUUUUGACCCCACGACUUUGGAGAAAUGGAAGCAAGCACUCCUUGAAGUCAGCAACUUGAAAGGAUAUGAAGCCGAUAGGUAAAAUUUCUCACAAUGGCAAUCUCCACUUUCUUUUAAUAUGUGCGGAUGAUUACUGAUUGUUUUGAUUCUCACCCGCUUCAUUUUCGUUAUAUAUAUAUAUAUAAACAGAAAGAUCAUGUCGGCAGUAAGAUCCUGCAAAGCAUGAGUUCUAUAAGUUAUUCCUUUUUUUUUUUUUUUGCUUUAAUGAUAUUGACAAAUCCACUUGUAGAUUUUAUUGGUGUGAUCCCAUUCACUUGAAUGAUAAGAUUUUUGAUUGAGUUUUUACUCUUAUAUCCAAAGACUUUGUGACAUUAUGCCAUUUUUUUUUCAUGUUUAUAGUGUACGUCACAUUAGUCAUCGUCACAAAUUUUUUAGAAACAUAUUUAUUUGAGAUUAAUAGUACAGCUUAUUGGUGAUUUUUAUUUAGAGCUUGUAACAUGAUAUACUGUGUAUCAUGAUUGUCAAAGGCAUAAUUCUUUAUCUUCUCAAGUUACAUUUAUUAAAUCAUUAAUAUCGUUGACUAGUUGCUAUUAAAAUUAUUUUACAAAAGAAAUGUUUCAUUAGUUAUAUAUGACGAUGGAAAAUAUAAAAAAAAAAAGGAAAAAUGGAUUAUUUUUAUUAUAUAUUUGUUUGAAUAACUUUCAAUGCAUUUCCUAUCUUCAGCAAGUAAUUUCUAUCUCAUACACCUAAAUAUAUUGAAUCGAUGUUCUUAUUUUUGGAAAAAUUUAUUCUUCUACUUAGAUAAAUUAAAAUCAAAGAACAUAGUUACUCAAAGAACAUGAAGGCAAUGAAAACUUAUAAGAACACCAAUCUAUAUUGAUAACGCAAGUAGAAACUUGCAACGUGUAGAAUUGUGCAAACAAGGAGAAAUCCCCCUGAUUGCAUUCAAGUUGUUCACAAUAUCACAAUCUGAACGAUUUUUUGGAUUGGUAUUACAAGAGUUGAAAUUGUCUCGCAUCAAAAGUUAGGACUUGUUUAUUGAUUGAUUGCUGACUCUUAUAUUGGGUUGGCUUAUUGGAUUUUUUAUUGUUCAAAGGCUCUAGAAAGUUUUCAAAGUUACGUCCACGUCAUCUCUAAUAUCUUUAACAAACAACAAGUCCAAAAUUUGGUUCAAAUCCAUAAUGUAUACGACAUUCAAGGUUCAUAAGUGAUGCCUUCAAGUUUCUUCUAAUUUAAUAAAUUAUGUUGGAGUAAUAGUGGAAUGGGGCACGCCACGUGAAACAACCACAAGCAUUUCUCAAACUUUAUUCUUAGCAUAUAAGAUAAUAUAUGGAGGUGUGACAGACAAUUUUUAAUUUUUUUUUCAAUUUAUCCCGGAUUCGUUUAUUACAACGUUCUCAAUAGAUAAACAAUAUAAAAUUAUCGUUGCCACAUAUUUGAACUCAUCACAUUUGACAGGUCUGAAGUAGAGUUGGUGAAAUUGGUUGUCCAAAAAGUGUUGAGUGAACUGAGGAAAAAGUUUGAGUUGAUUAUUUCUGAGAAUUUGGUUGGAAUUGCUAGUCAUGUGAACAACAUUAUGGAACUUCUAGAUGAUAAAUCUCAUGCCCUCCUAUUUGUUGGCAUCCAUGGAAUGGGAGGCAUUGGUAAAACUACUCUUGCUAAAACCAUUUACAACGAGCUAUCCAAUCAAUUUGAGCAUCGUAGCUUCAUUGCUGAUAUAAGGGAAUCAUGGAAGUGUGGAGCUCAUGUUUUACAGAAUCAGUUAAUCUAUGAUAUCUCGAAUCAAAAAAAUGAAGUUCAUAAUAAGGAUGAAGGAAUUAAUUUCAUCACCUCCAGGUUUAAAGAUAAAAAGGUCCUUCUUCUUCUUGAUGAUGUGGAUGAUGUUGAUCAAGUGAAUUGUUUGGCCGGUAAGCAUGAUUGGUUUUCUUUGGGAAGUAUAAUCAUUAUUACCUCCAGAAACAAGAGAAUUCUUGAAGUAGCUGGGGUGGACCACAACUAUGAACUUACGGAAUUGGAUUACGAGCAAUCUUUGAUUUUGUUUAGCAAACAUGCAUUUCGAAAGGACGUUCCUCCAAGUGAUUUUGAGGGCCUCACUCGUGAAGUUGUAUCCACCACCGGAGGACUUCCCUUAUCCCUUGAGGUUUUAGGUUCAUUAUUGUGCGGAAAAGAAUCAAAAGAAUGGAGAGAUGUGAUAAAAAAGUUAGAAAAGAUCCCUCGUAUAGAAGUGCAAGAAAAGUUAAGGAUAAGUUAUGAUGUAUUAGACAAUGGACAAAAACAAAUAUUUUUGGAUAUUGCUUGCUUUCUCAUUGGCACUGACAAGAGAAUCGCAUUCUACAUGUGGGACGCUUGUGAAUUUUUUCCAGGGGAGAAUAUUAAAGUGUUGACAUUUAUGUCAUUAAUAAAAAUUGGAGAUGAUCUUGAGCUCCGAAUGCAUGACCAAUUAAGAGAUCUUGGUAGGGCAAUUGUUCGUGAGGAAAAUGAGCAGCAGCCUUGGCACCGUAGCAGGUUAUGGGACUACGAGGAAGCCUUGAAAGUGCUAAAGAGAAAUAAGGUAACUGUUUCUCUUACUUUUGUUCCCUUAGUCCAUGUUUUCUUGUUAGAGUAGUGUUGGUCGUCAACUUAGUGCUUGCUCUAGUGAACAUAGAACCUUCUAAUAUUAGUAUCCUUGUGUUGUUUCAUUGACAUGAUUAGCAAGUAGGAGGUUGCUUCUCUCUUAGUAAGUAUCGUAGCUUAUCUAAGAUAUUUCUUAGACAAGUGUAUAUUACAAAGUUAUCGAAUGAGGUACUUUCAAAUUUUCUAGAUAUUGAUAGGGGUAUUCUAUACUGACAAAAAUCUUGAAUUUCUAUAUUGAUUUAGUUGUGUCCUUGACACAUGCAAUAAAUAACUUGGCUAUACGACUGUAAACCGUACAUACUCGGGAUAUAUAAAUCAUAUGUUAGAAUUAAUAUAAUAGGACUAACGAUGUCCACAUUUCUCAUGAAAUUUUAGUCACUAUUCCAUAAUAGAGAAUGGAAGGGAUACUUAUUUUCUACAUUAAAGGUCAAGGAGAUGAAUACUCUAAAAUUCUAUUCUGUAUAAUUAAGCAUAAGAUUGUAUUUGCAUUUGUGAAUUAAUCAUGAUUGCGAUUCUACUCUUUUUAAUCCAUCAUUUGGUUUGACUCCAGUUGUUGAUCAAAAGACUCUCACUUACUUACAGUCUCAACGUGCGCCGUAUGUAUAAUCACAACAGCCAAUUCAUAGAUUGACACGUUCGAAGCCAGUGUACCUUUAUUGUGUCUUUCGUACUACAUGAUAAAACAAACUAAACUAAGCAAAAUAAAAAUGAAUAUGCUGUAUAUUUUAUAUACAAAUAUAAUGGUAUAACUAAAUUUUACAACUAAAAAGGUACAGUUUGAUGUAAUUAUGUCAGUAUUCUUCCAUGAUUCCAUUUCGUUCUUCAGCCAUGGCACCAUCGUAAGUUGAAAUCAGAGUGGUUCUGCUAAAAAUGAUAUAAGUUCUUUUCAGUUUAUUCCAACAUUGAAUGAAAUAUUCGAAGUUAUUUUCAUAUAAAUUAUCUAAAAUACAAGCAGCUGAAAGAACCACAAUAUGCACCACUUCCAAUUGAAAAACAAAUGCCAAAUAUCCUUCUUUAUUUUCAAAAAGUACUGCUACCCCUUGUUGGUCCCAAGGGACGAAGGAGGCUGGGUCUGCCACUCAACUCUCAGCCUCUUCCUUUUACUAUUAUGCCGAACCUUUAGAAGGACCUUCUAGCGUAGGCUCCAUCGAAAUGCCACUUGAGAUCUAUCAAGGAAAUGAAGAAUUUCCUCCACAUCCUUCUUCUCAAGUGUUGCGCCUAAAGUACAUUGUAGAAAGAUUGCUUGUACAAGACGUCCUAUAACAUGGCAAAGCGACGUGAGAGGUCACCCAGUACUCUCCUUUGUCGAAGUUUUUAUGAAAAAAAUUCAUGCCAAGUGCGAAGCAAGGACAAAGCACUAGCACGACUUACUAAAUAAACAAAAUAAAAAAUGAAAGACAUUUAAAGCAUAAUAGAAACACACUCAUAACUCACUCGUUGGAUAUUAAUGAGUACACAGCCAAAUAAAAGAAGUACCGACUUUCUGGAUUGGGAUAAAGAUUUCACAAGUUGAAUAAAAUCCUAAAACGACCCAGCAUUUUGAAUGUGGAAUGAAAAUGACAUUACCUUUCAAACUCAUCCUUUUGCUCAUGGGACAAAAAUGACACCCGCCAUCAAUUCUGCCUAUUUUCACUUGAAUCACCUCAAGUCAUUCUACACAGCUCAUUGUGCGGAUAUGCACAGUGAACCAUGUUAAUCAUGACUAAAACUUUUUUCCUUUACAAAAAGCCAGGAAUUUUGUAACAAAUUGUUAACAUGAUUACAAAGUAAAUCACAACAUCCUUUUUGGUGUGGGCUGACAUGGGUCACUAUGUACGUUAGCACAAUGAACAAUGGUGGGUAUCCGUCUGUGGCGAUUUAAUAAUUAUACUAGAUAAAAUUUGUAUGUGGUGUCAACUUUCUUCUACGGUUAAACAGUUGGUCUUUUUUAUUGCAUUUGAAAGGUUAUGUUAUCUUUGUCGUAGAUGCUGAAGGUGAGGCUUGAUGGAUGUUUAAAAGGUUUUGCGACUUUUAUCCGAGCACAAAAGGUUGGUCUUAUUUUUGGGAUUUGGCCAAACCCUAGCUAUCAAUUUUUUAAGUUGAAAAAAGUUACACACCACACAAAGAAAUCUUGAAGAUAAAUUGGGCAUUCUUAUAUCUUGAGAGGAAGUUUAUGGAGGAAAAAGUACUGCUAGCAUAACAGUCUUUGGGCUAUUGUAACAAUAAUAACAUGUAAACCACAUAUUCUUAAAGGAGUGGAUCUCACAAUAAUUUUUAAUUAUUUGUUAUUUAUUUUUUUGUGAUUUACAACUGGUUGUUAAUCUUAUAGUAGAUUAAUAAAAGUCACUUAAGCAUUUCUUUGGGAGAAAUGACUAAUUUGAGUAGAUUACUUAUGUUGAAGAUUUCAUCCUUUUUCCUUUUUAUAGUUACUCUUCUCAUGGAUUCCUUUAGAGUGUUGAGAUCUAAAUCCUUCCCAAAUUGUUAUGUUGUUCACCUAUGAGUAUCCAUGAAAUCUUGUACAACAUUGUGAAGUACAAUAGCAAAAUUUCUGGUUCUGAGAAAAUGACGUGGAAGUCCAUCAACUUUGUGUAUUACUUCUUGACUUCUUAUGCAUAAGUGAAAUUUUUUUUGGUGAAAGCUUGCUACAAUUUGGUUCUCAAGAAUAACUAUUCUAUUUCCAUUCUAUUUUAAUGAAACAAUCAUACCUUCAUUUGAUUAAAAAAUAGAUUAGAAAUUACUAUACUGUCAAAAUGAGGAGUAGUUGUUCCUGGGGGGCCAAGGAAUAGCUAUUCCAUGUAGGCUUGUAGCCAAGAAUAGCUUCAAUUUUAACAUUUCUAAAAAUGCUUUGCACUUUUCACAAUUAAUUUUUCUAAUAUGUUUAUUAUAUAUAUAUAUUAUACUUGAGUAACUUGGUUAUUUAUGAUUAUGAUUAUAUCAAAUUGUAAUCUGUAGUUAAACUAAAAUUUAUGAUAAAAUCAUAAGUUAUAGAGAUUAUUAAUAUAGCUAAUAAGUUAUUUAUGAUUUUGAAUAUAUCAAAUUGUAAUCCAUAGCUAUACUAAAAUUUACGAUAAAAUAAUAAGUUGAGGAUAUUAAAAUAACUAACAUUAUUGUCUUAGUUAUUUAUGAUUAUAAAAUAAUUAAUUAAGAAUAUUUCAAUUUACUAUUGUAAAUAAUAAGUACAUAAUAUAUUAAUAUAACUAUUGUCUCAAUAUUCAGUUUCUUGUAAUUAGUUAUCACUCCAAUGGAAAAUAAGACUUUCUUUUUUUAUUAAGCAGCAUAGUCAAGUAAUUUACACAAAAUUAAUGUGAAAUUUACAUAGAGAAAAAAUAUAUUUCUAUUUAAAUAGAUCAAAUCAACUUUUGAUUUUGCACAUUGCAAUUUGAUUAAAUUCCUUGCGUUGCACGCUUGUCUUAACUACUAUGGUAAUGAAGUUACAGUACGGAAAAGAAGAAGAUUACAAGUGGUAAAGUUUUUACUUUGAAUGAACUGUGACAUCAUAAUUCUUUUUGAGAUCCGAAUGUGUAUGGCCAAAUUUCAAAAUGGAAGUUGACAUCCUUCACUUUGUUAGCCUUUAUAAAUAUUGUUUAGGGUUAAUACCCCGAAAAACCCCAAACUGGUAUAUCUGUGACAAAUUUAUCAUAAACUAAUUUUUUUACCACAAAAAACCCUAAAUUGGUAUAGCUUUGACAAAUUUACCCAAAACCGGUACAUUUGUGACAAAUUUACCCUUUGUUAGUGUUCGUUAAAUUUUAUCGUCAAAUUAUUAAAGUUAAAUGACACGUGACAGUUAAUUGGUAUAUCAAUUUGAGAUUUUAUGCUCUAUUUGUCACAAUUUACAUUUUUUGUGAUUUUUUGCUGUAUUAAUCCAAUUUAGUAGAUGGUAUAUUUGUCAUCAAUUUACCAGUUUAAGAUUUUUUACGGUCGAAUAAAUUAGUUUUGGGUAAAUUUAUCAUAAAUAUACCAGUUAGGAUUUUUUAUGGUCAAUCGGGGUAAAUUUGUUACAAGUGUACAGUUUGAGGUUUUUCGUGAUAAAAAAAUAGUUUUUGGUAAAUUUGCUACAAGUGUACUAAUUUGGGGUUUUUCAGGGUAUUAACUCUAUUGUUUAUUGGCGUAAAAAGAAAAAUCAUAUCUUCACAUUGCUGGUCUCUUGAAAACAUUAAUGCACAAUUGCAAUAUGAAAAAAUAAUGUUAGAUUACUUUAGUUGGAUUUAGUAUUAAUAAACGUUGAUUCUUGCUUGUAGGGAACAGACAAGAUUGAGGCCAUUGAUCUAAGUAGAGGCAACUCAGAAGGCCCCGACAAAAUAGUCGAGCGAGAUGGCGACAAUUACACAGCAAAACAAUUCAAAAAAUUGAAGAGUCUAAGAUUCCUUUUCAUGAAAGGGGCACAUCUUAGUGGAGAUUUUGAGGACUCAAUGGAGGAGUUAAAAUGGCUUCAAUGGCAAGAAUGUCCUGGGAAUUUUGAAGUAAACAAUUUUCACAUGCAAGAAUUAGCUGUACUCGAAUUGAAAAAUGGUAAGAUAAAUGAGAAAUGGGAAGGAUGGAAUUUUUUCAUGGUAAGAACUAAAAUCUUUUUUUCCUCCCUUUUUAUGCUUUCUUUUGAAUCAUAAUCACUCUAGACUCACCUCUUGACAAUCAUUAUUAUUUUUUUUUUCCCAGAAGGCAGAGAAGCUCAGAUAUCUAAACCUUUCAUGUUGUCAAUCCUUGGAAAAUACGGACUUCCUCUCAUCUUUUAAGAAGUUAGAGGUUCUCAUCCUCAAUAGGUGUGAGACACUGAAGCGAAUCGACACUUCCAUUGAAGACAUGGAGGGCCUCCUUCGCUUGGAGUUGUGCGCGUGUUUUUGCCUCAAGGAGCUUCCAACAAAAAUAGGUAAAUUAAAAUCACUGCAGCAACUCAAUCUAUCCAAUACUACAUCCCUUUUUGCAUUACCAAAUAGCAUAGGGUCCUUGGAGAAUCUAGAGAUUCUAGAUAUUUCUCGAAGUGGUAUAGAAGAAUUACCCAAUAGUAUUGGGAGUCUGAGAAAGCUCCGAGAGUUAUAUGCUUGUGGUUGCAGAGAUCUGAAAGGGAUAAUGGUAGAAAGCAUGUGUAAUCUUUCUUCCCUACAAUGCCUUGAUUUUCUUGAUUGCGACAAGCUCCAAUCCCUACCAAACCUUCCUUCUGGCUUAACAUAUUUGGGCAUCACCUGUCAGAGUCGCAAAUUGCCUUCGCUUUCCCACCUAGCCCAUCUUAAGGAACUACAACUUCUGCGUUGUGGAUUUCUUGAGUGCUUCCAAGAUCUUCCAUUAACACAAUUAAAGAGCUCAAAAUGCUCCCAACCGAUGGACAUUGAAGAAUUACAAUCACCACAAUCCCUAAACAUGCCCUCCAAGUUGAAAUUCUUGGAGGUCCAGAGCUGUGGAUCUAUCAAAACGCUGGACGUUUCACAACUUGUCCAUCUAAGGACAUUAAUUGCCAUAGGUUGCAACAAUCUACUUGAAGUUCGAGUCCUUGACAAAUUGAUAUAUUUGGAAAGCUUGACUAUCCAAUUUUGUGAUUCAAUCAAAUGGUUAGACCUUCCAAUAUUCGAGGGUCCGAAGAAAUUGGAUGUUUACUGGUGCGACAAAUUAGCCGAAAUUCAAGACCUUGAUAGUUUGGAGUACAUGGAACACCAAGAUAUAAAAAAUUGCGCUUCAAUUGAAAGGCUAGACCUCCCAAAAUCCGGGAGGCUGAAGAAAUUAGAAGUUAUAUGUUGUGAAAACUUAGCCAAAAUUGAAGGCCUUGAUAGGUCGGAGUAUUUGGAAAGUUUAGAUAUUUGCGGGUGCACUUUAAUUGAAAGGCUAGACCUUCCAAAAUCCAGGAAGCUGAAGAUAUUAUAUGCUAGUUCGUGCAAGAAAUUAGUUGAAAUUCAAGGCCUUGAUAGGUUGGAGUAUUUGGAAAGUUUAGAUAUCGCGGGGUGCAAUUUAAUUGAAAGGCUAGACCUUCCAAAAUUCGGGAUGCUGAAGAAAUUAGAUGCUGAAGGCUGCAAAAACUUAGUCGAAAUUCAAGGGCUCGAUAGUUUGGAGUAUUUGGAAAGUCUAAAUAUCUCUAUGUGCACUUCAAUUAGAAGGCUAGACCUUCCAAAAUCCGGAAGUAUGAAGAGAUUAGUUGUUCGUUGGUGCAAGAAAUUAGCUGAAAUUCAAGGCCUUGAUAGGUUGGAGCAUUUGGAAAGUCUAGAUAUCGAUUGGUGCAAUUCAAUUGAAAGGCUGGACCUUCCAAAAUUUGGGAGGUUGAGGAAAUUAGAUGUUAGAGGCUGCGAAAACUUAGCCGAAAUUCAAGAGCUUGAUAGUUUGGAGUAUUUGGAAAGUCUAGAUAUCUCUGAAUGCACUUCAAUUGGAAAGCUAGACCUUCAAAAAUCCAAAAGUAUAAAGAGAUUAGUUGUUGGUUGGUGCAAGAAAUUAGCUGAAAUUCAAGGGCUUGAUAGGUUGGAGUAUUUGGAAAGUCUAGAUAUCGAUGGGUGCACUUCAAUUGAAAGGCUACUCCUUCCAAAAUCCAAGAGUCUUAAAAUAUUAAAAGUUAGAGACUGCGAAAACUUGGUCGAAAUUCAAGGUCUUGAUAGGUUGGAGUAUUUGGAAAGUCAAGAUAUCAAUGGGUGCAAUUCAAUUGAAAGGCUGGACCUUCCAAAAUUCGGGAGGCUGAAAUUGGGAAAUGAUGGAAUAUGAAGGGGGACUCUAUGGACGACUCGGACGAGUAAUAUACCGGAAUGAUCUACAUUUUCUAAUGAAGGUACAUAAAGCAGGUAAUCAACCUAUGCUCUUUUGAGAUCUGCUGCCCAAUUUUCAUUUGUAUUUCUUACUUGCGAUAUCUUUCAAGAUUUAUGAUCAUCAUUAUUAUUUCUUGGUUGAUAGUGUUACCAUUGUUAUCUUGCUUGAAUUCAAGGAAUUUAGGGGAGAUGUUCAUGGAAGUUAAUGUGUGCUUUGGCAAAAUCGUUCUGCUUGUCAUGCCAGUAGCGAAAAUAGAUGAUAGGGCUUUCCAAGCGCAUCAUUUGACAAUAGUUUUCAAGUAAGAUCCUUCAUCCUAUACAGAAAAAUAGAGAUUCUCCACAUUUGAUUGAUUUUGAAAUGCUAGAAGUACUAAAAAACUGAAGUGUACAGGUUUUUGAUAGCAUGCCAAAGGUCAUUGUAUAGGUUGAAGAAAAUGCUAAAUGAAGGACCCUAUAUGGCGAUCCUUCUAAUGUGAGGUUUUAGUUUGCUCUACACUCAUCAUGUAGUUCAUGACUGCAUAUUUCUAAGGUACACUUAGGAGCGAAUUUCAAUGCAAAAGGAAUAUGUUGAUAGGGGAUCCCUUACUCUGCAUAUGCUACUGACUUGUCCAAUCAUUGAGUUUCAUGCAUUUUGUCUCACAGAACUGUCUACAUUUGUAGAUUUAGAUAAUCGUCUCAAUCUAGAAAUGCCAAAUGCAAGCACAAGCUCUUCGCCUAGUGGUGUGGCUAUGAAUGAACUAGCAAAUAGGGCAGAAGCAAAUGCAUCAUGAAUUAUUUAGAUGCAUCGAGAAAAUUGCAAUUUGAAUUUUUCUGACUAUGGAUCCAUGUUCAUUUGGUUUGAGUCUAGGGUAUACCUACUCCAAGACUUCCAAAGAAUGCAUCUUGAUGUUUGUAGAGUUGGUAAAGCCAUCUGUCGUAUACCUGAACUAUUGAGCCAGGCAAGACAUUAACUAGAAUGUCUUUUGACAUAAUCGGCUGUACUGCGAAAUAAUUACUUAUAUUGUGCAUAAGCUCUUGUUAGUUCAUUUACUUGCUGAAAAUAAAAACAUAGGAAUCAUUUCCAUUAGUUUCUUGAGGAAAAUUUUCAGUAUCCUAUAUUCCAUAUGAAAAUUGUCUUGCAUUAAUUCUAAUGCAUGAAUGGCACAUAAUGACAAGGAAAAAGCAUCAUACUAUGUCCCACAAAACAACCAUCUUGAGUUAAAUACACUAUAUUAAUUUGAUCAAAGCUUCUAUGGUUGAUGAUGUUAGAAGCCCUAUUAGUUGGAUCCAAAGAGUUCAGAAAGAACAUCAAGUUUGACUAAGUGGGUUCCCAUAAACUUGGAGCAUUAUUAGUAGUUUGUUGAUGUUAGUUGCUGGAUUGAUUUUAUCUUACUCACUGGCAAGAUUCAAUUAUGAUUCCAUUGAUUGAUGUAAAUGCUGAAAUAUCCAAGAGAGCUUUCACAAGGCGCUCUAAACAAAUGAAAUCAUAGAAGGAUCAAGAGUUCGAUGUUUCUUGAGCUUCUUCAAACCUGACAAUGCAUCCUUGGAAUGGUAAAAGGUUGUUUGCAUGUUGUCAUCCCACAUUUCUUCUAGUUUUUAAAGCUCUAUCCUUAACAACCCCUCUUUCAGCUCGCAUCCUUGCGAUUUGUUUUGGCACUGCUGCUGCAUUUUCAGCUACUCAUGGAGCUUUAGCUAUGGAGGCCAGCAACAGACCACUGUGCGUCAUGCGUCCAUUUCAAUUCUAGUUUUAAAAACCUCUAGCUUCUUAGGUUCAACUCCUAGCGUUCUUUUGCAACCUAAUGGCUGGUUGACUCAAUUGUUUUGACUCGGUUUUUUGAUGUUUGCUCAAUUUCUGACUGGCAAGUGAAGAUGACGGAGGGGAAUCAGAGAAGUGUUGGCUGGUGAUGGUCAUAGAGGACUCGAAGUUGGUGCUUCAUCACUUCAAUUGGCAGAGGCUGUGGACAAUCUCUCCUUGUAAUUGCUUUGAAGUGAGAAAGUUGGUUAGCUUAAUAUUCCUUGGAUACUACAGAGUAUGGUCAGCUUAGUAUUCCCUUAUGUACUCUAGCUGCUAUUUUGGUAGGCCUCCACUGGGUUGUCCUAUCCAUUUGUGUGCCAGAGAUUUCUAAUACCAUUGUGUAAUGGAACUUGGUCAUGUGUUAAAGGUCAGAAUAAUAUGCUGUCAUGCCUAGUAUUGUUUUCAUGUGCUCUAGCAGUUGAAUCAUUCUUUAAUCCAACAUGACCAAAUUACUUGCUAAACUAAUGAUAUGCAACUUUAAUGAUUCCUGGUUUCUGGGUUAGUUCUUCAUUUCAUGUCAUCUUGCUACAAUCUCCAUAAGUACUUAAGAGCACUUCAACUAGAUAAGGUUGACUCAAGUUAAGGUGGUUUGCUGGUCAUCAAUCGUGGGUUUUGUUGGUCCAACGCUAUUUUAGUUAUCCACACGGUAACGAGGGUUAAAUUGAUGGGUUGACUGUUGUUCUCAUUGGAUUGGAAGGUUCUCACUUUUUGAAAGAUCAGUUGUAAUUUCUUGCACUUUUUUGCCUUUGAUUUAUUCUGCUAGGUCAGGUCAGCAAGAUGUCUUACACGCAUUAUUAUGCCAGAGAAUUACUGCAACUUGGAGGAUUUGGGGACAGUGAAUAUCUUCAAAGGACACUCGCGAGGAAUUUCAACAGAUGGAACUUAGGUAUUGGCAAAAGAAUUAGAAAUGUGAAAUGCAAUAUAAUCUUAUUAGUGCAUAAAAGUUGUUACCUGAAUGCGUUGUUUAUUGCUCUUUCAUUGUAGAUUCUUCUUAUUUAUACUAUAUCUAGUUUUCCAUGCAUAGGUGUUCUUACACAUGCCACCUCUUUGGGAGAAAUAUGAAUUAUGGGACAAAACAUUGCUGUUACCUGUCGUUUGAAGAAAUUGCUUUUUUUCCCCUUUCAAGUCUAGUCCUCAUGCUAAUAUGUGUACCAAAUGUGAAAUUCUUGAUCUCUUUGUAUGCAUAACAGGAGAUUGAAUAUGAUUACCUGGGUUCAAAAUUGGUUUAUGUGAACAUCACAAUCUUUCACCUAAGAGCUUGUGCUUUUGUGUUACCGAACUCAUUAGUUUUUUGAGUUUGUUCGAAGAUCUUUCUAUCCAUUUUCCUAUUACCAUGAAAUUGUACAAAUAUUUUUCAUUUCCUUGCCUGAGUAGGCUGAACUUUGAGACUAUCGAGAAGGAGAAAAAGAAAAGGAAAUCCUUGGGGGGUGGGGUGUUGUCUUCUGGAUUGUGUAGUCAACAAUGGUUUUUCACUUACCCUCUUUCUAAUAAUCUUUGUUUCGUAUUUGAUCUCAGGUUGAUCACUUGACCAUGUAAUUGGAACUUAAGUUGGGUGAUCUUGUCGGGUUGGGCUUUCUGUCUAGCUUAUGAUAAUUGUGUAUGUAAAAACAGUAUCUCAUUUUUCCAAAUUAGUAGGAAAUAAUAUUGCCACAAUUCCCUCCUACAUAUGUUUUAGCAUCCACCAGAUACAUUCUCAUUUUGUUGUCCUUCUAUAAGGUAUAUACCUUUAAUCUGAAACUGCGAUUUUCUUCGGAGAUCUACAUAUGCAGAGUACAACUGCUUUUUCUUGCUAAUCAUUUCUCUAUAUGACUGCAGGUGCCUGUUACUUUGCUUCAUCUAAUCGAACUCGUGAAAUUGGUUUUACAGAUUAUAUCUCCUUCCAAAUAGUCUUUUUUAGAUGUUACAAACGGUAUUGCAAUGGUGAGGUGAUUUAUAAAUGAUUCAAGCAAUGUGAAGUAGGGAAGGCCUUUGGAAUCAAUCUUGUUGUACAUCCCUUCUGGUUACUAUUAUGUGCAUUUGGCUCUAUAAAAGGUGAAAGCUAGGUAUAUCAUACAAUAAAUCCAUUAUUUGCAAAUGUGGCUAAUAUAUUAUGUCGGAAACAUGAACUUCAAAUUGUUGUGUUGCUAAAUAAGAUUAAUGAUGCUUGUGAAAACUUGGGAGAUGCCUAGAUGAUGAUUUCGCAGACCAGUGACCUUCCAUUUAUGCAUAUUUCAAGAACCUCUUGUGCAAUUAAUCGAGAGUUGGACCAAUUGAAGGUAACUUGUGGAUCCAAAGCUUGCAUAAUGAUUCCUUACUUGUGAGAAGUAUAGGAUGCUCCUGAGUUCUAUUUGUCCUUAUACAUGUCAAUUCCUUAUUUAAGACAUUGAUGGCAGAAAAUAAAAACUAGGACAUUGUGCUUUUCUUUUGAGUCUGGUUUCAUAGUAGAAAUAGUGGUGGUCAACAACUGGUGGUAUCGACCUUGUCGAACCAGUAGCCAUGUGUACCUAUCAAUUGGUAACUCAGCAAGUCUGUCAACUAGUCUGGACCACUUCUAGGCCUUCCAAAAACUUUAAGGAAGAGUGUUGAAGUUGGGUUGGGGUUUGGAACUCUAACCUCUUGUAACUAAAAGGCAUGCCAACCAUCUACUCCAGUGUCUUCUUGCUUGAUUUUGUGGUGGAUUACUUAUUUAUUGACCGUAUUGGCUUAGUCUAUGAAAAAUUUGGACGAUUCUAUCGAGAACAGGAAUCCUGUCUUUGUGCUCAAGUAGCUUUGUCGAGUGACUAGGGCUUCUUUUGUUUAGGACAGGUGUAUUCUAUUUGAUAAUGUUACAUGCAAUCGGCUCAACUAGUUGAACUGUCAGAACAUGGUUCCACCAGUUUGACUGGUUGAACCACUAGUUUGGUUUUAAAAACGUUUGUUCCUUUGUUCUUCCUAUUAUGUAUCUGCUCUCCUCAUCAGCACAAGGUGUGGCAGCUUAGUUUCUCCUCAUACGUGCAUAUACAUCCUAUUUCAUCCCUGCAAUUUUUAAGGAUGUUAUACUUUCUGCCUUAACAUAAUUGCAAAAGUUGUGUUGACAGUUGGAGCCUUGUACUUGAAUGUAUGUUAAGGAAUGUGCAUUUGACGACCCUAAUGGGCUAGUAGUGCCACUUUUGCUUGGUUGUCUCAUUCUCACUUCUAGAACACUAACCCAGUGAAAUUACACAUCUUGGACUCUAUCUUACACCUAGAGAUGGAGAAUGAGAAGAUUUGCUACAGUCCCCAUACUAUAGUUCCUCCUUGUUCGUGGUAAAAAAUUUUACACCGCCAUACAAUUGAGCUAAGGAUCAACUUAUUGUGAUGCCAUCAAUUGUAUACUCUGAAAACUAUUUUCCUUGAGCUUUUUACCAUGUCCAUUUGUAGUUUGGAUUUUUGGAAACUUAUUGUUGCUCAUAGUCUUUCCUUUUUGUAUCAUUGUUUGAAACUUGCUAGUAUCAGUAACAAAUUCAUUUCAUUGACUAGGUGGUGGAGUUGAAUUAUCCUGUCCAUACUCCUUACUAAAUUCCCACUUUUACAACCUACUCUUAAGUUUAAAUAUGACUAGCAUAGGUACGUUGUGUCUCUCUAAUGGACAAUUUCAUGUUUGUUUUGACGGUUGAAAACGUGCAAAUUUACACCCCAAAUAAUAUUUUUUCAUUUGAAGAAGUAAAAUACUAAAGUAGUGCAAAAAAGAUGAAUCUUUAGUGGCCAGACAAAUACCAAAAGAAUAAUUAUCUUCUUAUGGUAGGUUCAUUAUAGUCUGAGUUACUGAUUAAGAACUAGUACAUACAUGUUCAUGAUGAUAGAUACUAUUUGGGUCUUCAGUAUAGAAAGAUACUAUAGAGCAUGUCACGCCCUGAUCCUCAGGCACGCACACAUCUCGUACUUUUGGUCGAUUUAAAAAUGCGAUAUCCCAGAACAAUAUAUCGCCGACCCUUUCAUUUAUAUAUGCACAUGCGAAAGCAAUUAUAAUUUCCCAGACAAUAAAGCAAUGGGAUAGAAAAGUAGGCCAUAUAUUUUUCUUUCUGAAAAUUCGCAACUACAUCUUUUUACAUGCAAACAAGGUCUAACAAGACAGGAUAGGAUUUCGAUCCUCAUCCGGGUCGUACUCGAUGUCAUACUCGGGGUCCUCCUCCAAGUACUCCUCUUCGGGUUCCUCAACAAGGAUCUCCUCGUUAAAUUCACGCUCCUUAGGCUUCUCAUCUAGGUCCUGAAAUGAUUAUUCAAUAACCACUGAGACAACGUCUCAGCAAGUUCUACCUCCCAAGACCCGAUUAGUAAAUUAAUACACCUUAGGGCUGCUUACGCACAAUAUGAGUUAGAGGACUUACCUUAGCCUCAGAUUCCACCUGCAUAUUAGUACAGAUCGAAUAAGCACACAAGCAAUCACAUCACAAAUCGAAGCAUCGAUCUAAUCGACUUAGUCGAUUUCACAUCAGGAAGACCACUCACGAUCAUCUCUCUUCAAUCAUUCAAUUCACAACAUCAAACCAAGGCAAUGAAUCACAUCAAGUCACAGUCAGAUCGAAUCAUCGAUCAAUCGACCUAGUCGAUUACCAGUCAGUCGAAUCAUUUCUAGGUCAUUCAUCCCACACCAAGCAAUUCCUUGGAUUUAGUGGCUUUACGGUCCCACCCGACCCUCUCAAGAUCUAGUGGCUUUGCGGUCCCACCCGACCCUCUCGAGAUUUAGUGGCUUUACGGUCCCACCCGACCUUUCCAAGAUUUAGUGGCUUUACGGUCCCACCCGACCUUUCCAAGAUUUAGUGACUUUAUGGUCCCACCCGACCUUUUUACAAUGCCAUACUAUGUCACCAAGCCACGUGUAUUCUCUAAGGCUACCUUUUCGUCAAGAUGACAUAUCUAAUCACCGACCCACGUGUCUUUCCCGAGCAACAUUCCAAUUCACUGGGCCACGUGCAUCCUCAAGGUGAUUUACCAACUCACUUUCGAUACUAACAACCGAUACCCGACCAAUUCUCAAUCACAAGGCCAAAAUUGCAUUAUUUAAUAACAUACUUAAAAAUGCACCGAUAAAUCAAUUCGACAUGAGUUAAAGCUCAAUUAAAUAAACAGACCACUCCACGACAAUCAGCACGAAAUUCCGGUCACCGGCCAUCCCGGUUGAAUUUCCGGAAAAUAAAUAAUUAAAUAAUUAAUUUCGAAAAUUAAAUAAAUAAAUACAAUAAAUUCAAUUUAGCACAAUAUAAAGCUCAAUUAAAUAAACGAAUUGCGCCAUGAUCAUCAGCAUAAAAUCCCGGUCACUGGCCAUCACAGUUGAAUUUUCGGAAAAUAAAUAAUUAAAUAAUUAAUUUCGAAAAUUAAUAUUUAAUUCCUAAAAAUACCACUUAGGCUCGAAUCGCUUAAUUAACACCCGAUAAAGGACGGGAAAAAUCCCAAGAAGCAUCCAAUAAAUACUACAUGCAAUUCUCUAUCUAAUUACACUAAUUACAUCACUAAUAUACAAAGCAAUUAACUAACAAUCACUAAUCAAUUCUAAUCUAACAACCUAAUUACACUUAAUUAACACUAAUCAACCUUUAAGUAUAAUUAGCGCACUAAUAAGGCAUUAGUGAGUAAAACUCACUUGGUACAAGCAGGGAUCGGGACACCGCGAUGGCGACGCGAUGGCGGCCGAAAUCCGAAUUUUCGGUGGUGUCGACGGACACUCGGGCCGGACCUACAAGCUUUGCAAGCCCACAGAAAUUCUGGACUUAGAUCGAACUUGGGUCAAUUGACUUCGCGGGCUGAGUUGCUGAAACUUCUUGGGCUUCAAAACUGGGCCUGCGUUACUAGAUCAUUGGGUUUAAUUGUAACUGAACUGGGCUGAGCUUCAUUGAUUUGUGGGCCGAACAAGAAAGCUUCAUGGGCUAAACAAACAAACUGGACUGGCUGUCUUCAUGCAUGGGCUGUUCCCGGCCCGGGCUUCUUGCUGACUCACGGGCUGAAGGAACGCCUUACGUGAGAGACACGGACGAACGGUGCUACUUCGUUUGUGGACUGGCGCGGCAGAGACGGGGAAGCAGCUGCUGGCGAUGAAGACACAUGCGGCUUCGUGGAUUGAAGAAGCUGGAGACAUGCGGAGAUGCGCACCAAGAGGAGUCAACCUCAGUGGUCGUACGGGUUGAUUUGCUGACCGACUUCACGAGUGGACAACACGGGCAGCUCAACCGAAAACUGAAGACGCAUGGAGAUUUCUUCGGUGGAUAGUGUUGUUGGCGUCUGAUCCGUGUGUGGGCUGUUGCGGUCAACUAAGGGGUUCUUGUGAGUGCAGCUGUUGACUGAAGGAGCUGGCUUCGGAGGAGGACUUGGAGCAUUGAAGAUGGAAGCAGCUUCGUCUGAGUUGCGACAGGCGCACGGCAGCUAGCACACGGUCUUCCUCUUCGCUGAACGCUGACUGGAGAUGCGGAGGAACGGACGAGUGGCGCGGCUGCUUCGUGGGAUGUGGGCUGAGCGAAUCAGCGAGGGUUUCGCUCGGUGGCUUUGCCGGGUCAACCAAGUGGUGUUGCUUGAAGACUUCUACUGAAGAUUGACUGUGGGAAACCAAGCAUAGUGGAGCAGGUUGGUGCGCAGAGGAGAACUCGGUGGGUCGGCUGAAUGGGGAAUUCGGUGGUGUUGAGUGCGUGUAAAAGAAACAGCAAGGUGGCAGAGGGAUAGAGGAGAGAGGACGGAGCUGUUUCGGUCUGGUUCGACGGAAAGGAAAGAGAAUAGAGGAAAGUAGAAAUAGAAGAGAUAAGAAUGAGAGAGGUGCCGUGGAGAUGAAGUCGGCGAGACUUGCUGGAGAAGCCGAAUGAGAGGGAGUCAAGUCAAAACAAAAUAUCUCAUUCAUGAUUAACAAACCAUAAAAGUCUUUAGCCCAACCAAUGGAGAAUUUGCUCCAAUUUCACUCCAAAUUAAAUCAUUUUGUUGUAGAUAAUUAUGCCCAUUUUCAGCCAACCUUUCCAAUGGGUCACUCAAGGGGCCAAUUUCUCCACAAUUCCACACCAAAUGAAGUCAAUUUGAGGACCGAACUGCGGUAGUUCAUCAUCCCUACGAAUUUGCACCAUCUCCUCACCAUUUACUUAAAUUUGGUGACCCAAAAUUCCUCUAAUAAUGCCCAUUUCAUAUAUUCGGGACGGGGCCGAAAUUCGGGAUGUCACAGAGCAUUCAUGGUUCACAUGUAUACGAUAGCCUCUUCAAGUACAUAAGUAUUGCUCCUGCCUAUGUUUUAGUACGAUGCAAGCAUUAUACUUAUUAAUUUUACCUAGCAAAGGUAUCAAAACGUCACAUUAGUUAUGGCCAUAUUAUAGGAACAUCGGAGUGAAAUCAAGUGGAAUUAUUUAUUCUUGGCUACAGCAGGUAGAGGUGUGGCUUGUGUUUUGGCCACAAGAAAGCUGGCCCUGGUCUACAUACUUGGACGAGGUGAAGAUGAAAUCUCAGAUUUAGAACGAACGUCUAUUGGGGUGGACCUCUAAUGCUGAGGACAGUCACUCCUAGCAAUUGCUCCAAAUUGAGAAAGCUCUCUUUUUUCUAUUCAGUGUGUGAAGUGCUUGAAUGUCUUCAAUGAGAACAUGAUGUUGAACUGAGGAGUUGGCAUUUUACAGAAAAAACCUAGUGUGAAUGAAGGUGAUCCGAGUGCAAAUCUAGAUUCUAUUCUAGUUUAUGUGGUGGUGAUUGUACUUGAUAUUACAAUUAUAUUAUGGUUGUUUAUGUGCACUAAUAUUUGUUUCGUUGGUAUCUAACUUAGUUUGGUCAUAAGGAAAGUAAAACGUGAAGUACCUCAGGAUACUACCAUCAUCCUUAAAAAGAAAUGGAUGGUUAAGGUGGAGCAAUUUUGAGGCAGUUUUCUUAGAAAUAACUUUGAACUUAACAUUGUGGAAGAACUUUCCUGCUGAUAAUUUUUAAUGCUUGAGUUGACUUUCGAGAGUCGCCAUCAGCUGAACAACAUGAUGCCUCAUACUUGGUAGUCUGAAUUAUCUUGUUUAUGCUUCAGAUUUCUACUCAACUGGUAAGUAUCGUCCUUUUUUUCCGUAAAAAGUCUCUAAAAAUCUAUUUAGUUUAGAUGUUGGAUGUUGUGAGGCAAAUUUGUUGCAAAAUUUUAAACACCGUCACAUGAUUCACACGUCAUUUUUAUUCUCGACUGCUCAAGGUCUACUUAAUUUUAGAAAACGCCUUUAGUUUCCAUUUUCAUAGAAACUUUUUUCAAUGUUUUGUUGACAAAAUAUUUGUUCAGUGAAAAUAAUGUCAUUAGGGAUAAAAAUUGUGAGAAUAUGCUCGGGUUACAUCACUUUCAAAAAAUAGUCAUCUUCAGUUUGUAAUUUUGAUUCUGAGAAUAGUUUUCCUUUUAUUUGUCGACUGCUUUCGGAGUGUUACCAAACUCAUUUUCUGCUAUGUUUUAAUUCUCAAAUUGAAAUCCGAACGGUCUUUUGAGAAUCUUUAUCAGUCGAAUGCCUCCUUAGAUUAUCAAUCUCUUUCUGUCUGCAGAAAAAAUGGACUUCAUCAAGUUGCUCAACAGGCUUUGAACAUUGAAGAUUUACUUCAUGUCAUUCGGCCAUCAUUAUCACUAAUGCAUAAGCAAUGGGCUGAUGCCAUUAACAUAUUUCAUGAGGAAGUUUGAUUUGCUGUCAAAGUUUGUUAGCGACCAUGGCAAGUAGUACUAUUAAUACAAAGCGGUAGAUGGCGUUUCACUUUUCUUCAUUUAACUGUUUUCGUUUGCUUAUCUAGGUCUUGACUCUCCCUCAGGAGGAAUUUUUCAGUCUAUCAGUUUCGUGUUGUUUCUCUGGGUGAAGUGGUAUGGCUAAUUUUUUAAGCUAUGGUGCUGCUAUAGGACUUUGGCUUUUUGGUUGGUUUUUAUAAUCAUAGUCUGCUAGUUGGUUUAGUGAUAGGGUAUGAAGUGUGUAUCAAAAGUUGUUUGUGGUGCUGGAAAAGAACUCCUGCUGGUUGUCCUCAAUCAUUGCAGGUGUGCAUUAUUAUCUUUGCAUUUGGCCUUUUUCCCAAAUAAUUAAAUUUCACGCAUCUCAAUGAGCAAUCUUGGAGGUGAUCAGAUAGAGACAGGAAUUUGUUAAAGGAAGUUAUGCUUAUGCACAUCUUGAGACACACCAUAAUUUUCAGAACAUCCUGAUGUUGAUUCUUCAUACGAACAUAUCGUAUGCAAUGAUCUGAAUUAAAAUCUAAUUUGAGUCUGAUUCAACAUGUUGGCAAUAUCUCCUAUAAGCGUAUAAUGGAAAUUGUGGGUCAUUAAUCAUUGGUUUGAACUUGAACUUGAUCUAAGUUUGAGCUUUGAGUGUACUGUACAUGGAGAUUUGGAUAUAUGAUGUUUAUACAUUCACAUUAUAGUUAGCAGGUGUAGAGAUAUGUUCUCAAUUUAAAAGGAAAUAGUUUAUCGCCCACUUUGAUCUUAGCAUAUAUCUCCUCACAAUUGCAAGUCAAUUUUUGUACUGAAAGAAACAUGGGAAUUGAGUUAAUCCCACUUGUUGUGCUGUAAAGGAAUGCCCUGCCAUGCCCAAAGUUCUUGCCUAAUAAAACCUCUGAUAACCCAAGAUAACAUAGCGCAAUCAUAGGAAACUGUCCAAAUUCUUGUUGAAGAACAAUGAAGGAGGAGUGCCGCGCAGACUCUGCCUCUUUUUGCUAAGGAAACACCUGUUGACCAGUAUUUUGUCUCAUUUCUAAAGUAAGGAUUUGUUCCCAGGUUGCUUCCCAAGCAAAAAGAGAAACUCUAAUUGGAAUUCUCACUUUUCAAAUCGAUUUCUGAGGAAAAUCUGUUUUGCCACGAAUCUCCCUAUCGAGCAGCUUGUAAUAAGAUUUUACAGAAAAGAUUCCAUCUCUUCUGUUAAGCAACAAAAAUCUUUGAAUUAUGCAACACAUAAAAGAAGGCAGGNNNNNNNNNNNNNNNNNNNNNNNNNNNNNNNNNNNNNNNNNNNNNNNNNNNNNNNNNNNNNNNNNNNNNNNNNNNNNNNNNNNNNNNNNNNNNNNNNNNNNNNNNNNNNNNNNNNNNNNNNNNNNNNNNNNNNNNNNNNNNNNNNNNNNNNNNNNNNNNNNNNNNNNNNNNNNNNNNNNNNNNNNNNNNNNNNNNNNNNNNNNNNNNNNNNNNNNNNNNNNNNNNNNNNNNNNNNNNNNNNNNNNNNNNNNNNNNNNNNNNNNNNNNNNNNNNNNNNNNNNNNNNNNNNNNNNNNNNNNNNNNNNNNNNNNNNNNNNNNNNNNNNNNNNNNNNNNNNNNNNNNNNNNNNNNNNNNNNNNNNNNNNNNNNNNNNNNNNNNNNNNNNNNNNNNNNNNNNNNNNNNNNNNNNNNNNNNNNNNNNNNNNNNNNNNNNNNNNNNNNNNNNNNNNNNNNNNNNNNNNNNNNNNNNNNNNNNNNNNNNNNNNNNNNNNNNNNNNNCAAAUUGUAGGAUCUGGAAUCUUCGGUUGCUUCUGCGUUGUACCUUUUACCGGUUUUGAGCAUCAUGUUCUGUUUCUCUAUACUCUUCUAAUGCUUCAUUUUUGUUUGUUUUUCUUUUGUUUUGUUCUAAUAUAUACUGAUGUACUGGAACUUUUUCUUUCAACAAAAUCCUUUAUUAUCUGGAGAAAAUAUAUUGCCAAUUUAUUCCCUUGCCAGAUCUUUCUCCAUUUACGUAGGCAUUUUUGUGUGUUGUGAACAUGUGCUUGGGUGUGCACAUGCAUGCGAUCAUGUGCUUGCACAGGUGUGCGCACAUGUACAUGCACUCUGUAGGGCUGUUGUUAAUUAAAUCAGAUUCUGUGCUUCUCGCGGGUACAGUGACUCUCAUGUACAUGCUACAUAUUCUUCUUGAUUACUACUAGAGUGAGAAAUGAUGUUUCCAGUUACAUUCUUUAAGGUUAUAGACUCUUGUUUCCUUUUUUUGGAUAAGUCUAUUAAAGAGCACCAAGAGGAUGCCUCCUAUUUACAAAUUUCCACCUAUAAGUUCAUAUUUACCUUAAAAAUUUUAGGAAAAAAAAAAAAGACUUGGUGUCUAAAGAACUGCCACCACAAUGUGAAAAAGAUAAGGUAGAAAGCCAAAUAUCUUUAUAGCACUUACAGAACUUUCCUCAUUUUUAAAAGCUUGCCUAUUUCUUUCUUACCAAGGCUUAUGAACUCUCUCUAACUCCAUGGUACUGCCGAUCAAUGCUUUCGGGCUCCUUUCUCCUUUUGUCUAGUCAAAAUGUGCAUUCAUGACGGUGUAGAAUUUUGUGGAAAAAUUACCAAGCGAUAAAAAGAUUAAGCUAUGAAAUAAAGAUGUGGUUUACUAUUUAAAAGUUAUAGUACUCCGCCUCUCUCGUAAGCUGGGACUUCACCUUACAUUGAAGUGUAAACAUUUGAUACUUGGGGAGUGUAAAGAAGUUAUCCUGUCAAUAUUGUGCUUAUAGCCCACAAUUGUCACAUAAAUGGCCUCUCUCUCUCUCUCUCUCUCUCUCUCUCUUAAAUCAACUUUGGGGCAGGACUUGAUAAUUUCACAUGAACAUUCCAAACUUCUAAUCUGUUUGCAUGAAUUGGAUGGUAGACUAGGCUCCAAUUCUUUAUUGAAUUUUCCAGUAUAACUUUUAUUUGGCAGAGACCCUAGAGUAUGUUGUUUAGUUCAAACACAGUUUGCAGAAGAUGAACAUGGCUCGUAAUGGCCAUUUACUGUGUAAAAUAUUUUCUUUUGUAAACUUUUAACUUCAAUGGUUCCAGCAAGUAACGUAUGUGGUCAAUGCUAUUUUUAUCCCUCAUCAGUGUCAGUUUUCUUAAGAGAUAAUAGUUGAUUUACGGGGUUAAUUAAUUGAUUUAUUGUUAUUUACUUAGCAGCCUGCUGUAGAAACUAUUGGCUUUAGAAUGGGUGAGCUCAGGGGUCUUUCAAGAUGGCGUUCUUGUUAUCUAGGUAUUGGUUCGGAUGAGACACUGGCGGAUAAUGCAGUGGAAAAGAUUGGAAUGUUGCUUGUACAGGUUGAGUGAUUCAUAAGGGUGCUCUCAUCUGUUGCGUAGCCGGUACGCUAAUUACAAUCUUUCUUGUGAUUUCUCUACCUUUCUUGAUAUCUUCUGUUUGCAACUAUUGUAAUAUCUUGCCUCUCAUCAUGUAUGGUAUCAUGUCUUUAGUGACACUGAAUUACUAAAAUUUAAACAUGAAGUUGAACUAUUUGUGGAUAAGAUAUGAUAUGGAUUUCUUGGAAUGACAUAUUGAUCUAAGUUAAAUAGCCUUUAAUUAUUUGAAAAAUGAUCUUGUUAUCAAUAUUGUAAAGGAUUCAUCAUUAGACGGUGGGCUUUACACGUGACUUGAACCUGUUCAACAAAGGUCCAUUUAGUACCUGUUAAGGUCGUUACGGAAUACUGACAAUAGCACAUUGUUGUCUUGUUGAUAUCGUCAUGCUUUUGAAGCAGCAAAAAAGAGAAAUUGCACGACUUUUCUGCAUCUUUGCUUCCCAUGCCUCACACAACUUGGGGUUUUUACCUUCUCAAUUCUCGCAUGCUACCCUGAAGAAAUGCAAUUUUACUUGUUUCAAAAUGAAAAGAUCAUAGUGUGACCACUAAUAUCUAGAGCAAGGUCAAAAUAUUGGUAGGAUCCUAUGGAGUUCUCGAGCCUGUGGCCGGCAUGCUUGUAGAAUUUGCCUUAGGGAUCGAAAGCAUAUUGUAUUGGUUAAUAAUGUGCAUGUUGCUGAAGCUUUUGCUUUUGUCUCUCUUUCAGUUUGCAAAUUUCUUCAGCUGGCUUCUGAAAUGUAUAAAGCAAUCGAUGUCAGAGCCAAGUGAUCAACUUUUAACAUACAGUAGGUUUGUCUAACUUUUGUCAAUCAGGGUCCUUCCUUAUGGUGAAUUCCUAUAUACUCUUUUGAGUUCAAUGGUGAACUUGUUGUAGUGUUCUUGAAGUUUCUAUAUGAUCAAGAUGCUGCUAUGCAUCUUCUAGAUCUUUCUGAGGCUGAUGAAGAAACUACCAUUGAUCCCUGAGUGAUUUUCUCUAACUUGUUCUAGUUCCUAAUUACAUGUCCUUUACAACAUGGCACCUGGAACCCCAGAAUCUUUAGUUCUUAGUUGCUCAUACCUGAUGGAGGCACCAAGUGGAAUCUUUGGCAUCACCAUGUAUAAAAAGCUUCCAGUAGAAAUUCCUUGUGUGUAUAUAUAUAUUGAAAGCUAAACUUUUUCCUGUCAUUUUAGCUCAGAUAUACUUUUACUUGGUCAUUGUUGAUAGAAUGGCUAGCCAUUGAAUAGUAAAUUUUUUCUCUUGUGAAUUAUCUCUUGAGUUUUGCUCCUCCUUGGUUUUCUUAAUGAAUUUCAUUCAGCUAAUAAGAAAAGGUUAACCUGGCCCUAGUCAUAGAAUCAUAUGUAUCGUCCGGAGACAUGAAGUGAGACUGGAUUCAUAAUUAGACGUAAGAUGACCUUAUAAUUCCAAGGGUGGUGGGUCAUCUCUUCAUCCUUUGUACCUGAAAUUUGGUGUGGCGGUGGCUUGGAUACUACAAGGUGUGGUCAGCUUAGUAUCGCCUUAAUGUACACUAGCGGCUAAUUUUGUUGGCCUUUGCUAGGUUGUGCAAUCCAUUAAUGCAGCAGAGAAUUAGAAUAUCAGUUUAUAAUGGAAAUUGGUCAUGUUUUAAAUAUCAGAAUGACAUGCUGUCAAGCCUAGUAUUAUUUUCAUGUGCUUUAGCAGCUGACUCAUGCUUUGAGGCAAUGUGACCAAAUUAGUUAGCAAAAUUGUGAAUGUGAAAUUGUAAAUGACUCCUGGUUUGGGGGCUAGUUCCUCAUUUCAGGUCAUCUUGCUAUCAUCUUCACCUAUAUUCAUUUUUGAAUUAACGGACACCCACCAAAGUGUGAAAGCUAGGAUCAUUCCCGCAAUAACACCUACAGGUUCUCCCAAUUCUGUUCGAUGACUAGAACAGGAAAUACUUGAGUGCACUUCCACUAGAUGAGGUUGACUCGAGCUAGGGUGGUUUGCUGGGCUUCAACUGUGGUUAUUGUUGGUCCAGCACUACUUUAAGUAACCACAUGGUAACAAGGGUUGAAAUUGACUGGUUGAUUGUCGUUUCUCAUUGGAUUGGAAGGUCAUAUUCCAAAAUAUCAAAUGCAAUUCCUUGCGCUUUUCUGCCCUGAUAUAUCUUGUCAGGUCAGUGAGAUGUCUUACCCUCAUUAUUAUCUUAGACAAACAAUGCAGAGAAUUGGAGAAUACUGCAGUGUGGAGGAUUUUGGGGACACGGAAUAUUUGCAAAGGAUACUUGUGAAAGAAUUUCAAUAGAUGGAACGCAGUUAUUAGCAAAAGAAUUAAAAAGCUGAAAUGUAAUGGAAUCUUGUUCGUGGAUAGGAGUUCUUGCUUGAAUGUAUUGCAUAUUGCUCUUUCAUUGUAAAUUCUUCUCAUUAAUCCUAUAUCUACUUUUUCCAUUUAUAAUUGUUCUUACACAUGCUACCUCAGUGGGAAAAAUAUGAACUAUGGGAUAAAUCAUUGCCGUCAUCGGUUGUUUGAAAAGAUUGCUUUUCCCCCCUUCGAGUCUGGUCCUUGUUGCUGAUAUGUGCACCAAAUGUGAAAUUGUGGGUCAACAAAAGUUUGAAUAUGAUACCUGGGCUCAAAAUUUGUUUAUGUAAACAUUGCAAUCCUUUAAUUAAAAGUUUGUACUUUUGGUUUUACUCGACUCAUCAAUUAUUUGAGCUCAAAUAUUCAUUUUCCAUUUGGCAAAUUCAGGACUUAUGUUAAUAGGUUUGGGGAUAAUUCUAUCCAAAUGCUUAUUAGCAUAAAGUUGUCCUAUAUUUUUCAUUUCCUUGUCUGAGUGGCCAGAACCUUGAGACUAUAAUGAGAGAAGGAGAGAAAGAAAAGGAAACCUCUGGGGGUUAGGGGUUGUCAUCUGGAGGUUGUCCUCAACAAUGGUUUUUUACUUACCCUCCGUCUAAUAGUCUGGUUUUUCAUAUUUGAUCUCAGGUUUGAUUACUUGACAGUGUAUAUGGAAGCUUUAGUUGGGUGAUCUUAUGGGAUUGGGCUAUGUGUUUAGGUUAUGAUCCUUGUGUAUGGAAAUACUGUAUCUCAUGUUUCCUGAUUAGAAACUAAUUAGAUAAUCACAUUUUCAAGGAAGCUACCCAGAUGCCUUUCUCUUCUAUUUUGAAAAAGAUACUUUGUGAGAAUUUAUUGCUACAAUUCCCUCUUACAUCAGUUUCAGCAUCCACGAGAUAUAUUCGCAAUUCACGGUCCUUUUAUAGGGUAUAUACCUCUAACCUGAAACUACAAAUAUUAUCUAGAAAUCCACAUGUGCAGAGUCCCAACUGCUUUUUCAUGCUAAUCAUUACUCUGUAUGUUAUUGCAAGAUGACUUGAAUUUGCUUCAGAUUAUAUUUCCUUCCAAAUACCUGAGGAGUCUUUUUUAGAUGUAACAAAAUGUAUAGCGGUAGUGAGUGGACUUAAGAAUGAUUCAAGCAAUGUGAAGAAGGGUAGAUCUUUGGAAGGACCUUGUUGUGCAUCUCUCUUGGUCACUGUUGUGUGGAUUAGGCUCUAUUUGAGGUAAAAGCUUUGUAUAUCAUAUUUUGUAGCCCAAAUUUGCAAAUGUGGCUAAUAUAUUCUGUUGGAAGAAGGAACAUCAAAUUAUUAUGUUGCUAAAUAAGAUGAAUGAUACUCAUGAAAACUUGGGAGACGUCAGGAUGACGAUCCUGCAGGCUAGUGACCUUCCAUUUGAGCAUAUUGCAAGAACCACAUAUGCAAAUAACCGGGAUUUGUACCAAUUGAAGGUAACUCUUAGAUCCGGAGCUUGCAUAUUGUUUUCUUACUCGUGAUAUCUAGAGUUCUAUUCCGAUCAUGUCAAUUCACUAUUUAAGACAUUGAUGGCAAAAAGAAAAAAAGUAGCAUAUUGUGCUUUUCUGUCGACUCCUGUUCGUGUCGGAGUUUUAAGAAGUGGCUCUGGUUGGACUGGGAACCAGACCUGUCCGGUCUGGUUUCCCAACAGAAAUAGUAUUGAUCAAGAACCGGUGGUAUUAACCCUCUUCAACCGGUAACCAGGUGUACCUAUCAACUCAUACCUAGCAAACCCGUCAAAUAGUUAGGACCAGAUCUGGGCCAUAAAAAAACUUAAAGGAGUAGUGUUGGAAUUGGGUUGGGGUUUGGCACUCCAACCUCUUGUAACUAACAAGCGUGCCAACCAUUUGCUCCAGUGUCUUGCUACAAUUCGUGGUGAAUAAUAUAUUUAUUGACCAUAUUGGCCUAAUCUAAAAUUGAACAGGAUGCUAUUAAGAUGACAUCAAGCGUGCAUAAUCUAUUAAGAUGCUAUGGUGUCUGCUGAUUCACUGGGCUUCUUUUGUUCUGAAAGUGUGUAAUCUAAUAUAUGCAAAGCAUUCUAUUAGAUGACAUCACAUGCAAUCGGUUCACUCGGUCGAACUGGAAGAGCACGGUUCUACCAGUUUGACUGAUUGAACCACUGGUCUGGUUUUAAAACAUUUGUUCUUUUAUUGUUCCUAUUUAUUAUUUAUCUGCUCUUCUCAUCAGCAUGAUUAGCAGCGGAUUAGUUUUUCCUCCUAUGUGCAGAAUGCAUACAAAUGUCAUUACGUGCUUGCAAUUUCAAAGGGUGUUUUACUUUCUGCCUUACCGUAACUGCAAAAAGUUCCAACAUACCUUGACAGCUGGAGCCUCGUAUGUAGGUUAAGAAAUGUGCCUUUGAUGGCCCUAAUGGGUUAGCAGUGUCCUUUUUGCUUCUAUGUUGUUAGGUUAUUUUUGCUUGGUUGUAUUAUUCUCUCUUUUGAAACACUAAUCCAGUGAAACUACACAUCUAGGACCAUAUCUUACGCCUAGAGAUGGAGAAUGAGAAGCUUCGCAGCAUUCCCCGUACUGUAAUUCCUUCCUUGUCAGUUGGUGGUAAGAACAUUUUGACACUGUCAUGCCAUCGAGCUGAGGAUCAAUUCAUUGCUAUGCCAUCAAUUGUAUAGUUCUGAAGGUUUUUUCUUUGAGCUUCUUGCCAUGUCCAUUUGCAGUUUUGGAUAUCUGGAAACUUAUUGUUACCCAUGCUCUUUCCUUAGGGAUCAAUGUUUGAUAAACUUGGCAAUGUCAGUAACAAAUUUAUCUCGUUGGCUGGGUGAUGGAAUUGAAUUAUUCCUGUGCAUGCUCCUUACUACAUUUCCACUUAGAGCCUCCUAUUAAGUUCAAAUGGGACUGCAUAGGGACACUGUGCCUCUUUAAUGGACCACUUCAUGUUUGUUCCUAUAGAUUGAAGAAGUGCGAAAGUAUGCUCCAAAGAAGAAAAUUUUUUGGUCGAAGAAGUAAAAAAAAAUUGAAGUAUCAGGUUUUCCCCUAAAUUUUAAAUCAAUUGAGAGGACAAAGCACAAAAUGAUUUUAUGGUCGCCAAACAAAUUCCAAAAGAGUAAUCAUUCUCUUGUGGUAGCUGCAUAGCAGUCUGAGUUACUGACUGAGAACCACCAUUUACAAGUUCAUGACCAUAGAUACUACCAUGGUAUCUAGCGUAGCAAGAUACUGUAGAGCAUUCAUAGUUACACGCAAGCGGUAGCCUCUUUAGGCGCACAAGGUUUGCUUAAUGCCUGUGUUUUAUCAUAAUGCAUGUGUUGUACUUUUACCUUUACCCAACAAAGGUAUCUAAACAUCACGUUAGUUAUGGCCAUACAUUCAAGGAACACCGAACGAAAAUCAAGUUGAUUUUUUUUUUUUUUGGGCAACGGCAAGUAGAGGUGUGACUUGUGUUUUAGCUGCAAGAAAGCAGGCCCUGAUCUACAUACUGGACGAGUAUGAAGAAGAAAUCUCUGAUUCAAAAUGACUGUCUAUUCAAGAGUUUGUGGUGGUUAUGCUCAUGUUGCUGCUGUGGGUGGACCUCUAAUGCUUGAAGCUGCAGACAUUGGUGUAAGAAGCAAUGCAUGUGGGCUUUCUCACUGAAGCUCUUCGACUUCACCCUUUUUGGAGGUCUUAAUCUAUACCUGCCAUGUGCCUUUUCUGCUAGGCGGGUAUUUGUCGAUAGAAAAAGUGGAGUAAAAGGUAGCGAUUAUCUAUUGAGUCGGAUAGAAUUGAUUGAAAGAUGCUGAAUCAUGGCUUCUAUCCGGUGGUAACUGUCGUCAUGGUAUUGUUGUAAGCUCUGAGACCUGUUCGAUGGUGCCAAGCUUUUGCUUCAUCUGUAUAUGUUUACUAUUUGCAUGUGUAAGAGAACCAAAUGUUUGGUUUGGAUUAUCUAUGCUUUUGGUUGAAUGGUUCGGGCAGUGUACUCGACUAACAAGCUCUGCUUUUGAAUGUUGAAAUCUCUCGCCUGAAAUUGACUUGCUUCUCCAUCAUUGUUAAGUGACACAUCCGAUCCAAUGUAGAAAAUACAUUCUUGUGGGGAACGUCCAGAUAUAUGGUUUCAUGGAGUCUUUUAAUUCAGUGAUGUACAUUCAGGAAUCAAUAAUUCUUUAAUUGCAGUAUUCUUUCUCUCGGAAUUAUUGCCAGUCUCCAGGAGAAAGUAUGCACGAAUGUAACGUGUUCGUUUGUGAUACUUCUUUUCUUAUGUUUAUUAUUUGUCGUGAUGAUAGCUCUUUGGGAACUUAAAGCUGAAUUUACUCUGAAAUUAAAUCCUUCUUUAUUUAUAGCCCUUCCAAAUCUUUUACGUCUUCAAUCUAUUCUUCCGAAUGCAAGUACAGAAAUAGUGACGUUUAACAUUAAUUAUUAGAUGCCGACCAAAAAAAAAAAACAUUAAUUAUUAGAUGGGACAAUAACAUUAUCAACAAAAUAAAUGAUUGUUAAUAGGUUCGCUGCCAGUGCAAAUCCCAUGUAAACUUUAAAUUCCACGACCUGUUUUACACAAGUUCGUUUUGGAGAAAUGGUCGUUAAAAGUUUUGACGACUGAGAAAAUAAGAAGAGAAGGUUGGGAAAAGAAGUACUGCUAAGGAAGAAGCUUUACUGUUAUUAGGAAAUGUCUAAGAAGACAACUUGUGUCUAUCGAACCAGACAACUCUGGCUAAACCUUCUAUUUAUUGUCAUUGUAGAACCUCAAAAAAUUUACUUUUGCCACUAUUCUCAGUAAUAAUAGAACUUAUGAUCAUUUGUAACUCAACAGCAUUAUUAAACUAACCGUCCGAAUUGUUGGAGAAUAUCAAGGUAACCUAGCAUCAUGUCUUCACUGUGUGUGUUCCAAAAAAUAGCUUCAUUGCCUGUGGAUAGCAACAAACAGGCAAGACUUAAUACAUGGGAGUUGGGACUUUGAUCAGAAAAUUAGUCACUUAAGAAGGCAACAAUGCUGAUCUAUACACAAACAAAUAACUUUAUUAAUGAUGACGAGUUCAAAAUCAGAUAAGUACCUAAUAUGCCUUCAUAUUAGUUUUGUCACGCCUCGAACCCUGAGCACGUGCAUAUCCCUCAGCGGUCGACUAAAUUGCAACGUUCUUAGGACGCGUCACCAACCCUUCCUUUUUAUGCACAUGCGGAAGCGAAAUAUAAAACCUAAACCCGAACAACAUCAAACAUGGGAUAGAAAAGUAGGAUAAUCAAAUUUUCACAAAAUACACAUUAAAUACAAGCCUGUUCAUUCCUACGAGUCUGUACACUAAAGGUCUGCCCUAAAAGAACUACCGGACAACUUAUACUUCGAACCCCUUCAACUCUGGCUCGGGAUCCUCCACGACACCCUUCGGUAUCUCCAGACUAGGGACCUGAAAAAUUGUAAACCACGACGGGGUAAGAAUAAAUCUCAGCGAGUCAACACUCUAAAUCCCGAUUAUGACGAGAAUUCACUCAAAAGCGUCCUAAACAAGCACAACUCAGAACUUACCUCGCCUCAACAUCUUUCGGCACAUUAGUGCAUCUCAUAUGCACUUAUAAACACAACACGCGUAANNNNNNNNNNNNNNNNNNNNNNNNNNNNNNNNNNNNNNNNNNNNNNNNNNNNNNNNNNNNNNNNNNNNNNNNNNNNNNNNNNNNNNNNNNNNNNNNNNNNNNNNNNNNNNNNNNNNNNNNNNNNNNNNNNNNNNNNNNNNNNNNNNNNNNNNNNNNNNNNNNNNNNNNNNNNNNNNNNNNNNNNNNNNNNNNNNNNNNNNNNNNNNNNNNNNNNNNNNNNNNNNNNNNNNNNNNNNNNNNNNNNNNNNNNNNNNNNNNNNNNNNUAACGUCGCAAAAAACUUCAACGCCUGUGUUCUAGGCCCUUGAUUAUACAAGGCGCAUAGCUUAAGGUUCUAGAGGUAACUCACACGAAGUUUCGCUAUCGUGUAGCACUUAGCCUUUAACUACACAAAGCAAUAGCUCAAGGUUUUAGACGUAGUUCUCAUGCGACUCAAGUCGCCAUGUAGCACUUAGCCCUUGACUACUAGGUUCUAGAGGUGACUCACACGAAUUUUCGUUGUCAUGUAGCACUUAGUUCUUUACCCAAUUACAACACAUUUGACUUCCUCGGCCCAACACAUCAUCUCAUCUUUCAAUGGUCAUCACAUGAUCACAUGAUCACAUAAUCACAUAUUGCCCUUCAAUGGCCAUCAUUUGCCAUGACCAUAAACCAUCACCAUAGCACAACCAUUCACAUCUCAUCACGCACAAGUUCCAAGCAUAUCACAGGUCAACUACAUCACCAAAUAUGCAUUUUCCAACAAGCAUAGCAUCAAGAACCAUCAUAAACUACUACCAGUCCUAAUCGGCAAAAAUGGUCCACUCGUGUGUUUCCAAGUUUAAAUCCAAAAACCUAAUCAAUCGAGUUUGGAAAAUUCUGAAAUUUGAAUAUGUUCUAAAAGACAUAUAAACGAGAAUUUUUCAUGAAGAUACCUCAGCCCAGAUCUCUGGAUUAAGAGCAGUAAAUCACCUAAUCCGGUACAAAAACUGGGUCAAUUUCCAGAGAUCAGGUUUUCCAAAACUAGCUUGGUUCGAGAUCCAAAAAUUGUCCAUUUGAUCUGAAAUUUAAUUAUGUUAAACUAAAAGAUGUGAUAAACAACUUUUGUGAAUAAACCAUUUCGAAAAUCGAACCUUAAAAGUGAAUAAAAAUCCAUUGAACAACAAAAGGUCACAAGUUUAAGCCCAAAUAGAGGUUCCGUUUGCAAAUGACGAAACUAAUAUCUCUUUCUUUUAAAUCCCUAAAAAUCUUGAGAAAAAUAUAUGUCAUAAUUGAAGAUGUCUAAAACAUUUUUCAAGUAGGAAUAAAUCUUAAAAUCGUAGCCCAUUUUGAUCCACAAAAAUGGCAAACGGCAAGAGUCCAGUGAACUAAUUUGGGAGAAAUCCCAUCAAAUAGGCUAAACCAGCCUCAUUAGUGCUAAUAUCACCAAUUAGAUUAAUAUUAAUCUAUAUUAAGGCUAAUCUAACUAAAUUAGAUUAGCACUAAUCCAUCUUAAGGUUAAUCUCACUUAAUAAUAAUUUAACUAAGCUAAUGGACACUAAUAUAAUCUCCUAAGUGCAAUUAACAACCUAAUCAAGGAUUAGUGAAUUAACUCAUCGGAUUAGCAAGCAAACGGGUUCACGGCGAUGGCGAUGCGAAGGCGGUGAAGACCUGUGUCUACAGCGGCUCCAAAUGAGGCUCGGAAGGCACUGAAAAACAACUCGCAAGCCUUUGCUUGUGGUUGGAACAAGUUCCACUUCUGGGCUUGUUGGUCGGUCAAUUUGCUGGCUGAGGAGCUAGGCGGCUGGUCACAGAGGCUGGUCACUGUGUGACAGUGAGGCGGACGUGGGGUGGUGCUAGACACAAAGCUGCUGGACUGGACGCUGGUGACUGGGGCUGCUAGACAGAGGCGUGCGGCUGUGGUCGAGGUUGCUGGAUGCAACUGGGGUUGAGGGGAGGUUUGCUGAACGUGAGGUGGUGUAGGGGGGUGCUGUGGCGGUGGGGGAGUGANNNNNNNNNNNNNNNNNNNNNNNNNNNNNNNNNNNNNNNNNNNNNNNNNNNNNNNNNNNNNNNNNNNNNNNNNNNNNNNNNNNNNNNNNNNNNNNNNNNNUUUGAAUUUGAAUUGAUGAUGAUGUCGCAAAUGGAGUGUGAUUGUGAUAAAUAUGGAUUCUUAUAAAUCCUAAGUGUAGAAAUUGAUGGGAGAUUGUCUGUGAUUGACCACCUAUUAGAGUUCGUGCGCAGAGAGGCUGUGAUGUACCACCUAGGAGAGGUCGUGCCCAGUGAGGCCGUGAUUGACCACCUAUCAGACGUUGUAUCCAGUGAGGCCGUGGAUGUGGGCGAAUUGAAGAGAGAGAGAGAGGGAUGAAAGAGAGAGGGGAAGCCAAAGAAGUGUUAUGCCCCCAAGGUCAAGGCUCCAUCCAAUUGCAAAUUUCCUCUUAUUUCUUCACCAUUUGAGGCCUUUUUGGUGUCCAAAAUUCACAUGGCAGCCACCCCUACGAAUUUCCAGCUAUUUUCUUUCAAUCUCACACCAAUUACUUCAAUUCGAUGGCCCCAAAAAGCCAUGGCAGCAGCCCAUACCAUUUCCCUUCAAGUCUUCACAAAACAAUUCAAUUUGAAGGCCAAAAAUCCCAUUGAAGGUGCCCAUCCGAAUUUCUUGAUUUUUAAUUUGCCGAAAUUGAAUUUUUCGCCAAAAAUUCUGGGCUCGACGGAAUAUUUUCAAAAGAUGAGACGAGGUUUUAAAAAUGAAUCAUGACACCCUCAAAUGUUCAAUUCCCGAAACCGAGUUCAAUUUCGUGGUUAAAAUCAACGGGAUGUGAUUUUAGUCCAAUCCGACAUACCGAGUAGCUUUUAGGGAUUUUACCGCGGUUAUAUCCCGUAACGGCUUCACCUAAUAGGUUAGUUACUUGUGAGUGAUCAGCUCAGAGAAAAAGAACCAUAGGCACAUCGGUGAAAAGCCUAUUUCAUUUUAUCGAGACUCGGGAUGUCACAAGUUUAACCAACCAAUUCUUUUCUAAUAUGAUUUUCAAGUCACCUAUUGAUAAAAAAAAAUGCAUAUAGAAACAUGUUGCCGUGUGCUUGUUACAUCCUUUCGUAUCUACUUAGUGGUAAAAAUAUCUUGUCAAUAUCCACUUGGCAUCACCCAAGUGAAAGGGAGUUUUAGCUAUUCAAAGUGUGGAGACAAUUGACAUCGUUUCAAGCCAAAUGAGUAUUGGAUGUUUUCAUCACACAAUCUUAGGGGAAAUUACUAAGAAAGUCAUGAGGCUAUUGCACUUGCACUAAUUCAGUUCUAGACUUUCAAAUUUGGCUAAUUGAGUUCUAGACCUUUUGGCUGCGCAUGAUAAAAUUUAUGUUUCUUGAUUUCUCUAUUUCUCUAUUCCCCGGAACAGGUUUGGAACAGAAAUUUGUUUGAUAACCCAAUUUGAUUUCUCUAUUUCUGAAACAGAUUUCUAUUCUAGAAAUUGAUUUGGAGGAGAAAUCAAAAGCUAGAAAUUGUAGCUUCUCUGUUUUUGAAAUAGAAACAGAAAUUAUUUUCUUUUCUCCAUCCUUCAAAAAUAGAAUUUUUGUUCUCAAAUUAGCAAAAGAGGUUAUCAUACCACCUUCCUUUGAUGUUGUCCCACAAGAAAUUCUUAUGGAUCCUAAGCAUAAACGUUACUUCAAGGUAGAAUUCUCAUAUAUUCCUUUACACCAUCAAUUUUAUUUUGUUGAUAAUCUUGUAUAAUACUAGUCUUUGAUAAAAUGAUAGGGUUGUAUUGGCUCUAUUGAUGGCACCCACAUUCAUGCUUCUAUACCUGUGUAGAAGCAAAUCCCAUUUAGAGGUAGGAAAUGCACCACCACUUAGAAUGUGAUGUAUGUUUAUUCAUUUGAUAUGAAAUUUACUUUUGUAUAUGUUGGUUGGGAAAGCUCUGUCAACGAUUGUUGAGUGCUUGUAGCAACACUGGAGACUCCUCACUUGGAGUUUCCUCAGCCACCACUAGGUAUUUGUUUGUCUUUUAAGGAGUAAUUUUCUUUAUGAUCAUAUUUAUAGUUUAUAAGUUACGACCAAUAUAUGAAUACAUUGUUGUAGGCAAAUACUAUGUCAUGGAUUCUGGUUAUGCAGCAACUCCGGAAUUUUUAACUCCUUUUAGAGGUGACUGGUAUCAUUUAAAUGAGUAUAGGGGUAAAGCGAGACGGUAAACAACUGCAAGAGAAUUUUUCAACUAUAGGCAUUCUUCUUUAAGGAAUGUCAUUGAAAGAUCAUUUGGGACAUUGAAGAAUUAUUUUUUCAUUUUGAGACACAUGCCCUCAUUUGCAAUUCGAAAGCAAGCACAUAUCGUAAUUGCAUGUUGUGUUAUCCAUAAUUACAUCCGUGAUCAAGACAAGAUGGAUAAGAACUUUUCCCUAUAUAGAGAUCCGAUGUACUUGGCUGAACCUACGCAGGAUGAGCUUGCAAAUGUUCAGUUGACCGAAGAGGGAAACCAAAUAAAUACGCUUAGGAAAACCAUUGCCAAUAAAAUGGCAAGGGAUAAUAAUGUGGCGCAAAUUCCAUGAAAUUGUAUUUUCAAAUUUUGUAAUGUAUUAGUAUUAUUUUGACUAUUAUUUUGUAUUUGAAGAUUUCAUAUGUUGUUAUCUAUCCAAUUUUUAUUCCUAGAAAUAGAAAUUUUAUUCUGUUAUCAAAUGGAUUUCUGUUCCAGAAAUAGAAAUUUUGAAUUGUUAUCAAACGGGUUUCUUUACUCAGAAACUUGUCUGGCGAAUAGAAAUUGAGAAAUCAAUUUCUGGCCAGAAAUCAAUUUAUAUUUCAAAAAUUUUAUCAUGCACAGCCUUUGAGGAUUUACCAAUGUAAUCUAUUUAGUGAAAUUUUCAGUGAAAAUUGCCAACGUAGAUAAUGAUUCCCAUUUUUUAUUAAUUCUUUUGACAUUUUUCUUUUCUUUUUUUUUUAACUUUUCUUUUUGCCAGUGGAUGAUUGCCAGAUACUUAGGGGGUGCAUGACAACCACCUGUUUCUAUUCCAGAAACAAUUUUUCUAUUCCAAACUUGUUUCUGGAAUAGAAAUCCGUUUGAUAAUAUUAUUUCAUUUUUCUAUUUCUGAAAUAGAUUUUUGUUUUAAAAAUAGGUUUGAAAUAGAAAUUAGAAGUAAAAAUUUUCUACUUCUCUAUUUCUGGAAUAGAAAUAAGAAAUAAAAAUUAUUCUCAUUAUUUGUCAACCGGUCCUUCAUCCGUCGCCGCCAACCACCAUCCGCCACUGCUAACCACCAUUCGCCACCGCUGCCGGUUGUUGUCGAUCGUUGGCCACCGCUGAUCAUUGGUUUGCCGCCGUCCGCCGAUCUGUCACCGUCCGAAAGGAAAAAAUUUUGUAUUAUUAUCAAACGAAUUUCUAUUUUUAGAGUAGAAAUUUUAUAUCGUUAUCAAACAGUUGAUAACCAUUCUGGCCAAAAAUUGAUUUCUGGAAGAGAAAUAGAUUUGUCUAUUUGUAUUUCUAUAUGAGUUUCUAAGCAAAAAUAACCAUUUGAUAAAGAUAUAAAAUUUCAACUCUAAAAAUGAAAAUUCGUUUGAUAAUGACAAAAAAUUUGCGGUGAAAGGUAGUGGACCAGUGGCGGCUGGCGACCGGCGGUGACCGGCAACGGCGGCGGUCAGUGACUGACGGACGGUGGUUGGCGGUGACAGAUGGAGGACACGGUGAGAAGAAUUUUUAUUUCUCAAUUCUGUUCCAGAAAUAGAGAAAUAGAAAAUUUUUACUUCUGAUUUCUAUUCCAAACCUAUUUCUAGAAUAAGAAUCUAUUUCAGAAAUAGAAAAAUAAAAUAAUUUUACCAAACAGAUUUCUAUUCCAGAAACAAUUCUGGAAUAAAAAUUAUUUCUAGAACAAGAAAAAUGGUUUGUUAUGCACCCCCUUAGAAACUCAUCUAAAAAUAAAAAUAGAAAAAUUUACUUCUCUUUUAAAAAUCAAUUUUUGGCCAGAAUGGUUAUCAUUCAUGCCCUUAAGGCGCACAUGAUAACCAUUCUUUUCAUGUUCCAAAACUAUUUUUCUAUUCUUGACUUGCCCUUUGGUAAAAUUAUUUCAUUUUUCUGUUUCUAGAAUAGUUUUAUAUUCUAGAAAUAGGUUUGGAACAGAAAUUAGAUGCCACACCUCAAACCUCGAGCACGCGCACAUCCCUUGAUGGUCGAUAAAAUUGCAACGUUCUCAAGACGCGUCGCCGACCCAAUUGAUUAUGCACAUGUAGAAGCAAAUUAAUCAAUCCCCUGACAACAACAAACAUGGGAUAGAAAAACAUAACAACCAAUUUAAACAAACCCACUUUAUAACAAACCAAAUCAACCUGCAAGGUUAUAUACAAAAGUUAAGGCCCAAAAAAGGACUAGCUAGUUAAUCCUACCCCGGACCCUCCUACUUCGAAUCUGGGUCCACUACAACACCGUCAGGAAUGUCAAUGUCUAGUGGAUUAGCUACCUCCUCUACUGUAGGCUCCUCCACCUCGAACCCUUGGUUUAUCGCAUUGUCAGCUAUAAUGCUGGCGUGCACUAUAGAGUCGAGUACCAUCUCGCCCUCGCCUUUAGCGGUGGGUUUAUCGAAACCAUCCACAGUGUGACACCCCAAAUUUUCUUUUGUUCGUCAGUUAAGUUAAGUAUAUUAUAGAUUAAGGUUAUUGAUUUGAUUAAAACAUCAAGUAUUCUUUUAGUUUGACCACGACCCACUCUUCCGUGCAUGGGAGGAUUUUCUUUCAAGAGGAAUUUUAUUCCCCUUGUAGCAGCCAGGUGGAGCUAAAGAGGAAGGGGGGGAGAUCACAUGUGUACUGCUAUUCUUUUCUUCUUUCCUAAACAGUUCGGCAGCAGCGAUUGAUUUCUUUAGCUGGGUUCUUUUCUUUCUUCCCCCGACUGAGACACCCAACUUUUCUCAUUCUUAUUUUCACUUCAUUCCGCCAAAGAUUUGACCCACGCUCAACCCUCUUAGCCCCGUGUCUUCUUCCUGUAGUGAGACCGUCACUGCCUUGCCCCAUUCGAAACUCCCGCUGUCAGCCAUGAAGCCCCAGCUUGCCCGACGCCUCCUCCAUCUUCUGUCGGUGAAAGAUCCAGGCAAGUGAAGCUGUCUUUGUGGUCUCGAGUUCAUGGGUUUGCCCCGCCUUGUGUUGUAUGUUGAUUUAGGGUUGGGUGGUUGCAUUGGGGGUGCAGGGGACGGCUGAAACGUUAGGUUUUGGGGUAGGAUAGGUUUUGAUUUUGAAUUGCCGUGCUGAUAGGUGGUGGAUAUCGCGUUCCACCCAGUCGACGACCCACCAACCCAAAAUUUCCUUCCCUCUCUCUUCCAUUUCUCUCUUUCCUCCCUCGGGCUUGAACAAACGAGCCCUUGAUGUCCCUAUNNNNNNNNNNNNNNNNNNNNNNNNNNNNNNNNNNNNNNNNNNNNNNNNNNNNNNNNNNNNNNNNNNNNNNNNNNNNNNNNNNNNNNNNNNNNNNNNNNNNNNNNNNNNNNNNNNNNNNNNNNNNNNNNNNNNNNNNNNNNNNNNNNNNNNNNNNNNNNNNNNNNNNNNNNNNNNNNNNNNNNNNNNNNNNNNNNNNNNNNNNNNNNNNNNNNNNNNNNNNNNNNNNNNNNNNNNNNNNNNNNNNNNNNNNNNNNNNNNNNNNNNNNNNNNNNNNNNNNNNNNNNNNNNNNNNNNNNNNNNNNNNNNNNNNNNNNNNNNNNNNNNNNNNNNNNNNNNNNNNNNNNNNNNNNNNNNNNNNNNNNNNNNNNNNNNNNNNNNNNNNNNNNNNNNNNNNNNNNNNNNNNNNNNNNNNNNNNNNNNNNNNNNNNNNNNNNNNNNNNNNNNNNNNNNNNNNNNNNNNNNNNNNNNNNNNNNNNNNNNNNNNNNNNNNNNNNNNNNNNNNNNNNNNNNNNNNNNNNNNNNNNNNNNNNNNNNNNNNNNNNNNNNNNNNNNNNNNNNNNNNNNNNNNNNNNNNNNNNNNNNNNNNNNNNGAGAGAGAGAGAGAGAGAGAGAGAGAGCUUGUGAGAGAGGUGCCGAUUGAGCGAAUUGAGAACGAUUCUUGAUUUGAUGAUUCUGUUUUGGGCUCAUUCGGGCUGGUCGCAGGGUUGGAUGGGUGUUCGGUGAUUUGUGUGUGAGGCUUGUGGAUGGUAUGGUGUAAGUCAAGGCGAGAGAUAGGCUUUGGUCUAUCAUUGUUGGGUAGGAAAGGCUGAUGAGCUACGAAAUAGGCUUACAUGUUGACUUAGGAAGGUCGAGACUUCAACUGUGGCUUUGGAUGGAUUUCUCGAAUUGUUUGUGAUGAAUCACUAGUGGUUAACGCUCAUUUAGGUGCUACACAUGUGUGGUUGAGGCUCAAAUGGGGGUUUGUGAGGGGAGUAAUUAGCUAGGAGUAGCUGAAUGCAGAUGCUAGAGUUCAUGGUUGGUCUGUCCGGGAAGAAUAGCUCGCUGAGGUUGUUGGUUUGCCGAUUUUCCGUCAUCAAAUGUAUUAAGAAUUGGAUGAAGUUAUUUUCUAGAAAGUUGUGCAAUACAUUCUAAGCUACAACAUAUAUUUAAUUGAGAUUUUUAUGAGUUAAACUGAUCCGCAUGAAGACUUGAUUUUAUACUGUUAGUGAGCUAUUCAGUACCGUGAAAUCUCGACCUCAGUGUACUUUUGAAUUUCUAUAAAAUUAUUGAGUUAGAAUAUGGAUUUACUUCCUUCAUGAAAGUAGUAGGAGACAUGUAGGUUCAGAACAUAUCAAAAUUUCAAAGAAUUUUAUUGAGUAUUGAACUUUGAAAUGGGCUAAACCUCCCGGUUGAUAGUUCUAUUCGGCAGAAGGAAUUUUGAGCUGCAUGGACCACAUUGUUGCUCUCUUUACAGAAGGAACCAGACAUGGUUUCCUUCUUGAAAAGUGUUCAUUUAGAGCCUUACUAUCACAUAUUAAAACUUGAGAGUUUUUUGUGAUGGUUUACUAUAGUUUUGGCUCUAAACACUGAGACUAGUCGCUUUCGCCUAGUUCUGUCUAUGUUAGUAGAUUCUAAGUUUUCUGCAAGAAAAUGUUGGACUCUUACCUUGUUGCCUCUAAUGAGGGUUCUUAUAUACCUUUUAGUAUUUAAUAAUGUAUGUUUAGACAUUGGUGUGAUUUUUAGCAUACUAGAGUUGUUGGUGCCGCAACAAGGAAAAAUUAUGAAUGUGUGUAGUUAGCUAAGGAGCCAAUGAGAGGCCCCGGGUGUCGGGAUGCCUGGAGAGGGGUGAUGAGGGGUAAUGGUAUUCUCUCCAGGGGACUGAGAAGGAUUGAAUAACUUCUUAGGGGACCUCGUGAUGCUAGGUUGGGUCUAAGGGGUAUAGGGUGGAGUGUCGUCUUCCCCUAGGUGAUUGUGAACCUCGUGACGCCAAGUUGGGUGCGAGGGGUACAAGGUGGAGUGGCGUCUUCCCUUGGGUGAUUGUUGCAGCUAGACUUCUAUAGAUUCUGCAAAUUGAUAGUUUGUUUACCUAUUUGGCUUGCUAUUGGCCAACUCCAAGUUAAGACUAACUGCCAACUUGCUGAGUUUUUAUUUUGAAAACUCAUACUUGUUUAUUAUGUCUUUUCUUUAGAUUAGAAGAUGACCAAGGAGCGCUCGACGUGUGGGAGAGUUUUGUUUUUUUGUUUUUUUUUAUAGUAUGUAAAUACUCGACAAGAGGCGGGAUAUUAAGGGCGCGCAUGAUAAAAUUUUUAUUUCUCGAUUUCUCCAUUUCUCUGUUCCUCAGAAUAGAUUUAGAACAGAAAUUCGUUUGGUAACGCAAUUUGAUUUCUCUAUUUCUGAAAUAGAUUUCUAUUCCAUAAAUAGAGAAGUCGAAGAAAUCAGAAGCUGAAAUUUUUAACUUCUUAGUUUCUGAAAUAGAAAUCAGAAGCUGAAAUCAAACCAUAUAAAAGAACCUUAUGCUUUCUUGCUAACUUAAUUUACUCAUAACCACAACUUCACAAAUUAUUGCUAAUUUUAUUUUUCUUAUUUUGCUCAUGUUUUUUUUUUCAAUUUUUUUUUAUAACUUCCUCUUUAGGAUAAAAGGCAAUCAAAUGGGUCCCCAAUUUUAAAAAACGACCAAAGUUCUUAAAUACUUACUUAAAAACAAUGGGGCUCUUUUCUCCUAGAAAGGGCAUGCGCAUGGCCAGUUGAAGAAAAAGUUCUUACGCAAUAGAUGAAUAAAAAACAUGCCUAGAAAUUUAACUUUGUUUCUUUACGGAUUCAAAAUUCUUGCAAAAUCAAAAUAAUUAGAUUGUUACACAAUCUUGAAUUUUAAUUUGAAGACAAGAGAUUCAAGAGAAUCUCUCUCUUUGUUAUGCAAGGGUUAUUAAAGGUUCAUUGAGCAACAAUAAAAAAAAUUAGGGAUGAGCAACUGGACUUAUUCAAUUUGAGAAUCAAAAUAAACCGACAUUCCCCGAUUGGUUCCUAACCAUAAACGUUACUUCAAGGUAGAAUUCUCAUAUAUUCCUUUACACCAUCAAUUUUAUUUUUUUAUCUUGUAUAAUACUAGUCUUUGAUAAAAUGACAGGGCUAUAUGGGUGCCAUUGAUGGCACCCAUAUUUAUGCUUCCGCAGUACUUGUCUGAACCUACGCAGGAUAAGCUUGCAAAUCGAGGAGGGAAACCAAAUAAAUACACUUAAGAAAACCAUUGCCAAUAAAAUGGCAAGGAAUAAUAAUAUACCGGAAAUUUCAUGAAAUUGUAUUUUCAACUUUUGUAAUGUAUUAGUAUUAUUUCGACUGUAAUUUUGUAUUUGAGGAUUUCCUAUGUUGUUAUCUAAUCAAUUUCUAUUUCUAGAAAUAGAAAUUUUAUUCUAUUAUCAAACAGAUUUCUAUUCUAUAAAUAGAAAUUUUGAGUCGUUAUCAAACGGGUGUCUUUGCUCAGAAAUUUGUUCGAGGAAUAGAAAUUGAGAAAUCAAUUUCUGGCCAGAAGUCAAUUUCUUGAAUAGAAAUUUUGUCAUGCGCGCCCUAAGUGUUUGUGGCUCCUAGUGUUUUUUUUUUUUGGUAGAAAUCCCCCUCCUUAGCCUCAUCUCUCGAUGUGUACGGAAACAAAGUUUUUAGUAAAUAUAGUCGAGUGCAGCUCAGUUUCUUAUAACUCAGCUUAGAAUGAAAUUUAUUUUAUGAUCUGAAAUUAAUAUCUCCCCUAAUUUAUAAAGCAAGUCAUGUGACUUGACUUGAGAUCCUGGGUGUCACACGUGGUACCUUCCCGUUCCCCGUUAGGCUUGUAAUGAAACCACGCCUUGAAUCGAUGAGAUACCAACUAUGGUAGGUCCUCAUCGACCAAGAUCGUGGUCACAACGAGCUCACGGGUCCAGGGAUUCCCGGGGACAAGGAAGACGGUACUUUGUUCGUUAUACCCUCACAGCUGCCCAAAACAAAUUGGACGAACUUCCAUCUAGGAACCUGUAAAAAUUGUAAACCACGACAGAGGGAGACAAUGUCUCAGCGAGUUCACGAAUUGUUGUUAAUAAUGAAAAAUAUUUUUUUAUCAACUCAUUUUUAAAAAAUAAAGAUGAUAAAUUUUAGGAAAAUAUUUUCUAAAUUAUUAAUUUUUUUGAGAAAAAAACGGAGUCGUGCUCUUCAUUUUACCCUCGGUUUCCCUCGCGAAGCCCAACUCUCUUUCUCUAUUGUUCUGAAGUUCACUGGUUCCGUGGCUUACUCCUAACUCCAUGUAAACAAACCCCAUAAAUGGGCCACGCCUUGACAUGAUCAGUAGUCUGACAGGCCGAAACCCGGGCCCGAAGGGCCACUUUAUUAGCCCAACUUAUGGUCCAAUUCGGCCCGGAUUGGCCUGUAAUCAAAUUCGCUUCUCUUCCUCAUUGUCUCCGUUGACUAUGAAGUUGUCCAUGCUUCCAUGUCGUGUCUGACACGUGUCGAAGCAUGUCGGACACGUCGACAUGCUCAGACACGUGGUCAACGCGUGUCGGAUUUUUCGACAUGCGGUCAACUUUUCUCGACACGCGUGUCGACGUGUGUCCGGUAGACUAAUGGAGGGUGGAGGCGAGGGAGGGCAAGGGAGCAAAGGCCGCGAGCGAUGCCGCGAGCGACGGUGAGAGACGGCUAGAGAAAGAGCCAAACAAAGAGAAAGAAGAGAGAGAAAGCAAGCUCCCGCCGGCAAGGCGAAGCCACGAACGGACCACUAUGAUGGCGAGAGAUGGCAAGAGAGAGCGGUGAGGGCCGCCACUGUUGCGAUGGAUCGGCGAUGAGGAGGAGGAGGAGAAGGACCAAGAGGAAGAGGAGAGAUAGGGGGUCGUGCGGAGAGGAAGGUGGUCGUGUGGCGAGGAGGAGGAGGAGAAAGAUCGAGAGGAAGAGGAGAGGAAGGGCCGAAGGGGUCAUGCGAUGAGCGGUAGAAGGAGGAGGAAAAGGAGGUAACUAGGGUUUAUGAGGGAAUUAAAAAAUAAUGAUAAAAAAGGGGGGGACGAUGCGUGACUUCUGAGUUUGGGGGAGGGGAAGUGAAGGCUAACAACUUGUCUGUCAGUGGGGGAGGGAAAAAAGAAAAAUAAAUUUGGGGUGGAGGGAAAUGGAUGAAGUAAAAGAAGGGGUGGAUUUUUGGGAUUUUUUUAAUCGGAAAAUUAAAUAAAUGAAAUUAAAAAUAAUUUCAAAAAAUAAAAAUUUUGAAUUUUGAAUAAUGAUAAAUUUUGGUCAUUGUAGAAAAUCAUGGAUUUAUUUAAAUAAAUUGAUUCUAAUUUCUUAUUAAUUAUUAGUUUCACCAAUAACUUUUGUUAAAGUUAAAAACAUGUUUUGCAUUAACUAUGAAUAUAUCUUUUGAAAUUCAAAUGAAUCGAUUUAUUAAUAUUUUUAGUGUAAAUUUAUUAUAGGCUCUUUUUUAAUUAAUUAAUUAUUUCUGAAUUUGAAUCAAAUUAAUUAAAAAUAAAAAUAUUCAUUUAAUAUACAACGUGUUGUGUCGCAUGUCCAUGCUACUUAGUCCGUUGACCCUCGCUCCAACCGCUGCCGGCACGAUCGUCAGGUUGACCUCCAGCUCCUCCGCUCCCCGUCGGUCCGAGUUUCCGGCCUUCGAUCCGUGCUCUCUGUUGAAGGCGGCUCCGAUUCAGGGCACGAUUUGUCCAGUCGUCGGGAACAAAGGAGCUCGUGAUAGUGUGUGGCCUCAUGGAGGCGUAAUCGGCUAUCGAACGAGGGAUGUGGGGAAGGGCUUGAGGUAGAAUGUCUUGGUCUUCAAGCUUUCUUCUAGGGUUUUCGAGCUCUACCCUCCACUAGCUCUCUGUACACGCCCUUGCUGCUUGCUCCAGCAGCUGGUGGCUGCGUUUUUGGGCUGCUUCCGGAGCUUUUUCAGCUAUGGAGACCGACGAAGGGUCGCAGCACGUGCUUCCCUUUCAGCUUCAGUUCAACAAACCACUGGCUUCUCAGGUUCGGCUCUCGAUUCGAUUUGUUUCCGAUUCGAUUUUGUGAGAUUUUGGCUCGAUUUCUUGCAAUUGGUAGGUGAAGAUGGUGGAGUGGAAUCCGGAGAAGGAUUUGAUGGCGAUGGUCACGGAGGACUCGAAGGUGGGUGCCAGAGGUGUUAAAAUGGGUCAUAGACUCAUAUAUGACCCAUUUAAAUCAUAAAUAGGUCAUAAAUGGGUUUCACAAUUAAAUGUUUAAGAUAGAUGGAUCUUAAGUGUGUUUUAAAUGGGUUAGGUUGAGAACCCAUUUUCAACAAAAACUUUAUAAUCUCUCUCUUUCCUCUUUAACUUUAUAAAAAUAUUUUUUUUUACAAAAACUUUAUUUUUUUUCUCUUUUCUUUUUCUCUCUUUUUUUUCUUUCUUCUUUUUUUUUUCCUUUUUUUUUUCAUUCUCCUUCCUCCUUCCGAUCGCCGGCACGGCAAUGGCCGGCAACCAGCCAGGCGAGCCUUGAGCUCGAGCUCACCGGAUUUGGAGAGGCGAAGGCCUCGCCGACGCCCGGCGAGGGGCGAGCUCGAGCUCGCUGGAUCUAGCGAGGCUCUUGCCUCAUUGAUCUAGCGAGACUUGAGCUUGCCGACGUCAGGAGCUCGAGGCUCGCCUAUGGCCGGUCGCCGGCCGUCGUCAUGGCCAACGGCUGGCCAAAGAAGAAAAAAGAAAAAAGAAAAAAAAAGAAAAAGAAAAGUAUAUUUAAAAAAUAAAAUAAAAUAAUUUUAAUUUUUAAAAAAUAAAAAAUAAUUAAAAUUCGAUUUUUUAAAAUAAUUAUUUUAAAAAUUAUAAAAAAUUGUCCAUUAAAUUUGUGUUGUAUAAAACUAUUUUAGCAAUACGAUUUUAAAAAAUAAUAUAUACAUAUAUAAGAAAUAAGCUUGGAAGUAUUUUAGUAAUAUAAUCUUUAAAAAAAAAACAUAGGAAUAAGUUUUUCUAAAUUUGGUUAAAUAUGAAAAUAUUUUAUUAAUAUGGGUUGGGUUGGGUAUGGUUCGGAAAAUUUACAUUAUGCAUAAAUGGGUUAAUGGGUCAAUUUGGGUCGGACCAUUAAUGACCCGACCCAACCCACCCAUUUAACGGCUCUAGUGGGUGCUUCAUUGCUUCAAUUGGCAGAGGCUGUGGACAAUCUCUCCUUGGUAUUACUAUUGCUUUGGCUCGAGAAAGUUCUCUUCUUUUUUUUUUUAUUCAGUAUGUUUCUUUGACGAUGGCUUGGUGUGUGUGCCCUUUGAGUCAUCGGCCUUGUUGUUGUUGUUUAUGAAAUCACUUUUUGUUGCGCAUUCCAUUGUAUGUUGUUAUACUGGAUUAUCUUAACUAUUCUAAUAUACUCCAGGUAAACAUAUAACAUCAUUAUGCUGGCGUCCUGAUGGCAAAGUUGUUGCCUUGGGACUAGAAGAUGGUACAGUUUCACCGCAUGAUGUUGAAGUAAGUUUUCUAUGUAAUUACUUUAACAUUAUCCUCACAACUUCUCAAUUAGGAAUCUUCCUGCAACAAUCCCUUAUCAUCACUUUGUGUUCUUCUCUAAUCUCUCUUGCGAAAGAUUCUGAAUUGCUUAGAAGCCGCAUGAUGCAUUGCAAACAACAAACUUGCUCAACAAACAUUUAGCUACUGAUAGAGAUGGCAAUCCAUGUUUAUGGGUCCUAUCUACCAAUGUCAAAUUAUCAGUGGACUGCUAGAUAGGUCAAUCUGAGAAUGAAAAGCUUAACAAAUCUUAUUAGAACACUCUUUUCGAACAUGCCUCCUUUGUCAAAUAGGUCAACAAAUGGCAAGAGAUGAAUAACCCAUUUGACUAAUUAAAGUGAAUGGUGCAUUCCAAUCCAAACAUGACCGACACAGCAUGAAUAACUUGUAUGAUAUGUAUGUACAAUAUGCAUAUCUUCGUCAAUGUCAUAAAAUUUUUAAAAAGAACAGCUGUAAACUUACAAAGUCCUCGGUCUAGAUGAUAGCUUGUAUCUUAUAUAUACCCAUUUAACGAAUUAGAUCGAAUGGUUGAUUCCUAUUCAAAGAUGAUUGAGACAGCAUAUAGAAGCAGUCAUCCAUGACAUCCUCAUUUUCAUCAAAUUAAUAGUUUCUUUCUAUUAUUUAAAGUGACAUAUGUCCAGUUCAGUCAUAUUAGGAAGGUAAUAGUUCAGGUGACUCCUAAAUGAUAGAAUUUGUGUGUGCCUCAAUUAUGCUUGUGGGUGGAAAAGUUCGUAGAUUGCCAGUUAUGUCGUUGAGCUAGCUGUUUGGUCAUGGGUACAAUUGCUUAGAACUUGGCUGAUGCUGCUGCCAUAAAGUUUCUUUGCGAUGUCUACCAAUUUACUAAUCAUUAUCCACUUCAUGGAGAGCUUAUUUUUACAUAUGAAUGUUAUCUUACCAAUCUAGCCAUCUUUAUGGAACCGUGGAUAUGCAUUGUGCUGCUUUUUAAAUGCUAUUGCUUGCAGCAGUUAUACAUACUGUGGUAUAUUUAUUUCUAACUUGGUAUAAUUAUUAAGCAGAAUGGAAACUCUUAAAAAGAUUGAAGUCCCAUGUGGCAGUUCUGUGGUGUGUCUCAAUUGGGAAGAGGAUGCCCAAGUGAAUAGAGUAUGCAUCUUUCAACUUAAAAAAAUUCAUCUGACUUCUCGAUCUUGAUUUUUAACAAAAGAUUUUAUCGUUCAUACCUUUCAUGUUCUAUCUAAUGCUUUGUUUGCAGUUAAGUAGUUAAUUUAGUCUAGUUGACUAAGAUAUUUCUUUUCUCAAACUUAGAAUUAUUCAACAGCUUUAAUAUGGGUUUAUGGAAGGUUUUUUGAAAACUUAUGUUUGGUGUCAGCUGUGAGUUGUUAAUUUACUGAUUCUUGACUCCUUAACUUUAAUCUCUUGUUAUAUUUAUCUUCUUCUUCUUUUUUCCCCCCAAUUGGAAAGAUAAUAAUCCAUUUCUCACUAGGACACUUCUGGUAACUCUCUGGCAUUUGAAGAUCCCACUACUCGUUUCUUCCCUCCAGCUCCAAGAGUUCCUCACACGCCUAGACUAGCACCUGGAAACUGGUUUAACUGACGAUGGUCAAGAUUCAUUUGUAGAGCUCUCAAAUUCUUCAAAAGAAUGAUUGAAUAUGCUUUCAAGUGGAGAUAAAGAUGGGGUUUUGUGCUUUAGUGUAUUUGGUGUCUUUCCAAUUGGAAAUGUUGUAAGCCUUCUGUUUGUUCAGAUCAAACAUUUAGCUGUAUAUUCUAUCAGAUUCAGUCAAUGACUACUACUUUCCUUUCUCGGUUCCAUAGAGCAGUCUUUUUUAAUAAAUGGAUCUGAUGGCAGAAAUCAGUAUUAUUAUGGGAAUCCGUUUCCCAACACAAACGGUACAGACCCCGUCUGUGAAGAAAUAAAACAUGUCCCAUGCAACCAUAAAAGAGUAGUCUAGCAGCACGCUGAGGAGAGAAAAAGAAGCAGUACAUAACGACUAAAGCCCGAGUUUUACAUGGAUCAAGCCCAGAAAUUACGGGGGUGCAUGGUAACACUCCAAAAAAGUGUUUCCGGAACACUUCUGUACGGAAAGUGUUACCGGGAACAAAAAAAGAACAGAAACGCGUUUGGUUGCGUUUCUGUUCUUUUUUUGUUUUUUUGUUUCUGGAACGAAAUAGAAACAAAAAAAAGAAACAAAAAAAAGUUGUUUCUCCCGAAAAAAAACACUUCUCGGAAGGAACAAAAGAACAAAAACUCUUCUCUCUCUUCUUCUUCUCUUCUUCUUUUCUUCUUUUUUUUCUUCUUUUUUCUUUGGCCGGUCGCCGGCCUCGGCCAUGGCCGGCGACCGGCCGUCGAGGCUCGGCGUCGCCGGCGCGGGCGAGGCCGAGCCUCGCCAUGGCUAGGCGAGCUCGAGCUCGCCCAGAUCCGGCGAGGCCGAGCCUCGNNNNNNNNNNNNNNNNNNNNNNNNNNNNNNNNNNNNNNNNNNNNNNNNNNNNNNNNNNNNNNNNNNNNNNNNNNNNNNNNNNNNNNNNNNNNNNNNNNNNNNNNNNNNNNNNNNNNNNNNNNNNNNNNNNNNNNNNNNNNNNNNNNNNNNNNNNNNNNNNNNNNNNNNNNNNNNNNNNNNNNNNNNNNNNNNNNNNNNNNNNNNNNNNNNNNNNNNNNNNNNNNNNNNNNNNNNNNNNNNNNNNNNNNNNNNNNNNNNNNNNNNNNNNNNNNNNNNNNNNNNNNNNNNNNNNNNNNNNNNNNNNNNNNNNNNNNNNNNNNNNNNNNNNNNNNNNNNNNNNNNNNNNNNNNNNNNNNNNNNNNNNNNNNNNNNNNNNNNNNNNNNNNNNNNNNNNNNNNNNNNNNNNNNNNNNNNNNNNNNNNNNNNNNNNNNNNNNNNNNNNNNNNNNNNNNNNNNNNNNNNNNNNNNNNNNNNNNNNNNNNNNNNNNNNNNNNNNNNNNNNNNNNNNNNNNNNNNNNNNNNNNNNNNNNNNNNNNNNNNNNNNNNNNNNNNNNNNNNNNNNNNNNNNNNNNNNNNNNNNNNNNNNNNNNNNNNNNNNNNNNNNNNNNNNNNNNNNNNNNNNNNNNNNNNNNNNNNNNNNNNNNNNNNNNNNNNNNNNNNNNNNNNNNNNNNNNNNNNNNNNNNNNNNNNNNNNNNNNNNNNNNNNNNNNNNNNNNNNNNNNNNNNNNNNNNNNNNNNNNNNNNNNNNNNNNNNNNNNNNNNNNNNNNNNNNNNNNNNNNNNNNNNNNNNNNNNNNNNNNNNNNNNNNNNNNNNNNNNNNNNNNNNNNNNNNNNNNNNNNNNNNNNNNNNNNNNNNNNNNNNNNNNNNNNNNNNNNNNNNNNNNNNNNNNNNNNNNNNNNNNNNNNNNNNNNNNNNNNNNNNNNNNNNNNNNNNNNNNNNNNNNNNNNNNNNNNNNNNNNNNNNNNNNNNNNNNNNNNNNNNNNNNNNNNNNNNNNNNNNNNNNNNNNNNNNNNNNNNNNNNNNNNNNNNNNNNNNNNNNNNNNNNNNNNNNNNNNNNNNNNNNNNNNNNNNNNNNNNNNNNNNNNNNNNNNNNNNNNNUCAUGUUGCUCACUACCGUCUGGACUUCUCAUGAUGCCUGCGUGAGAGAGCAAAACCCACACGUGAGUCACAAAGUCACCCCCUGUAGAGAGGUACUUAGCGUGAGCGCCCACAUCAUUUGAAGGAGCCACAUAGAACAUCAUUUCUGCCCAGAAGUCGGCCAAGAUCGUCCAAAUAUGCUCAUCAUCUGUUGCUUCAAUCGAAAGUUGCCCUCCCAGCCAAGCGCCUUGACCCACAAUUGUUUUGCCGUAUGGUUCAUUGUCAAGGGCCUGCAGUUUUUGAAUCCUCUCAUCCAUCAAUUGUUUCAACUUGAAAACAUAAUCAACCACUGAAUACACGUGCAUUCUCCAGGUGAUAUUCCGAUUCACCCUAAUCAAUAUCAUUUUGUUUCCUAUCAGUUCUCUCUUUAGUUUCAUGGAGCAAGUCCUUAUAAUUCCUUGUUGGGAUUCUCCCAAAUGGACUCCCUUGGGCCCAUUGCCUAUUACCAGAUCUAUAAAUGUGGAAUAUGGUUUCCUAAUUGGGAGGUUUUUUCAGAUCUACGUGCAAGUUUGUGAAUUGUCAAUGAUGAUUUGAUCACAAUGUCUUGACUCAGUUGACUACCUAAAGUCAAUUUCAAAAUCCUCUGUCCUUUACCUAGAACAGGUAGUUUUCACUUUAAGAUGAGAUAUUUUAGAUGGAAAAUUCAACGUGAUUGAUAGGAAAUCAUUUGUUAUGAAAAUUGAUGUAGCUCAUUUAGUUCAAUGUUGAGUUUCUGGGUUAUCUUUUUUCUUUUCUUCUUUUGUUGAAAAGAUGCUAGUGGCACGACUACUAAGUUUCUUGCUCCAUAAAAGCUCCAAAAACCUAAAGAUAAUUCGUUGCAAGCAUAGGACACUGUCCAAAUUAUUCUUGUCCACUGACUUCCUCCCUGUUGAGCAGCUUGUAGCGAGAUAUUACUGGUAAGAUUGCAUCUAUGAUAGAACCAACUGUGGCAAAGACUGGAGAGAUCUUGAUUGGCUUCUUCCACUAGUUUUGACGUUAAUGACCAUCUUCUUCAGCAAGAGUGCAUCUCUUGGUAAAAGCAGCAUUGGCAUGGCGAGCUUACAUUCGUCGCCGUAAGAAGAACGAGCUGCGAACCCAGCGAUCUCCACGCUCUUCAGAUGCCGAGCCAAGCACGUGAAGUUUUGCAGUGUGCAAAAUUCCUCUGCAUUGCAGAUAUGAGGAAUGGGGGGAUUAAACAUGGCUUGCACAUUUAUUGGUUACAAGACUUAGUGAUCCAUCCAAAAGAAUGAUGAGGAUAAAAAGAGACAUGAAUGACCUUCGUUGCUUGACUAGAGAAUGAUCACGUACAUUAAAAUUUGAUGUGCAAUUAUCACAAAUUUGGGGAAAAAAGAAAAAAAGGCGCAUGGAAAGGGGCUGGAUUUUGGGUGGUGAUGGCAAAUGACUCAGUUAGAGUAUUUCUAUCUAGCCUAGUGCCAGUAGGUUGGGUGGUGAUGGUAAAUGGCUUGGCCACGUUCGAGUUUGGCUUGUAGUCUCAACAUGUCAAGCAUGUGUGAAUGUUCGCUCUUGUAAGAUGUCGAUUUCAAUAAUUCAUUAGCAUAUAUUUUUUUUAAUUCAAAAUUAAAUGGGGAUGAUCACAUUGCUUUUUUUCAAUUACAAUUUCCACAACUAGAUCCACCACCACAUUCGCAUCAAUGCGAUGUCCCACGAGUCCUCCGGUCGGGUCACUUUGUUUUGUUGGGGUGUGGGACGAGAUUACCAUUGAACAUAUGGACCCGAAUUAAACAAUAUGGUUUCUUAGACAAACUGAACACAUCAUGUCCUAUACAACAUUAUUUAUAGAUUACAUGAAUUGAGGCUCCUUUCGUUUUGCAAAAAGAUGAAUGUUGGAAAAUACCUUCCAAAAAAUGAUCAUUUGUAUUGUUUGAAAUAAUCGACCAAAGAAAUACGUUUCAAUUAUCCAAACAUAAUUGUGCACGAUGGAAAUCCUUUUGCAUUCACUUAUUUUUGUAACUGUACAAGUGAUUAUGAAAAAUAUUUUCUAAAUUAUUCGCUUUCCGCAAAGGAUUUCGACUGGCAAUUCAAUAUAGGACUACUCCAAAAUUGAUCUCAGCUUUUUCUUUUUGAUCGGAAAUCGAGAGCAAUAGACAUGUAUCCCAGUCGUUGGUAGCACAAAAGCGUACAUGCGGGCUAUGUGUAGUCCGAAGAUCAAAACAUGAAUGGGCAGACCACUUGAUCUGUGCUUAACUUAUACAUUUUCCUCUCCUUUUUCAUAAUCAACAACGACACACUUCAGCGUGCAUGAGUGCAUCAUUUUUGUUUACAGCAACAAAACCCAACUAAUCAAAAUUCUUAUUCGCAACCAAAAAAAAAUUGUAAAAAGUAACAGGAUUUCGUAAGAGAAAUGCCUAAACACUUAUUAAGCGACUAUACCAAAAAAAAUUACGAUUUUUUUUUGCAAUUGGCCGCUUUUCUCUUUCAUUUUUUCAUCUUCUUUCUUUUUUUCUUUCGUGUUGUUGCGCUGUUCUGUUUGGACCUUUUUUCUUUUUGUUCUUUUGUUCAUUUUGAGAAUUUUUGGGGUUUUAUUUCUGGAUAAUUUGUAAAGCGAUUAAAAAAAGUUCAUAUCGGGGAUAAGCAAUAAAAAAAAAAAAAAGGAACUCCUUGAUUCCAUAAUAUUGUAACAAUUUCAAAGAACAAACUAUUGUGUACUCUCGGCAGAUUACUGACCAUCGAUCCAACCAAUCUUUGCCAUAUCAAGCAUUACAAACUUUCUUCCACCAAAACAAUGAAGAUUAUGGCAAAGUCCGGUACUUUUCGAAACUAAUCGGUAAAUAAACAUAUGCAAUCUAAAGAACUCAUGAUCCAUUUGAGAUGAUAAAAUUGAAGGUACGAAAUAAAGAAAUGAAAUAGAAAAAUAAAAUGGAAUCAAUAGGGGAGUAGAGUCGAGCAAUGGUUUCUUUGUUUCAUAUCUAGUUGUGAUUGUGAAAAUUAACCUAUUAAUUAAGAAGUUUCUUUGUCACAAAAAAAAAUCAAAAGAUUCAUAUUCUAAUGUGAAACACGCCAUUAAAAUAAGUAAAAGGGAGGGAAAAAGAAAAGGAUAUUUCAAUUUUCAAAAACAAAAGAAAAAGAAAAAGAAAAAGAUUCGCCCCUGCCCUCUUGCUCCGACUAUGAGACCGAGUGUAACAGCUCUGUGCCAUCAGCGUGUGCCCAAGUCUUAUAAGUUAGCCCAAGACUCCCUCCCUAGGCGAUGUAGGACAAGAGAGGGACCCCUUCCUUGCAUACGUACGGUAUAGUUAAAGAGACCAAAGUCUUAUAAGUUAGCCCAGGACUCCCUCCCUAGGCAAUGUGGGACAAGAGAGGGAUCCCUUCCUUGCACACGUACGGUGCUCGAGCCAUCACACUCUCCACCCCUUAGCAGAAGAGCGUCCUCGCUGUGGCCCCACACGCAGUCGAGAGUCGGCUCUGAUACCACUUGUAACAUCCCGGGUUUUCACUAUACACAUAUUGUCCGCUUUAAACACAAAGUCCUCACAGUUUUGUUCUUCUCGGGGCAGCCCAUAUUACCCCAAGAAAACACGUAUGUACAGUUAGAGAGACUCAAGUCUUAUAAGUUAGUCUAGGACUCCCUCCCUAGGUGAUGUGGGACAAGAGAGGGACUCCUUUGCGCCACGUAUGGGGACCGAGGCGUUGAUGCACGCCAUCCCUUCUCCCGCGCACCGUCGCUCGGGCCGUCACAAGUUCCGACAGAGCUAUUUGGCUUCUCAAGUUCGACUCCCUUUUGGGCCUUCUUUCCGUGACCUCCCAAUGGGUGGCGGCGAUUCGAUUGUUUUCCGAUUUGGUUUUGUGAGGUUGUUGCUCGAUUUCCUCCGAUUGGCAGAUGAGGAUGGCGAAGUGGAAUCUGGAGGAGGAUUGUUCCCGACUUUUUAAGGCCUGCUUAGUUUCCGUCUUCAUAGAAACUGUUUUCAAUGUUUUUUUUUUUCUUUUUUGACAAAAUAUUUGUUAAGUGAAAAUGAUAUAUUCAUUAGGGAUGAAAAUUGUGAGAAUAUGCUAAGGUUACAUCACAUCUCAAAAACAGGCUUCAUUAUUCCAAAUCUCCAUGUUUGCAUUUGGAAUGAGAAUGCUAAAAAGUCAUCUUCAGUUUGUGAUUUUGAUUCCGAAAAUAGUUUUCCUUUUUAUUCAUCAGUUGCUUUCAGAGUGUCACCAAACGCAUUUUCUGGCCUGUCUUAAUUCUCAAAUUGAAAUUAGAACGGACUUUUGAGAAUCUUUGUCAGCCAAAUGCCUCCCUAGAUUAUCAAUCUCUUCAUAUCUAUAGAAAAAAUGAACUUCAUCAAGUCGCUCAACAAGCUUUGGACAUUGAAGAUUUACUUCAUGUCAUCCAGACAUCAUUAUCAGUCAUGUAUAAGCAGUGAGCUGAUGCUAUUAACAUAUUUCAUGAGGAAGUUUGAUUUGCUGCCAAACCUUGUUAGUGACCAUGGCAAGUGGUACUGUUAAUACAGAGUGGUAGAUGGUAUUUCAUUGUUCUUCAUUCAACCGUUUUCGUUUGCUUAUCUAGGUCUUGACUCUUCUCCUCAGGAGGAAUUUUUGAGUCUUCUCGAUGGUGCUAGUACUAGUCCUGUAGUCCAUCAGUUUCCUCUGGGUGAAGUGGUAUGGCUGAUUUUUAAGCUCUGAUGAUGCUAUAGGACCCUGGCUUUUUUGGUUGGCUUUUAUAAUCUUAGUCUACUAGAUUGUUCAGUGAUAGUUGUUUGUGGUGUUGGAAAAGAAUGCCAGCAGGUUGUCCUCAAUCAUCUGCAGGUGCAGGUUAUUAUUUUUGCAUUUGGCCUUUUUCCCAUAUAAUCAAGUUUCACGCAUCUCAGAGAACAAUCUUGGCACUAAUAAUAAUUUAAAAAAGAAAAAGAAAAACAAAGCAUCUAGAUGUCAUACUAACUCCUGUUCCAAGUUUUCAUGUAUUUUAUCAAUCCUAACGCCUAUUAAGCCACAACUAUGAGUAAAGGUCAAAUUAUUGAUUGUAUAGAUGAUAUGGGACAAUUAUAUGAAUUCAGCAUGAUGGCGUGUGGAGCAUGGACAAAACACGGUAGGAACUCCUUAGUUACUUACCUUCUCUUGGAGAGAGAGUCGAUGAGUAGCCAAACAUGCACCGUCUUUGAUUAGGUCUUUGAUUAGGGCGAUCAGUUGACAAUGAGUGUUGAAUAUAGCACGGUGCUUCCUCAUGCCAUCGGGACAGUGCAGUUUCCAAUUUGUUUUGCAAAUCUUUGCAUGAUCUAAGAUGAUAUUUCAGUUCUUCGGUAUUAUGCUCUUUCCAAUUUCUAUGAUGAGUGAAGACACAAGCCUUACAUUCUUGGUUGUCAAUCAAUCCCUUAUUGAGAAUUAUUAACUAAGUGCCUACCUCUCGCAAUUUCUUGGAGUCCAUAAAGAGCUGCAAUAGAAAGCUGCAAUAGAAAGUCCUUCGCCUUAUGUAUUCCGGCUUCACUCAGUUUUUGGUGAGAUUUCCCAUCUUCGGCAAUCUCUCCAACCUCCAGACCUCAUCGUUAGAUACAGGUGGACGAUCCUUCAUAUAUGUAGUAAAUGAAGACAACAUGCAUAUAAAGUCUCAGUCACUAUUAGAUUAAUGACUAGAAGCUAACUUUUGAUAGACAUCCAAACUCUCUCCUAAAAGUGAUCGAAGUGUCAACAAUAGUUAAUGAUAAAGACGCUCAACAUUUAUUAUUUAUCGGAAUUUUUGUCCAAGAGGUUAAGGUCUGUGUAAGAUGACGCUCUCAAUUAAAAAAUUGAUGGCUGUGGACAUCCAAAACCAUGUUAUGGUCAGUCAUGAAGGACAGGUUUAUACACUGUAAAAAGACUGAAGGACUUACAUUUUCCUCUAUGUUCCUUGUCAUAGAAGGCAUCUGCUUUUUCUUCCCGGAUUUGUGUACUCCACAAUAACUUGAUGCCAACUUAAGUCCUGUAUGGAAACUUUUACUCCUGUUCCAGCUUGAAUUGUUAGUAAAUGUCAGUUAUCCCAGCUGCCCAACACCUUUCUUGAGUAUCACUUGGAGGUUUCCAGCUUGAAUUGUCAGUAAAGAGAGACAAACUGCCAAAUAUCUCACUAAGACAAGUCAUACUGUUGGGGAAACUACAAAGGAUUAAUAGAUCCAUCGUCCAAAAGUUUAGUAAAGCAAAUUUUUUAAAGAAAAAAAAGCUCCACUGCUAUCAAGCUACAAAAAUUAUGAUCUAAAUUGGAGCAUUGACAUUUUGGUAUACUACCGAGUCAUUGUGGCCCCAACACUCACUGGGCUCUGACUUUGCCUGCUGUAGGUUGGCAGCGGUAGGUUGGACCAUUCUUCCGCCAAAACAUCAACAACGCAUAACCAGUCAAUACUACAAAGAAAGCCUUUCUCAACGGCAUCAUGGGGGAAGUGCAUUCAUACCUUGUGAGGUGGGUAGAGUGAAUGUUUGCAAGCUCCACUGCUACCCUCUGUUCAAUAAUGCCAACAGCAGCAUUGUCAAACUUGGAGACCUGAGAAAAAUAUGAAGCAGAGGGGACGCAAAACCAAUUCAUUCCAUCAAAAGAAGUUGAACAACCUAUUUUAUUCUUCCUUCUUAAAAACAACUUAUCAAACACCUUGUUGAGCUAAGUUCUUCAGACACAUUUGAAAUCACAGUGUUUAGCAACAGCAGUUGUAUAUAUAGCUCUUACAAACAAUCCUAAGCAUUUUCAUUUUGCCCUUUCAUACCACGUCCAUGCAAAAGUUUACAUACGCUUUAUUUUUCAGCUUUAGGUAAUAUAGGCACAGUUGCAAAUGUUAUCGAGACAAAUGGAUGGAGAUGGCCUCCAGCAAGGUCUGAUGAUCUGCUCGAAACUCAAACGGCUUUAUGUGGCUUGAUUUUUCCAAACUCUGGCUCUUUAGACAAAGUAGUAUUUACUGGAUCAUGUGGGGAAAUGUGAGAAUAAUAGACUUGGCUUGGGCUUGUAUGGUUUAAGCCUAAUGUGCGAAAAUAUGGCUUUAUAACUUGUAUGGUGAUUCAUAAUUGGUUGCGCACUUACGAACAAGAUUAAAAGUAGGUGUGACAUUGAUAGCCCCUAUGUGCUAGUUAGACAACAUGAAGAAUAUUGAAUGCACUUUUUCUCUAAGUGUAUUCUCAAAGCUGAUUUUGGCAACAAGUUUUACAGCUACUCUCAUGUACAAGAUCUGCAAGUGACCCGAAGGGUGAAUUAACUUGGGCCUGGUAGCACAUCAAGGGGAACAAUUUGAAGGCAUUACUGAGGAAGUUAGCCUGGAAGGGCCAUCGAGCAGGGACGAAAGUCAGCCUUAAUGAUCAUAUGGUGCCAAGUUGAAGGGCCAUUGUACAACAUAUAAAAGUUACUCUAGGGAUAACAAGCUAAUCUUCCUCAGGGAGAUUUGACACCUCGAUGGGGGCUGUAUAUGUGGGACAUUAUGCUGUAAUGGACUUGCACGGAAAUGUAGUCCCCCAUGUUUUUCUUUUCACAGGUUGAUCAAUAAAAUGACUAUUUUCUUAUAAAAGAAAAGGAAAUUGUGCAAAGCUUACGUUAAAUGAUUGCUGUUCAAACAGUCGAUAUAAAUCCAUUUGCUAGUAACGGAUCUGUUGGUCAAUAAGUUCAUUCGAUCACUUCACAACAUGUAGAUAAACAACCCAUAAAUGAAAUGCUGAUAAAGAUAUGUCUGAGUCAAAGUGGAAAUUUGAUAAAAUCUGUUUAUCCUACCAAUUCCUGUAAAGAAAUCUCCAUUGAUUGCAUCUGCUUCACCAUGUCUUUGAGAGCAUUCCUGGCGCAACUGCACUGUGAAAUUUACACUCUGAACAACUGCUGUCUUGUGGAUUUAUUCGUACAAAUAGACAAAAAUCCAUAAACAACAGUUUAUUACUAGUACGAAUGAAUAUUAGACGUAAUUACUCUAUAAAAAGAUACGUACUAAACUUCUCAAUUGCUUUCCCUUAAUCUAAGCUGCCACAGAAAAUUCCUCGUAAAGCUGGAGUACAUAUACCUCUUCAUUUUACACCGUUGUCUCUACCCUUCAAAUCUGGGAUUCACAAAGGUGGCUCGGAGGAGCUAAAUUGACGCCAGUGUCAUUUCAGUUGGGGUUGGGCUGUUCGUCGCCUGGCAUGUGUGACGUUGGAGUCCACAUCUGGCUUGAGGUCAAAUGACUUCAACGUCACCUGGCCUGGGGUUUCAUGACCUUGGCGGCUUGUGCCUAGGAUCACACAGCCUUGGAGAUCCAUCAACUGGGUUGCACGACAUUAAAGGCCACCUUUUGAUUUGGCUCACAUGGGGUCGCACGAUCUAGGCAACAUUUGUUACCGAAGUUUCCAGCUUCGCUUGAGUUAUCGAGGAGGGUCACCAUUAUAAUUUUUGUAUAAAAAAAAAAAGGUAAAUUCCUUGAUGCAAUAAUGUUUACCAAAUAUUAUCUGCAUUUGGUGAAAAACUCUUUGCCCUAGAAUCAAUGCAAGGACUUUGGUCAAAUGCUCUCCAAACGCAUACUUAGAGUCAUGCAAAAUCUUUUACUAGCCUCGUGGACACAUUAAAUCUAUCUUUUUAUCUGUGCCAAUUACUUUAAUUCAAAGCAUCUUAGAUUCAAUUUAUGGGAUUUGUACAAACAACCUAUGGAUUCUGAUCCUAAUAAAUGUCCUGACGCCCCCAUCAAUGGAGCUAGGGCCUUUAACCAAUGAAGAGAACAAAAGAAAGAUAGAGUUAUCUUUUAUAACACAAAAAUUGCAUCACUGAUUGGUCAUAAAAAGUGAGAUUUUGUUUGCAAUUUUUGCACAUGACAAGAAACAAACGUAAGGACCGACCACAAGAACCGAUUGAAGAAAAAGAGAGAUUCAUCAGAAAAAUCGAACCUUUUUACUUUAGAUCAACUGGGAAAUUGAGAUACUGACCAAAAAAAAGAAAAAAACUGGGAAAUUGAGAUAUCGAGGUGUUGAUCAAAGCAACUAAAGAGGGAGAGAGAGAGAGAAAGAGAGAGAGAGAGUUUCAGCUUCUAGCUGCUGUAAAUUAUGUCAGCUUGCAUCCGGCGAAAAAAGAAAAAAGAGAAAAAGCCAUACGUGCCCGAAAGAGGGGACUGGGUCCCGACCCGUUUGUGCGGUUCGGGCCUGCCCGAAUCAAUUUAAAAACUAAAGUAGAAUUAAGAGAUAAUUACAAGGUAAGAAAUAUUCAAAUAAUCCGAACAAAUGUAUGUUAAAAAAAAUCCAGAAUUUAGCAGAUGAUUUACUUAUCUUCUUGUUUUGGUGUUUUUAAGCAAAAAAGUUAUCUUUUGACUUUCUUCUCAAGUACGUAGUUUGCGUGAAAUAGUCGCCUCUAGCUUGAUUUCAUUAGCCUUCUCCACAUGUUCUUUCUCUUUUCUUCAUUUUCAUGGGACGAUUUGAGAAGUAUGCAAUGAUUAUGGACUAAGCUCUGUCGCGACUAUUGUUAGUCUGAUUGUUCGUUGCCCUUUCCCGUAAUUCUAUAGUUAGCUGCUUUGGACUCUAUAGUCUGCACCCCAGCGGACGCCUUUGCCAUGACGGACUCAGGGAGUCAGCUAUCAUCCUCGGUCUCUGGUUACCGAAUAUAUUACGGUGGAGGAAAGAUGCCGACAACAAGGACGAACAAGAGAAGACCCGCGAAUAUCUUUACGAAGAACAACACAACAGAAUGGCGCGUGUUUGAACGGAGGGUGAGAAAAGCGGCGAGGCAAACUAAAAAUGUUCAAACGAGGCCAGCAUACAUUUGCUCCGGCGAUGUAUAAAUAUGUUUUUGUUUUAAAACCAAGAGCGGCUAGCAGAAGCACCGCUUCUUCAGGUGUCAAAGGGCACAAGCCUCCUUCCCUCAGGGCAGCAGGAGAAGGCAACCUGUCUCAGACAAACAGUUUAGUUAGUCAAUAAGAAUGGCCAUUCUAAUCAGAAGGAAAAUGCUAGACUGUUUCCCCCAGCAGAAAACCAGGAAUGUGCCAUCUUAAAAGUAAAAUAAAAUAAUGUUGACGCCUAAAAAUUAGACUUUAUUUUAUUAUUAUUUUGUUUUAUUUGAUUUUCGGAUAAUAAACCAAAAAAAAAAAAAGCAAAGAAAAGCAGCCCAUUUUUCUCCCUCUCUUCCCCCUCCGCAUGGGCCUCUACGGCCCACUUUCCUUCUCCUCCAGCCCAGCCCUUUUCGGUCUUCUUCCUCCUUCGUCCACUCUGCAACACACGUGCAGAGGGCGCGACGCCGGAUGAGCGGACGGACGGCGACGCGCGUGAGAAAGGUGGGGCAGCUAGAGGACAGGUGGCGGAUGGGACGCUGGUUCGGCCAUGGGGGUCCGGUCGGCAAGCCAAAGACCGGCGGCCGAGCCUCUCCGUCGACCGGACCUCCUCGCCUAUAAAUAGCGGAGUAUUUCAGUCGUUGAAGGACACGCUAGAAGAUCGUGAGCUUGGAAGCUUCCUCCUGAGAGACUUCGGAGGAGGUUAAAGAGCAAGCGAGAGGAAGGCGAGCCAGAGAGAAAUCGGGUCGCGAGCUAGGCCGACCUCCCACUGAGAGACUUCGGGGGAGGCUGCCGGCGAGCGAGUCCGAGGAGGUCAGAUCCGGCCGAUGGAGGCUUGGAUCUAGCUAGAGGGGGAGAGAUAUGGUCGAGAGAGAAAGAGAGAGACAGCGGAGAAGGAGGUUAGAUUUGGAACUCCGAGAGAAGGAGACGCUGUCUGGACGUCGGAUCUGGAAGGGGGAAGGCUAGCGGUUGCCGUGCCGGACUCCCGCUGCGACCUAGCGAGCGAAUCCCAGUCAAGCCGUGCCCCAACGCCGCUGCUACCCCAGAUCCCGCCGUGCUGCCGCCGUGAAGCCCUCUGGUUCGACACCUCGCCGAUGCCUUUCCCUCGACACCGCUGUUGCCGUUCCCAGACGUCCUACCGCAACUCCCCGAUGCCGUCCUCGACGGCUCACCAAGACCCCCUGCUGUGUUGGGUCGCCGUCGCACCUUACACCGCCACCGUGCCGUCGCCUGCUGCGUCACCUCCGUCGUUCCCUCCAUCAGCGCCGCGAUUAGGUGAGAGGGAGGAAGCAUCGCGCUGGGUCGGGCGUGGGUUCGAACCGAGUAGGGUUCCGCUUGGGUCGGGCUUGCACGCGUGGGUCUCAGCCAGGUAGGGCUCCGGCCAUCUUGGGCCGAUUGUGUGCGAGCUUGUCUCGUGUGGGCCUGUGGGUGUCUGUCCCUUAUUUGUGGGCUGCGAUUAAAAGAGAAAUGGAAAAAAAACCUGAGUCGGGCCCGCAACGCCGAUCCGACCCGGGUCAGCUUUUAUAUUAUUUUAAAUAAAUAAAUAAAUAAUAAAUAUUUUAUUUUUCGAAAAAUCAAAAAAAUCAAAAAAAUGUUUUAUUUAAAAAAUGUAAAAAAAUAUUUUAUUUUCAAAAAAUCAAGAAAAAUCAAAAAAUAAUUUAUUUUCCAAAAAUAUUUAAAAAUAUAUAUAAAUAUUUUAUUUUCCGAAAAAUCAAAAAAUCAAAAAUAUUUCAUAUUUUCCAAAAAAAAGCCAAAAAUCCAAAAAAAGCCAAAAAAUUCAGAAAAAGCCAAAAAGACUUGUAUUUUUCCAAAAAAAAAACCAAAAACCCCCCAAAAAAUCCCUUUUGUGUCCAAAAAAUUAGAAAAUGACUCAAAAAAUAUUUUCCUCCCAAAAAUGCAUGCAAAAUCCCUCGAACAUCCAAAAAACCUCAAGUUUUAAACAAGAUUAGGUACCGAAAGGGUAUUAGUGAUUAACUAGUGUAAUCAAGUCCUCGAUCCUAAUUUCUCUGGUUGCGCAGGAGUGAGUAUUUCUCCCAAUACUUCACUUGGGUUUCUAAUCAACCCACCCCAAAUCGAUUAUUAGCGACUCCAAUUUAAAAUUUGAUUUACAGGUUAAAAAAUUGAACCAUUAAGUCGUGAAUUGGUGGACUUGAGAAUCCGGGCUUUAAUUAAUUCAGCCGAGCCAUUAGCCUCCUCAGGCGCUCGUACCCGACUGCGGGUGCCGAAAAAAAGGAGGUCGCGACAGCUUGGCGACUCCGCUGGGGAGUUUGAGGACUUAGGCCAUUUUAUCUUUGUUUAAAUGCUUUGUUGACUUGGGUUUUUUUUUUUCUUUUGUGCAGGGUAAUAACUUAAAGUUUUUUUAUUCUGUCAAAAUAAAAUGUUUUGUGAUUAUAAACUGAUGUGCAUGCUUUACUGUUUUAAACACUACACAUGGCACACACAACCUGGCCGCCGGACUUGGGCUGCCAUAGGAUUUCUAGGAUGGUGUUAAGAAAGAUAUAACCUCGAACGCGAGACUGCAAUGUAGAGGUUACCUUUCUUUUUCCCAAAUUUCUUAGCCGAGGUUAGGAGGGUAUGCUGCUAACGCGAGACUGCGAUGGGCGGAUACCUUUUUAAUCUCAACAAGCCUUCUGAAUUAGAAAUCGAGCCACACAUCUCAUGUGCAUGUCUUUGUGCUUGUCAUUUUAUUUAAAAGCAAAGUGAUUUCUUUACUUUUACUCAGUCUUUUUAUUUGGCCCAUGGCAAUUUAGGAUAAGCUUUUUAAAUUCCAUUUUAUGUGCGAUGGGGAAAGACGAUAUCCAGUUCAUUCCUGCUCCUAAGGCGGAACUCUUCAGAUGGUGGGGUCAAUUGGAUCAAUUGCCCAAGAGCGCGUGAAAGCCAAAAUCGGACAUCUCCUAUCGUUGAUUCAAAUCACUGUUCGUCCCGAAGUCAUACAGGCCAUGGCGCAUUUCUGGUGUUUGAAGACGACUACUUUUAUGUUUGGUGGGUUUGAGCUAACCCCAACUCUGGAAGAAUACAGCAUCAUCACUGGAAUGCCUCUUGAGAAAAAGCUUGUUAGGCCAUCAACAGGCUUCCUCCCGUGGCAAGGGUUAGCGCGACUUUUAGGAACCGAAAUCCAUGUCAUGAGACAAAUUCUUGAAGACAACCAUAGUACCUGCCCAUUAGAAUUCAUGAAUGCAUAUUUUCAAAAUCAGCCUAUGAUCCAAAAAAGUGAGAUUUUCCUCUUGGCCUUUUUGGGUUCAUCAUUUUCCCCCAUCAAAGAAAUGCCAUAAGUCCUAAGAUAGCAUGAAUAGUUGAUCAGAUCUUAAGGGGGGAAAUUAUGUCAACAUGAUUUUAACUGAAACAUUCUUGUCCUUUAAUCGUUUUAAAGACAACACAGAGAAAAUCAUGCGAGCCUCUCCUGAAAUUUUACAAGUCUGGUUCUUUUCUCACUUAAGCGAAUUCCAAGACUUCAUGCGAUCUUCUGAAGCAAAUGCUUUCGAAAAUCCGUUACAAAAAUUUAUGGUUUUAGGAUCGUACAUUCCCAAUCAAAGCUGUUUAAAUUGGAUAAAUUUCCUAAGAGACCCGGCUCAUGAGGCAUUCCAAUGGUGUGCUGGUUGGUUCUAUGAAAAGAGAGCUCGCUUUGCUUUCAAGCGCCGCCAUCCAAUUCCGUUGCUCGGCAUCACUGGUGCUUUUUCCUAUUUCCCACAAAGGGUGGCACGACAGUAUGGAGCCCUUCAGGAGAUCCCGCCAUCUUUCAAGAAGAGGACCCCUCCACUUCUCUUCACUCAUCAAAAUUUUGAAUACAUGGUUGACAUUUAUGAAGAAGCUUGGGACAAAUGCCAUCGCAAAAGGAUCGUGGUACCUGAAGGGCUUGAGGGAGAAGAAAAGGCCCACCACGCCUAUGCGGCCUACAUCCACAACCACCGUAUCCCAACAAAAUGGGAGCCAUUAGUCCUUCACUCGAUCGGCAAAAGCUGCCAGCACGAGCAAGUAGAGCUCAUGGAGAGGGAUUUGGGAAUGGACUGGAUGCACACCUCAGAGCUGGUCCAAGAAAGCAAGCAUCUGCGCAAGUGCAAGACUCCCUGUCGCAUAUAAAUUGGCAAUCGUGUGCUCCUUAGUGUUAAUAGUGUGAAAGUUUUGUCCCAUUGUUUAGGGACUUUUUGUUUAAUAUCUAGUAUUUUAUUCUGUCAUUUCAAUUUCAAGUUCUAGAUGUCAGAAGUCUGCGGUCUAUGAAAUCCUCUUUUGAUGAAUAAAAAACCAGUUAGACCAUUGCCAUGGGUCAAUUUUUGUUUACUUUCAUACUCAUUCAUUGUUUUUGCAAACGGCAGGUAAUUAUGAAUCGCCGGCCACCAAUAGCUCGUGAAUGGCCUCAUGCACUAGGGCCCGAUCAGAAUGAUGUACAAAAUUGUCUCAUUAACAUCGAAGACGGCGUAAGACAGAUGUCUAUUGUCCUUCAGUAGCUCUCGAGACAAAUGAAAUCCACUCAAGCUGAGCCCAACUCUGUAGUUGCCUUAAACGCCAUCAUGACACCCGCAAAUUCGCCAGAAAAUAGCCAGUACCAUAGACAGUUUGAAAGGAUCAUGAAAAAGUUAAACCAGCUACAGGGGCGGAAUCCCAUGGACCUGUCUAAUUAGGCCAGCAUUGAGAUCCCUGAAAAACUCAAAGUACUUGAAUGCGAAGGGUAUGCUGGUACCUCUCGCCCAGAGACCUACUUACAAGCCUACCUGGUCCGAAUGAUGAUUAAAUCGUACCAAUCGAGCUUAACUGGCCCUGCCUUGUGAUGGUACAUUGUUAGGAAGAUUAGCCCCCUUAAAACCUGGAGGGAACUAAUUCAUGUUUUUCACCAAGAGUAUAAUAUUGACAUCACCCCUAACAUCACCUUGCCCUACGAAGAGCCAAUGAUCGCGAAGCACGAGGAGCCAUUAGUUGCUGAGAUAGGAGAGAAACGUGUUAAUGAAGCCUUGCAUAAUAAAUGGGCAGCUGAGCAACAUCCUGUUACUGGAAAAUUUCCCACUAGGAAAGGCAAGGAGCCUUUGUACGAGAUCAUAGACUCAGAGCCUGUUCAAGAGCGAGGCACAACUGGACAAAUCCCCAAGCUUACUCCAAGAGCUAGGGUCCAAAGAAUACUAACCCCUAUCAACCUAGAAAGUGAAUCAGACAAUGAAACUCUAAUGUCUCUCACUUUCUUUGACAGAAUCAAGUUAGCAAAACGAAGGGCCUUACUCAAAAGGUCUGGACCAUAAGCCAAGAAAAGAAAGCCUAAGCAGAUCGAUUCAGCAUCUACCGACGAGCCACCGCACCAAAGCUUCGAGCAUUCCCAAGAAUACAGCUUUGAAGGCCACCAUCCUCUAGAGUACAACCCUGAAGACUUCCUGGCCCUAGAAUACAAUCCUAAGGACUUCCAGCGUUAUUUUGACAAUGAAGCUGACGAUUCAUCGUAUAACUGUUUCCUACUCUCACCCGGGGAUGAAGGCCCGUCAGAAGAAGAAGCAUACGUCUUUAUCUGCUACGAUCCUAACGAAGUACUAAGCUCGUCCUCUGACCAUGAGGAUAAUUUCAAUACUUCAUCCUCAUUCGGAAAUUUUAACCCAGACGAAAGUAAUGGGGUAAUUUCGGUAGAGUCCAACUUCUCUGAAACAGAAGAAUUCACCACUACAACGAAUAUGCAGUGGGAAAACCAGUGGCCUAAUCAAGACAUACCAAGCUUGUCUUGCCCUGGUAGGAUCAUGACCCCCAUAGAAAUGUGGAUACCCAAUUUUCGCAAGUAUAACGGCACAACUUGCCCCGUGGCCCACUUGCAGUACCUCCAUGCUGAAAUGAGUCGGUACUAUGGCCCGAUGUCAUUCACAACUCAGGCCUUCCAAGAAAGUCUUAUAGGGUCUGCAUUGCAAUGGUUCGUCACAGCAGAUAUCAGCCUCAUGAGGGAUUGGAAUGAGCUGUCUUCCACAUUCCUGCAUCAGUACCAGCACCAGAUUGGAGCUGAACUGUCUUGCGAGAACUUGGUUCACUUUAGAAGAAGACCAAUGGAGGAUUUUCGAGCAUAUGCAAGGAGGUGGGAAGCUUUUAUGAUGCAAACCUACCCUCAGCUGGCCGAAGAAGAAAUGAUAAAGCUGUUCAUAGGAGCUUUACCACGCAAGCAUCGCUGUUGGUUGCAUGGGUUACAUUUCCGUAGCUUCAAUGAAGUGGUUCUCUCAUGCGAAUACUUCGAGUCUACUGGAGGCGAGGAACUCAAAAGCGCUUGAUUUCAAAACCAACACUAUCAAAGUGCUCCUUUUCAUAGGAGUUUUCAUGGGUGUUGCUUGUUUUUAUAAUUUCAUGUUUUUUAUCCUGUCUAGUGUGCUACUGUUGUAUUUUCCAUUUCAGUAAUCUAAUGUACAGUUCUAAUAUUUUGUUUUGAAAGCAUGAGGUGGUAUCCCAAACCGGCCCAGUGAUGCUAUCCAACCAUGAAAAAAUAUCAUCCAAGGAGAAUACUAAGGACUGGGCUUCCUCAUGCUUUUUCUCCCCUUAAUACAUAUUUUAAAAACAGAAAAUACUUCACCACCAAAAUCUUUCAAAAAAAGAUGAUAAAUUUAAUCAUGUUUGUCUUUCUGACUCACUCACUUCAUGUCUUAGAAUAUCAUCCCAUUUGACUUAGUGUGACCAGGAGGCAUUUAAAGUUGGCACAUCGUGUGAGCUCGCCAAAUUCAAAAACACCCUUCCAAGAAGGCAGUGGGGCAAACAGGAAAGAUCAUCCCACUUCAAGAAGGUAAGUUUUAUUCUCCAAAUAUAAUUUUGGAAAUGAUGUCCUCUCUUUUCUAUUUACAGGAAACAAAAGAUAGGACGUAAUAGGUACAGGCAUACGGUUGAAAUCAAGCCGUCCCUAGGAGCUUUGUGCACUCCACCUCGCUCCUGACCAACUCCUUCUCAAGCCGGAGCAAUUUCUUUUCCCCACAACAUGCCUGAGCAACUAGAUGUUGUGGUUUCAUUAACGGGACUUCCAGCUUCGACAAGCCCGGAAGCAUAAGGAAGGGAUCUUUUCCCUUUCUUUGAAUUGGCUACUGUCAACAAGGAAGAAAUCCAGAUAGUUGAAGCGGUCUCUAGCCCCCUAUUCCAAAUGAGGACCUAGAAACUUGACUUUUUGUUCCAAAUGCAUGCUCUCGCAAGAAGUAAUUGCCAUCAGAGAAUUAGAGGUUUUGAUUGUCCAUCUCAGAUUCCAUAGAAGCUUGAAGUACAUGACUUUUCUCAAUGCUACUAAUGGUCAUAUGGUCAAAGACGGAAUUCCACAGAAGGAAGGCGUUGCAAAUCAUCAAUCGUGUACACAGGACCACAAAUGAAGAGGGCCAAUCAAAAGAGACAUUGAACUGUGUCCAAGACAAAAGGCCGUCAUUGACAUUCAAAUAUCCCUAGGAGUCAGCAAAUAUGAACUCUGGGGAAAAGUAAUUUGGUAUCGUUUCCAAUACUCCCAGUAUUUGAACUCACUUUUGACAUAUUUUCUCCUAUUGACAGGAAACAUAGGAUUCAAGAAACAAGAUUAAUGGUUAAUUUGGGCAAAUCAAGUGACCCAUAUCGAUUUACCUAACUGGGUAUAAAAGGACGUUUUGUCCAUGAGCCGGUUUAGUUAAUUGAAAAAAGCAGCGCCCUACGGACACCGUCGGCACCUUUAGCCGAGUGGUAUUUGGGAAGAAGCAAAAAAGUCCGAAGUCGGGGGUUCGAAUCCCCGACGCGGCAGUUAGCCGCUUGGUAAAAAAUAAAAGAAAAUUUUGCUUCUCUUGCACUUGCAAAUUACGAGAGAGCAGGUGACCUAGCGAAGCAAAAGACAUAGGACUUUAUGUCCCACUUGCACUUCAGGUCCAAACCAGUGAAGGGUAAUGUUGUAUCGCUUCCAAGUUAUUCGACUCUUGAAAGAGCUUCUGACUAACAUGAUCCCUUUUAUCUGUUGCAGGAUCACCAGACUGUCAAAAGCAAUGAUAACGAAUCAAUGAGAAGCAUGUCUUGUUGCAGGAUCACUUGACUGUCAAAAACAAGGAUAACAAAUCAAUGAGAGGCAUGACAAACUCUCCUAAACGAAAUGGCGUCAUGAGUAAUCGCCAAAGCAAAUGAUAGAAAAUCUUCAGGCCUCAACUAACAUUUGAUUUUGGCCAGACUAAUUGAUCUACUUGUACAUCUUCUCUCUACAGGGGCAAAAGUAGAGAUGCCCGAUUAGAUUCCCAAUCCUUGGUUGAUCAUUCAUGUGUCAUAUCCCUAACCAAUAGAAGCAAUCUAUCGACACCCCUUUGUGAAUAGCCCUUUUGAUAUCCAAGAUUUAACAUAUUUGGAAACACCAUUCUGCUAAUCCUUAAAGCUGUCAACAAGGUCUUUUUGAGCAAAAACCAUUCAUUUGUUUUGAGAGUGCAAACUCUCUCAUGUUUAAAAUGCUGCAUGCCUUUUCCAAAUAGAUUUUGCAUGAUGAUUUUGUCUGUCUGAAUCACUGAUUCCAUUGAGAAUUAUUAGAAUAGACAACUAAAUGGAGAAUACAAGAUUAAUCGAGCAUGCUGGAUGAGGUGCGUCAAAAUGAUGAAAGGCAAGCCAUAUUCUACACACAAUCCCCCCCAUCUAUACACUUGUGAGAUGAGUGCAGAAGAUUUUAUGGCUGCAGGGUAAAGAAUUCUCUCGCGAAUGGUACGAUAACCAAAAUAGUGAGAGGCAUUCCAUCGCUCACCCCAUUGAGCCCCAUACAUUGGUGAAGCUUCCCUCAUACCCUCAUCAAGAACCACCCCACACUGGGGCAGAUCGAAGGCAAAGCAACAUCACAAGGUGAAAAGAGAGGUAGAAAUUUUCUUACUCGCACUUGCAUCAAUCUUCGGGUGUCCUUAUUGCUUAUGAACACUCACGUUAAUUUAAGUGCCCUAGAGUCCUGAAGAGCAAUUCUUUCUUUACGCACUUGUAUCCAUUGUACAACCCAAUUGAGUCUGUAAAUUCACCCUCACAUGGAGGCAAAGCAGAAGCUGCUGCCAUUCGAGCAGCAUAAUUGGAAAUACCAGAAGACUCAAUUAGUCUAAUGAAGGCAUUUGCUUGAACUUGUCAAGAUUAGUUCCUCAAGCAACAAAGACAAAGAACAUGGGCAUAAAAAGCAGUGUACCUAGUAAAAGCAAGGUCAAUGCCCAUAAAUGAAGAAUUAGAAUAAAAAAUAGGAGCAUGAAAAAGCAGUGUGCCUGGUAAAAGCAAGGCCAAUGCCCUCUAGUCAAAAAUACAGCCAAGAAAAAGUUGUUGUUGUGGUUCAAUUGAUAGAGCCUCCAUAUGACAGUGAGAAGAAAGACCGAUGACAAAUGCCAAGGCAAUCACCAACUCUCGCCCUUUUACACAUGAGUCAAGCCAACAUUGCAUCCCAUUGUAAAAGUCUCUUCAGACUAGGGGCACUUCAAUUAACGUAGGAUUUCAUAUGUUUAUAAGCAUCGCUCGAAGAAGUACAAGCAAGAUUACUCUAUCUCUUUUCGUAGGGUUCUUGACUUGUAAACCUGGAGAUGAUCGUGCGGCACUUCGUUCAUGAGCCUUGACCUCGACGGUCCCAUUUGAUGAACUAUUGACCAAGUCUUCAUCACAAUUUCAACAAAGACCUCUCACAUUGGUAAAGUCGUACUGUUUGCGAGAAUACUCAGACCCAUGCUGACAUGAUGACAAUGAGAUGGUGUGGUCCUUAUAAAUCCUGCAUCAAUGGUCAGGAUAGCCUUCUCCAAGAGAGUGAGUGAAAAGUCCUUUCAAACUGAAAGUCCCUCAUCUAGCAUGCUCAAAGCCUCUAUAUUCCGAAUAAAUGUUGUCUUUCAAAAUCUUCCCCAAUGGAAAUCAAAUGAUGUAAAAUUGACAAGAUUGUCAUGCAUAAAUCACAUUUGAAUUUAUGAAUUUACAGUAUAUACAAUCAUGUGUGCAUAUUGUGCAAAUAGUAGACAUACUAUCAGAGAUCAGAGAUAUUGCCAGGUAAGUGUCACGACCCGAGAGUUAGCAUGUCCAAGAGGUUUCUACAGCACGGGCGUGACACAAUGAUGACCCUCGGCCUAUGUCCCGAGACGUAGCGUAUUCUCCUUGGGGCGGGCGAAUACUGUAUUUGUACGCAUACGAUAUAAAUGCGAGUAGCUGGUAGUUGGCAAUAAAUGCCGGUAGUUGGUAGAUGGGGAGGUGCAAUCUCCACCGUCAGAUCUAAGGGAGAUCUACGGUUAGGGUUUGCCGUAUACUUGUAUAUAAAGGGGUGUCCUCCCUCAUUGUACUUCAUUCACAACAUAUAUGAAAAUCCAGAGCUUCUCUCUCAUCAAGUGUUUCUCUCUCUACAAGUUCGUUGUGAGUCGAGUGUGAAAGGCUGCUUAAGGGGUGAAACCUUAAGGCCGCACGGGUGAAUCGAGAGUUGAUCGAGAGUUGAUCGAUCGGCCCGUGACAAGUGGUAUCAGAGCUGAUUUGCGAUCCAAGCGCAAGUGCAAUGGCUGAUCCACGAUCUGAUGAGGCGUUGGUCUUGGGUGAUGACUGCGCUGAUCGUGGGCGGAAUGCCGAGAAGGGUGUCGGCAAGGGCCGAAAGGGCCGUGGUGUGUCGAAAGAACCUAUGGGGGAUCUUACGCAGCGGAUGACGAAGCUAGAGCUGUUCGUCUCCGAUGUCCAGGGAUCGGUCGAUGACCUGACCCAGACCGUGGACGGGGUUGACGCCGGAAGGGAGGAGCUGGUUGCGGAAGUGCAAGAGCUCAAGACCGGCAUGGGAGAACUCCGUCACGAGUUGCUGGGGACCUUGCAAGAGGAACUGGCACAACGGUACGAACCCUUCGAAGCCGCAAUGGCGGCCAUGCGCGCUGAGAUUGCGGAGCUUACGGGUAAGCUCGCGGAAGCACAAGCUGCACGCGUGAAUGGUGUCAUCACGGUGCAAGGGCCACGAGUGGACACGCCGAAGCCAAAGGAAUUCCGGGGCUCGCGGGUGGCCAAGGACGUGGACAACUUUCUGUGGUACAUGGAGCGAUACUUCCAGGCCAUGGGAAUCAAUGACGAUCAAACUCGGGUAAACACUGCAUCGAUGUAUUUAGCUGAUAGUGCAUUGUUGUGGUGGCGUCGUCGGUCGGAUGAUAGGUGUGGGAAUCCUAUCACGACCUGGAAUGGUUUUGUCGAGGAGUUCCGACGGAACUAUUUCCCCGCUUACGCGGAAGAAGAAGCUCGUGACGAGCUGAAACGUCUCGAGCAGAAGAGCGGUGUACGCGACUACAUCAAGUGUUUCUCUCUCUAGAAGUUCGUUGUGAGUCGAGUGUGAAAGGCUGCUUAAGGGGUGAAACCUUAAGGCCGCACGGGUGAAUCGAGAGUUGAUCGAGAGUUGAUCGAUCGGCCCGUGACAUAAGCAUAUCCCUAUACCCAUUUGUCUUAAAGUACCUACCACUGUCCAGGUACUCUCUCCUUGACACUCGACCUAUUCGAGUCGUCUCUUGAGUUUGGAUGAUUGCAACUGUCUAAGUAUCCCCUUGUUUUUAAGUAUCCACCACUUGCUGGGUGCUCCCUCUGUUGACACUCGACCUAUUUGAGUCGUCCAUUGAGUUUGGAUGCUUGCAACUGUUUUAGCAUCCCAUUGUCUUUGAGUACAGACCACCAUUCGGAUACUCCAUUUUCCUGACACUCGACCUGUUCAAGAUGUCUUUAGAGUAUUGAUGCUUGUGAUUAACCAAGUAUCCCUUUAUCGUUGAAUAUCUACUGCUGUUUAGGUAUCCCCAUAUCGUCAAGAACCCACCGUUGUCCAGGUAUUUCCUUUUCAUGACACUCAACUUGCCCGAGUUGUCCCCAAAUAAUAGUAGAUGUUCAAGCAUUCCACUGCUUUGUGUGCCUGCGCCUACCCAGGUAUGCUUCCUUACACUUGGACCAACUGAGUGGUCCCAGGUUGUAUCAUUAAAUACUUGUGUUCAUCAAAGUAUUUUAGUACUUUGUACACCUGUGGCUAUCUAGGUGUUCCACCCCUUUUAAGUGCCUACGGCAAUCCAGGUAAGCCUCAUACCACAUUCAAGUUUAUAAUACCAGGAGGUGAGAGACCUUCAUGAAUAUUCGGGGCACGUCCUCGAUAUUCUCAUUGCCAAAAGGUGGGAGACCUUCAUGAAUAUCUCAGGUAUGUCUUCGAUAUUCCUAAUUAACAGGAGGUGAUAGACCUUCACGAAUAUCCGGGGCACGCCCUCGAUAUUCCCACUGCCAGGAGGUGAGAGACCUUCACGAAUAUAUGAGGCACGUCCUCGAUAUUCCAACUACUAGGAGAUGAGAGACCUUCACAAAUAUGCGAGGCACGUCCUCUAUAUUCCCAUUACCAGGAGGUGAGAGACCUUCACGAAUAUCCCAGGUACAUCCUCGAUAUUCCCCUUUACCAGGAGGUGGGAGACCUUCAUGAAUAUGCGAGGCAUGUCCUCAAUAUUCCCAAUUACCAGGAGGUGAGAGACCUUCAUGAAUAUGCGAGGCACGUCCUCUAUAUUCCCAAUUACCAGGAGGUGAGAGACCUUCACGAAUAUCUCAGGCAUGUCCUCGAUAUUCCCAAUUACCAGGAGGUGAGAGAACUUCACGAAUAUCUCAGGUACGUCCUCGAUAUUCCCAUUACCAGGAGGUGAGAGACCUUCACAAAUAUCUCAGGUACGUCCUCGAUAUUCCUAUUACCAGAAGGUGAGAGACCUUCACGAAUAUAUCGGGUACGUCCUCGAUAUUCCCAAUUCCCAGGAGGUAAGAGACCUUCAUGAAUAUCCAAGGUACAUCCUCGAUAUUCCAACUACCAGGAGGUGAGAGACCUUCACGAAUAUCCCAGGUAUGCCCUCGAUAUUUCCCAAUUGCCAAGAGGUGGGACACCUUCACAAAUAUCUAAGGUAUGUCCCUGAUAUUUUCAAUUAUCAAGUACCCCUUCGAUGCUUGUAAAUGUCCAAGUAUCCCUCAAGAAUUCAUACUUGUGAUCAUCCAAGUACCCCUUUAAUGCCUAUGAUCAGCCAAAUACCCAUUUCGACGCCUGCAAAGGCCCAAUUAUUCUUCAUGUUAGUACUUGUGAAUAUCCAGGUACCUUUUAAUAUGCCUGUGAAUGUCCAAGUAUCUCCCAAAUCGAUGCCUUGAGAAAGGUCGGUGCAUCCAUCCGAGAAAGGUCGGGUUCCAACUGGUGUCUUCGACAGAAGUCAGACACCCCAUAAAUUGAUGCCCUGACAAAGGUCGGUGCAUCCUCCCGAGAAAGGUCGGGUUCCAACUGGUGUCUUCGAUAGAAGUUAGACACCCAACAAAUCGAUGCACUGAUAAAGAUCGGUGCAUCUCCCAAGAAAGGUCGAGUACCAACUGGCGUCUUCGAUACAAAUCAGGCACCCACAAUUGAGAUGCCCUAAGAAAGGUCGAUGCAUCUCACGUCAAGGCGACCGAAGAAAGGUUCAGGUCCUAGACAAAUCACUAAUUGUUUUAACAGGCGACCGAAGAAUGAUUCUGGUCCUAGAGAAGCAAUUUCCCAUCAUGACGACUGAAGAAUGGUUCGGGUCUGAGACAAACCACUGAUUACUCCAACAGGCGACCGAAGAAUGGUUCGGGUCCUGGAGGAGCAAUCUCCCAUCAAGGCGAUCGAAGAAAGGUUCGGGUCCUAGACAAAUCAUUGUUUUAACAGGCGACCAAAGAAUGGUUCGGGUCCUGGAGAAGCAAUUUCCCGUCACGGCGACCGAAGAAUGGUUCGGGUCCGAGACAAACCACUAAUUACUCUAAUAGGCGACCGAAGAAUGGUUCAGGUCCUAGAGGAGCAAUCUCCCGUCAAGGCGACCGAAGAAAGGUUUGGGUCCUAGACAAAUCACUAAUUGUUUUAACAGGAGACCGAAUAAUGGUUCAGGUCCUGGAGAAGCAAUUUCCCGUCACGGCGAUCGAAGAAUUGUUCGGGUCCGAGACAAACCACUGAUUACUCCAACAGGCGACCGAAGAAUGGUUCGGGUCCUAGACAAAUCACUAAUUGUUUUAACAGGCGACCGAAGAAUGGUUCGGGUCCUGGAGAAGCAAUUUCCCGUCACGGCGACCGAAGAAUGGUUCGGGUCCGAGACAAACCACUGAUUGCUCCAAACAAGCGACGAGAAUGGUUCGGGUCCUGGAGGAGCAAUUCCCGUCGAUGUGACCGAAGAAAGGUUCUGGUCCUAGACAAAUCAUUGAUUGUCUUAACAGGCGACCGAAGAAUGGUUCAAGCCCUGGAAAAGCAACCUCUUCAUAUCACCAGGUAAGAUGACACCUUGAUACUUGCCAAACUCGGGGUUCACACCCUACCUCACUCACUCCCCGGUAAGUAAUUACAGGUAUCUUCUUAUAUGUCUUAAUAUAUGUAAUGUUAUAUUGCUCUUUUUACAUAGGAUAAUAAGUCCCGAAUAAAAUAUAAUCCACUACACAUAUAUGAUCAAAUUUUAGGCAUCAUUUUGUCUUUGAAUGCAACCUCUACGAGCUCACCUUCAAAGAGGGGCAGCUGUUGACGCCUAAAAAUUAGACUUUAUUUUAUUAUUAUUUUGUUUUAUUUGACUUUCGGAUAAUAAACCAAAAGAAAAGCAAAGAAAAGCAGCCCAUUUUUCUCCCUCUCUUCCCCCUCCGCAUGGGCCUCUACGGCCCACUUUCCUUCUCCUCCGGCCCAGCCCUUUUCGGUCUUCUUCCUCCUUCGUCCGCUCUGCAACACACGCGCAGAGGGCAUGAUGCCGGAUGAGCGGACGGACGGCGACGCACGUGAGAAAGGUGGGGCAGCUGGAGAACAGGUGGCGGAUGGGACGCCGGUUCGGCCACGGGGGUCCGGUCGGCAAGCCAAAGACUAGCGGCCGAGCCUCUCCGUCUACCGGACCUCCUCGCCUAUAAAUAGCGGAGUAUUUCAGUCGUUGAAGGACACGCCAGAAGAUCGUGAGCUUGGAAGCUUCCUCCUGAGAGACUUCGGAGGAGGUUGAAGAGUGAGCGAGAGGAAGGCGAGCGAGAGAGAAAUCGGGUCGUGAGCUAGGUCGACCUCCCACUAAGAGACUUCGGGGGAGGCCGCCGGCGAGCAAGUCUGAGGAGGUCAGAUCCGGCCGGUGGAGGCUCGAAUCUGGCCGGAGGGGGAGAGAUCUGGUCGAGAGAGAGAGAGAGAGAGAGAGAGAGAGAGAGAGAGACAGCGGAGAAGGAGGUCAGAUAUGUAACUCCGAGAGAAGGAGAUGCUGUCUGGACGUCGAAUCUGGAAGGGGGAAGUCUCGCGGUUGCCGUGCCGGACUCCCGCUGCAACCUAGCGAGCGAAUCCCGGUCAAGCCGUGCCCCGACACCACUGCUACCCCAGAUCCCGUCGUGCUGCUGCCGUGAAGCCCUCUGGUUCGACACCUCGCCAUUGCCUUUCCCUCGACACCGCUACUGCCGUUCCUAGACGUCCUACCGCAACUCCCCGACGCCGUCCUCGACGGCUCGCCAAGACCCCCUGCCGUGUUGGGUCGUCGUCGCACCUUACACCGCCACUGUGCCGUCGCCUGCUGCGUCACCUCCGUCGUUCCCUCCAUCGGCGCCGCGAUUAAGUGAGAGGGAGGAAGCAUCGCGCCAGGUCGGGUGUGGGUUCGAAUCAGGUAGGGUUCCGCUUGGGUCGGGCUUGCACGCGUGGGUCUCAGCCAGGUAGGGCUCCGGCCAUCUUGGGUCGAUUGUGUGUGGGCUUGUCUCGUGUGGGCCUAUGGGUGUCUGUCCCUUAUUUGUGGGCCACGAUUAAAAGAGAAAUGGAAAAAAAAACCUGAGUUGGGCCCGCAACGCAGGCCUGUCCUCGUUCGCGGAUCGGACCCGGGUCAGCUUUUAUAUUAUUUUAAUAUAAAAUAAUAUUUUAAAUAAUUAAAUAAUUAAUAUUUUAUUUUUUGAAAAAUAAAAAAAUCAAAAAAAAAUUAUUUAAAAAAUGUUAAAAAAUAUUUUAUUUUCAAAAAAUCAAGAAAAAUCAAAAAAUAAUUUAUUUUCCAAAAAUAUUUAAAAAUAUAUAUAAAUAUAUUUUAUUUUUCGAAAAAUCAGAAAAUCAAAAAUAUUUCAUAUUUUCCAAAAAAAGCCAAAAAUCCCAAAAAAAAGCCAAAAAAUUUAGAAAAAGCCAAAAAGACUUGUAUUUUUCCAAAAAAAAUACCAAAAACCCCCCAAAAAAUCCCUUUUGUGUCCAACAAAUUAGAAAAUGACUCAAAAAAUGUUUUUCCUCCAAAAAAUGCAUGGAAAAUCCCUCGAACAUCCAAAAAACCUCAGGGUUUAAACAAGAUUAGGUACCAAAAUGGUAUUAGUGAUUAACUAGUGUAAUCAAGUCCUCGAUCCUAAUUUCUCCGGUUGCGCAGGAGUGAGUAUUUCUCCCGAUACUUCACUUGGGUUUCUAAUCAACCCACCCUAAAUCGAUUAGUGGCGACUCCAAUUUAAAAUUUGAUUUACAGGUUAAAAAAUUGAAUCAUUAAGUCGUGAAUUGGUGGACUUGGGAGAGUCCGGGCUUUAAUUAAUUCAGCCGAGCCAUUAGCCUCCUCAGGCACUCGUACCCGACUGCGAGCGCCGAAAAAAAGGAGGUCGCGACAAAUAAAAAUCUAUAGCAGGAUGCAAAAUAACUCAUACUUCAAGGUCUUCUUUAAAGUUGGACAUCAAUUUCGAUCACUAUGUCUACACGUCACUUACAGAAGCAAAGUUAAUUAGCAGCUACCUCUAGAUGCACUGUCCUUUCAAUGAUUAACAAAAUAAUAAUAGUAAUAAUGCAUUCACGGGUAUUACACUUUGCUGAACAGAACGGUGGAUUAAUGGCAUAGGAUUAUCUUUGGCAAGGCAAUAGAAAUGGAAGUUCUACCAGGGUUGAUGUGGAUAAUAUACUGCCAACAAACCAAAUGAAAUAUAUUCACCACUGACAGCAGUCGGCCCAGUGAGAUUCUACAGGCUCCAGCUUUUCUCCGCACAAUCCGGCAAAGAGAUAUAGCGAAGAAUUACAUUGCAAGAAUCAUUCCUCUUGUAUUAGUCGCAUUCAAUUAUCACAUCACGGGUAUCUUUGUUGUCCUCCUCCUACAUGCAAACUGAAAUUGUCAUUGACCACAUUUUCCAAGAUUCAAGGAAACAAUAAUAUCCAGAGCAUUUCAUUGAAAAUUUGCAUCUGUUUGUGAUCCAUUCUGUUUAUAACAACAUGAAAAGCCUAAAUCAUAUUCUUAAUGGAAAUUGCUUCGCAGGCAAAGUCUACAACAGUUAGCAGGUCUUUUUAAGCAAUAGUCAAGCGUAUAAGUAUUGAGGUUUCUAAAGGAAGCUAUGUAUGUAAAAGCUGAUGUGGGAAAUUAUAAGCAGGUCGAGGAUUCAUGCCAUUUGAAGCUCAUUAUAAUUGUAUUUUAAUGACCAAUUUAACUUUUUUUCUUCAGUUUCAUUUCAACUCUCACAUCNNNNNNNNNNNNNNNNNNNNNNNNNNNNNNNNNNNNNNNNNNNNNNNNNNNNNNNNNNNNNNNNNNNNNNNNNNNNNNNNNNNNNNNNNNNNNNNNNNNNCUACCUGUCAGUAUGAAUUGUGAAUGGGAAUGAAAUUUAAGAAAGAUCACCUCCUGGAUGGGCUUCUCGAAGGUUGAUUUUAAAGAAUUCAUAUCGAUUGAAACAGUUGCUUAUGUAGUGUCCUGAUGUGCAUGAUAUGAGGUUUCCGCAAUUCUCUAAAUCUUUAGGACUUAUCAGAUUUCUAUGUACAUAUAAAAUGUUUUGCUCCAUGUUAAACAAAAAUUCUGUUGUGUUUCCAUUGUGUAUGUUGCUCUGUUCGUUCAAAGACUUUAUGUUAAUGUAUGACUUUUGCGUCAAGCCUACUUGGCAAUCCUAAUGUUAAUGCCACACGUCAAUCUUAGCAAAUUAGUUGAAUGAGAAUUUCAGUUUUCUGUAGUUAGCUGCACACAUUAUCUCCAAAUUCAGUAGUGUACACUUGGUCAAAUUGAUAAAAGUGGCUGUAUUUUCUCAAUUGCAUGGACUGUUGAAGCAUUUGUCAGUACCUAUGGAAUAAAUUACGGGAGGAUUGCAGAUAAUAUCCCUUCGCUAAAUCAUAUUCUUUGUACAUCUGGCAUCAAUUUCUAAUGUAGAUUUCAGAAACUUACUGGAAGGUUAGAAAUGCAUUCAGCCGCUUCUAAUCGAAGAGAUUAGCAAUUGAAAUGCAAUAAACACUUAAUUUAUGUCCAAGCUACUUGACUCAUCUUACCACUCUCCAAACAUCCUCCUUCAUAAGACAGCUCCUCAGCUAGAGUUUCCUCUAGGACAGGUUUCAUUCUUGACCAUGUGAAGUUCAUCACAAAAAUACAAGCAAGAUAGGAUAAUCAAGCAAACAAGAGAGCAAAGUAACCUGAUAACAAUUGCAAUUCACUUGCUAGGUAAAAAAUUAUAAUGGAGUUCAAUUCAAACAAGGAGACCACAACAUUUCAGGUCUUUAAUACUUGACGUUGAAGCCACAGCACCAACCCACAAACGAAAAACCGAACGAAAGCGAUUUAGAACAGUCAUGACUCAUGAGUCAAAAGCCAAUCAAUCUAAUACUUACAAUGCAGGCUUCUGUCAUAUUUCUCAUCUAAAGAAUGCUGAACACAAGAACUCUUCAUUGAAUACUUCCCUCGAGUAAAGCUAAAACCAUGAUCAUCAAGCAAUUAAGCAAAAAGUUACUACUUGAUUGGAGCGAAGCAGGGCCUCUUGGGUUAACUUGGUUUACCUAAAGAAGAGAAGCCGGAGCUCUCUUUUGCAUUUUCUUUUUUUCUAAACUAAGUGUCUGAAUAUGGGAGUGUUUGGUUGCAGAAAUACUGCAGUAGAGGAAAGAAUGACAACUUUUUGCAAUGUUUGUUAUUGCUUGGGUGUACUCCCUUUUAUAGUGCAUGAAGGAGUAGGCUUGCAAUGACUGAAAGUGUAGGCACAAAAUGUUUGCAAAAAUGCGACUUCGUGUACAUUUCCAGGAAACAAUAAAGGGUUUAAAUUUCUUUUCUUUUCUUUUCUUUUCACAUUUUUCUACCUCUUGCCUAUCAAAUAAUUGAGAUAUUUUUAUCUUCAAUGUAGGUUUGGUAAAUCUUUUCAAUCUGAUCUCUUAUCAACACGCGAUAUGCUCAAAUAAUAUCAGUUAUUGUGAUUUACCCCUUGAAAAAUUGAUAAAUUACCCAAAUCAAGAGUGAUAAUAUCCUAUAAGAGCGAGUAACUUUAACAAAUAAAUGAGGCUAACUCAAUGGCUUAAUCUAUAAUAUCGAAACAAUCCGAUAAAUGCCGGUAAGUGAUCCCGAAUAGGAGCCUAUAAUUUUCUAUUAAAGUUAGUGAUGAGUACGUGCGCACCUACAAACCCUACUCAAUUGCACCCCCGCACGUUAUUAAAAAAAUUCGACAGGGUUGAAGGAAAAAGAAAAAAAGGUUGACGAAAAAUAGAUAAAGUGGGGCCCAAUCCGCAACAAUUAGCAAUUAAGAAAAGAGAGGGUCGGAUCGUCACCUCGUCCCCGUGUGGGGCCCUCACCACCACCCCCAUCGGACACGUCAACAUUGUGCAUUCGUUCUGGAUAAUAUAUACGGAGAAACCCUCACAACUUUGACGUCUGCCUCUCUAUUCCCAGAUCUCCCAUCUUUACUGACUCCUACAAUGAAUUUUCAUGCCUUCAGGAUCAAUAUCUAAAGCUUCACUGAACCAGAAACGUUUAAAACCUUACGCUCAAAAGUACUCAUAUACAACCGUCACUCAUUCUCGCUCUUCACCGAACCACCGUCUCCGACCAUCAUCUAACCACUGUGCUGGCCGUUGCAUCCACAAGACAUAGGGAACAAUAAUAGGGUGGCAAUCGGAUAAACCGACUGGAGUUGGGUUUUUAGUGGCUUCUCAUCAAUGACCAUCGUUGAAGGCAGCAGGAAGGCCUAAUUUAUCAAUGGUGUAACUAGACUGUGACAGGCACUUGCAACUGGCAACGAGAACCUUUACGACUAUCGAUGAACAUAACAACGACUGACAAGGGAGUCUUCGGAUGAGAUAUGGGCUCUUCAAUUUCACAGUGGGAAGGCACCGGCCAAUAGAGUAGGAAAUGGUGGCUCGGGAACAAUGAGGACGAGCGGCUAUGGCGACUGAUGCCGUUAAGGGGAGUGAUGGAGAGGCUCAUCGAAGUGAUGGCGUGGGUUUCAAUCGCCGGAAUGGGCAGCAGCAACUACUGCUCCGACUCCUCAAGAGAAUGAAAUCCAAGAACAAUGGAUGCAACUUGCGGUGGUGAGGAUGAAGUCCAAUGACGAUGGGGCGAUGGUGAAGGAGUUGGCAUGAAGAAUCGUUACUCCUUAUUUUUCUUUUUCCCCCUCUUCUUUUAAUUGUGAUGCCUUCCCGCUGAACGUAAAAAGAAGCAAAAAAAAAAAAAAAAAACAAAAAGCAAAAAACAAAAACAAAAAUGACCCCUUCCAAGAUGGGAAAAGAAUAAAUUUUAUUCUCCCAAUGGGGUUUUGUACGAUUGCACUGAAUGGCGCGAUCUUUAGAAGUAUAAACUCAAAUCCUAUGGUAAUAAAUAUAGUAUUCUAAAUGGCUUAUCGAUUCUUGAAAUUAGAAUUUCUUUAAAUGGAUUCGAGGUACUUAAAUUUUGCAGUUUUCCUAAAUCAGAUGUCUAAAAAAGAUUAAAACAAGUGAAAAAACAAUUUUUUUUCAGGUCAUAGUCGAUUCUUUGGUUUGACCAAAAAAGCCAUCUUCGGCCAAAUUUAUGGAAACUCGAAAUCUAAAGUCUAUUUCUACACGCCGAUGUUGACUUAACCCCUAUAUGCAAUUAAGGUACUAAUCAUACUGAUCUAAUUCUUUUGAGUGAAGAAACGAGUCUCGUCGCGAUCGAGGAUCUUGAAUCUCGAUUUUUUUUAACUUUAACCAUCGCGAAAAUUCGAAUGGCAAUAGCAAUAUAUAAAAAAAAAAUUCUGAUAACUGUUGGUAUUUUCUUAAAGGUUUGGGUAACUUACCAAAACUUCACCGACUGAAUAAGUUAUCAAACAAACAGACCAAAAAAAAAAAGGUUAUCAAACAACAUUUUGUUGUCAAUCGGUUUUGAUAUUUACCAACGCUUGUCGAUUUUUGCUUGCACAAAACACUGUUUGGAUGUUUACCUGGUCGAAUCUUCCUUUAUGCUAUGGAUUUUUGUGGCAUCUUCUAAAGUCAAAUUGAUACCACUUUUUAGUUUGGUUCGAUUUGAUUUCCCCUUUCAAAAUGUUAUGAACACCCUAAUUUUUUUCAAUAUAGAGGACGAAUCAACCCAUAUCACCCAAAUUAAGAAAAUUCAAUCUUCAUGAAGAUCAAAUAUCCAAGUUUUGCAAUGGAGAACGCAUUCGGUUAGCAUUUUUCAUUUCACGCAACAAACAAAAUGUCGGAAAGUGACUACACAAGUUAUUUAGGCAUCCGGAGGGACUAUCCGGGAGCUCGACCAAUACCCAAUGACUAUCCUAUGGCCAGCUGGCGAUUGGGCAGUAGGGCCUAAGCGCCCAGUCUUCUUCACAUUGUCUCACCACAACGCCUCUUAACAUGUCUCUCACUUAUUUUAAUCUCCGGGCUCCAAUAGAAAUUCGAUUUGGCUAGAACUUGAGCCAUAAGCUCAACAACCUUUGAACAUAGAAUCAUGGAGUCGCCAUCUAGAUGGAGACGCACGAUGUGCAUCCAAGUAAUCUUGCACUUGGCAUGGUGGUGAGGCGAGGAAAGCCUUCUCCGGCCGCAUACUUGUCAGCCAGUUUGAAAAAUAAAAGAACAAGCCUAUAUAGGCUAGCGAACCUCAUGAAUUUCUUGGGCUAUCAUUUCUCGCGUUCGGGCCGAUGUAAUUUAAGAUGUGAUGAAAGCAAUUGUCUGUUAAUUUUAAGCUCAGGAGGUGCCAUACUUGAUCAUGAAUAUGGUUUUCGCUGAAGAAUUAUAUUAGAGAAGUUACUUACAGAAAAAAAAAAAAAAUUCUGGGUAGACACGUGCAAACUUAACUGGGCUGGGGCUCAAGUAAACAAUUUCUUUCUCAAGCUCAAGCCCAAUCGUGGAAGCCCACUUGAGCUUAUCCAGACCCGAUUGUCAGAGUGAGUAUAAAGGAAGAUUUCUAAAAUUUCGUCCACUGAUCAGCUCCACAAAGCAUUAGGGGACGCAAAAAAUCCGUACGUAUGUUCGAACUCGUGCUCCGAGGUAGAGUCGCCGCUCGAGCUUAAAGGCGCAGGAAAACGGUCGUCUCUCCAGGGAGCGACACGUGUAGCUCUAUGGAAGCCCAAAUUCGUUCGAGCAAAAUCUAAACUGUAGGCUCGACCAUCGACCCAUCAUGGCGAAGAAGCCAUCACAGACCCCAUCAUCGUCCUCCUCCUGUCCUCGGUGCGAACUCUAGGCGACCAUGCUGAUCACAGGUGGAGGUCCAGAUGGACCGCCGCCCCGAACCUCGUCGUCUUCUUCCCCUGGAAGGACGCCCUGUUCGUGGACAACGUCUUGACCAUCUACGUGUCGCCUACGGUGAGGAAGUUCUGCAUCAAUAUUGAUUUUCUCGACUAUUGCGCGCCUGAGCUCAGUCUGUGGCUUCGCUUUGCUGUCGACCGCCGUCUGAAGGACCUCUCUGUCAAUGCAGCUAAGGGUUUGCGCGAGAUGGCCAUCCAUUUCUCCGUACCGCUGCUCCUUUAUGGAUGCUCUCCGUUGGUGAACCUGCAUUUAAGGCUGUGUAGCGUCCCAUUUAGUAAGAGUGUCACUUGGAGUAAUCUCAAGUCCUUAUCCAUAUGGGGCUUGGAGAUCAUGGAUAAGGUGAUGCAUGAUAUCUUGAAGGGCAGUCUCAAGUACCUUAGGUCGAAGGAAUGCCGCAGUUUGGAGCAAAACGUCAUGCUUUGUUCGAUAAGUUUGAGGAAAAUUUGUGGUUUAUCACUGCUUCUGGCAUGCACUUGAUGAGGGUUUCCCACUGGAGGUUUCAAGUCCUCUUUUGCUGUUGUUGCAUUUGAGAGGGUCGUUUGGUGUGAUGAGGCAGCUGGUAAUUGAAGCCUCAUCCUUAAUUGAAGUUGAGUUGAACUUUUUUAUAAGACGCGAGGAUUUUAGAAAUUGUUCUGUUCAAAAUUGGUUCGAGCCUUACGGAGGGUAGAGCAACCUGGACAAGGGACUGUUUCAGGAGUUGCCAAACAUGAUUGAAGUUCUAAUUGGUAAUUGGGUGGGCAAAUUGUUUAAUUCGACCCGUUUGGUUUCAUACUUAUGGAUAGUUCAUGGUCCCUCUUCCUGGAGUUGAUGAAGUUCUUAGUUCAUCACACUAGAAUUUGGUUCACAUCAUCUGCUACUCUGCUUGACGUCUAAUGGUGCAAAUGUACAUUUUGCCUUCAGAAUAACUACCAAAAGGUCAAAAAGAAAAAGGCAGCUAGUUUAGGGUAAGUCUUUUUCCUCCUCAAUAGUGCAUAAUCAUGAUCCCAAAGAUCAUAGUAAAUUAUUAACGAAAAGUAGAUGUGUCCUAUUUUCUAAAUAUUGAAAAAGAAGUUGUUGACUAGAAUUAGUGUAACGAGGCAAAUUAUCUAGUUCCAAUUAAAUGAGGACAAAAAAAAAAAAAAGACAUUGGAUCUUCUUAUUGCUUUUUCUACUGCAUGAUUGUGUACCUUAUAACAGGAGAUUUGCAUAAAGUUCACCAACUGGUGCUUGGUCGAGUAUUUGUAUCUGGUCGAGUGUUGGGAGCUUGGGUGAUGAUGGUCGAGUUCGAGCUUGGCCCGCUGUCUCAACAUUUAAGUAUGCGUGAAUGUUUGUCAUCUCUUGUGAGAUGCCAAUUUGAAUAAUUCAUUAGCAUUUUAUUUUAUCCAAAAGUAAAUGAGGAUGAUCACGUUGCUUUUUUCAAAAUUACGUUUCAAUAGCUAGUCCACCACAUUCGCAUCAAUGUGAUGUCUCAUUGGGCCUGAAAGGGCCCUUUCGGGCAUUAUUCGGCAAGGCUAUAAAUUCCGGCCCGGCCUAGUUGAUUCUGCGGCAGCCCUUUACGGCCCAAUUCCCAUCUCUCUCUUCCUUCCUUGUUUUGACUCCCGCCUGUUCCUCUUCCCGCAACUUCCUCCGCAAAUUCUCAGACUUCAGUGGACAUCACUCCCGCUCUUCCCUUCUUCGUCUCGCUCUUCAGCUUUCCUCCGUUGUUUUUGAGCUCUCUCCUUAUUCCUUGCGAUUUGUUCCACCACGGCUGGCGGCUGUUGUUUUCAGGCUGCUUGGCAGGGUCACGGCGUGUGCUUCUGUUUCAGCUUUAGUGCGAUUAACCCUGGGCUUCUCAGGUUCGGCUCCCAUUUGGCGUUGUUGGGUGGGUGGAUUCGGUUUUGUUGAGGUUUUUGCUCGAUUUCCGAUUGGCAGGUGAAGAUGGGAGAGUGGUAUCAGGAAAAAGGAUUUGCUGACAACGGUCGCGGAGGACUCGAAGGUGGGUGCUUCAUCGCUUCAGUUGGCAUGAGGCUGUGAACAAUCUCUCUUGGGCAUGGCUUCGAUUCAAGAAAGUUCUCUUUUUUCUUUAUUCAGUGUGUUCGUUUCUUCAACGAUGGCUUGCUGUGCUUGCCCUUUGAGUCAUUGGCCUUAUCUCCUUCUACUUCUUUAGCUUUUCCUAAAUGUGCAACGCUUCCUUUUUCGCCAUAGGAACCAACUGUAAUUGCCAAUCUUGUUCAAAUUGCAUUCGAUGGAUAAUUGGACGAAUAUAGAGAUAAAAGUGGUUGAAAGUCUAAAUGAGAAGGUGCCAUCGAACUAAAAAGUUGGUCUUUUACACAGAAAUGAACAGUGAAUGAUGGUGAUGCGAGUGGAUAUCUAGAGAUGACUUAGUUCCAAGUAAAGAAUCCAAGCUCGUAUUAGUUGAAUGAAGGGAUUUUAUUUAUAGGCGCAGUAGAUUCUUAUUAUUUAUUAACUUCUCGACCAGGUUGUUGCCUUAUGAGAUUUUUUCCUAUCUGGACAGUCAUCUACUCCAACCAUAAGCGUACCAUACUCCUGUAUCGCCUUCUUGUUGCCCUUCUUCGUACACCAGUUAAAGUGUUCAUGAAAAUUAACAUGAAUUGGAGGGGAUGCCAUGUAUGCUAAAUAGACUAGCCGUGUCAGAUGCGGUAACGCUUGAUGCCCACUUGGAGUUCGCAGGUUUAGCCAUUGCAGAAUACUAUCUAAAUGUCAUCAGGCAUCUAAAAAGAUCUUAGAUUCCUGAUUAUGACUCACAAUGUAAUUUUAUUGUUGACUCCUCUUCUUUUACUGAUUGAGCAUUCUUUUACUGAUUGAGCAUGCCCUACAAGGAGAGAAUUAUUGAAUAUUGAAAUAUAGACUAUAGGCGGAAAGUUUCACAUUUUAUAUUGCUUGAAGUUUUAUUUAUCUUCUUCUCAUUACUGGGGGGGAGUUCAACUUUUGAAUAGGAUAUAUCUUGAGCUAUGCUGCGUAUUUGUGUGACUAUCUGGUCGAGAGGGAUGGAGGGAGAAAUUGGAGAAAGCAAAGAGACUAGGAGGGUCAGGGGAGCUGCAUCCAAGUAUGUAGGGUUCUUAUAUGACUUCAUCUUGUGGUAAUUCAAAUUCGUAAGAACUUAAAAUUUGAUGCCUAGCCUUGGUAGUUCUUGAUGUCUAUUUUCACUGGAUAAAUUUAAAGAGAUCUUUUCUCUCAAUGCUUCGCUCAUCGUAUUGUCUUCUGGAUAUGGAGAAUGUUUUGAGUGCACUAUAGUACUUGAGCCAAUACUUGAAUGGUUUCUUUGAGAUUUUAAGUUGUAAAUACUAUUGCACUUGUAAUCCACGACUGAAGUAAGCUUUCGUGCAUCCACUUCACCUUGAGAUUCCAUAAUUGAACAACAAGAUUUUUUUUUUUUUUGAUGAUAUUGGAAUGGAGGCUGCCAACAAGAUAUAGAUUCCCUUGCUUUAGAUAACCUACUAGCCCAAAGAAAUCCCGUAUCUCUUCUUCUGCCUGCAAUCUUUCGCCGGGAAUUCUCGCUCUUCCAGUGGGGGGGACCUCCUACCUUCCUCUCUUUCGCUCUUCCGUCCUUCGUCUCGCUCUUCAACUGCCUCCGUUGCUGUCCGUACGCUCCUCGCGGUUCGUUCCAGCGGAGCUGGUGGCUGCGGUUUUUGGGCUGCUUGGCGGAGCAUUCUCUCUAGCAAAUGGAGACCGACGAAGCAGGGGCCGGGCUGCUUCCGUUUCAGCUUCAAGUUCUGACGAACCGCUUUGGCUUCUCCGGUUCGGCUUCCGUUCGGGCGUUCUUUCUCGACCUCCUAAUGGGCGGCGGCGAUUGAUUUUUUUUUUUCCGAUUAGUUUUUGUGAGGUUUCGGCUCGAUUUCUUCCGAUUGGCGGGUGAAGAUGGCGGGAGUGGAAUCCGGAGAAGGAUUUGCCGGCCGGCCAUGGUCACGGAGAACUUCGAAGCGGUGGUGCUUCGUCGCUUCAAUUGGCAGAGGCUGUGGACAAUCUCUCCUUUGUAAUUGCUUCCACUCGAGAAAGUUCCACGUCGAUGUCGAUUUUCUGGACCGUUGCGCGCCUGAGCUCAGUCCGUGGCUUCGCUUUGCUGUCGACGACCACGUCAAGGACCUCUCAUUCGAUAUGACUAUAGAGGCCGUGCGAGAUGGCCGGCCAUUUCGUGGUACCGCUGCUCCUUCAUAAAUGCUCUUAGUUGGUGAACCUGCAUUUGGGCCUCCGGAGCUUCUGGUUGAGUAGGAGUAUCGCUUGGAUUAAUCUUUAGGUCCCUGUCCAUCUGUGACUCGGAGAUGACCAAUGAGGUGAUGCGUGAGAUGUUGAAGGGUAGCCGGAUGCCGCGGUCUGAAGCAAAACAUCAAGCUUUGUUUGAGAACUUUGAGGGAAAUUGCGGUCCAUAGCUGCUUUUGGUAUGCACUUGAUGAGGUUUUUCCCUUGGAGAUUUCGAGUCCUCUUUUGCUGUCCUGUCAUUGCGUUUGAGAGGGUUUUUUGGUAUGAUGAGGCAGCUGGUAGCGGAAGUCUCAUCCUUGAUUGAAGCGGAGUUGAACUUUUUUUUUAUGAGAGGCAAGGAUUUUGGAAGGCCAACUAAUUGUUUUGCUCGAAAUUGGUUUGAGUUUUACAGAGGGUAUUGCAGCCUAGUUGAGGAGCUGCUUCAGAAGCUGCAGAAUGUGACUAAGCUUUUGAUUCGUAAAUUGUGCCUUCGGGUGAGCAGAUUGAUUUUGAUUUCAAAUUUAACACGUUUGGUUCAUACUUAUGGACAAUUCAUUGUUCCCUUUCCUGGAGUUAAGGAAGUUCAUUCCAAACUUCAGCACAAGGAAUCUGGUUUACAUCGUUUGCAACUCUGCUUGAUGACAACCGGUGCAAAUACCCAUUGUGCCUUCAGAAUAACUACCAAAAAGACCAAAGAAAGAGCAGCUGGUUUAGGGUCAGUCUUUUUCCUGCUCAGUUUUGCAUAAGCAUGAUUCCAAAGAUCAUGAUAAUUAUUGAUGGAAAGUAGUUGUGUCCUAUUUUCUAAAUACUGAAAAAGCAAUUGUUGACUAGAAUUAGUAUAUAAGAUCUACUAUUUCAACAAUUGAAAGCUUUGGCAUCGCUUAAUUUGUCAUAUAGUCGGGAACCAAAAUAGCUCUCAAAGAACAUACCUGCAGGGCUUUUGUAAUCGUAUUUGGAAGGAGUAAAUUAUCUUAUUCUUUUGCUUUUCAAUUGUUGGAUGUGCUUAGGUUUUAUCACUUGCAGCAGAGGUACUAUGCGCGCUAUUUUCUUUGCCCAGUUGCAAGUCUCUAACUCUGCAUGCACAAGUGGAGAAAUGAGAUUUUCCUAGUAUAGCAAAACUGUACCUUGUAACAAGGUGAAUUGUCUAAUUCCAGUUAAAAGAGAAAAAGAAAGACAUUGGAUCUCAUUUUUUCACCCUACUGUAUCAUUGACGCACGUGCGUACCUUAUAACAGGAGUUUAUCAUAAAGCUCACCAACUAGGGCUUGGUCGAGUAUUAACAUUCGGCCUACUCGACCGAGUGCUAGGAGUUUGGAUGGUGAUGGCAAAUGGCUUGGUCGAAUUCGAGCUUGGCCCGUCGUCUUGACAUUUAAAGUAGGCGUGCUUCCGUUUCAGCUUCAGUUUGACAAACCGCCUGGCUUCUUAGGCUCAACUCCCGUUAGGCAUUCUUUGGUGACCUAAUGGGCAGGUCGAUUCGGUUUUGUGAGGGGUUUGGUCAAUUUCCGAUUGGCAGGUGAAGAUGGGGUGAGUGGAAUCUGGAGAAGGAUUGGCGAUGGUCACAGAGCACUCGAAGGUGGGUGCUUUGGGUGCUUCGAUGCUUCAAUUGGUAGAGGCUGUGGACAAUCUCUCCUAGGUAUUGCUUUGACUCGAGAAAGUUCUCCUUUUUCCUUUAUUUAGUGUGUUCAUUUCUUCUACAAUGGCUUGUUGUGCUUGCUCUUUGAGUCAUUGGCCUUAUCUCGUUCUACUUCUUUCGCUUUUCCUAAACGUGCUUCCUUUUUCACCAUAGGACCAUUGUAAUGCCAAUCUAGUUCAAAUUGCAUUCGAUGGAUAAUUGGAUGAAUUUAGAGAUAAAAGUGGUUGAAAGUCUAAAUGAGGAGGUUCUGUUGAACUAAGGAGUUGGUCUUUUACACAGAAAUAAAGAGUGAAUGAUGGUGAUGCGAGUGGAAAUCUAGAGAUGACUUGGUUGCGAGUAAAGAAUUCCAAGCUGGUAUUAGUAGAAUGAAGGGAUUUUAUUUAUAGGCACAUAGAUUCCUUUUAACUUCUCGACCAGGUUGUUGCCUUUGCAAGAUUUUUUCCAUAACCUAGCUGGUCAGUCAUCUACCCUAACCGUAAGUGUACCAUACUCUUGUAUUGCCUUCUUGUUGCCCUUCUUCGUACGCCAGUUAAAGUGUCCAUGAAAAUAACUAACAUGAAUUGGAGGGGAUGCCAUGUAUGCUAGAUAGACUAGCUCUGUCAGAUGCAGAAAUGCUUGAUUACCACUUGGAGUUGGUAGGUUUAGCCACUGCAGAAUAUUAUCUAAAUGUCAUUAGGCAUCUGAAAAGAUCUUAGAUUCCUGAUUAUGACUCUCACAGUGUAAUUUUACUGCUGCCUCCUCUUCCUUUACUAAUUGAGCAUUCUUUAACUAACUGAGCAUGCCCCGCAAGGAGAGAUUUAUUGGAUACUGAAAUAUAGACUAUAGGCAGAAAGUUUCUUACAUUUUGUAUUGCUUGAAGUUUUAUUUAUCUUCUUGUCAUUACUAGGGGGCAUUUCGUCACGUCAGUUUGAUUAAUCAAGUUUGAUGGUGGGAGUUCUAACUUUUGAAUAGGAUAUAUCUCGAGCUAUGCUGCGUACUUGUAUGACAAUCUGGUCAAGACAGAUGGAGUAGAAAUUGGAGAAAGCAAAAAGACUAGGAGGGUCAGGGGAGCUACAUCCAAGUAUGUUGGGUUCCUAUAUGACUUAAUAUUUUCGUAAUUCAAAGUUGUAAGAACUUAGAAUUAGAUGCCUAGCCUUGGUAGUCGUUGAUGUCUAUUCUCACCGAAAAAAUUUAGAGAGGAGAUUUUUUCUCUGGAAACAUCUUAAUGCUUCGGUCAUCAUAUUGUCUUCUGGAUAUGGAGAAUGUUUUGAGUGCACUAUAGUACUAGAGCCAAUCCUUGAAUGGUUUCUCUUAAGAUCCUAAGUUGUAAAUACUAUUACACUUGUAAUCCUCACCUGAAGUAAUUUUCCGUGCAUCCACUUCGCCUUGAGGUUCCAUAAUUGAACAAAAAGGUUUGUUUUUUGAUGAUAUUGGAUUGGAGGCUGCCAACAAGAUAUAGACUCCCUUGCUUUAGAUGACCUACUAGCUCAAAAAAGCCCAUAUCGAGUGACUAAUAUCCCUCAGUUAUUUUGUACAGUUAUUACAUUUUCCCUCACUUCAUAAAUUUUGAUUAACAUUUUGUUGGUUAAUGUCUAUCCUCUAUCUUUCCUCUUCUUCUAUUAAUUUUACUGGGACAAAAUAUUCUCUCUCUCUCUCUCUCUCUCUCUCUCUCUCUCUCUCUCUCUCUCUCUCUCUCUCUCUCUCUCUCGUUUACAAUGAAUUCACUUUCUUUGCACAUUUCAAUGUGUGUCGUCAAUACUAGCUUCUCUUAAUCAUUCUAGUCUGCUCCAGGUAAAUGUGUAACAUCAUUAUGCCGGUGUCCUGAUGGCAAGGUUGUUGUCUUGGGACUUGAAGACGAUACAGUUUUACUGCAUGAUGUCGAAGUAAGUUUUCUAUGUUGUUACUUGAACUACGUUUUCUAUGUUGUUACUUGAACGUUACCCUCAUUACUUCUCAACUAGAUAUUCCUCCUGAAACGUUCCUUUAUCAUCAAAACGUGUUUUUCUCUAGUCUCUCUUGGGAAAUUCUGAAUUGCUCAAAAUCUGCAUGAUGCAAUGCAAACAACAAACUUGCUAACUGAACAUUCAGCUGCUAAUAGAGGUGGCACUCCAUUUUUAUUGGUCAUGUCCCUCAAUGUCAAGUUAACAAUGGAUUGGUAGAUAGGUCAAUCUGAGCAGGAUAAGAUUAACAAAAAAUUUUAUUAGAAAAUUCUAUUUGAACAUGACCCAUUUGUUAAAUAGGCAAGAGAUGUAUAACCUGUUUAACUAAUUUGAUUGAAUUGAAUGGGUCAUUCCCAUCCUAACAUGACCAACGUGACAUAUGUACCAUAUGCAUAUCUUCAUCAAUGUCAAAUAAGUUUGAAAAGGGACUAGCCAUAAGCUUACAAACUACAUGAAAUGUUUUAUUUAUAUGGUGUGAUCAAAUCAUAAUAUGUAACAACUAAGGAAACCAAAUUUAUGUAUGAUUUUUUAUUAGAGAACUUACUAAACUAAAUAUAAACAGGUCAUGAUAGGUCAGGUUGUUGAUCAAGUUGGCUCUAUCAUUUAGUUAUAUAGAUUACAUGAGUCAAUCUGUCUUUGCGGUUUGAACUUUGAACAUGGAACAAUAUUCGUUUAUUAAUUAACUGUUAAGUAGGUAGCCUCACCUAAGUGGUCACAUGGAAAUGUGAGUCAUGAAUAAAAAAAUUAAAUCUUUCGAUUGUGGAUCGUGAUUUUCAUCCAAUGGAAUCAUAAAAUCUGAUAUAAUGUUUGAGAUUGGUAUUCCAUGACAUAUGUAAAUUAAUUAUUAGAUAAUAACUAAUCACAAAGAUACUUCAAAUUCAACUAAUUUUAUUAUCUCCAGACAUGAAAUAUUGCUACAAAUUAUUUUUCUUUUGCCCAAUGAGUACCCAUUUGACUGCAAGGACGCAAAGAUCUUAUACAUGGUAUUGUAAUUGGAAUCCCAUUCAUAGAAUUGAGUAUGAGACAAUCAAAACAUCCACUAAGCCUGAUGCAGCCAACAAAAUCAUGCAGGAUGACUACCAAGUUUUUGGUGAAGAUUGACUUUAAAACUCAAACAAGGGUCAGGAUUCUUCUUGAAGUUUAAUCACUAAAAUUAUCAACUAGGAUUUGAGUAUUAUUAGGAUUUUACAAAAUUUCCUUUUCUUUCUUUUUUUAAGCUUGCAUAGUAGGAUCUUGCGUAUACUCCAAUAAUGUUUCUUGUUAUUGAACUUGGCAAGUGUUUGCUUUGCAGAUUGUGUGAUGCAAUUCAUCUUUGGCAUGAUGCUUAAGAAACCCUGGGUGUGUUGCUUGGGCAAUUUUGCAUGUGAUGCUUAAAUAUUUAUUCUUUAUUGUGGGACUCAGUCCUAUAUCAAAGCCGUGAAAUGUUUUUGACAUUACAUUGUUGAUACAUGCGUUAAAUUAUGAAUCAAGGAAAUUGAUUGACUCAUAUCUAAUCAGUGAAAUCAGCAGUGAGUUACUUUAAUCACAUAUCAUACAGAAUUAAUAUGCUCAUUUAAUAGAUUUAUAUACUUUAGGAGUUGAAUCUUAUUGAUGUGUUCAAUUGCAUUCUCGUGUAGGACAAGAUUUUUACUUCGCUGCUAAUGUUGUCAUAGAUGGUUGAGACUAUUUCAAUUGUCAACGACAAAUUACAGGAUAGUGUGUGCUGGGGUCCAGCUUGUGGUGAGAAUCUACAUCUAUGGUCUAGGUGGAAGGUGCUGUACUGAAGCAUUCAUUCAUGACAUGCUCAUUUUCAUGAAAGUUAAUAACUUCUUUCAAUUGUUAUAAAUUUGUUCAGUUCAGUCAAAUUAGGAAGGUAAUAAUUUAGGUGAUCCUUAAAUGAUGGGAUUUGUGUGUGCCUCAAUUAUGCUCGUGGGUGGAAAAGUUUGUAAAUAACUGGUUAUGUUUUUAUCAAGCCAUAGUGGCUUGGUCAUGAGUAGAAUGGCUGAGUACAUGGCUGAGGAUGCUGCAAUUCUGUUUCUUUGAGAUUUCUACCAUUUUAUGACUAAUCAUCCACUGCUUGGAUUGCAGUCAAUCAAUAUAGAUGGAUCCGAAAUCUGAUUUAAAUCUAAUAUAGCACUUAUGGAUCCACAAGAAUUGCUGAGAAGAGAAGUUUAUACAUAAUGAAUGUUACUUACCAAAGUAGCUGUCUUUAUGGAACUAUAAAUGUGCAGGGUGCUGCUUUUGACAUGCUAGUGCUUGCAGCAGUUAUGCACACUAUGGUAUAAUCAUUCUAACAGGAUAUAAAUAUGAAGCAGAAUGGAAAACUCUUGAGAAGAUUGAAGUAUGGCAGUUGGGGUGUGUCUCAACUGGAAGGAGGAUGCCUAAGUGAAUGGAGUAUGGCAUCUUUCAACUUAAAAGUUGGUACGAUUUUGUGAUCUUUAUUACCAAUAGCAGAUAUCUUAUGGCUCACACCUUUCAUAAAGCUUCGUUUGCAGUUAAGUAGUUAUUUUAGUGUGGUGUUCUUAAAUACUUCUUUUUCAAACUUAGAAUCUUAUUUCACAGUCCAAUAGCUUUAGUAUGGGUUUAUGGAAGAUUUUUUGGAUGCGUAUGUUUGGCGUCAUCUGUAACUUGUUGAUUUGUUCGACUCUUUAGCUCUGAUCUCAUAUUUUUUCACCUUUUUAUUUUCCAACUGGAAAGUAAUUAUUCAUUUGUUUUAUACAAUGCUUCUGGUAACUCUUUGGCAUUUGAAGAUCGCACUACUCAAUUCUUCCCUCCAGCUCCAGGAGUUCCUCGAAUGCCUGGACUAGUACCCGGAGAUGCUGGUUUAACUAACAAGGUUCAAGAUUCAUUUGUAGAGCUCUCAAAUUCUUCAAAGCAAUGUUUGCAUAGCCUUUGCAGUGGAGAUAUAGAUGGGGUUUUGCACUUUCGUAUUUUUGGUGUCUUCCCAAUCGAAAAUAUUGUCAGUGUCUUGUCUGUUCAAAUCAAAUAUUUAGCUAUAAGGUCUGUCAUAUUCAGUAAAUGAGUCCUUUCCUUGUUCUUGCUUCUCAUACAUCAAUUUUUCUUAUUAAAGGGAUUUGAUGGUGGAUUGAUAGCAAAUCAUUAUUGCUCGGGAAGUAAUGGGCUGGUUAAGUAAACAAAUAUUCCUAGGCGAGGUUAUGCUUGUAAAAGUUCCUAGAUGUUUAUGCCAUUUCUUAGGCUAGAUUUCACUUCUGUUGGUCACUUCAGAGAUGACACUUCCAAUUUCGAUACUUGAUACUAAACACUUAUCUGACGCUUUUUGUUGUUUGGCCUGAGGUUGGCCUGCCUUGCAUACUUAUUGCUCCUCUCCCGACUAUUGGCAUUCUGCUCUAUACUAGGAAGAUUGAGAGAGCCUGUGAAGCUCUUCCCUUACCCAGCAAGUAUAAUUCAGGCCAAAGACAUUGCAGAAGCCUUAGUCCAGACUUCAUGAGAAAAUUUACUUGAAGGGCCAUGAUGUUUGUCAAACUUUUGCACGAUAUGAUGUUGGAAAAACAAGUGUGAAAAAAUGAACAUCACAAAUAUAAACAUAAAGCAAUAUUUACGGCACUAAAUAGCAUGCAUAUACUGAAUUAAUAAUAUGAUAAAAACGUAAAGUCAUUACAUUGCCUUUUAAUAACAAUACUGUGUUGAAUUCGAUAAAAUUGUGUUAGUUGUCAUUUGAGGUCAACUUUAAUACAUCAAAUUGAUAAUGGACUAUUGUAUAUAUUAAUAGGCUGAAUAUGUUAGUAUUGCAAUAGUUGACAUGGUAAAUACACCUAAUACUCUUCUAUUAGAGUGGUAAAAAUGCAUAGGCUGAUAUAUUACAUUCAUGUUUGGUGCCUCUUAUAUUGGACGCAUUUUAGGCAAAGUACUCUCAACUUACGAGCUAGAGUUGACUAGCUUUAGAGAAUAAUGCAAUUAAGCUCUUGAAUUGAUGUGAUAAUUUAGCAGUUAUAAAGUAUUGUAGAUCAAUAGUAUGAGCAGGAGUGCUUGUGAAAUGCAGAAUUUACACUUCACAAUUUCAAGUAUCGAUGGUUUAGUUUGGAUUGGUGGUAUUUAAAUAGCAUUGAUUAUUCAAGUGGAUAUUGGAAUAAAGUUUCUUUCUAUUGAGCAUACAAAAUGCUUCACUUCUUGUACCAAUCAAGUUGAAUAACAAUAUUAAUAUGCUUAGAUAUAUUUUGAGUGACUAGUAAAAUCUAUUUAACAUAUUUUCAAAUAGAGUUACCCUCAUUAUUUAAUGGGAAUAGUCUACAUAAAAUAAAUUGUUGGAUGAGAAUAAUAUGGCUAGGUGUAUUUUGGAUGGUAAAUACAACCUAUUAUAUAUAUUUUUUUUGGUAAAUAAAAUGGUGGCUAAAGUACCCAACUACUUUGGGGAUUGAGCAUCAAGGAUUUCUUCCCUUCCAACAAGGGCUUUUUGCUAGGAUUUGAACCCUUGCCCAUUGGCAGGUGAAGUCCGUGCGGGAUUAGCAUGCUACCACUAGACCAACCCUUUGUUGGGUUAUUUUACAUUUUCAUUAAAAUAGCUACCCUCAUUAUUUAAGAGGAACUGCAUGCAUUUAUGUUAAAGUGUUAUUUAAAAUGCAAUUUAAUAUAAAUGAAUUAACAUUUCGUGUAUUAGUUCCAUUCAAUAAUAUAAAUAUUUGAAUUAGCACACAUUACAAUUUAGGUGUUGAAGGAAUAUUGCAAGUGCUAAACUAAACCAAGCAAAAAAAAUUUGGAAAAAAUUGAAAAUUUUAAUUUACUAAUUUGGCUUUGGGUUGAUUAUGAAAGUGUGACAUCAAUAAAUUUGAGUAACUUUGUAAUUAAGUAGAGAAAGAAUUGGUGGGCUAGCCACUCCUUUGCAAUAAGAAGUGAACAAAAACUUGGUAGAGAAGAGCGGUAGCCUCUGGAAGGAAAAGGAUUCUUGAGCCGAGCCACCGGGAGUGGGGUAGAAAUAAACUCAUCACAUGCAAUCUAAUUACAAAUAUGCCCCUGGAUGAUAAAAAGAGAUGAAGCUCCUCCACUUUUUCUUUCCUCUUUUUAUACGGUCCUAAUUCUUUAAAAACUCUCAAAUUUUAGGUUCAAUUUUAAUUUUAUCCCAAUUUUUUUUUUCAAAAACCCUCAACUUAAAACCAAAUGCUAUAUCAACCCUCAAUUUUUUUCAUCUAAAAAAGUUUUUCAAAUUUUAUAUACCGUCCCAAAUUUUUUUUGAAUAGCAGCAAAAACCUUGAGGACAAGAUCAAGAGAGUAAUUUCCAUUUUGACAAGGGCGCAAUCUCGCCAUUCAGAGAUCGAAAUUCAUGGCCAAAGAAGACAAGAAAAUCUAGGCAUGAAAAAGCAGAGGAUUCUCGACCGAGUGGGUGGGGCAUUUUUCCGCAUACCAUAAUUGCCAAGGGGAGCUUGAAAAAGAAAAAAAGAUGGAGCUUUUCUUCCGGACCAAGAAAAGGAGAUAAAGAGAGAGGCUGUGGUCGGCAAAGGAGAAAACUUUGACAAAGAAAAAUUGAUAAAGUGGCCUGCAAUGGAAAAGAAAGAAAAGGAAGGACAGAGGAGGUGAAAAGAAAAAAUGAAGAGAGAGAGAGAGAGUUGUCAGGGCACGCGUGAAAAAACAACAAGGAGCAAAAAGUUGCAGUCUCAUUGAAAAUCUACUUUUGCAGCGUUUGCAUUUCCUUGAAAGUUCGCUUUUCCUAUGCAUUGAAACUUCCACCGGUUGCAGGCGACGGCCAUAAAUGCAUGUCUAAUGGUUCGGUCAAUGAAUUACUAAUUUAUAUUCAGUUCGGCAAAUUAAAAUUAUUGAUCCAUAUCAACUAAUUAGAUUAGAUAAAUCAAAUUAAUAAUAUAUAUAUAUGAAGUAAAGUAAAAGAAAAAACAUAUUUUGAUUUAUUUAUGAGAUUUGAAGGAGAAAUUAGGACAAAACCUGAGCAAAAAAUAAAUUUUUGUCAUUGUGUUACGGUACUAAAUGAAUAUAUAUUUAUAUAUACACACAUACAUUUAUGCAUGUUAAUAUUUUUUUAUGAUCCUCAACACGCAUUGAUAACAUAAUUUUUUAGAAUAAGCUAUCAUUAAUAAUACAACAUUUCAGUAUGAAAAUGAAGAUUUUAGGUAACAUAUAUUAGGCUCAAAGUAAGAGGGAUAACUUCCUAAGUGUGAUAAAGAGCUGAAAUAUAUUUAACCAAAAACACCUUUUCCGAUGGAAAAUAAAUUAACAAAAGAAAGAGGAAAGUUGGACGGUGCAAGCGGUGGACUAAGCGUGCCCUCUUCAUUGUCCUGACACUUUGUAUGUUUUCAUCUACUGUGAGCACUUGUGUGGAAAAUAUUGGACCGGACGAAUCUCUCUCUCCACUUUUAAUUUUCUCCAGCAAAUCCAUGUGACGGGGAUGUGAGGGAAGCAGUGCAAAGGAACAUGAAAGAGUCAUGGAGUUGAAAAGUCUACUUGGAAAAGAAGUAAGAUUAGAGGAAAGACAAAAAAUUACGGAGCAAUUGUUUUCAGAGUGGUCUCCACCUUCAAAGACGUGUAGCAAGGGCUAUGAAAAUAUCUAUCUCUGUACCAAUUCUUAUUCAACGUUGGCUGCUCUUUAAUUAGUCCAAUAAAUAAUAAAAUUUAUCAGUGGCCCAUGCAUCUGAAUGUUUCUUGUCUAGAUGGAUUCAAGUGGUUGUCCAUGUCCUAUUUUAUAUUUAGAAAAACUUCCCACUCUAUUUGUCAUCAUAUUCAAUUACUAGCAAAAUUAAGGCAGAUGUGUGUAAAAGUCAUGUAUCAUUGGAAGUCCUUUCGGUCUAUUCUUCAUUAUAGACUAUAUUUAUUAUGGGUCUAAUUCAAUGCCAUUGGCUGCUUAAUAGGAUCAAGAGUCUAAAUAUAUUCAACAAAAGUAACUUUUCUGAUGAAAAAUAAAUUAAAAAAAGAAAAGGAAAUUUUUUAUUUGGGUCCUAAAAAAAAAGUUCAAUGGUGCAGCAAUUGUCUCGAUCCUUUGUACGUAUUCAUCAAUUAUGACCAUUUUCCACGGAUAUCAAUAAAGUAGUUGUCUUUUAUUUUUUAUUUUACUUUUUUUAAUUGCUUUUGCAUCGAAACUUGCUCACAUGUUAUUUUCUUCCGGGCAAGAUCGCCUUGGAUUCUCCUAUCCAUCAAAACUUCCCCACCAUGAAGGCAAAGACUAUAAAUGCACGGUCAAUGGUCCCAGUCAACAGAUUAGUAAUCAAUAUCUACCUCCGCAAGUUUGAAUUAUUGCUACGUGCCAAUUGAUCGAAUGAGAUAAAUCAAAUCAAUAAAGAUAUAUAUAUAUAUAUAUAUAUUAUAUAAUAUAAUAUAAAGAAGGGGAUAAGUGAAAAGGUAUUUUGAUUAAUUUAUGAAAUUUGAAGGGAAAAUUAAGACAGAACCAUAGCAGAAGAAAUUCUUCUUAUUAUGUUUGGGUACAAAAUAAAUAUAUAGUAUGUUGAUAAUUGCAUGUGUUAACUCAUUGACCUUAUAAGUAUUGAAAUGAAGUUUAUCGAUUUAACAUUAUAAUAUUUAAUAGGCUUAAAGUGAGAGAGAUUAAAUUUUUAAGUGAGAUCAAGAGCUUAAAAAUAUUCAAUAAAAAUACCAUUUCCAGUGAAAAAUAACUUAACAAAAGGAAAAGGAAAGUCCAGUGGUGCAAGCAAUGGACUAAGUUCAACGAAGACUCGUCCCAAAUCUCUCUCCACUUUUCUUCUUCCCAACAAAUCCACCGUUAUGUGGGUAUUGAAAUUUUAUCGGACCUUGUCUAUUAAAAUGUUAUUUCAGAUCAACUCUUGUUUACUUCACAGCCUCACAAUACCCUUACUUUCACAGCUUCACAACUUCAAAAUUGAAUUUCGCAAUAUAAAUUUCAUAUAAUUUUUUAAUUUGUACUGUAAUUCCAAAAACCACUCCAAUUAGACGAACAAAUGGCUUAAAUCCUUAUUCGGCACACCGUGAAUGGAAGUAAAUCUAGGGGAGAUCUGCAUGCAAAACCCACUCUCUUUUCAUUUUCUUUUUUUCUUCUUUUUCCUUUCUUUUCGUUUCUCUCCUGGUGCGUGCUCCCCCUUUUCCCUUUGCAUCUCUUAAAACCCUCAAAUUGUAGGUUCUGUUUUAAUUUUGUCCCAAACUUUUUUUUAUCUCAUAAAAUCCUUAAUUUUAGACUAAAUGUUAAAUCAUCCCAUAAUUUUUUUGUCUUAAAAAAUUUUGAACUUUGUAUUUAGUUUCAAAUUCGCCCCGAACAAGGGCAAGAACCUCAAGUAAAAAGAAGAGUGGUGGCCUCAAGUGAAGUAAGGACUGGUAGGACCCAGCCAUCGGGCAAAGGGAUAGAUAGAAAAAUAAAUGCUAUUUAAUUUCAUAUCCGCCCCGUGAUUAAAAUGAGUGAAGCUCCUCGAUUUUCUCUUCCCUUUUUUAUAUGGGUCUGCUCUCCUGAAACCUCUCGAAUUUUAAAUCCAAUUUUAAUUCUACCCCAAAACUUUUUAUCUAAAAAAAAUCUUUAACUUUGGAUUCAGUCGUAAAUCUUGGAUUCAGUCGUAAAUCUACUCCCAAUUCUUUUCUCUGAAAAAUUCAAAAUUAAUGUCCAAUAAAAAAUAUGCCGACAUUUUUUUAUCUGAAAAAAAUCAAUAACCAAUCUCAAAUUUACCUCAUUAAUCCUACGCUAGACAAUAUUGUUACUUGUUUGACGUGGCAAUAAAAAAUCCACUUUUAAAAAAAUGACAUGGAAAAUUAUAUCCAAAAUGAAACUGUGUUUGAUUAGAAAAUUGGGAAUCAGUCCACCUAGAUUAGUUCACUAAUCCAAUUCACUAGCAAAAAAGGGCACACAAAUAUGUGAUUGAUUUAGAUUAUCUAGGGAAAUGAAUUUAAUUUCUUCAAGGGUCGAAAGCAUUUAAUCAAUCUAAUGAAUAUGUUUUUGAUUAGUUUUGUCGCUAAAAAAUUUAUUAGGAUUAAAAUCUAAUUCACAAGAAUAUGAUGAUCAAAAGUUUACUGUCUUAGAACAUUUGUGCAUAUAAUCACCAUAUAAGCGUGUACAUAGGAGCUUGUACCCUUCUAGAUUAUCAUUUUGUCGAAACACAGUAAUAAAAUCAUCUUAUAACAUGCAAGAGCAUGACCAUUUCAUAAUAUUAAAGAAAAUAAAGUCAAAUUUAUUGAUUUCGAAAUAUAUAUAUAUAUAUAUAUAUAUAUAUAUAUAUAUAAACUCAACAUAUUUGAAAUUAAAUACUUUAUUCUAAAAAUGAUAAUAAUCCGAAAGAUGAGACUACUUUUGAUACUAUGUAGGUAAGGAAAUAGCUCUAUAAACUUUGUGGAAUUUUUUGACCAAAAAAACUUUGUGGAGUUAGAAUUAUUUAAGUUUCUAUGGUUAAAAAAGCUUUAUUUAAGUUCUAAACAUUAUCUAUUUAUACAAAUAUAAAACUGAAAACUUGAGAAUUUCUUGUGCUCUCUCAAAAAAUUCACUAUAUCUUUAUUGGGUUUGUUUGUUUUACUAAAAGUAUUUUACCAAAAAGCAUUUUCCUGAUUUUCAAUCAUUUAAUUCUUUAAAAAAGAUUUGAUCAACGAAAAAUAUUUUAUCGUCAACACAAAUAUUAUGUAUUAAUUUAGAAAAACGAAUUCCUCCUCCUCAGCUGAAAAUACUUUCCCUUUUCACCUUCUCACCUUUUCUCUCCAGACUCUCUCGCUUUUCUUGAGGUACGCGGCUCUCUCCCUUCGAUCUUUUGCUCAUCUUUCUUCCUCGGUUCUUCUUCAACGACGCACAUCUUCUUCGCCAUUGAAGGUCCUGAUCUUCUUCAUCAUUGACGGUCUGGAACUUCUUCAACGACGCUCAACACGGUUCCAGGUUCUUUCGCUUUUUCUGAGGUAUGCUGUUCGCUCUCCCUUCGAUUUUUCGCUCGCCCUUCUUCUUCGGCUCUUCUUUACCGACGCUCAUCUUCUUCACCGUCGCCGUCCCCUUCCCUUCCCUUCCCCCGCCGAUUUCUUCGAAAUUCCGCUCGUCGUUCCGAGAGUCGUCCCCUUCCCCUCGUCGAAAUCUCUCUUCCGUCCCGAAGUCUCGUGUCCAUGGAGAACCUGGAGUACCCGCUGCUGUCCCCGGCCUUGAACGGUUCCGCGGUGAAGGACCUGUAUUUGUAUAAGAAGGAGUUCAGUUUGCUCCCGAAGUGGGUCGGGGAGCUGCGGAGGCUGAAGACUCUGAGUUCGCUCUCUACUUAGUAACUGUCGCUCUCUUCGUGCGGCCUCUUCGGUCCAGCCCUGCUUGAUCUUUUGGUGGCGAUCUGUUCUAGAGUCCUUGCGCUUUUAAUGGGUGAUCGCCUGUGGAGACAGCUAUUUCUGGAUCCAAGAGUGAUCUAAAGAUCCCAAAAAAAAAAAAAAAGUGAUCAUCACGAUUUCCUUUUGAGUUCGACCUGAUUGUUUCUCGGCCUUUUGGUUCCAUGGGUUCUGCGAUCGCUAUUCCUAUUAGCUAAUUCACUUGAUGAAUGGCCUGAAAUGUAACCGGAAAUCAUGUCCAUUUUCAGGAAAAAAAAAAACGUGUACGAAUUCUGGUUUCCUUUUCAUUUUUCAUUUUGCAAGUUCAACUUCUAGAUUAACUAAACCAAUCGAGAAAAAUCCAUUUAUUAAGUAUCAUAGACUCAACAAAUUAAUUUGAAAAUAAGAGGCACCAAAUGUCAUUUAAUCAUUUUUCAAAUACAAUCUAAAUAUCAGAAAAUAUUGUCAGUCAAAACUUUAGUUUUUCUGGAAAAUGAUUUUCCAAAAAAUAUUUCUUAAAAAUAUUACAUUUUUCAUGAAAUAAACACAACUAUUAUCCAAUGCCAUAAAAAUACCUCCACGCAUCUUUCAUAGUUCGUUAAUGUUCCAGGACGAAGGAAAAAUGGUUCUGAUUGUGGGGCUUGCAUUUAUGCCAAAAGUAUUAUUUUUUCACAAAAAAGAAACAGGAUUUAGGCCUCAUCUAUUUUCUCUUCUUCCCAGUUUUAGGCUAACCGUGAGGUUUCAUUUUUAGUGACCCGUUUUAUUAGAUCAGGUGGGCUCCGGCCCUGGCGCUGGUUCCAAAGAUUAGUAAUUAGUUUAGUUCUUGAUUACAAAAAUUAGUAAUUAGUUUAGUUCUCGAUUGUACAUAGGAUUAGACAUGGAAUCGACCAUUCUAAUUUACUGUAUCAGAAUAGCAAUUCUCUUUUAUUUUUGGUUUUAUUUUUUGUCAUUCCUGUGCACCGAAACUUGCUCACAUAUUAUCUUCUUCCCAAGUAGGAUUGCCUUGAAUUCUCCACCGCAUUAAAACUUCCACCACAUGAAGGCAAUGCGUGAAUAUAAUUGGUGCAUGCCAACCAGAUAAAUCAAAUCAAUAAAAAAGUUAUAUGUAUGAUAAAGAAAAGCAAAAGUAAGAAGGCAUUUGGAUUUAUUUAUGAGAUUUGAAGGAUAAAUUAAGGUUUGACAGAAAAAAAGAAGGGAAAAUUAAGGUAGAACAAGAACCAAAAAUACAUUAUAUAUUUAUUUAUUUUGUAUCCGAGCACACGUAAAUAAUACAAUUUUUUUAGAAUAAGUGAUUGUUGUAAUACAACAUUUCAGUAUUAAAAUGAAGUUUAUUAGUUUGAUGGUAUAAUUUUUAAAAGGCUUAAAAUAAGAAGGGUAAAUUCCAUAUGAGAUUACGACCAAAAAAAUUCGUAAGUGGAAUCAAGAGCUGAAAUAUAAUUAACAAAAAUACCUUCUCUUAUGGAAAACAAAUGAGAAAAAGAAAAGGAUGGUUCGACGGUGCAAGCAAUGGACUAAGCAGGGGACUCUUCACUGCCACGACGCUUUGAUGUUUUUUAUAUAUUCCGAGCACUUGUUUGGAAAAUAUCGGACAGGACGAAACUCUCUCUCUCUCUCUCUCUCUCUCUCCCAUCUUUCGUCUUCUCCUGCAAAUCCCUGUCACAGCCUCAUCAUAAGUUUCUCUACGCUUUUCAUCUUCCGAACAAAUCCACCGCUUCGUGUGUAUUGAAAUUUUAACAGACCACGAUAGAAGAGGCAAGAAGGCAUUUCCUGUUUUCUGAGGGGCAUUCUGGUUUUUUUCUCCGUUAGGGCUUGAAAGCUGAACUCAAUGGCAGAGUCAGAGGCCGAAAUGCAUCGUCUCAUUAAGAAGAGGAAAACUAAUGCGAGUGGAAAUGCAGAGGAUGUUGAUACUGGUGCAUCUGGUUCAAUGACUGUGCUGACGGAAACUAAUUUCGUUGGAUCUGGUUCGUCUCCGACAGAAAGUAACAAUAAUGCAUCGACUGGAAACUGCUAUGAGGUGUUCUUGAGUUUCAGAGGCCUAGAUACUCGAUAUGGCUUCACUGAUCACCUCUACGAUGGGCUCCUUAGAGCCGGAAUUCACACUUUCAGAGACGAUGAUGAGCUUUGCCAUGGCGAGGACAUCAGACCAGUGCUUAUGGAAGCCAUCACGAGCAGUAAGAUCCUGAUCCCAAUUUUCUCAGUGAAUUAUGGUACAAGUAGUUGGUGCCUAGAUGAACUGGUUCAAAUAAUGGAGCGCAAGAAUAAUAACGGGCAGAUAGUGUUGCCUAUAUUCUACAAAGUGAAACCAGCCGAAGUGCGAUAUCAAACCGGGAGGUUUGGAGAGGUAUUUCAUGAGCGCGAGAGUCGUUUGCGUGAGAGGUCUUCUUUCGACCCAACGACUUUGGAGAAAUGGAAGUCAGCACUUGAUGAAGUCAGCACCUUGAAAGGAUACGAAGCCCUAGGGUAAAAUUUCUCACCAAAACAUUCUCUAUUUUCUUUUAAUAUGUGUGGGUGUUUCCUGGUUGUUCUAAGUCCUUUUUUUUUUGUGUUAGUAUGUUGGUUGUUCUAAUUCUCACCUGCUUCAUUUUACAUUCUUUUUUUAUAUAUAAAAAAACUGUAAGAUCUUGCUGGCAGUAAGAUCCUACGGUGCAUGAAUUCUAUAAGUUAUUCUUUCUUUUUUAGUUUUCUGCUUUAACCAUAUUGACCAAUCUAAUUAUAAAUUUUAUUGUUAUGAUCCCAUUCACUUGCAUAAUAAGAUUUUUUGAAUGAAAUUUUACUCUUAUAUCAUAAGAUUUUGUAAUAGUAUAAGAUGAUGGUAAAUUUUUUUUUGCUUUAACGAAUUUACUCUUAUAUCAAAAGAUUUUUUACUCUUACACCCCAUUCACUUAAAUAAAUUUUAUUGCUUUGAUGAUAUUGACCAAUCUAAUUAUAGGGUACGUUACAUUAAUCUUCAUCACAAAAUUUUCUAAUUACAUAUUUAUUUGAGAUUAAUAGUACAACUCAUUGGUGAUUAGAUGGUAGCGUUCAAGCUUUGCUAUAAUUCUUUAUCUUCCCAAGUUACAGUUAUUAAAUCAUUGAUAAAGUUGAUUAGUUAUUAUUAAAAUUAUUUUACAAAAGAAAUGUUUCAUUGGUCAUAUAAGAUGAUGACCAAAAAAUGAUUAUUUUUAUUAUGUCUGUUUAAAUAAUUUUCAAAGCAUUUCCUAUCUUCAACAAGUAAUUUCUAUCUCAUGCAUCUGCAUAUAUUGAAGCAAUGUUCUUUUUUGGGUAAAAAUUAUUCUUCUACUUCCCUAUAAACUCAAUACUAGAUCAUUAAAGUCAUAGAACAUGGAUACUCAAAAGGAAAAUAAAGUACAACUUGUAAUCAUACCUAGAGGCAAUGAAAACUGAUAAGAGCACCUAUCUAGAAUGAUUCUAAAUUCACAACACAAGUUAAACUUGCAAGCCUGUAGAAUUGCACAAACAAGAAGAAAUCCCUUCAAUUGCAUUCAAGUAGUUCACAAUAUCACAAUUUGAACAACUUUUUGGAUUGGUGUUACGGGACUUGAAUUCAUCUUGCAUCAAAAGUUAUGACUUGUUUAUUAAUUGAUAGCUAACUCUCAUAUUGGGCUGGCUCAUAGGAUUUUUGCUAUUCAAAUGCUCUAAACAAUUUUUAAAGUCACAUCCACAUCAUCCCUAAUAUCUUUAAUAAAAAACCAGUUUAAAAUUUGGUUCAAAUCCAUAAUAUAUACAAUAUUUAAGAUUCAUAAGUGAUACCCUCAAGUUUUUCCUGGCUUGAUAAAUUAUGUUGGAGUAACAGUGAAAUGGGGCACCCCAUUUGAAGCAACCACACUUUAGAUAUCAUUAUAUAUAGAGGUAUGACAACAGUGAUAUUUAAAUUUUUUCAAUCUAUCCCCAGAUUUAUUAUGUUCCCUAUAGAUAAACAAUAUAAAAUUAUUGUUGCUACAUAUUUGAACUCAUGUCACAUUUGACAGGUCUGAAGUAGAGUUGGUGAAAUUGAUCGUCCGAAAAGUGUUGAACGAACUGAAGAAAAAGUUUGACUUGGAUAUUUCUAAGAAUUUGGUCGGAAUUGAUGUUCAUGUGAAGAAGGUUAUGGAAUUUGUGGAUAACAAAUCUCAUGACACCCUAUUUGUUGGCAUCCACGGAAUGGGAGGCAUUGGUAAGACUACGCUUGCCAAAGCCAUCUACAACAGGCUUUUCGAUCAAUUUGAGCAUCAUAGCUUCAUUGCUGAUAUAAGGGAAUUGUGGAAGUGUAACGGCGUACAUUAUUUACAGAAUCAGUUAAUCUAUGAUAUAUUGAAGUUGAAAGAUGAAGUUUCUAAUGCGGAUGCAGGGACUAAGUUCAUCUCUUCCAAAUUUAAAAGUAAAAAGGUCCUUGUUCUUCUUGAUGAUGUGGAUGAUGUUGUUCAGUUGCAAAGUUUGAUUGGUAAUCGUGAUUGGUUUUCUUCGGGAAGCAAGAUCAUUAUUACCACCAGAAACAAGAGGGUUCUUGAAGAAGCUGGGGUGGACCAUGACUAUGAACAUAAGGAAAUGGAUGACAAUCAAUCUUUGAUUCUGUUUAGCAAACAUGCAUUUCGAAGGGACUCUCCUCCGAGGGAAUUUGAGGACCUCACUCUUGAAGCUGUAUCCAUCACUGGAGGGCUUCCCUUAUCCGUUGAGGUUUUUGGUUCAUUAUUGUAUGGAAAAAAGUCAAGACAGUGGAGAGAUACGAUAAAGAAGUUAAAAAAAGUCCCUCCUAAGAAAGUGCAAGAAAAGUUAAGAAUAAGUUACGAAGCAUUGGACUAUGGACAAAAACAAAUUUUUUUGGAUAUUGCUUGCCUUUUCAUUGGCACUAACGACAUAAUCGCAUCCUACAUGUGGGAUGCUUGUGAUUUUUACCCAGGGGAGGGAAUUGAUGUAUUGAUACUCAUGUCAUUGAUAAAAGUUGGAGAUGAUCAUACACUUAGAAUGCAUGACCAAUUGAGAGAUCUUGGUAGGGAAAUAGUUCGUGAGGAAAACCAACGAGAGCCUUGGUGCCGUACCAGGUUAUGGGACUAUAAGGAAGCCCAAAAAUUGCUAAAGGAAAAUAAGGUAACCGUUUCGUUUCUUGUUCCCAUUUAGUCCAUGUUCUAUGCUUAACAGUAUUGUUGGCACUACUUAGUGCUUGGUCUAGAGGACUGAGAACCUUCACUAUUGCCCCCGAAUUUUUCAUUGACGUGAUUAGAAAGUAGGGAGUUGCUCUCUUAUAGAAAGAAUUUCCUCUUAUGGUUUUUCUGUCAUAUAUUAAUAUUCCCUAUCACAUGAAAUUAAGUGUAUGUUGCAAUUUAUAUACAUAUUAAAUCUCUUGUUUGAUAUAUUAAUUAGUAAAAUCUUGUAUAUCACGCAUGACUCUUUCUCUUGAAAAAUGGCCCUCUUCGUUGAAAAUCUUUGUUUCUCUUUCGAGAUGACUUUCACAAUUUUCAUGUUCUCGUAUUAUGUUAAGUCAAUCCUUUUAAUAAAAACCACUUCACAUAGAUUUUUUUUUUUUUUUAGAGCCAGGUUACUUAACAGGUACUCCCAAAAUACCUUCAGACAAAAUCUAGAGGCUGAAGCAAAAGGGCGAGAUAGAUUGCUCGCCGCAACUAAUGAAAAAUCAAAAGUAAAUAUCCUGCUCUCCCGUCAAAUGAUCAAAUGAUACUCAGAUUCCAGAAAACUACUAAAAAAAUAAUCAUGUAAAAUUCGGCGUGUCGACAAGUUUCGCGGAUAUAUCACCCAAAAAAAAAAAAAAAUUGGCCAAAGUGCAUGCUCUGAGAAAAAACAAAAGAUGAAGAAUAAAAGUUACUCAAAACAAGCCUUUCUGAGUUAUUUCAAUUAUCCGAAUCGAUGGUGAGAAAUUAAUUUCUUUUAUCAAAAACAGUUAGGCCGGGAUAUCAUGGCCUCUUUAUUUUCCCCAUCCCGUUUUGAUUUUUGGAGUUGUUAGAACGGUUAUUUCCAUUUUGAAGUGUUAUGAAUGCGUUGAAUUUUUUUUAUUUAAAAAAGGGAGUUUUAUUUCUAGCUUUUUAAACUAUAUAUAUAUAUAUAUAUAUAUAUAUAUGUAUAUAUACAUACAUAUAUAUAAUUUUUUUUUUUUUUUGCUAGAAGUCUCCUUAAUAACACCGAAUCUGUGGUAAGUCUUGCUCGCCGACUCGCUGCUUCUGAGGUUUUUCUCCCUUUUAUCUAUCCUUUCACCCAUGCAUUGCUUAAUAGAAAAAGUCUCCUUAAUAGAAAUAUGAAAUUGACCAAGUAAAAUUUUGAUUUUGCACUUUGCAAUUUGAUUAUAUUCCGUGCUUUGCAUGCAUGUCUUAACUAGUGUGAUAAUGAAACUACAGUUCCAGAAAGAAGAAGAUUACAAGUUGUAAAGUUUUUAUACUAUACAAGCCAUUACAUCAUAAUUUUUUUUAAGAUUCCGAUGCGUAUGGCCAAAUUUCAAAAUGGAAGUCGACAUCCUUCACUUUGUGAGCUUUUAUAAUUGUAGUUUAUUGGCAUAAAAAGAAAAUCAUGUCUUCACAUUGCUGGUCUCUUAAACACAUUAAUACACACAUCAAUAGCAUUAUGAACAAAUGAUAUUCGAUGACUUUAGUUGGAUAUAGUACUAACGAACAUUGAUUCUUGUUUGUAGGGAACGGAAAAGAUUGAGGCUAUUAAUCUGAGUGAAGACAACAAAGAAGACUCCAACAAAGAAUUUUCGCCAGACAUUUACACAGAAAAACAAUUUAAGAAUUUGGCGAAUCUAAGAUAUCUUCAAAUGAAAAAAGCACAUCUUAGUGGAGAUUUUAAGGACUUAAUGAAGGGGUUAAAAUGGCUUCAAUGGCGAAGAUGUCCUGCGAGUUUUGAAGUAAACAAUUUUGAUGUAAAGGAAUUAGCUGUACUCGAAUUGCAAGGAAGUGCGAUAAAUGAGAAAUGGGGAGGAUGGAGUUUUUUCAAGGUAAGAAUUAAACUCUUUUUUUUUCCCUCUCCUUUUAUGCUUUCUUUUGAAUCAUAAUGACUCUAGACUCACCCAUCGACAUUCAUUAUUGUUUUUUUAUUUUUUUUCGUAGAUGGCAGAGAAGCUUAAUAUCUAGACCUUUCAAAUUGUGGGUUCUCUGGAAAAUACUGACUUCCUCUCAGCUUUUGAGAAGUUAGAGGUUCUCAUCCUCAUGGGGUGUGGGAGACUGAAGCGAAUCGACGCUUCCAUUGAAGACAUGGAGGGCUUUCUUCACUUGGAGCUGGGCUCGUCCCACGCGCUUCAUCUCGCGGUAGGCGCCAAACACCCCGUUCCUCGUUUCUGCCUCAGGGAGCUUCCAGCAGGAAUAGGUAAAUUAAAAGCACUGCAACAACUCGAUCUACGGCAUACUCAAUCGCUUUCUGCAUUACCAGAUAGCAUAGGGUCUUUGGAGAAUCUAGAGAUUCUAGAUAUUUCUUGGAGCGGUAUAGAAGAAUUACCCAAUGGUAUUAGGAGUCUGAGAAAGCUUCGAGAGUUACGUGCUUACUGUUGCAUGAAAUUGGAAGGGAUAAUGGUAGAAAGCAUGUGUAAUCUUUCUUCCCUACGACGCCUUGAUUUUGCAUACUGUAGGAAGCUCCAUUCGUUGCCAGACCUUCCUUCUGGCUUAACAUAUUUGGGUGUCACUUGUCAAAGUCGCAAAUUGCCUUCGCUUUCCCACCUAGCCCAUCUCAAGGAACUACAACUUCGGGAGUGCGGAUCUAUCGAGUGCAUCCAGGAGCUUCCAUCAACGCAAUUAAAGAGUUCAAAAUGCUCCCAACCGACGGACAUUGAAGAAUUGGAAUCACCACAAUCCCUAAACACACCCUUCAAGUUGGAAUCCUUGCUAGUUUGGAGCUGUGGAUCUAUGAAAACGCUGGACGUUUCACAGUUUGUCCAUCUAAGGACAUUAGUUGUCUGCAAUUGCACGAAUCUACUUGAAAUUCGAGUUUUUGACAAAUUGAUAUAUUUGGAAAGCUUGGCUAUCACAUGGUGCAAUUCAAUCAAACGAUUGGACCUUCCAAAAUUCGAGGGUCUGAAGGAAUUGAAGGUUCACCGCUGCGACAAAUUAGCCAAAAUUCAAGGCCUUGAUAGCUUGGAGUAUUUGGAAAGGUUAGAUAUUGAAGAUUGCGUUUCAAUUGAAAGGCUAGACCUUCCAAAAUUUGGGAGGCUGAAGAAAUUAAAGGCUAAAGGAUGCGUAAACUUAGCCAAAAUUCAAGGCCUUGAUAGCUUGGAGUAUUUAGAAAGGCUAGAUAUCAAAGAUUGCGCUUCAAUUGAAAGGCUAGACCUUCCAAAAUCCGGGAGGCUGAAGGAAUUAGAAGCUAGAGGAUGCGUAAACUUAGCCGAAAUUCAAGGCCUUGAUAGGUUGGAGUAUUUGGAAAGGCUAGCUAUCGAAUUGUGCACUUCAAUGGAAAGGCUAGACCUUCCAAAAUCCGGGAGGCUGAAGAAAUUACAAGCUAGAGACUGCACAAACUUGGUUGAAAUUCAAGGACUUGAUAGGUUGGAGUAUUUGGAAAGAUUAGAUAUCUCUUGGUGCACUUCAAUGGAAAGGCUAGACCUUCCAAAAUUCGGCAGGCUGAAGAAAUUACAAACUAGAGACUGCACAAACUUGGUUGAAAUUCAAGGCCUUGAUAGGUUGGAGUAUUUGGAAAGGCUAGAUAUCUCUUGGUGCACUUCAAUGGAAAGGCUAGACUUUCCAAAAUCCAGGAGGCUAAAGAAAUUACAAGCUAGACACUGCACAAACUUGGUUGAAAUUCAAGGCCUUGAUAGGUUGGAGUAUUUGGAAAGGCUAGAUAUCGAAGGGUGCACUUCAAUGGAAAGGCUAGACCGGACGCUGAAGAAAUUACAAGCUAGAGGAUGUGUAAAAUUAGCUGAAAUUGAAGUUACGGGAACGGAAUAUCAUCGGAUGCAAGUCGCUCAAAACAAUUCCAGAAUUAUCUGGAACUCAAAUUUAUCGAUCAAAAAGCGAUGAAUCAGACUAUAAAUCAAACGAUACGGAUGACUCGAAUGAGUCAAUAUCAUGGAAAUAAUCCCCAUUUACUAUCAAAGGUACAUAGAGUAGGUAAGUUACCUUUGUUCUUUUGAGAUCUACUAUCCAAUUUUCAUUUGUAUUUCCUGCUCCCAAUAUCUUUCAAGAUUUAUGAUCUUCUCAUAUGUUGAAGAGACAAUUAUCUCACUUGCAAACAUAUGUGGGCGGGAAUAUUAUUUCCUAGCUGACAGUGUCAUCAUUGUCUCCUUACUUGAAUUCAAGGAAUUGAGGGGAGAUAUCCAUGGAAAUUGUUGUGUGCUUUGGCAACAAGAUUUUGCUUAUCAUGCCAGUAAGGGAAAUAGAUGGAAAAGGCUUUCUAAGUGCUUCAUUUGUCAUUAGUUUUCGGGUAAGAUCCUUCAUCCUAUGUAGAAAAUAAAGAUUCUCAACGUUUGAUUGAUUCUGGGAAUGUUGGAAGUAGUGCAUAAAAACUGAUGUAUACAGGUAUCUGAUAACAUGCCAAAGGUCAUUAUAUAGGUCGAGAAAUGAAAAAUGAAGGACCCAAUAGGGUGGUCCUCCUAAUUGAGGUUUUAGUUUGCUCUGCCCUUACCAUGUGGCUCAUGACUGCAUGUUUCUAAGUUAUGCUUAAGAGUUAAUUUACAGUGCAAAUGGAGCAUGUUGACAGGGCAUCCCUUGGCAUCAAUUUAUUGAGUUCCACACAUUUUAUUUCACAGAACUAUCUGCAUUGGCUGAUUAAAGUAACCGUAUCAGUUUAGAAAUGCUAAAUGCAAGAACAAGUUCUUCUUCUAGUGGUGUGGGCUUGAGUGAAUUAAUAAACAGGGAAGAAGCAAAAGCAUUGUGAAUUAUUUGGAUCGAUCUAGAAAAUUGCAAUUCGAAUUUUAUUGACUAUGGAUCCUUGUUCAUUUGGUUUGAAUCCAGAAUAUACCUACUCCAAGGCUAAUAAUAGAUUAUUCCAGAGAAUGCAUCUUGAUGUUUGUAGAGUUGGUAAAGCCAUCUGUCAUAUACUUGAACUUUUGAGCUAAGCAAGACAUUACUACAAUGUCCUUUGACAUAAUCAUCUGUACUAUAAAAUAAUUCCUUAUAUUGUGCAUAAGCUCUUGUUAGUUCAUUUACUUGCUGAAAAGUAAAAGAUAGGAGGCAUUUGUAUAAGUUUCCUGAGGAAACUUUUUGAUAUCCUAUAUGCCAUUUGAAAACUGCCUUGCAUUAAUUCUAAUGCAUGAAUAGCAUGUAAUGAUAAGGAAGAGAAUCAUACUAUGUCCCACAAAAGCAAGCAACUUGAGUUGAAUUAACUAUGUUAACUUGAUAGAUGCCUGGAUGAUGAUCUUGCAUACCAGUGACGUUCCAUUUAUGCAUAUUUCAGGAAACUCUUGUGCAAUUAACUGGGAGUUGGACCAAUUGAAGGUAACAUGUGGAUCUAGAGUUUGCAUAAUGAUUCCUUACUUGUGAGAAAUAUAGGAUGCUCCUGAGUUCUAUUUGUUCCUAUACAUGUCAAUUCCCAAUUUAAGACAUUGAUGGCAAAAAGGAAAAACUAGGAUAUUGUGCUGUUCUUUUGAGUUUGGUUUCACAGCGGAAAUAAUAGUGGUCAACAACUGGUGGUAUCCACCCUGUCGAACAAGUAACCAUGUGUACUUGUCAACUGGUAACCCAUCAAACCUGUCAACUAGUCUGGACCAAUUCUAGGCCUUCCAAAAACGUUAAGGAAGGGUGUUGAAAUUGGGUUGGGGUUUGGAACUCCAACCUCUUGUAACUAAAAGGCAUGCCAACCAUCUGCUUUGGUAUCUUCUUGCUUCAUUUUGUGGUGGAUAAUUUAUUUAUUGACCGUAUUGGCUUAGUCUAUUAAAAAUUUGAACGAUUCUAUCGAGAACAGGAACCUUGUCUUUUGUGCUUAAGCAGCUUUGCCGAGUGAACUGGGCUUCUUUUGUUUAGGAAAUUUGUAUUCUAUUAGACAACAUAACAUGCAAUUGGUUCAACUGGUCAAACUGUCAGAGCAUGGUUCUACUAGUUUGACUGGUUAAACCACUAGUCCGGUUUUAAAAAUGUUUAUUCUUUUGUUCUUCCUAUUAUGUAUCUGCUCUCCUCAUCAGCGUGAGAAGUGGCAGCUUAGUUUUUCCUCCUAUAUGCAUAUACAUCCUAUUUCAUGCCUGCAAUUUUAAAGGAUGUUGUACUUUCUGCCUUAAUAUAACUGCAAAAGUUGUGUUGACAGUUGGUGCCUUGUACUUGAAUGUUUGUUAAGGAAUGUGCAUUUGAUGACCCUAAUGGGUUAGUAGUGCCACUUUUGCUUCUAUUUUGUGAGAACACUUUUGCUUGGUUGUCUCAUUCUCACUUCCAAAACACUAACCCAGUGAAAAUACACAUCUUGGACUCUAUCUUACACCUAGAGAUGGAGAAUGAGAAGAUUUGCUGCAUUCCCCAUACUGUAGUUCCUCCUUGGUAGUGGUAAAAUUUCUUUACACCGCCAUACAAUUGAGCUAAGGAUCAACUCAUUGUAAUGCCAUCAAUUGCAUACUCUGAAAAUUAUUUUCCUUGAGCUUCUUACCAUGUCCAUUUGCAGUUUGGAUUUUUGGAAACUUCUUGUUGCCCAUAGUCUUUCCUUUCUGUAUCAUUUUUUUGAUAAACUCGCCAGUAUUAGUAACAAAUUUAUUUCAAUGACUAAGUGGUGGAGCUGUAGCUGGAAUUAUCCUGUCCAUGCUCCUUACUAAGUUUCCAUUUUUACAACCUACUCUUAAGUUUAAAUAUGACUGGCAUAGGUAUGUUGUGCCUCUUUAAUGGACAAUUCAUGCUUGUUCCGAUGGUUGAAAACGUGCAAAUUUAUGCUCCGAAGAAUAUCUUUUUCAUUUCAUGAAGUACAAUACUGAACUAUUAGGUUUUCCUGUAAAUUUUAGAUCAAUUGGGAGGUCAAAGUGCGAAAAAAAAUGAAUCUUUAGUGGCCAGACAAUACAGAAAGAAUAAUUAUCUUCUUAUGGUAGGUUCAUUGUAGUUUGAGUUACUGACUGAGAACUAGUGCAUACAUGUUCAUGAUGAUAGACACUAUCAGGGUCUUUAGUGUAGAAAGAUACUGUAGAGCAUUCAUGGUUCACAUGCAUACGAUAGCCUCUUCAGUACACAAGUAUUGCUUCCACCUAUGUUUUAGCGUGAUGCAAGUAUUGUACUUAUUACUUUUACCUAACAGAGGUAUUUAAACAUCACAUUAGUUAUGGCCAUAUUAUAGGAACAUCGGAGUGAAAUCAAGUUGAGUUAUUUGUUUUUGGCUACAGCAAGCAGGGGCGUGGCUUGUGUUUUGGUUGCAAGAAAGCUAGCCCCGGUCUACAUACUUGGAUGAGGAUGAAGAUGAAUUCUCAGAUUCAGAACGAAUGUCUACUGUGGGUGGACCUCUAUUGCUAGGGACAGUCUCACCUGGUAAUUGCUUCAAAUUGAGAAAGCUCUCUCUUUUUUCUAUUUAGUGUGUGAAGUGCUUGAAUGUCUUAAUUGAGAACAUGAUUUUGAAUUGAGGAGUGGUGUUUUACAGAAAAANNNNNNNNNNNNNNNNNNNNNNNNNNNNNNNNNNNNNNNNNNNNNNNNNNNNNNNNNNNNNNNNNNNNNNNNNNNNNNNNNNNNNNNNNNNNNNNNNNNNGGUUCCGAGUGGAAAUGGAAUCUAGAUCUAUCUAGUUUAUGUGUGUGAUGUACUGAUAUUACGAUUAUAUAUGGUGUUUAUGUGCACUGAUAUUUGUUUCGGCGGUAUCUAAUUUUGUUUGGUCAUAAGGAAAGUAAAACACGAGGUAACUCAGGAUAUUAUCAUCAUCCUUACAAAGAAAUGGAUAGUUAAGGUAGAGCAAUUUCGAGGCAGUUUUCUUAGAAAUAACUUUAGACUUUACGUUAUGGAAGAACUUCCCUGCUGAUAAUUUUUAAUGCUUGAAAAAAAAAAAGGAUUGCCAUCAACUGAACAACAUGAUGCCUCGUACUCGGAAGCCUAAAUUAUCUUGUUCAUGCUUCAGAUUUCUACUCAACCUGUAAGUAUCGUCUAUCUUUCAGUAAAAAGUCCCUAAAAAUCUAUGUAGUUCAGAUGUUGAAAGUUGUGAGGCAAAUUUGUUGCAAAAUUUUAAACAUUGUCGCAUGAGUCACUCGUCAUUUUUGUUCUCAACUGCUUAAGGCCUGCUUAGUUUUAGAGAACAGCUUUAGUUUCCAUUGUCAUAGAAACCGUUUUCGAUGUUUUGUUGACAAAAUAUUUGUUUAAUGAAAAUAAUGUCAUUAGGGAUGAAAAUUGUGAGAAUAUGCUCAGGUUACAUCACAUUCAAAAAACAGGCUUAUUUAUUCCAGAUCUGCAUGUUUGCAUUUAGAAUCGGAAUACAAAAAAGUCAUCUUUAGUUUGUGAUUUUGAUUCUGAGAAUAGUUUUCCUUUUAUUUGUCAACUGCUUUUGGAGUGUUACCAAACACAUUUUCUGGUCUGUUUUAAUUCUCAAAUUGAAAUCAGAACAAACUUUUGAGAAUCUUUAUCAGCCAAAUGCCUCCUUAGAUUAUCAAUCUCUUUCUGUCUGCAGAAAAAAUGGACUUCAUCAAGUUGCUUAACAGGCUUUGAACAUUGAAGAUUGCUUCAUGUCAUCCAGGCAUCAUUAUAUGUAAUGCAUAAGCAGUGGGCUGAUGCCAUUAACAUAUUUUGAGAGGAAGUUUGAUUUGCUGUCCAACCUUGUUAGUGACCAUGGCAAGUGAUACUUUUAAUUCAAAGCGGUAGAUGGCGUUUCUUUUUUCUUCAUUUAACUAUUUUCGUUUGCUUAUCUAGGUCUUGACUCUUUCCCUCAAGAGGAAUUUUCCAAUCUAUCAGUUUCGUGUUAAUUCUCUGGAUGAAGUGGUAUGGCUAAUUUUUUAAGCUCUGGUGCUGCUAUAGGACCUUGGCCUCUUUGGUUGGUUUUUAUGAUCUCAAUCUGCUAGUUUGUCCAGUGAUAGUGCAUGAAGUGUGUAUCACAAGUUGUUUGUGGUGCUGGAAAAGAACUUCUAUUGGUUGUCCUCAAUCAUCUGUGGUGUGCGUUAUUAUCUUUGCAUCUGGCCUUUUUCCUUCAUGCAUCUCAAUGAAUCUUGGAGGUGAUCGGAUAGAGAUAGGAAUUUGCUACAAGAAAUUAUUCUUCUACACAUCUUGAGAGAAGCCAUAUUUUUUAGAACAUCCUGAUGUCGAUUCUUCAAACAAUCAUAUUGUAUGCAAUGAUAUGAAUUAUUAAUAGUAAGUGACUGGAAAGGAUCAAGUAAAAUCUGAUUUGAGUUUGAUUCAAUAAGUUGGCAAUAUCUCCUAUAAGCGUAUAAUGGAAAUUGUAGGUCAUUAAUCAUUGGUUUGAACUUGAACUUGAUCUAAGUUUGAGCUUUGAGUGUACUGUACAUGGAGAUUUGGAUAUAGAAUGUUUAUACGUUCACAUUAUAAUUAGCGGGUGUAGAGAUAUGUUCUCAAUUUAAAAGGAAAGAGUUUAUUGCCCACUUCGAUCUUAGCAUAUAUCCCCUUACAAUUGCGAGAGUCAAUUUUUGUACCAAAUAAUCAUAUUCAAAGCUUUGUACCCAUCGAUAUUACUAUUAGAGCCUGGGGGAAAUUAGACUUAUUUAUAUUGCCAAAUUCCACCCAUUGAACUCAAUGUAGUUAGUUUCUUUCCUUUGUUAUGUUUAUGGUCAACAAGCUAAGGAUGAAAAUGAAAACUCAGAUCUUCAAAGAAAUGAGCAGAAAACUAACUGGUGGGUGCUCGGAUGACAGUGAAUCGAGCCUACAUGGAUCUAAUCUAUGAUGCUUAACCAUGGUUAUGAAAGCCUCUGUUCUUAAUCAUUUGUUUAGUACUUAGAUGUGAGAAUUGAUUAUUUUGUAUCAUUAUUUUUAUCUUUAGAUCACGAUUUUUGAUAUACCACCUCUUUUUUGGCAGACCAAUGUUGAGGAUGUCAACUCCUAGUAUUGAAAUUGGUUUUACUAAGUUGCAUGUCACAUAGAUUCAUAUUAGGUGUUUGAGACCUACUAAUGCAUUAUACUCGCAUUUUUCCUCUUCAAAUCAGUUUUGUAUGCUACUUUUAGUCCCUAGUAUUGCUUCUUUUCUGGUAGUAUGUUGGUAGCUCUUUGGAUCCAACGUUUCUUUUGAACUUUUUCGAUCUUGACUUUUAGUAGUAGCGGCACCCUUUUGUCAUGGUGACAUUACUCGCAAAAAAGUGAGAUGUUGAUGUUGGUACUUGAAAUUAUAUGAUGAGAUAACAUGUGUUAGAAUAAAGAGCAAUUGGAAUAACUUAAAAUCCUCAAAAAAGUGUGAAGUUUCUUUUUAUAGAUUAUAUAGUUCACCUGUAGGGCACCUAUGGGGUGCAACCCAUAUACCAAAGGAGCCCAAAAAACUAAAGCCAUAUACAAAACAACUCCCAAAGCCAAAAGGGAGCUCAAAUACCGGGUCAAUCAUCGACUAAUCAACCAAGGCAUUUACAUCCAUAUGCAAGUUUGCAUUAUACCAAAACUGUGUGACUUUAAGCCAAAUUUCCAUAAAAUGGAACAGACGAUUUCUCUCCAUCAGAAGCUCUCUUGCUCGACGCCUUCCAAAUCAGCCAAAAGAAACAGGGGAAUUGAGUUAAUCCCACUUGUUGUGCUGUAAAUGAAUGCCCUGCCAUGCCCAAAGUUCUUGCUCAAUAAAACCUCUGAUAACCCAAGAUAACAUGGCACAAGCAUAGGAAACUUUCCAAACCAUUCUUUCCAAGAACAAUGAAGGAGGGGCUGCCGUGCGGACUCUGCCUCCUUUUGAUGAGGAAACACCUAUUAACCAGUAUUUUGUCUCAUUUAUAAAGUAAGGAUUUGUUCCCAGGUUGCUUCCCAAGCAAAAAGAGACUAAUUGGAAUUCUCACUUUCCAAAUCGAUUUCUGAGGAAAAUCUGUUUUGCCACGAAUCUCCCUAUUGAGCAGCUUUUCCACCCUUCAAAUCUGGUCCUCGUUGAUGAUAUGAGCACCAAAUGUGAAAUUCUAGAUCUCUGUGUGUAACAGGAGUUUGAGUGUGAUACCUGGGCUCAAAAUUGGUUUUAUGUAAAUAUUGCAAUCCUUUAAUUAAAAGUUUGUGCUUUUGGUUUUAGCCGACUCAUCAAUUAUUUGGGCUGAAAUAUUCAUUUCUCGUUUAGCUAAUUCAGGACUUCUGUUAAUGGAUUUGUAGAUAUUUCUAUCCAAAUGCCUAUUACCAUAAAGUUUUCCUAUAUUUUUCAUUUCCUUGUCUUAGUGGCCAGAACCUUGAAACUAUAAUGAGAGAAGGAAAAGGAAACCCUUGGGGGUUAGGGGUUGUCUUCUGGAGGUUGUCCUUAAUAAUGGUUUUUCACUUACCCUUUGUCUAAUAAUCUAGUUUUUCGUAUUUGAUGUUUGAUUACCGUGAGAUUUUGUGGGACCACUAUCAACUAUUUUAAAAGCUUAAGCUGAUAGAUGAAGGCGUGGUUUAUUAUUUAAAUAUUAUAACACUCCCCCUCACGCUUAGUCUGGUCUUUUUGCCUAGUACUAAACGUGGAAAUUUAAUUGGGGAGACAAAUAGGGGCCUGGAAGAUUCGAAUUCAGGACCUAAACCAUGUGAUAUUUUGUGGAACCACUGCCAACUGUUAUAAAAGCUUAAGUUGAUAAAUGAAUGCGUGGUUUAUUAUUUAAAUAUUCUAACAAUUACUUAACAAUGUACAUGGAAGCUUUAGUUGGGCAAUUUUAUUUGCGCUCUCUGUUUAACUUAUGAUCCUUGUGUAUGGAAAUACUGUAUCUCAUGUUUCCUGAUUAGAAACUAAUUUGAUAAUCACAUUUUCAAGGAAGCUGCCCAUAUGCCUUCUCUUCUAUUUUGAAGAAGAUACUUUGUAAGAAUUUAUUGCUACAAUUCCCUCUUAUGUUAGUUUUAGCAUCCACCAAAUAUAUUCCCAAUUCACUGUCCUUCUAUAGGGUAUAUACCUUUAAUCUGAAACUACAAAUAUUAUCCAGAGAUCCACAUGUGCAGAGUCCAACUGUUUUUUCAUGCUAAUCAUUACUCUGUAUGGUAUUGCAGGAUGACUUCGAAUUUGCUUCAGAUUAUAUUUCCUUCCAAAUACAUGAAGUCUUUUUUAGAUGUAACAAAUUGUGUAGUGGUAGUGAGUGGACUUAUGAAUGAUUCAAGCAAUGUGAAGAAGGGAAGAUCUUCGGAAGGAUCUUGUUGUGCAUCCCUCUUGGUCACUGUUGUGUGGAUUAGACUCCAUCUGAGGUAAAAGCUUUGUAUAUCAUAUUUUGUGGCCCAAAUUUGCAAGUAUGGCUAAUAUGUUCUGUUGGAAGCAGGAACAUCAAAUUAUUACGUUGCUAAAUAAGAUGAAUGACACAGGUGAAAACUUGGGAGAUGCCUAGAUGACAAUCCUGCAGGCUAGUGACCUUCCAUUUGUGCAUAUUGCAGGAACCACGUGUGCAAAUAACUAGGAUUUGUACCAGUUGAAGGUUACUCAUGGAUCUGGAGCUUGCAUAUUGAUUACUUACUCAUGAUAUCUAGAGUUCUAUUCCAAUCAUGUCAAUUCACUACUUAAGACAUUGAUGGCAAAAGGGAAAAAGUAGCAUGUCGUGCUUUUCUGUCGACUCUUGUUCAUGUCAGAGUUUUAAGAAGUGGCCCUGGUUGGACUGGGAACCAGACCAGUCCAGUCUGGUUUCCCAGCAAAAAUAGUAUUGAUUAAGAACUGGUGGUAUUGACCAUGUUCAACCGGUAACCAGGUGUACCUGUCAACUGAUACCCAGCAAACCUGUCAACUAGUCUGGACCAGCUCUAGGCCAUAAAAAAGUUUAAAGGAGUAACGUUGGAAUUGGGUUGGGGAUUGGCACUCCAACCUCUUGUAACUAACAAGUGUGCCAACCAUUUGCUCUAGUGUCUUCUUGCUACAAUCGUGGUGGAUAAUUUAUUUAUUGACCAUAUUGGCCUAAUCUAAAAUUGAACAGGAUGCUAUUAAGAUGGCAUCAAGCAUGUGUAAUCUAUUAAGAUGCUACAAUGUUUGCCAACUCACUGGGCUUCUUUUGUUCUAAAAGUGUGUAAUCUAACAUAUGCAAAGUAUUCUAUCAGAUGACAUCACAUGCAAUUGGUUCAGUCGGUCGAACUGGAAGAGCUCGGUUCUACCACUUUGAUUGGUUGAACCACUGGUCUGGUUUUAAAACAUUUGUUCUUUUAUUGUUCCUAUUUAUUAGUUAUCUGCUCUUCUCAUCAGCACGAUUAGCAGCAGCUUAGUUUUUCCUCCUAUGUGCAUGAUGCAUACACAUGUCAUUACAUGCUUGCAAUUUCAAAGGAUGUUUUACUUUCUACCUUACUGUAACUGCAAAAAGUUCCAACAUGCCUUGACAGCUGGAGCCUUGUAUGUAGGUUAAGAAAUGUGUCUUUGAUGGCCCUAAUGGUUUAGUAGUGCCCUUUUUGCUUGUAUUUUGUUAGGAUAUUUUUGCUCGGUUGUAUUAUUCUCACUUCUGAAACACUAAUCCCGUGAAACUGCACAUCUAGGACCGUAUCUUAUGCCUGGAGAUGGAGAAUGAGAAGCUUCGCAGCAUUCCCUGUCCUGUAGUUCUCCCCUGUCAGUUGGUGGUAAGAAUAUUUUGACACUGUCAUACCAUCAAGCUAAGGAUCAAUUCAUUGCUAUGCCAUCAAUUGUGUAGUUCUGAAGGUUUUUUCUUUGGGCUUCUUGCCAUGUCCAUUUGCAGUUUUGGAUGUCUGGAAACUUAUUGUUGCCCAUACUCUUUCCUUAGUGAUCAAUGUUUGAUAAACUUGCCAGUAUCGGUAACAAAUUUAUCUCGUUGGCUGGAUAUUGGAAUUGAAUUAAUCAUGUCCAUGCUCCUUACUACAUUUCCACUUAGAACCUUCUAUUAAGUUCAAAUGUGACUGGCACAGGUACACUGUGCCUCUUUAACAGACCACUUCAUGUUUGUCCCUAUAGAUUGAAGAAGUGCAAAAAUAUGCUCCAAAGAAGAAUAUUUUUUGGUUGAAGAAGUAAAAAAAAAUGAAGUAUUAGUUUUCCCCUAAAUUUUAAAUCAAUUGAGAGGACAAAGUGCGGAAUGAUCUAAUAGUCACCAGACAAAUGCAAAAUGAAUAAUCAUUCUCUCAUGGUAGGUGCAUAGCAGUCUUGAGUUACUGACUGAGAACCACUAUUUACAAGUUCAUGACCAUAGAUACUAUCAUGGCAUCUAGUGUAGCAAGAUACUGUGGAGCAUUCAUAGUUACAUGCAUGCUGUAGCCUCCUUAGGCAAUUAAGGUUUGCUUCCUGCCUGUGUUUUAGCGUAAUGCAUGCGUUGUAAUUUUACUUUUACCCAACAAAGGUAUCUAAACAUCAUGUUAGUUAUGGCCAUACAUUCAAGGAACACUGGACUGAAAUCAAGUUGAUCUUUUUUUUGGCAAUGGGAGGUAGAGGUGUGGCUUGUGUUUUAGCUGCAAGAAAGGGGGCCCUAAUCUACAUACUGGACGAGUAUGAAGAAGAAAUCUCUGAUUCAAAAUGACUGUCUGUUCACAAGUUUGUGGUGGUUAUGCUUAUGUUGCUGUUGUAAUUGGACCUCUCAUACUUGGAGCUGCAGACAUUGUUGUGAGAAGCAAUGCAUGUGGGAUUUCUGAUUGAUGCUCUUCGACUUCACCCUUUCUGGAGAAGUCUUAAUCCAUACCUGCCAUGUGCCGUUUCUGCUAGGCAGGUAUUUGUCGAUAAAAAAAAGUGGAGUAAAAUGUAGCGAUUUAUCUAUCGAGUGGGAUAGAAUUGACCGAAAGAUGCUGAAUCAUGGCUUCUAUCUGUUGGUAACUGUCGUAAUGGUAUUGCUGUAAGCUUUGAGACCUGCUCGAUAGUGCCAAGCUUUUGCUUCAUCUGUAUAUGUUCACUAUUUUCAUGUGUAAGAGAACCAAUUGUUUGGUUUGGAUUAUCUACACUUUGGGCUGAAUGGUUUGUGUAGUGUACUCGACUAGCGAACUCUGCAUUUGAAUGUUGAGAUCUCUUACCCAAAAUUAACUUGCUCCUCUCCACGUGUCAUUGUUAAGUGACGCAUUCGAUCCGGUGUAGAUAAUGCAUUCUUGUGGGGAACAUGACUAGCCAGAUAUGUGGUUUUAGUUUGGCAAUAAAGAACGUAGCCCGUAUUCCAAUCUCAGAUAUUUGGAUCCCUCAAAUAGAUGGUAGGUUUAAGAUCAUGAGAUUCUGUCUACAGCAUCGUGAAUGGACUUUGUAUCCUUAAUAAAGGGCAUCAUGGAGUCUUUUAAUUAAAUGAUGUACAUCCAGGAAUCAAUAAUUUUUAAUUGUAGUAUUCUUUCUCUCGGAAUUAUUGCCAAUCUUUAGGAGAAAGUAUGCAUGAAUGUAACAUGUGCAUUUGUGAUACUUCUUUUCUUAUGUUUAUUAUGUCAUGAUGAUAGAUCUUUGGGAACUUCAGCUAAAUUGACUCUGAAAUUAAAUCCUCCUUUAUUUAUAGCCCUUCCAAAUCUUCACGUCUUCAAUGUAUUCUUCCUAAUGCAUGUGCAGAAAUAGUGACAUUUAACAUUAAUUAUAAGAUGGGACAAUAACAUUAUCAACAAAAUAAAUGAUUGUUAAUAGGUUCGCUGCCAGUGCAAAUCCCAUGUAAACUUUAAAUUCCAUGACCUGUUUUACACAAGCUUGUUUUGGAGAAAUUGUCCUUAAAAGUUUCGAGGACCAAGAAAAUAAGAAGAGAAGGCUAGGAAAAGAAGUAUGGCUAAGGUAGACGUUCUACUAUUAAUAGGAAAUGUCUAAGAAGAUAACUUGUGUCUAUCAUGCCAAACACUUUUGGCUAAACCUUCUAUUUAUAGCCACUGUAGGGCCUCAUAAAAUUUACUUCUGCCACUAUUCUUAGUAACAAUAGAACUAAUGAUCAUUUGUAACCCAACAUCAUUAUUAAACUAACCGUUUGAAUGAUUGGGGAAUAUCAAAGUAACUUAGCAUCAUGUCUUAACAGUGGGUGUUCCGAAAAAUAGCUUUAUUGCCUGUGGAUAGCAGCACAUUGGCAAGACUUAAUACAUGGGACUCUGAACAGAAAAUUAGCCACUUAAGAAGGCAACAAAGCUGAUCUAUACACAAACAAAUAACUUUAUUAAUGAUGAUGGGGCACCUAAAUGCCCUCAUAUUAGUUUAACCAACUAAUCUUCUUUUCUAAUUGGAUCUUCUAGUCAUCUAUUGAUAAAAAUACAUACAGAAGCAUGUCGCCGUGUGCUUAUUACAUCUUUUCUUAUCUAGUUAGUGGUAAAAAUAUCCUGUCAAUAUCCACUUCGCAUCACCUAAGUGAAAGUGAGUUUUAGCUAUUCAAGAGGGAAACACUUGACAUCCUUUCAAGCCAAAUGAGUUUUGGAUGUUUGGCACACAAUAUUAGGAGAAAUUACCAAGAAAGUCUUAAGCCUAUUAUGCUUCCACCAAUUCAGUCCUAAACUUUCAAAUUUGGCUAAUUGAAUUAUGAACUUUUUGAGGAUUUGCCAAUGUAAUUCAUCAAGUCAAAUUUUGAGCGGAAAUUACUUACGUGUAUAAUGUUUACAAUUUUUUCUUAUUUUUCUGACUUUUUUCUUCUUCUUUUUUCCCCUUUUCCUUUUGCUAGUGGAUGGUGAGGGCGAGUGACUUUGGCAAAUUCCAUGGUCUCUGUCCAUUCUAAUCCCCUUUGGAAUUGACUGCCAUCUAUACUCUUAUCUUAUAAUGUGUUUCAUCUCGAACUCAGAAUAGUUGCACAAGCAUAGUUUGCCUAUGAGAGAGAGGAAGGGGAAAAUUGUUCAAAAAGUCAUAAAUCUAUUGCACUUUUGCUAAUUCAGUCAUAAACAUUUUAAUCAUGCCAGCUGAGUCGUAAACAUUUAACAUUUUGUCAAUUGAGUCUAUCAAACUAAUUUUGGUUAGAAUUCACUAAUAUGGACGGCCGACACUGAAGUCACUUUUUAAAUAAUACUUUGAAUUUUUUUAUGGUUUUUUAUUUUAUUUUAUUUUCUUUUAUUUUUACUUUUUUUUGCUUUUUUUUUUUUUUUGGGGNNNNNNNNNNNNNNNNNNNNNNNNNNNNNNNNNNNNNNNNNNNNNNNNNNNNNNNNNNNNNNNNNNNNNNNNNNNNNNNNNNNNNNNNNNNNNNNNNNNNNNNNNNNNNNNNNNNNNNNNNNNNNNNNNNNNNNNNNNNNNNNNNNNNNNNNNNNNNNNNNNNNNNNNNNNNNNNNNNNNNNNNNNNNNNNNNNNNNNNNNNNNNNNNNNNNNNNNNNNNNNNNNNNNNNNNNNNNNNNNNNNNNNNNNNNNNNNNNNNNNNNNNNNNNNNNNNNNNNNNNNNNNNNNNNNNNNNNNNNNNNNNNNNNNNNNNNNNNNNNNNNNNNNNNNNNNNNNNNNNNNNNNNNNNNNNNNNNNNNNNNNNNNNNNNNNNNNNNNNNNNNNNNNNNNNNNNNNNNNNNNNNNNNNNNNNNNNNNNNNNNNNNNNNNNNNNNNNNNNNNNNNNNNNNNNNNNNNNNNNNNNNNNNNNNNNNNNNNNNNNNNNNNNNNNNNNNNNNNNNNNNNNNNNNNNNNNNNNNNNNNNNNNNNNNNNNNNNNNNNNNNNNNNNNNNNNNNNNNNNNNNNNNNNNNNNNNNNNNNNNNNNNNNNNNNNNNNNNNNNNNNNNNNNNNNNNNNNNNNNNNNNNNNNNNNNNNNNNNNNNNNNNNNNNNNNNNNNNNNNNNNNNNNNNNNNNNNNNNNNNNNNNNNNNNNNNNNNNNNNNNNNNNNNNNNNNNNNNNNNNNNNNNNNNNNNNNNNNNNNNNNNNNNNNNNNNNNNNNNNNNNNNNNNNNNNNNNNNNNNNNNNNUAGAUGAGCUCAUUGGUAAAGAUGAAAAUGUUUAGGAUUUAAUUGACAAAAUUGAAAAGUUUACGGCUAAAUUAGCAAAAAUGCAAUAGGUUUAGAACUUUUUGGAUAAUUUACCCGAGAGGGAGUAGUAAUGGAAGUCCCCAUUUUGAUUUGGUUAAACACAUAUACGCAACUCUCAUAUGUCGAACUCCCUUUGUUUGGGUUAUCAUGCUUGUAAAUUUGACGAUCUUGACCAGUAUCUCCGAUCCGUUCGGCAUCUUCCUAUCCAUCACCUCGGCCUACUUUGUAGAAUAUGAAGUACAUUGGGCGACUGCUAUUUGAUAUACUACCGCAGCACACGACAUGGGGAAUCAACUCUAAAAGCGUCUUCAACUCUUCAACUUUUCAUCUUGCGUCACAACAGCUACUAUUUUUACAAUUUGUCCCUUGAAAUCAAUUCUUUAAAAUCAUUAUAAGAGAUCUAGCCAUUUCCUUUAUGUACAAAAUGAACUGUGACACAUGUAUAUUGUAUUCUCCAUACCAUUAGAAAGAACGUGGAUAUCUUUCUCGAAAGUAAUUCCUUUAGAUGAGUUGCAGAUAUCUCUCUCGAGAAAAUGGGUUGGGGUUUGGAACUCCGACCUCUUGUUACUAACAGGCAUGCCACCCAUUUGCUCCGCAUGUCUUCUUGCUCCUUUUUGUGGGGGAUAAUUUAUUUAUUGGCUGUAUUGGCUUACUCUAUUAGAAAUUAAGACAAUGCUUUUGAGAACCGGAAUCUAGUCUUUUGUGCUCAAGCGGCUCUGCCGAGUGACCGGGGCUCCUUUUGUUCUGAACAUGCAUAUUCUAUCAGAUAACGUCACAUGCAAUCGGUUCAACUGGUUGAACUAGUAGAGUACAGUUCUCAAGUUUGACUGGUUGAACCACUAGUCUAGUUUUAUAAACUUUUGUUCUUUUGUUCUUCCUACUUAUUAUGUAUCUGCUCUCCUUGUCAACACGAGUACAAGAUUAUGAGAUUAUAUUUUGUAUUCUUGACAAGAGCAUCAUGUAGCCAAAAAACUUAAUGAUGUAUAGAUAUACAGGAAUCUAAAAUUGUUUAAUUUUAUCAUUCAUUCUCUAGGAUUUAUUGCCAAUCUAGAGAAGAAACUCUUAUAGACGUAGUAGCUUUGUGUUCGAUCAUAUGCACCAAGAUGGUAAUCGUAUAUAUGAUUGUAUGCAUGUAAAAUGUGCAUAUGUGAUAUUUCCAUUCUUAGCCGAAUCUACUGUGAGAUUAACCUACUUUAUUAAUUUAUUUCCAAAUCUUCAUGUCAUCAAUGUAUUCUUUCAUGAUGCAUAAUAAGUGCAGAAAUAAUGACAGCGACAAUUAAUAAUAUGACGAAACGAUAAAUAUUACCAACAAAAUAAAUUAUUGUGGUCCACUACCAGUGCAAACCACGUAUUAAAUCAAACAAUGCAUGAGCAAUCUUAGACGAGCUCGUUUUGAAGAGACUACAAUUAAAAUUUUCAAGGACCAAGAAAACAAGAAGAGAAGGUCGGGAUCACGAGUACUACUGGAAUAUGGAGAGACGCUAUACUAUUGAUAGGAAAGUAAUAGAAGGCGAUUUGUGUCUAUCACUCGUAACACCUUUGGCUAAACCCUUGUUGUGUAGUCUUAUAAAAUUUGCUUCUACUACUGUUUUAGUAAUUAUAGAACUAUGUUUGUAACUCAACAUCAUUAUUAAACUAACAAUCUGAACGAAUGGAGGAUAUUGAGGGAACUUAGUAUCAUAAUUUAACAGUGUAUGCGUUCCAAAAAGCAGCUGUAUUGCUUGUGGACGGCAGCAAACAGGCAAGACUCAAUACAUAGCACUCGAUCAACGUGGCUAUCAUGCUAAUGCAGAACAAGCACAUAAUCUGAGCCCGCUCUUUGAAUGAUAUACCUUGCGUUCCUUACAUGUGAAAAAUCAGAGAACCUUUUGAAGAAACAUGUUGAAAGAACUAGAGUAGAGAGGUACCAUCUAAUGAAAAAUUAGUAAACAAAGCUAUUCUAUCCACAUAUUAGAUGCUAAUUCGUGCAAGAAAUUAGCCGAAAUUCAAGGUCUCAAUAGGUUAGAGUAUUUGUAAUGGCUAUAUAUCAAAGACUGCACUUCAAUGGAAAGGCUAUACCUUCCAAAAUCCGGAAGUCUAAUGAUAUUAUUUGUUAAUUCGUGCAAUAAAUUAGCCAAAAUUCAAGGCCUCGAUAGGUUGGAGUUCUUGGAAAGACUAGAUAUCUCUAGGUGCAAUUCAAUUGAAAGGUUGCUCCUUCCAAAAUCCAAGAGUUUGAAGAUAUUGAAGGCUAAUGAAUGCAAAAAAUUGGUCGAAAUUCAAGGUCUCGAUAGGUUGGAGCUUUUGGAAUAUCUGAAUAUCAUUGGAUGCAAGUCACUCAAAACAAUUCCAAAAUUAUCUAGAACUCAGAUUUAUCAAUAAUAUGAGAUUGAAGAUACAAAAAUGAUACAAAUUGUAUUAGAGUAUACGGAUAACUCGGAUGAGUCAAUAGGAUGGAAAUGAUCCCCAUUUACUAUCAAAGGUACAUAGAACAGGUAAAUUACCUUUAUUCUUUUGAGAUCUACUGCCCAAUUUUCAUUUGUAUUUCCUGUUCGCAAUAUCUUUCAAGAUUUAUGAUCUCGCCAUUAUUAUUUCCUGGAUGACAGUUCCUCGUUGUUUUCUUACUUGAAUUCAAGGAAUUUGGUGGAGAUGUCAUGAAAGUUGAUGUGUGCUUUAGCAAAAUGAUUCAGCUUAUCAUGCUACAAAGGGGAAUAGAUGAAGAGGCUUUCUAAGUGCAUCAUUUGUCAUUAGUCUUUGGGUAAGAUCCUUCAUCCUAUGUAGGAAAUUAAAGAUUCUCGACGUUUGAUUGAUUUUAGAAUGCUGGAAUUACUGAAUUAAAAUAAAUGUGUACAAGUAUUUUGAUAGCAUGCCGAAGGCAUUGUAUAGGUCGAAGAAAAUCCUAAAUGAAGGACCCUAUAUGGCGAUCCUUCUAAUAUGAGGUUUUAGUUUGCUCUACGCUCACUAGGCAUUUCAUGACUGCAUGUUUCAAAGGUACACUUAAGGGUGAAUUUACAAUGCAAAAGGAGCAUGUUGAUAGGGCAUCCCUUACUAUGCAUAGUCUACCGACUUGGGAUAAGACUUGUUCAACCAUUGAAUUUUUUUUAUUUUUUUUGGUAAAGGUUUAGCCAUUGAGUUCAACACAAUUUAUCUCAUAAAUUUAUCUACAUUAGCUGAUUAAAGUACUUGUGUCAGUCUAGAAAUGCUAAAUCCAAUAACAAGCUCUUCUCCUAAUGGUGUGGUCGUGAGCAAACUAGUAAAUACGACAGAAGCAAAAGCAUCGUGAAUUAUUUGGUUCUAUUGAGAAAAUUGCAAUUCGAAUUUUUCGGACCAGGGAUCCAUUUUCAUUUCGUUUGAAUCCAAGAUAUACCUACUUCAAGGCUAAUUAUAGACUAUCCCAAAGAAUGCACCUUGAUGUUUGUACUAUUUGCUAAAGCCAUCUGUCAGAUACCUGAAUUUUUGGGCCAAGCAAGACAUUACUCGAAUGUCUUUUGACAUAAUUGGAUGUACUGUGAAAUAAUUCCUUAUAUAGUGCAUAAGCUCUUCUUAGUUCAUUUACUUGCUGAAAAAUAAAACACGGGAAGCAUUUGCAUAAGUUUCCUGGGGAAACUUUUAGUAUCCUAUAUGCCAUUUGAAAUCUGUCUUGCAUUAAUUCUAAUGCAUGAGUAGUACAUAAUGAUAAGGAAAAUAAUCAUCCUAUGUCCCCCAAAAGCAAGCAUCUUAAGCUGAAUGCACUAUGCUAAUUUGAUCAAAGCUUUUGUGGUUGAUGAUGUUAGCUGCCCCAUUAGUUAAAUCCAAAGAGUUCAAAAAGAAUAUCGAUUUUGACAAAUAGAGACCCGCAAAUGUCUUAGCAUUAUUAGUAGUUCAUUGAUGUUAGUUGGUGGAUUGAUUUCAUCUAACUCAUUGGCACGUUUUAGUUAUCAUGCCACUAGUUGAUGUAAGUGCUGAAAUGUCUGAGAGAGCUUUUGCAAGGCGCUUCUAAAAGGAAACAAAAUCAUCAAAGGAUGAGGAGCUCGUUGUUUCUUGAACUUCUCCAAACACUAUCAAUGCAUCCUUGGAAUGGUAAAGGGUGUGUGCAUGCUAUCAUCCUUAUGGGCCCACCAGUUUAAGUGUCCAUGAAAAUGAAGAAAUUGAAUUGGAAGGGAUGUCAUUUAUGCUAGAUAUACUAGCUAUGUCAAAUGCAAAAGCGCAUAGACUAAGAUCGUAGAGGUUGCUGUAUCCAAGUAUCUUAAGUUCUUACGUGACUUUAUCCAUUGGUAAUUCGAAUUUAUAAGAGCUUAGGAUUAGAUGGCUAGCCUUGGCAAUUCGUGCUAUCUAUUCUUAAUGGAAAAGUCUAGAAAAGAGGCAAUUUUUCUAGAAACAUAUCAAUGCUCCACGCCUCAUAUUGUCUUCUGGAUUUGGAGAACAUGUUGAGUGCACUAUAGUACUUGAGCCAACCCUUGAAUGGUUUAUGUUGAGAUUCUAAGUUGUAGAUACUAGUACACUUGUGAUCCUCACCUGAAGUAAGCUUAUAUGGAUACACUCCACCUUGGGGUUCCAAAGUGGACAAUAAGAUCUGUUUUUGGAUUGAGAUAAUGGAUUGGAGGCCACCAAAUAAGUAUAGAUUUCCAUCGCUUUUGAUGACCUACCAGCCAAAGAAAUCCCAUAUCAAACGACUGACUUCCCUCUCACAGUUAUCUUGUAUUGUUAUGACACUUCACCUCAAUUCAUUCACAUAUUUUGAUUACAUUUCCUGGUUACUGUGCAUUCUCUAUCUUUCCUCUUCUUCUAUUAAUUUUAUUGUGAAGAAAUUACUCUCUCUCUCUCUCUCUCUCUCUCUCUCUCUCUCUAAUUUGUUUGUGCUUUAUUUAUGCUUGUGGGUGAAAAGUUCAGUUAUGUCAUUAAGUUAUUGCUGUUUGGUCAAGAGUUUGAUGGCUGCGAAUUUGGUUGAUGCGGCUGUAUUUCUUUCUUUGAGACUUCUACAAAUUUAUUAAUCGCCAUCCAUUUCACGGACUACAUUUUGCUUGGAAGAGAGUUUGAUUUUACAUAAUACAUAAUGAAUGUUAUCUUACCAAUCUAGUUUUCUUUACUUAACAUGGAUACGUGGUGUGCUGCUUUUUAUAUGCUAGUGCUUGUAGCAGUUAUACAUGCUAUGCAUAAUAGUUUCUAACAUGGUAUAAAUAUUGGGCAGGAUGAAAAAUUGUUACGAGGCUUGAAGUCCCAUGCGGUAGCUGUGUUGUCUCAAUUGGGAGGAAGAUGCCCAAGUGAGUAGAGUACGCAUCUUUCAACUUAAAAGUUGAUAUGACUUCUUGAUCUUGAUUCUUAAUUCAUUCUUAAUGUCUUAUGUGUUUUUUUAAUGAUUUGUUCGCAAUUAAGUUUCAAACUAAGAAUCGGAUUGCACUGUCCAACAACUUUAAUAGUUUCUACCUCAAUAUAUCUUGUUAGGUCAAUAAGUGAAAUAGCUAGUACGAGUACCUAGAGGGGGGUGAAUAGGUAUACUAAAAUUUCUCGAAGCUUGCACGAUAUCAAUUAGAGUAUUUGCAACAAUUAAAAAUUCAAUUGCAAGACUGAGUAAGGGAAAGAGAGAAUUGAACACUCGGUUUAUAGUGGUUCGCCUUGAUUCAAGCCUACGUCCACUCUUCUGCACUGACAGCCGAUUGGCUGGAUUCCACUAUGAUCAAAGAGUUGUUACAGUGUUGAUCUUCCUUGAUUUCUAGGUGUAGAUGAUCUACCACACUCACUCAAGGCGUCACCAAGUAUAAACACUCUCUGUAUACAAUUUCGCUCAGUCUCAACUAACAAUCAAGGAUCUUCAGACUCUGGAAUUUUUCUAUCGAUCACACACUUAAAACAACUUGAACGUCUUCCUUUUAUACUCCUUCAUGCCAUCAUAGCCGUUGGCACUUACCAAAGGAAUUCCUCCAAUCUACCCGUUGGACGGAAUCAAUCAAGAAGAUCAUCCGAGCUAUUUAAGGAAUCUGAUGAUAGCCCAUCAAUCCUGUUCGCCCAUACAAUCAGGAUCUCGGUUCCAAGAAUAGAAUAAUCCAAAAUUAUUNNNNNNNNNNNNNNNNNNNNNNNNNNNNNNNNNNNNNNNNNNNNNNNNNNNNNNNNNNNNNNNNNNNNNNNNNNNNNNNNNNNNNNNNNNNNNNNNNNNNNNNNNNNNNNNNNNNNNNNNNNNNNNNNNNNNNNNNNNNNNNNNNNNNNNNNNNNNNNNNNNNNNNNNNNNNNNNNNNNNNNNNNNNNNNNNNNNNNNNNNNNNNNNNNNNNNNNNNNNNNNNNNNNNNNNNNNNNNNNNNNNNNNNNNNNNNNNNNNNNNNNNNNNNNNNNNNNNNNNNNNNNNNNNNNNNNNNNNNNNNNNNNNNNNNNNNNNNNNNNNNNNNNNNNNNNNNNNNNNNNNNNNNNNNNNNNNNNNNNNNNNNNNNNNNNNNNNNNNNNNNNNNNNNNNNNNNNNNNNNNNNNNNNNNNNNNNNNNNNNNNNNNNNNNNNNNNNNNNNNNNNNNNNNNNNNNNNNNNNNNNNNNNNNNNNNNNNNNNNNNNNNNNNNNNNNNNNNNNNNNNNNNNNNNNNNNNNNNNNNNNNNNNNNNNNNNNNNNNNNNNNNNNNNNNNNNNNNNNNNNNNNNNNNNNNNNNNNNNNNNNNNNNNNNNNNNNNNNNNNNNNNNNNNUCAUCCGAGCUAUUUAAGGAAUCUGAUGAUAGCCCAUCAUCCUGUUCCGCCCAUACAAUCAGGAUCUCGGUUUCCAAGAAUAGAAUAAUCCAAAAUUAUUUCGUCGACUAUCGGAUCUUCAAUCGAUCUUAGAUAAGAAUUAAAGAAUCCGAAAUGAUUAUCCAACCAAAGAAUCUAUUCCAGAGGAUAGGACCGAAUCCUCAACCAUAAACCUCGGCUUUGGAUUUCCUUCAACACUGGAUUAGAAAGACUGUCAGUGAGAAUAAAGUCUUGAGUCCUGAGUCUUAAGACUUGAGACUUGAGACUUAAGUCUUGAGUCUUGAGUCUUGAGUCUUGAGUCUUGAGACUUAAGUCUUGAGUCUUGAGUCUUGAGUCUUGGGUCUCGAGAGAACAAAGUCUUCAGACUUUAAACUGACGGUCUCCGAACAUGCAGACUUUAGACUGAAAGAAAUGUUUUGUCAGCUUCAAAAUAUUCUGGAAAGAUUUCUCCAACAAUCUCCCCCUUUUUGAUGGUGACAAAACUUUCUUGAAGAUUUGAACAACUUUGACCUGCAAAACAUUUCUCAAGCAAUAUGGCUAACUCAUAAAGAUUAAUAAAACAACCAGACUCUGCAUCCACAGAAAAUUGGUUAGUCUUUCAUGAGAAACACCAUAUAACAACACUUGAAUAAAUGCAACCAGUCAAGUUCAUAAUCCACAGCCAAUUCAGUCAAAUUCACACCCAAGUUCAAAAUCUCAAGUCAUACUCAAAACUAAACAUAACCACAAAGGUCAAAGUUAAAAAAAUGAAUGAUGAAAUGAAAGUUCAAAUUUGUUCUCCCCCUUUUUGUCAGCAUUGAAAAGGGUGAGAAAAGAGUCAUGUCUGCUUGGGAAUGCGCACGAUCUGGAAAUCCCCAAUGGACUGGACUACUCCUUCGAGCUUCUUCAGGUCUUCUCGCAGAUGAGCUACCUCUUCUCUCUUGGCAUUUGCUUGAAGUUGCAUAGCGAGGUCUUUGAAUUUAUCUUCCAGAGAGACUGAAGAUGCUUGUCCAGCAUGCUUCAAAGCUUGGAUUUCACAGUCCAGAACAUAUAUCUGGUUACGCAUUUCCAGAAGAAUAUUCAUGAUACUACGAAAAUCUGCAUAAUCAUCCGUCUGUGUACUGGCAUUAACUUUCUCAGAUGGUGUGUAUGCAGACGAUGGCGCUUCUGUUUGGUCUGGCAGAUUUGGAAUCGACGUAUCACCUUCUUCAGGUAAUUGAGAGACCUGAACUUCUUCUGGGUCUUUUGGAGACUGUCUUAGAUCUUCAGCAGCAUGAGGUGUAGACCUCUCUUGCUCGCUAACUCCCCCUGUCUCUAGGACAUCGAAAUGAGAAGAGUGAAGAUCAUUCUCUUUAUUUCCCUUCUCUCCAGAUUUAUCAGCAGACUGUUCUUUUUCUUCUUCUCCUUCUUCCUCAACUUCUUUCUCCUUCUUUCUCUGAUCUUCUUCUUCUCUGCUCUGCUGAAGUUCUGUCGGAUAAGACACAGAACGUCUUUUUCUUGUCAGUGCUGGUAUAGUGGGAUCUUCAUCAUCUUCAUCCUCAUCUUCUUCCUCCAGGAUAAGAGUUCUUUUCCUCUUUUUCGAUGAAGCACCAAUGGCCUCCUUUCCUUUCCUUUUUGAAACAGACUGGACUGGAGAUUUCACUUUGAAUUUCUCCAUUGCCUUAGAAAGUUCUUGCAGACGCAUCUUCAUUAACAUUUUCAACCCAACCACCAUCUUAUCACACGAUCGAACACAAAAAGUAUGUGGCAGUUCAAUAUUCAGAUGUCUGAAGAUCUUGGUCACCAGACCAGGAUAAGGCAAUUGUCCUUUGUCUUUUGACACUGCUCUGUACAUAUGGAAAAGAAUAGUGUGCGGGAGAGAAAACUUCCGUCCUGAGUUGAUCGCAUACAUCAACUUUGCUUCAGAAAGAGACACAGAAGUCUUUGACGUAGACUUUGGUCUGAGGCAAUUGAUCACAAUCUUGUGAAGCACAAUGUUGAUGGCAUUCAUCCUGGAAUAGAUAAUUUUCUUAUCUACAUCCCUAUCUUUGACAAGAUCCAGAGUGGCUCGAGCAGGUGAGACUUUGAUUGGGAGAUAGCAUCCCCGUUCAACUCCAAUUAUGUCCGCCAACAUACUCACAUCUACCACAUGGACUUGGUCUCGAACACUGAAUGAAAUUCUAUUCGCAUCCAAAAAGCUAAGAUUUGAAUAGAAAUAAGCGGUCAGUUGAUCAUACCCGUCUGUGGAGUCAGAGCAGAAAGUCUCAAGUUGAAGCAAAUUCAACUUCUCUCUUAAGUUCAAGUUGAUGGAAUCCAGGAAGUCAAAAUCGACACUUCUAGGAUUGAUUAUCCCUCUUUUCAACAGCCUGGAAUACACUUUUUCCUGAUCCUUGGAUUUAAACAAAUCCAUCUGAUUUCCUUUCACCUUUGCUGCCACACCCAUUCUGGGUUUAAAUUCAAGGAACAUUUUGUCAUCAUCGUUCCUGUCAAUCAGAUUUUGUCCUGGCAUACGAGGAUCACUUGGAAUGUUCGCAAGAGCCUGCUCUGCUCUUCCUUUCGGAGCAAUUCCCAACUCUUCCAUUUUCCGCAGAAAAAGAUACUCAUUUCCAUAAUUUUUGUCCUUUAGAAAGUCAUCUAUAUAUUUUAAUGAAGAACCGAUGCUUUUCAACGCACGAUAAAGCUUAUAGAUAACAGAAGGUCUUUGGACUCUUACUGAGUCAGCUUCCUCAAUUAUCUCUUCUUCCAGAUUUUGACUUGCACUUUGUGGCAGGAGAUGCUGAAUGACGUGGAGGAGAGCGAAUCGGACUUUGUCGCUGACUUGGUAAGUCUUCUUCCUCUGUGAGAUCGAAGUGAGUCGGUCCCUUCUCCAUUCUUUGUGGUCCCCUGUUUGCGAUUCUUGAUGAUUUCCUCGAAGACGACAUCUUUCUUUGUCUAUUGGAGGAUUCCUUCACUUGCUUUUCCCAAGAAAAGAUGACCACUUUCUCGACAAUGAACAAAGAGUAGAAACAGUAUCGAGAGGAGAGUGCUUUUUAGGGUUUUGAAAAUUGGGGGUAGAAUAACCGUAUAUAUAUAUACCUCGGAUUUGAAAAGGGAAGUUUAAACGGUACAAGGAAAGUGUACGAACAAUAUUUUUUUUAAAUCAAUAACUGCCAAAAUUAACUUUCUUUAAAAAAGACAAGUUUUCAAAAUUUCGCACGAAUUAUAUCUGAAUAAUAGAACGUACCUUUUGGAUAAAAUAAACGAGAAUUCGUACCUUUUAGAUAAAAUAGCUACUUACAGUCUUUAGCCAUGAAUGCUUGAGUCUCAAGAUUUAGAGUCUAAGACAUCAGAGUCUUAGAGUUGGUGAGUCUCUAGACUUUAACUUCUUCAAGCUUCAAAAUGUUGAGUCUCGAGCGGAUAAAGUCGAACUGAUUCUUCUCCAAAGGCUUUGUGAAUAUGUCCGCUAGUUGACUUUUUGAAUCAACAAAUUGAAUCGAGAUUUCUCCAUUUUGAAUAUGAUCUCUAAUAAAGUGAUGACGAAUCUCAAUAUGCUUUGCUCUUGAAUGAAGGAUUGGAUUUUUGGUGAGAUUGAUAGCGCUGGUAUUGUCACAUCUGAUUUCUGUGCAUGAGUCUUCAAUGCCAAAGUCUUGUAGCUGUUGUUUUAUCCAUAGAAUUUGCGAACAGCAGCUUCCAAGAGCUACAUACUCUGCUUCUGUUGUUGAGAGAGCUACAGUGCUUUGCUUCCUUGAAAACCAAGACACUGUCCUAUUUCCAAGCAGUUGACAAGUUCCAAAAGUGCUCUUUCUAUCGACUCUGCAACCGGCCAGAUCUGCAUCUGAGUAUCCUAGAAGAUUAAAGUCUCCCCUCUUUGGAUACCAAAGACCGAUGCUUGAAGAUGAAGCAACGUAUUUGAUAAUACGUUUCACGGCAAUGAGAUGUGAUUCUCUAGGAUCUGAUUGAAACCUAGCACAGAUACAAACACUAAACAAAAUAUCAGGUCUAGAAGCAGUAAGAUAAAGAAGUGAACCGAUCAUGCUCCUGUACAGCUUUUGAUCUACUUUCUUCCCUUCUUCAUCCUUGUCUAUCUCUGAGAACAUGACAUUGGUAUGUCGGUCUUUUGCACUUUUCCAAUCCAAACCUUUUGACAAGAUCAUUCGCAUAUUUUUCUUGAUGGAUGAAAGUUCCUUCCUUCAUUUGUUUUACUGGGAGUCCAAGAAAGAAUGUUAACUCUCCCAUCAUACUCAUUUCAAAUUCAUCCUGCAUAGACUUAGAAAAUUUCUUGCAAAGACUUUCAUUAGAGGAUCCAAAAAUAAUGUCAUCGACAUAUAUUUGAACAAGUAAAAAAUUUUUGUUUUCCUUUUUGAUAAACAAGGUAGUAUCUACUUUACCUUUGACAAAACCAUUCUGUAAUAAAAACUUACUUAGUCUGUCGUACCAAGCUCGAGGUGCUUGCUUUACACCAUACAGAGCCUUUUUCAGUCUGAAGACUGAGUUUGGCUUCUUUGGGUCUUCAAAUCCAGGCGGUUGUUCCACAUAAACUUCCUCAUGGAUAAAUCCAUUUAGGAAAGCACUUUUGACGUCCAUUUGGAAUAACCUGAAAUUUUUGUAACAAGCAAACGCAAGUAAUAGACGAAUAGCUUCUAACCUUGCAACUGGUGCGUAAGUCUCGUCAUAGUCUAUUCCUUCUUCUUGCGUAUAUCCUUUGGCCACGAGUCUUGCUUUGUUUCGUACGACUUUUCCUUUUUCGUUCAUCUUGUUCCUGAAUACCCAUUUGAUUCCAAUGACGGAUUUACCUUUUGGUUUAGAUGUCAAUUCCCAGACAUCAUUGAUGUUGAACUGUCUGAGCUCUUCUUGCAUAGCUUCGAUCCAGCUUUCAUCAGAUAAAGCUUCUUCUAUUGCUUUUUGGUUCAAUUUCAGAAAUGAGAGCCACAGCACUAGAUUCUUCAUGCCUUUUUGAUCUGGUGCGGAUUCCUUCAUUAAGUUCACCAAUAAUAAGAUCUUUGGGAUGACUGGAUUUGUGCUUCCAGUUACCAGGUUGAUGAUCUCUUUCUUUAUUUGAUUCUCCAUGAGCGUCUUGAUGAUGGACUUCCAGAAUCUGAGAUGCUUCUUGAGAUGUAGACAUUUGAAGAUCUAGAGUGGAUUCAGUCUCUUCGUACUGAGUCUGGCUGGAUUCAUCUUGCACUGAGUCUUGGAAUUUGACAUUCAUAGAUUCUUCCACAGACUGGCUUUUUUUGUUGUAGACUCUGUAGGCUUUGCUUGAUGUAGAAUAUCCAAGGAAGAUGCCUUCAUCUGAUCUUUCUUCAAGCUUACCAACUCGAUCAUUUGCAUUUUUCAAAAUAAAGCAUUUGCAACCGAACACAUGAAAGUAUGAAACAAUAGGCUUCUUACCUUUGAACAAUUCAUAGGGAGUUUUAUCAAGAAUAGGUCUUAGAAAGACUCUAUUUAUAAUAUAGCAAGCAGUUGAAAUAGCUUCAGCCCAAAAUCGUGAAGAAAUUUUACUUUCAAUUAAAAGUGUUCUAGCCAUUUCUUGAAGAGAUCUAUUCUUUCUUUCCACAACUCCAUUUUGCUCUGGAGUAUAAGGAGAGGAAAACAUGUGAUUAACACCAGAUUUCUCACAGAAUCUCAUAAAAUCUUGAUUUUCAAAUUCACUUCCAUGAUCUGUUCUUAUACUCGAAAUAGCACAUCAUUUUUCAUUUUGAACCUUUUUAGCAAACUUUUCAAAGUACGAAAAGGUUUCUGAUUUAUUUGCAAGAAAAUAUACCCAGGUAAAACGAGAGUAAUCAUCUACAAUUACUAGACAAUAUUUCUUACCUCCAAUGCUCUGGGUUCUUGUUGGUCCGAAGAGAUCCAUAUGUAGCAAUUGCAGUACAUGAUUAGUAGAUACAUGAUUUAUUUGCUUAAAUGAAUUUCUUACUUGCUUUCCCAGAAUGCAUGGAGUGCAUAAGUCAGACUUUUGGUAUGGCAAUUUAGGUAGACCUCGAACAAGCUGCUUUGAAGAGAUUUUGGCUAAUUGCUUCUUGUUGAUAUGGCCAAGUUUUCUGUGCCAUAGAACUGCUUCAUCUUGAAUUGAGAUUAAGCAUUGUUCUUCAUUUGGCUUUACAUCAAGGAGGUAGAUGUUUCCAUGCCUUCGACCCAUAAAAGACUGAGUCGAAUCUUUGCUAAUUCCAGAACAUAUGCCUUCUUGAAAGAAGAUCUUGUAACCAGUAUCACACAAUUGGCUAAUGCUGAGUAGAUUGUAGUUGAGUCCUUCCACUAGAGAAACAUUGCUUAUUGUGAGAUUUCCAAUUUUCACAGUUCCGAAUCCCACAAUACUUCCUUUGCUAUUUCCAUCGAAUGAAACUUUUCCACCAUUUACUUUAAUAAGCUUUAUGAAACUAUUUGAGUCUCCUGUCAUGUGUCUUGAGCAUCCGCUGUCAAGAUACCACUUUACCUUCUUUUUGACAGAGACCUGCAUUCAAAAGAGAGUCUCAAGCUUUCUUUGGUACCCAAAUUUUCUUGGGUCCUUUGGUGUUAGUAGGAUGAGCAUUAUUAGGCCAUACUCUCUUAACAGGCUUCUAGACCAUAGGACAUUCUUUUUCAAAAUGAUCCUGACUGUUACACUUAGAACACCUUAAAGCAUUUCGACCUACAGGUUUUACAAAAACUCUUUUGAAAUGAUUUUUAUAAGCCUCUCUUGAUGGUCUUUUCUUAAUUCUUUCUUUUACUUUCGGAAAAUCAAUCAAAGGGAUUGUUUCAGCUGUCAUACCUAGACCUGACUUAUUGAAGUAAGGUCUUUGGAUUGAAAGAACUUUUUCAAGUUUUUCGGACCCUAUUGAAAAUUUCUUUGAAAUAUUUGAUAAAUCAGUUUUCAAGAAAGCAUUUUCUUUUGAAAGAUUGUCUUCACUCUCUUUAAGAGUAGAAACGUUCAAGUCUAAAUUUUUUACCUUUUCUUCUAAAAUGUUUUCCUUUUGUUUUAAAACUGAGUUUUCCUUUUUAAGUUCGGAAAUCUUUUUAAGAGAAGUCUUAAGACUAAAACAUAACUCAUCAAUAUAUUUAGAGACUUUGACAGGGAUUUUAUAAUCACUUACUUCAAAUUCACUGUCUGAGUCUGAUCCAGAGUCUGAGUCUGAUUGCGCCAUUAGACAUAGGUUGGCAUAUUCCUCAUCACUCUCUUCACACUCUGUAUCGCUCCAGGUUUCGGCUUUAAGAGCUUUUCGAGAUUUCUCAGCUUUUCCUCUUUUCUUUUUCAGAAGAGGACAGUUGGGUCUGAUGUGUCCCUUCUUUUUACAUUCGAAGCAAACUACAUCUUUGUUUGGUUCCUCAUCAUCAACAGACUUGGUCUGCUGUCUCUGAAAACUUUGUUUCUUUGGGAUGAACCUUCUGCCUUUUCUAUUCAGUUUUCUGAAUCUUCUUAUCAUGAGAGCGAGCUCCUCAUCAUCCAUAUCAUCUUCAGAAUCUUCAUGGGAUCAGAAAUUUUUUGUCCUUGGUUCUCAAGACCAUUGACAAUAUCUGUAAAACGACUAAACAUGUCAGUUAUAGAUUCUCCUGGUUUCAUUUUGAAGGAUUCAUAUUGACCAAGAAGAAUGUUAAUUCUGGUCUCCUUCACUCGAUCUGUCCCUUCAUAAGUGAUAUGUAACCUGUCCCAAACUUCUUUUGCUGUAACACAAGAAGAUAUUCUGUUAUAUUCAGUUGGUGACAAGGCACAAUAUAAAGAAUAAAUUGCUUUAGCAUCGAGUGCUUGUCUCUUGUUUAUUUCUUCUUGAGACAUUCCGCUGACUUCAACAGUUUCUUUUCCUCUUUCAGAGAUUGAUGCAGCAGUAGGAGUGAUUCCUCUUUCCACAAUGUCCCAUUCCAGAGGAUCCUUUGAUCGUAGGAAAGCUUUCAUCUUGUUCUUCCAGAUGUUGUAAUCCUUUCCAUUGAAGUAGGGAGGUCUGGUAUUGCUUUGCCCCUCCAUCAGCCCUGGUGCUAGCAUACUAGCCAUGGAUCUUUUACUCUGAAGUAAAACACUUCAAACAAAGUAAGAACACGAGCUCUGAUACCAAUUGAAAUAGCUAGUACGAGUACCUAGAGGGGGGUGAAUAGGUAUACUAAAAUUUCUCGAAGCUUGCACGAUAUCAAUUAGAGUAUUCGCAACAAUUAAAAAUUCAAUCGCAAGACUGAGUAAGGGAAAGAGAGAAUUGAACACUCGGUUUAUAGUGGUUCGGCUUGAUUCAAGCCUACGUCCACUCUUCUGCACUGACAGCCGAUUGGCUGGAUUCCACUAUGAUCAAAGAGUUGUUACAGUGUUGAUCUUCCUUGAUUUCUAGGUGUAGAUGAUCUACCACACUCACUCAAGGCGUCACCAAGUAUAAACACUCUCUGUAUACAAUUUCGCUUAGUCUCAACUAACAAUCAAGGAUCUUCAGACUCUGGAAUUUUUCUAUCGAUCACACACUUAAAACAACUUGAACGUCUUCCUUUUAUACUCAUUCAUGCCAUCAUAGCCGUUGGCACUUACCAAAGGAAUUCCUCCAAUCUACCCGUUGGACGGAAUCAAUCAAGAAGAUCAUCCGAGCUAUUUAAGGAAUCUGAUGAUAGCCCAUCAAUCCUGUUCGCCCAUACAAUCAGGAUCUCGGUUUCCAAGAAUAGAAUAAUCCAAAAUUAUUUCAUCGACUAUCGGAUCUUCAAUCGAUCUUAGAUAAGAAUUAAAGAAUCCGAAAUGAUUAUCCAACCAAAGAAUCUAUUCCAGAGGAUAGGACCAAAUCCUCAACCAUAAAUCUCGGCUUUGGAUUUCCUUCAACACUGGAUUAGAAAGACUGUCAGUGAGAAUAAAGUCUUGAGUCCUGAGUCUUAAGACUUGAGACUUGAGACUUAAGUCUUGAGUCUUGAGUCUUGAGUCUUGAGACUUAAGUCUUGAGUCUUGAGUCUUGAGACUUAAGUCUUGAGUCUUGAGUCUUGGGUCUCGAGAGAACAAAGUCUUCAGACUUUAAACUGACGGUCUCCGAACAUGCAGACUUUAGACUGAAAGAAACGUUUUGUCAGCUUCAAAAUAUUCUGGAAAGAUUUCUCCAACAAUAAGAUGUCUUAUCCUCAUUAUUGUCUCAGAGAAACAAUGCAGAGAGUCAGAGAAUUACUGCAGUUUGGAGGAUUUGGGGGCACUGAAUAUUUGGGAAGGACACUUGCAAAGGAAUGUGAACAGAUGGAACGCCGGCUUUAGCAAAAGAAUUAGAAAGCCGAAAUGUAAUAGAAUAUUGUUCGUGUAUAGAAAUUCUUACUUGAAUGUCUUGUUUAUUGCUCUUUCAUUGUAAAUUCUUCACAUUAAUGCUAUAUCUACUUUUUCCAUUCAUAAAUGUUCUUAAACAUGCUACCUCAGUGGGAAAAAUAUGAACUAGGGGAUAAAUCAUUGUUGUCAUUUGUUGUUUGAAGUGAUUGCUCCCCCCUAACCUCCCCCUUCUUCAAGUUUGGUUGUCAUUGCUGAUAUGUGUACCAAAUGUGAAAUUUGGAUCUCUUUGUAUGCAUAAUAGGAUUUUGAGUAUGAUUAACAGGGCUCAAAAUUGGUUUCUGUGACCAUUGCAAUCCUUUAAUUGAAAGCUCGUGCUUUUGGUUUUACCCAACUCAUCAAUUAUUUGAGCUAAAAUAACCAUUUCUCAUUUGGCUGAUUCAGAACUUCUAUUAAUGGGUUUGUCUAUAAAUAUUUCUAUCCAUAAGCCCAUUACCAUGAAGUUUUACCGAUAUUUUUCAUUUCUUUGCCUGAGUGACUAGAACCUUGAGACUAUAAUGAGAGAAGAUGGAGAGAAAUAAAAGGAAAGCAUUCAAGGUUAGGGGUUUUCUUCUGGAGGUUGUCCUCAACAAUGGUUUUUCACCUACCCUCUAUCUAAUAAUCUAGUUUUCUGUAUUUGAUCUCAAGUUUGAUCACUUGAUAAUGUACAUGGAAGCUUUAGCUAGGUGAUCUUAUCAGACUUGGCUCUCUGUUUAGCUUACUAUCCUUGUGUAUAGAAAUACUGAUCUCAUGUUCCUGAUUAGGAAUUAAUUCAAUCAUCAUAUUUUCAAGGAAGCUGCCCAAAUGCAUUUCUCUUCCAUUUCGAAAAAGAUAUUUUGUUAGAAUUUAUUGCUACUAUUCCCUCCUACGUCUAUUUUGGCACCACCAGAUAUAUUCCCAAUUCAUUGUCCUUCCAUGGGAUAUAUACCUUUCAUAUGAAACUACAUAUGUUAUCAAGAGAUCCACAUGUGCAAAGUAAAAUUACUUUUUCAUGCUAAUCAUUUCUUUGUAUGGCUCUAUAGGAUGACUCUGAAAUUGCUUUCAUACGACUUCUUGAUCUUGAUUCUUUAACUGUCAAUGUUUUAUUCUUCAUAUCUUCCAAAUUAUUUCUAGUUUUUUGUUUGUAGUUAAGUUUCCAACUUGGAAUCUUAUUUUACAGUCCAGCAGCUUUAACACGAGUUUAUGGAAGAUUUUCGAGAUCUUUAAAGGACUGGGUGCUCUUUGUUUCUUGAACUUCUCCAAACUCUUGACAAUGAUCGCUUGGAAUGAGAAAGGACGUUUGCAUAUUGUCAUCCCACAUUGCCCUGAUUAUAUCUAACAAAAGCUUUGUGGAGCUAAAACUGUAUGCUAACUUGAGAGGUUUCUAAAAUACUGAAAGUCUAGCCAACUUGUUUGAUAUAAUGGCUAAUGAAUCGGACGGUUGUAUUUUAAGUGGGAAUCGUAGUUGACAUCGUAUGGAGGUCUAUCGGAGUUUAAAGAGAGCUGUUUGUGAUUCAAGUGUGGAUCUUCAUGCUAAAGUAGAAGCAAUUCGAUGCUUGCCUGCUAAAGUUUGUGGGGUUGAUAAAGAAAUUAGAGGUUCUUACAAUGGGAAGCUGUUGUUAGGUCGAAGGUCUCCGAAUCAAAGUCUUGUGAGACCGAGAUCUUAUUCCUAUUGAUUUUGCUAUUAGAGUGAUGGAGGAUUGUUGGCUGGCGCCGUCUCUUUGUGGGGUUUAGCGAACAUAACAUCAAAGAAAGAGAAAAAAAGUCAAAAAGACAAAAAAGAGGGGCCGUUUGUGGAGUGAAGGUAAGGAAGAGAGAGAGCUCCUCGAGAAGAGCGCAUUAGAAGACGAAAAAGGGGCAGCGAAUUGUCGGUCCAUAUUCGGAGGCCCAACGUAACUGGAAUUGGCUCAAUUUUAGAAUGUUGUUCGUGAGACUAGGCCUUUGAGUUGAUUAAUUUCGUUCGUUGAAAACCUUUUUCAAGUUGUCUCUCAUUUUCUACUAUCAUGGUUAAGGUUUCUUGCUCUAUUUGUAUUAAUCCACCCCAAUAAUGAUGAAAUAUCGUUGUAUUGUUGAUGUUACUAUUCUUAGUGAAAGCUUUUGAGCGGUUUGUGGUUUUUCCCCCAUUGAAUUUUCCACAUAAAAGUUUUAGUAUUAUUGUUGCCUUGUUUUUUUUAAACAUUUCAGCAUUAUAUUUAUUUAUUUUGAGAUCAUAGUGCUGGAAUACACAGCUAGUUGUUGCUAGUGUUGAGUCCAUUUUGGUUAGUUUAAUUUUGGGGAAGAAAUUGCUUGUGGAUUGGAUUAGUUCUUAGUGAAUUGUUACCUAAUAUACCCCAACAAGGUUGUUGGAAUAGGAGUAGAAAAUGUUUCUAGUGUGAAGAAGGUCUCCGGAGCCCAAUUGGUGCGCAUUUGAGACCGUGCUUCUAGUGGGAUAUUAAAGCUCAAUUGAUGUUGCUUUAGUUUUGUAAUAAAGAAUUAGCUCUAACAAAAGGAAAAAAAGGACAUAAAUAGUCCAGUAGUCAAGGGUGCAAUGUCAUCCGUAAACUUUUGAUUUACUUAAUGUUUAAUCGAAAGCCUAAGAUAUAUAAAAAUGUUCAAUAUCGUAUUUCCGUUAAUUUAAAUUUAACGAAAUUUGCUUAUAUGGUUCUCAAUUCAUUAUGAUUUUGAUCAAUUUGAUAACGGAUGCAUGAGAAAGGUGGCUACUAUGGUUACAAGUUAACCCAACACUUUGGUAACCUUGCUUGUUCCGAAAUCGCAUACUUUUCUUCAUGAUAAAUGAGCCUGGACAUCAAGUUCCAUCUGACAUAUGACACAAGCCGGCCCGACUCAGCCUGCCCAUCAAUCAAAAGAGUCUGCCUUCACUUUUGUAAUCAUGUCUGUCUCUCAUUUUUCUCUCUCGCCUGCUCCUCUUCAGCAAUUUUCUCUGCAUGAUUUUGGACUCUAGUGGACUUUCUUGCUCUCUUGAUCUUCCAUUCUUCGACUUGCUCUUUAGCUCUAUUCUUUCCUAACUAGCCUCGAGCCUUCCUCUGGGUUUGAGCUCUAUCCUUCGCAAGCUCUCUUUCACACACAUUUUCCAUCGACACUUCUAUACACUCCUUGCAAAUUGUCUAGCCCGCGCUACGUUUUCAAUUGCUCACGGAAGCUGCUCACGGAAGCUGUGGAGGUUUAUGAAGGACUGCAACACAUGCUUCCACUUCAGCUUUAGUUCAACAAACCAAUGGCUUCUCAAGUUCGGCUCCUAGUUGGCAUUCUUUCACGAGCUAAUGGGUAGUCGACUCGGUUUCCACUCGGUUUCAUGAAGUUUGCUCAAUUUGCUCAAUUUGAAAGGUUUGUCAUUGGUAGUAACAACCCUCUUCUUGAAAGAUAUCCUCUAGCUUCCGAAGAUGCUCAAGUAAAGUUAGCUUCGAGUUUCUUCAAGUUUCUCAAUUAAGUAUAGGUUCUCAAGAAUACAGCCACCCAUCAAAAUCUUCUUGUUCAGUUAUUGCUCACCUUGACCUGGUAGAUGGACAAGGACUCGAGCAAAGUCUAGUUGAUCCUUGACCGCCUAGCUUUGAUACCACUUAUUGAGGGAAAAAGUAUCGAAAAAGUCCUAAACAUAUUGCAUUGGUACUAAUUUAGUCCUAAACAUUUUGAUUGGACUAAUUUAGCCUUAAACCUUUUUUAUAUUGGCACAAACUCAGUUCAUCAGACCAAUUAACUAGAAAUUGCUGACAUGGACGCUGAUCAGCUGAUUAGCCCCGAGAUGGACAUUUUAAAAUAAUAUUUUAAUAUUUUUUUGAAUUUAUUGAUUUCUUUUUUCUUUUUUUCCUUUCCUUUUUCUUUUUGUCGGUGGCCAUUGCCAGUAACUGGCCAUAGCCAUAACCGGUAAGGGUCGGCCUUGUCAAACCAUGCCUGGGCGAGGGUGAGCAUUAGCUGUGCCUUGCUACGGCGAGGCCCCCUCACCAAAUUUGGCGAGGCUGACUGAAGCAUUUUGAGCAAGAAACUAUGGACAAUCAAAGACUCAUUUAUAACAUGUAAUGAAUUUUAGAAAAUGACGAUAAGUAUGCCUGACAUAUACAAAUAAAUAAACAUCUAUCCACAGCUCAAUUUUGUAGGAUGGACAAUUUUCAUCACAUUAUUGUCUAAGAUCAAUGUGACACAUGAGUAGCGGAACAUUGCCAUUUAUGGGAGACCUACAAGGGCAUACAAAUUGUUGUUUUAACGAGUCCUGCAAGGGCAUACACAAUUACUUUUGAAAACAUUCUUAGUAAAUACAUACACUCUCUUGCAUCUAAUUAAAUAAUUAAAAUAGAAUAUAAAAUAUAGUUGAUUAAUAAAAGCCCUCAACCUUCUACCCACAAGACUGCAUUGGUAACUAGCCCUAAUAUCCAUUGAAUCAUCCCCUUUAAAAGCAUUUCCUUCCACUUUCCAAUCCCAUAAAAGUGUCACACCAAUGCGUGAAGUCCAUGAGAGCAUGCAAUAUAAAAUAAAUAAGGCAUGAUAAACUAAACGCUGAAAUAGGCCAAAAGCAUGAACGUGGGUCCAGUAAUUUUUUGGUAAAUUUAGUCUAGAUUCUUUUUGUAUAACUUUAAGUUUAACAUGAUUACCAUCGUUCAAAAAGUGUCUCUUAAGGUUUAUUUGUGUUUUUCGUUUCCCAAUGCAUGGGGAAAAACUAAAGAAAAGACAAUUUACUGUAUUAUAAAGUUCGAAAUAUAUCGGAAGACUAAUUAGGAAGGAAAGUAAAAUUAGUCAUAGCAAAGCAAAAAAGGCCAACUAUCAUUAACCCAUUAGUUGAAGGAACAUGGAGGCUCUUGAGAGGCGACAAUAAUAAUAGUGUACCUUCUUAAUAGAAGCAUUCAUAAGCUGGCAAUUGGCAUCAGAGCCAUGCUUUUUAUACUAUAAAAUUGUAAGGUGCUAGAAUUUAUUAGAAGUAUUUUAUAUAAAAAAUAUAUUAAUCAUUAAAAAAGGGGAAAAUGGAAGAAAAAAAAGUGGAAGGGGCCGGGCCAGGGUUGGGCCUGCCUGGCCCCUCCUUUUCCUGUUUGCUUCCCCUUACGGGACGGCCCGUUCUUCUUUUUUCCCUAGCCCGGCCUUCUUCUUUUUCUCUUUUCCUCCAUUCCUUCUUUUCAGUGCUGAACCGGUUGAAGAGAGGACGGAGGUCCGCAACGCGAGGACACGGGGAGCGUCUCACUGGAGUUGGCCGUCGGAGGCAGACCAGCACCGACGGCUUGCGUGGCAGGAAGCCAUGCGCGCCGGCUAGAGAGCUUAAAAGGGAGGAUUGGCUAGAGAGCUUAAAAGGGAGGAUUUUUGGAGAGAAAUAGAGUGAGAAAGGGAGAGAGAGAGAAAGGGUGGAGAGACCGUGAGAGCAACCGAGAGAGAGCAAGAGUUUGAGAGCGAGGAGCCCUCCGGCAGUCCGGUCACGCCCGAGCCCCGUCUGACGACUCCUGGCCGCGCUCUCGAGCCGGGUAGGGACUCUCGGCCGACACCCCUGUUUGUGCCCCUGCCUCGCCCCGUUUCGGGCUCGCCGAACCAGGCUUCCUCGUCGUCCGGUUCGCGCGAGCACCGGCCCCAUUCGUCUGCGCGCUGCUGUUUUGGAUCACUACUGCUUGUUGAUUAUUAUUGCAAGUCCCGGCGCGAGUUGGUACUCGGUUUUUCCCCCCUUUAAGCCAGUGCGCUUCAAACGUUCGAUGAAAUGCCUGAACCAAACCCCGUUCGGUUUAACCUCUGCUCGAGUUAUUGAAAGUGGUCUGGACCGUUCGAGGCCGUAGCAGCCCGUUGGGUCAUCUCUUACGUUAUUUUUUGUAUGAUGAACGAGCUCGGAGCAGAAGUUAAGCCCGACUUAUGGCCCGAUCCGGCCCGGCUCGGCCCGUAUCCUCUCUCUUUUCUUCCUCAUCGUUUCUCUCCCGACCAUUCUUCCUCUCCCAAUCUUCUCUGCAAAAUUCUCAGGCUCCAGUGCACUUCGUUACUCUCUCGCUCUUCUCUUCCAACAGGCUUUCUUCUAGGGUUUUCGGGCUCCACCCUCUGCCAUUGGCUCUCCCUCUCAGUUCGCAUUUGCCACCAGAUGCUUUGGCUGCUCCCGGAUCUUUUUCAGCUAUGGAGACCGACGAAGGUUCGCGGCACGUGCUUCCCUUUCAGCUACAGUUCGACAAGCCUCUGGCUUCUCAGGUUCGGCUCCGGUCCGCCUUCUUUUGCGACCUAAUAAUGGGCGGGUCGAUUCGAUUGUUUUCCCAUUCGGUUUUGUGAGGUUUUUGCUCGAUUUCUUCCGAUUGGCAGGUGAAGAUGGCAGGAGUGGAAUCCAGAGAAGGAUUUACUGGCGAUGGUCACGGAGGACUCGAAGGUGGUGCUUCAUUGCUUCACUUGGCAGAGGGUCAUUGGCCUUAUUCCCCCCCCCCCCUUGCUUUUCCUUAAAUGUGCUACGAUCCUUUUCCUCAAAUAAACCACUUCAAUUGCCUACCCCGUUCAAAUUGCGUUUGAUGGAGAGUUGGUGAAUAUAGGGGUAAGGUGCUUGAAAGUCUAAAUGAGAACGUGACAUUGAACUAAGGAGUUGGUGUUUUACACAAAAGUGAAGAGUGAAUGAUGGUAAUGGGAGUGAAAUUUUGGAUAUGACAUAGUUACAAGUAAAGAAUCCUGAGUUGAUAUUACUUGAAUGAAGGGAUUUUUAUUUACAGGCACGAUAGAUUCCUAUAAACUUCUAGACAAGACCGGUGCCUUAGUAGAUUUCCAAAACAUAACUGACAAUCAUCUAGACCAACCGGAAGUGUACCGUACUCCUGUAUUGCCAUCUUGCUGCCCUUUUUUCGUACACCAGUCAAAGUGUUCUCGAAGAUAAAGAACUUGAAUUUGAGGGGAUGUCAUUUAUGUUAGAUAGACUAGCUAUGUCAGAUACAGAAAUGCUAGAUGCUCACAUGGAGUCGGCAGGUUUAACCCCUGCAAUACCAUCUCAAUGUCGUCAUGCAUCUAUAUAGUUUUCCUUCGAUUUCUGUUUGUGAUUCUCACAGUGUAAUAUUACUUCCAGCUACUCUUCUUGUACUGGUUGAGUGUUCCUUGCAAGGAGAGAUUUGAUAUAGGCUGGAAAGUUUCUCACAUUUUGUGCAUGUAUCCCUCAUAAUUGCAAGAGUCAAUCUUUGUAUCAAUGAAUCAUAUUAAACUUUUUUUACCUGUUAAUAGCACUAUUUGAGCCUAGGAGAAGUUAAGACUUAUUUAUACUACCAAUUCCACUCCUUGGACUCGAUGUAGUAAGUGAAACUCUGCUUUCCUAUGGUAUUAUUACUAUCAGCAAGCUAACAGAAUAAAAACUCAGUUAUCAGAAGAAAAUGAGCAAAUAAAAUGACUAGCGGGUGCUCGGAAGAUAGUGAAUUGAGCCAACGUUGAUCUCAUCUGUGAUGCUUUGCCUAGGUUAUGAAAGCCUCUGUUCACAACAAUUUGUUCACAUGCUUAGAUGUGGGAAUUCAUUAGUUUAUAUUUUUUUUACCAACUAUUUUUCCAUUUAGAUCACCAUUUUUUUAAGCUAAGCACCAUUUUUUGGUAGAGUAAUGCUGAAGAUGUUAAGUCCAAGUAAAUGAAAAUGGUUUACUAAGUCACAUGCGAAAUAUUUUUGUGUUAGGUGUCUGUGAUAUACUUGCCUAAAUACUUGGAUUUUGCCACUUCAAACGAGUUCUAUAAGCUAGUCUUUGUAUCCAUAGUAUUGUUUCUGUUUUGAAAAUGUGUUGGUCUCUCUUUGGAUCCAAAGUUUCCUUUUCUCUUCAACUUUUUAGAUCUUGACUUUAGGCUGUAGAGGCACCCUUCUGUCACAAUAAAGACAUGCUAUGUGGAUGAUGGUUAUGCCGAUUAGCACAAAAUCAUAUGUGAGAUCUUAGUUGGAAACUACACAAUUAGAUACAAUGUUGGGAUACAGGGUAAUUAGAGUAACUUAAAAAUCCUCAGAAAAGUAAGUUUCUUUUAACACAUCAGAAGUUCAACUAUAGUGUACCAAGGGAGUGCAAACGCAUAUAAGAAAAGAGCCCAAAAAUUAAAGCCAUGUACAGAAGAACAACUCCCAAAACCAAAAGCGAGCUCAAAUACAAGAUAAAUUAUCGACUAUAUUGACCAAAGCAUUUAUAUCCAUUUGCAGUCUCCACCAUACCAAAAGUGUACGACUUUAGGCUCUCUUGUUUAGCUCUUUCCAAAUAAGCCUAAAAACAGAGAGACAAAUUGAGUUAAUCCUUCUUUUCUUGCUCCAAAAAACCUCCAAUAACCCAAAGAUAAUUCGGUGCAAGCAUAGGAAACUGUCCAAACCAUUCUUGUCCAUGAACAGUGAAGGAGGAGAUGCCGCAUAGAUUCUGCCUCCUCCUUGCAGAGGAAACGCCUGUUAACCAAUAUUUUGCCCCUUUUUUGUAGGUUAUCUGAAGGAAGGAUUCGUUCCCAAGUUGCUUCCCAAGCAAAAAGAGAAACUCUAAUCUGAACCCUCACUUUACGGAUCACUUCCCAUGGAAAAUCCGUUCUGCCACUAACAACCUCCCUAUUGUGAGCAGCUUGUAGUGAGACUUCAUUGGAAAGAUUGCAUCUAGGGCAGAACCAGCGAUGGCAAAGACUUGAGAUUUCGAUUGGCAUCUUCCACUGCUCUCGACGUUAAUGACCAUCUUCUCUAGCAGAAGUGCGUCUCCUGGUAGAAGCAGCAUUGGCAGGGCAAGCUUGCAUCGGUCAUAGUUGAAAGAACGAGCUACAAACCUGGCAGUCUAUACGCUCUUCAGGUGCCGAGCCAAGCACGAGUGAAGGUCUGUAGCAGGAAGAAUUCUUGUGCCUCGCAAUAUGAAGAAUGGCCAGAUCAAACAUGGCAUGUACAUUUAUUGGUAACAAGACUUAGUGAUCUGUCCAGAAAGUGGAUGAGGAUAAGCAUAGACACGAAUAACAUUCGGAUUCUAUAUGUUCAAGUUCGAUAUGCAAUCGUCACAAAUUGGGAAAAAAAAAAUGGCACACAGAAAGGGGGUGGGUUUUAGGCGGUGAUGGCAAACAAUGAGGUCAGAGUAUUUCUAUCCGGCUGAGUGUUUGGAGCUUGGGUGGUGAUGGCAAAUGGCUUGGUCGAGUUCGGGCUUGGCCCGUCAUCUCAACAUUUAGCAUUCGUGAAUGUUCGCUCUCGUGACAUGCUGAUUUGAAUAAUUAACUAGCAUUUUUUUUAAUUCAAAAGUAAAUCAGGAUUAAUUAUCACAUUGCUUUUUUUCAAAUUACAAUUUCAAGAACUAAUCCACGAUCACGUUUGCAUCAAUGUGAUGUCCCAUGAGUCCUCCAACGCUUCCGUACUAGCAGCGAAAUCUCCUCUCGUCGAGCCACUUCGUUUUGUUGUGGUGUGCAACGAGAUUAUUUGUACAAUUGAAUGUAUGGACCCGAAUCAAACGAUAUCAUUUCUUAGACAAACUUGAACAUUAUGCCAUAUAUGACAUUAUUCGUAAAUUGACUUGAAUUAAGGCUCCAUUUGUUUCACCAAAAAAAAAAUGAAUGAUUUGAAAAAUAUCAUUUUAAAAAUUAUUGCUCGUAUUGCUUGAAAGAAUCCAUUAAUAAAAUAUAUUUCAUUCUUGACAAUAAUUUAUAUUCAAAUAUUUGCAUACUCAAUAAGAAUUUCUCGCAUUCGCUCAUUUUUGUAACUGUACCAGUGAUUUUUUUUUUGAAAAAUAAUUUUCCAUAUUGUUCGCUUUUCCGUGAAGGAUUUUAGCUAGCAAUUCAAUACAGAUCACAAUUCUGGAGUCAACCUUGGCUUCAUCCUUUUAAUAAAAUAAUCGAGACCAAUAGGCAUUUAUCACACUUGCCAGUAGAUAAAAGCACAAUGAUUUGAUCCGUGAUGCACCUCGUAUGAUCUCAACACACAAGCAUACAUGCGCACUUAACUUAUAGAUUUUCCUCAUUUCUUUUUAAUCAGCAACAACACACGCUAGUGUGUAAAAAGCGCAUCUUGUCUACAGUAGUAAAACCCACUUGAUCAAAAUUCUUUGCUCGCAACCAAAAAAAAAAAGAAGCUUAUAAAAAUCAAUAGGAUUUCGUAAAAGAAAAUUUAUGACUUUUUUUCAAUUCGCUGCUUUUCUCUUUCAUUUUUUCGUCUUCGCUUCUUUUUUUUUUCGUGUUAUUGUGUUGUUCUGGCUGGAGUUUUUUUUUUUUUAGUUCUUUUUUUCAUUUUGAGAAUUCUUGCUAAUUUAUUUCUGGAUAAUUUUUAGAGCAAUUAUCAAAAGUUCAUGUUGGGCAUAAGCAAUGCAAAAAAUGAAUGAACAUAAGGUAUCCGAAUACGUAUUCAUAGCAUAUGGUUUAGUCUCAUUGAAUCUUCAUUUGCUUAGCAAAAAGGAGACAAGGUAAAAUGAAACUCCUUGAUUCCUACCGUUCUUGUAACGAAUUUCGAAGAACGAAUUAUUAUGUACCCUUUGAAGAUUAUCAACCACCAAUCCGANNNNNNNNNNNNNNNNNNNNNNNNNNNNNNNNNNNNNNNNNNNNNNNNNNNNNNNNNNNNNNNNNNNNNNNNNNNNNNNNNNNNNNNNNNNNNNNNNNNNUCGAUAAAAAAAAUAAACAGAAGAUACAAAAUAAAAACAGAAUAAAUUGGAGAAAUGAAACGAAAUGGAAAGAGGAAUACAACCGAACAAGGGUCACCCUAUUAAUUCAGAAGAUUCAUAUUCCACUGUGGAACAUGUCCUUAAAAGAAGCAAGAGAGGAAAAAGGGGAAAAAAAAAUGGCAAGUACACUUGGGGUUUGAUAAAUAUUUCAAUUUUCAGGGAAAAAAAAAAAAGGAAGACCCGCCCCUUCCCCCCGCCUCCGACUAUCAAACCGAGUGUACCAGCUCUGUUCCAGUAAAGCUGGUGGCUGCGGUUCUCGGGCUACUUGAUGUAAACCGACGAAGGAGGGUGUCGACGCGUGCUUUCGUUUCAGCUUCGAGUUCCGACGAACUGCUUUGGUUUCUCAGGUUCAGCUUCCGUUCGGGCAUUCUUUCUAUGACAUAAUGGGUAGGUCUAAUCGAUUGUUUUCCUAUUUGGUUUUGUGAGGUUUUGGCCCGAUUUCUUCUUAUCGGAAGGCAAGGAUGGCAUGUGGAAUCCAGAGAAGGGUUUGCUAGGGAUGGUUGCGGAGGACUCGAAGGUUUUUUAAGAUGUCUAUCCUAGGUUUUGGCUCGAUUUCUCUCACUCAAGCCAAUGUAAUUUAAGAUGUGAUGAAAGUAAUUGUCUGUUAUUUUUAAGUUCAUGAGAUGCCUACUUGACUGGAGAGAAGCAGGACCUCUUGAAUUGACUUGGUUGACCUGAAGAAGAGGAAGCCGAAGCUCUCUUCCGCAAUUUUAUUUUCUUCUGAACCAAGUGUCUAAAUAUGCGAGUGUUUGGUGGCAGAAAUAAUGCAGCAGAGAAAAGAAUGACACCUUUUUGCAGUGUUUGUUAUCACGAAAUGUUCGUAGAAAUGCAACUUCAUGUACAUUUCCAGGAGACAUUAAAGGGUUUAAAUUCCUUCUUCUUCCUUUUUCACAUUUUUUCAGCCUCUUGCCUAUCAAAUAAUUAAGCUAUUUUCACCUUCAAUGUUGGUUUGGUAAAUCUUUUCAACCCAAUCUCAUAUCAACACACUACGUACUCAAAUGAUAUCACUUACAGUCCAUGUGUUGAUGGAUUAUUCGAGUAGUGUGUAUAGUAAAGUUAUCGUCUAUGUGUUGAUAGAUUAUUGGAGCAGUUUAUAUAGUGAUUUUGACACGUCAGUAACUCUAAAGGUAAUAGUAAGUGUACUCAAAUGGCAAUCAUAAUUUCCCAGCAACUUGAACAAGUUGAUAAGUUGUGCAAUGAAUGUUAUUAAAUUAUUAAAAUAAUCGGCAAUUUCGAUACAAUCAAGCAAACAUUCAUACUGAUUAAAACAAAAGUUGGUAAUAUCCUCUAAGAGUUAGUAAGUGCAUCUUAGUAACUUUAACAAAUAAAAAUGUUGGCAAGUUAUUGAAACAGGAUAGUGGACUAUUUCAAACAAUCAAAUAAUAUUGAUAUAAUGACUCAAAUAAGAGUUGACAAUUUCUUACAAGGGUUAGUAAAUUUAAUAUGCCGAAAACCACUGUAAAUAAAUGAUAGUAAAAAAUUAUUCAAACCCAUGAAAAUUUUGAAAAAAGAAAUCAAGUAAAUAGUUGGUAAUUUAGAACUUAGUAAAGCUAAAAUAAGUUAGUGACUUACCCCCUGAAAAGUUGCUAAUUUACCCAAAUCAAGAGUAGUAUUAUUCUAUAAAAGUUAGUAACUUUAACAAAUAAAUGUGGCUAACUCAAUGACGUAAUCGAUAAUAUUGAAACAAUCCAAUAAAUGCCGGUAAUUGGAUUGAAAUAGGAGCCUGUAAUUUUCUAUUAAAGUUAGAGAUGGGUUCGUACGCCCUGCAAACCCCACUCAAUCGCACCUCCGCACGUUAUUAAAAAAAGAAAAAAGAGAAAAGACAGGAACGAAGGAAAAAGAAAAAGGUAGAUGCAAGAUAAAGUGGGGCCCAAUCCCCAUUGCAAUUAGCAAUUGUCCCCAUGUGGGGCCUCACCCCACCGGACACGUCAACAUCAUUUUAGCCUUUUCUCGCCUUUUCACCCCUCAUCUCAUCUUCGAGGCCUAGCUCCCUAUUCCCAGAACUCCCAUCUUCAUGCUAUCUAAAGCUUCACCGAGCCAGGAGGAAACAUUCAAAAUCUCACGCUCAAAAGUACUCCUAUACCACUGUUACUCAUUCCCGCUCUUCGCCGAACCACUGUCUCCUACCAUCGGCUAACCAUUGCGCUGGCCAUUACAUCCACAAAAAGUAAAGAACAAAAGUGGAGAUAGAAUCGGAUAAACCAACCGGAAUAUUCAAGCUCAAAAAUUAACCCUCGGACCGUCAAGUUUUGAGUGGCUCCUCAUCGAUGACCAUCGUUGAAGGCAGCAGGAAAGCCUAGUUUAUCAAUGGUGUAAGUAGGCUACAAUGGGCACUCGCAACCAGCGAUUGGAACCUUUACAACUAUCUACGAACAGAACAACGACCAGCAAGGGAGUCUUCGAACGAGAUUUGGGCUCUUCGGUUUUCACGAUGGGAAGGCAGGGAGCAAUAGUGGUGCAGGAAAGGGCGGCUCGGGAAUAGUGAGGGCAACUGGCUUGGCAACUAAUGGAGUCGAGAGGAGUGAUGGAGAGGCUCAUCGAAGUGAUGGCGUGGGUUUCAAUCGUCGGAAUGGGCAGCGGCGACUAUUGCUCCAACCCCUCAAGAGAAUGAAGUCCAAGAACAAUGGAUGCAGCUUGCGGUGACGAGGAUGAGGUCGGAUGUGAUGGGGCGACGGUGAAGGUGUAUACACAGCGCUCAUGGAGAGUCAAUCCUCCUUAUUUUUCUCUCUUUUCUCCCUUUUUUUGAACUUGUGGCGCCUCCCUCUUGAACAUAAAAAGAAGCCAAAAGAAGAAGAAAAAAAAGGACCCCUUCCAAGAUGAGAAAAGAACAAAUUUUAUUCUCCAACAGAAUUUUGUGUAAUUGCGCCAUGUGACGCGAUCUUGAAAGGUGUGAGCUCAAAUUCCAUGAUAACAAAUAUGGUGUUCUAACUGGUUAAUCAAUUCUUGAAAUUGAUAUUUCUUUGAUUUGAUUGUAGGUACUUAAAAUUUCAUUAUUUCUAAAUCAAAUGUCUAAAAAGAAUUAAAGACUAUUGAAAUAAUUUUUUUUUUCAGUCAAAGGUAGAUUCUUUGAUUUGACCAAAAAAAAAAGGAUUUUAAGCCAUUUCUAUGAAAACUUGAAAUCUAAACGCCCAUUCCUACACGCUUAUGUUGAAUUAACACUUAUAUGCAAUUAAAGUACUACUGAUACAAAUCUAAUUUUUUUCAAGUUAAGAAAUGAGUGUCGCCACGAUCGGGAUCUUGAAUCUUGAAUUUUCUAACUUUAAUCAUUAGGAUUAUUUGGAUGUCAACAGUAAUAUAUAUUUUUUGAAUAUAUAUAUAUAUAUAUAUAUAUAUAUAUAUAUAUAUAAAGUUCUAAUAGUUGUUGAUAUUUUUUGAAAAAUUUUGGUAACUUACCAAAAUGCUACCAACCGAAUAAGUUAUCAUUCAAAAUUUAGUUGUCAACUAGUUUUGAUAUUUACCAAUGCUAUUUGUACUUUACCUGCACUGAACAAUGUUCGGAUUUUUGCUUAGUAGAAUCUUCCUGGACCUCUUUUCAUGGUAUCUUCCAAAGCCAAGCAAUUGCAAUUCUCAGCUUUGAUUCGAUUUGUUUUCCACUUUCAAAAUGUUACGAAUACCUCUAAUUUUUUCAAUAGGAAGGACAAAUCAACCUAUUCCACCCAAAUUAAAAAAUUCGAUAUUCAUGAAGAUCGAAUUUCCAAGUUUUGCAUUGGAGAACGUAUUUGGUUAGCAUUUUUUGUUUCGCGUAACAAACAAAAUGUCGGAUAUUGACUAUAUAAGUUAUUUAGGCAUCUAAAGGGACCUACUAAGAGCUCGGCCAAUACCUAAUGACUAUCGUGUGGUUAGCAGGCGGCACGGCCAGUCUCCCAGUCCUCUCCACAUAGCUCCACCAAAGAUCCACAAUACCUCCUAACGCGUCUCUAACUUAUUUUAAUUUUUGGGCUCCGACAUAAAUUCGAUUUGGCUAGAACUCGAGCCAUAAGCUCAAUAACCUUAAUUAGUAGAAUCAUGGAGUCGCCAUCUAAAUGGAGACACACAAUGUGGAUGCCAGUAGCCUUGCAUUUGGGAGGAUGGUGAGGCGAGGAAAGUUUCUUUGGUUGCAAUCUUUUCGGCCAAUUUGAAAAUAAGAGAAUAACAUGUCCAUGAGAGUGGUGAGAUUUAUGAAUUGAUCGGGUUGUCAUUUCUUGCAUUCAAGCCAAUGUAAUUCGAGAUAUUGAAGCAUUCAUCGACAAUUUUUCAAGCUCAUGAAAUAUCAUACUUGAUCAUGAAUGUAAUUUAAGCUAAAGAAUUAUCUCAUAAAAGUUAGUUAUGAUUAAUUUUUAUUUUAUCUGUUUCUUUUAUUGAUAUUUGUAAAGUUUCGCUAGUUAUUUAUAUCUAUUACUACAUAAGUGGAGCCCUCGAGCGUGAUAUCACAAAUCAAGCAGAAUCAAGUAAACAUUUCAUUUCACGGGCUCAAGCUCGCUUAUGUUCGCCUACUCGAUCUUGUUCAUACUCGAUAUUAUAUGAAUGACGAUUUCUACAUAUGUCGGACAAGCUUGGAUUAAAAAAAUCAAGGUUCGGUACUCGGCAACUCAAGCGUGCGAGGCCCAUCACCAUGGGCUCGUAGAUGUAUUAAAAGGCGCGGGAAAGUGGUUACCUCUCCAUCGAGCGACACGUGUCUCCAUACGGGAAGCCAGAAACUUAAGUCCCGAGUGAAAUGAACCCUCAAAUCGGAGGAGUCUCUCCUUCCGGUUCCUCCGUUCGAUCGUCGAUCCCCACAUGGCGAAGACGAAGCGAUCGCCGACCUCCUCCUCCUCCUCCUCUCGUCGAUGCGAAACCCUAGGCGACGGUGCCGAUCGCACCAGCCACCUUGCCCCCGACUCGGUGAUCCACCACAUCUUCUCGUCUCUCGACCUCGCACGCAUUGUCCGCGCGUGCGUUUUUGUCGAAGCGGCGGCGAUCCGUCUGGACCGCCGCCCUGGGACCUCGUCUUCUCCUUCCCCUGGCGGAACGCCUCCCCGUCCGUGGACGGCGUCUUGAUCCUCUAGGCGUCGCCCGAGGUGAGGAAGUUCCACAUCGACGUCGAUUUUCUCGACCGUUGCGCGCCCGAGCUCAGUCCGUGGCUUCGCUUUGCUGUCGACCGCCGUGUCGAGGACCUCUCAGUCGAUGCGACUAAGAGGUUGUGCGAGAUGGCCGGCCAUUUCGCGGUACCGGGGCUCCUUUUAUGGAUGCUCUUCGUUUGGUGAACCUGCACUCAGGGCUCUGUUGCUUCUCGCUGAGUAGAAGUAUCGCUUGGAUUAAUGUUAGGUCCCUGUCCGUCUGUGACUCGGAGGUGAUGCAUGAGAUGUCGAAUGGCAGCCCUGUUCUCGAGGACCUUAGUUUGGAAGGAUGCUACGGUUUAAAGCGAACCAUCAAGCUUUGUUCGAGAACUUUGAGGGAAAUUGCGGUCGAUAGCUGCUUUCGGGAUGCACUUGAUGAGGGUUUCCCCUUGGAGAUUUCAAGUCCUCUGUUGCUGUUUGAGAGGAUUUUCUGGUAUGAUGAGGCAGCUGGUAACGGAAGUCUCAAUCCUUGAUUGAAGCAGAGUCGAACUUUUUUAUGAGAGGCGAGGAUUUUGGAAGGCCAACUGAUUGUUUUGUUCAAAAUCGGUUCGAGUCUUACAGAGGGUAUUGCAACCUGUUUGAGGGACUGCCUCAGAAGCUGCACAACGCGACUAAGCUUUUGAUUGGUAGUUGAUGCCUUCAGGUGAGCAGAUUGUUUUUGAUUUCAAAUUUAACUCGUUUGGUUCAUACCUAUGGAUAAUUCAUUGUUCCCUCUUCCUCGAGUUAAGGAAAUUCAUUUCAAACUUCAGCACAAGGAAUCUGGUUUACAUCGUUUCACAACUCUACCUAAUCACAACUGGUGCAAAUACACAUCGUGCCUUCAGAAUAACUACUGAAAAACCAAAGAAAAGGCAGCUGGUUUAGGGUCAUUCUUUUUCCUGCUCAGUAGUGCAUAACCAUCAUUCCAAAGAUCAUAGUAAAUUAUUAAUGAAAAGUUGUUGUCCCCUGUUUUUUAAAGACUGAAAAAGCAGUUGUUGACUAGAAUUAGUAUAUAAGUUCUACUAUUUCAAACUCAAAAGCUUUAGCAUCACUCAAUUUGUCAUAUAGGUGGGAACCAAAAGUGUUCUCAAAGCAUACACUUGCUGGGUUUUUUAAACUGUAUUUGGAAGGAAGAGUAAAUUAUCUUAUUCUUUUGCCUUUCAGUUUUUGAAUGUGCUUAGGUUUUAUCACUUGCGGUAGAGGUACAAGGUGUGCCAUUUUCUUUGCCCAAUUGCAAGUUCUGACUCUGCAUGCAUGUUGGCCUUAUUCCUCAUUUGUUUUUCGUUAAAUGCACUAUGGUCCUUUUCCCCAAAUAAAUCACUUCAAUUGCCAAUCCAGUUCAAAUUGCAUUUGAUGGAGAGUUGGUGAAUAUAGAGGUUAACUGCUUGGAAUUCUAAAUGAGAUCAUGACAUCAAACUAAGGAGUUGGUGUUUUACACAAAAAUGAAUGGCGAAUAAUGGUAAUGGGAGGGAAAAUUUGGAGAUGACAUAGUUGGAAAUAAAGAAUGCCAAGCUGAUACUAGUUGAAUGAAGGGAUUUUAAUUUACAGGUGCGAUAGAUUUCUAUCAACUUCUAGACAAGAUUGGUGCCUUUGGAGAUUUCCAUAACAUAACUGACAAUCAUCUAGACCAACUGGAAGUGUACCCUACUCCCGUAUUGCCAUCUUUUUGCCCUUUCCAGUACACCAGUCAAAGUGUUCAUGAAGAUAAAGAACUUGAAUUGGAGGGAAUGUCGUUUAUGCUAGAUAGACUAGUUAUGUCCAGUGUAGAAAUGCUUGAUGCCCACUUGGAGUUGGCAGGUUUAACCCCUGCAAAAUACGAUCUCAAUGCCAUCGGGCCUCUAUAUAUUUUCCUUCAAUUUCUGUUAGUGACUUUCAUGAUGUAAUAUUACUUUUGGCUCCGCUCUUCCUCUUCUUGUACUGAUUGAGCGUAAUAUUACUUCUGGCUCCUCUUCUUCCUCUUCUCAUACAGAUUGAGCAUUCCCUACAAGGAUUUUUCACAUUCUGUAUUGUUAAAUUGUAGAGUUUAGUCUGGAAAGUUUCACACAAUUUGUAUUACUUGAAGUUAAUUUAUCUUCUUCUGAUUACAAAGGGGCAUUUCGUCACAUCAUUUUGAUUAAUCAAGUUUGUUGUUGGGAAUUUAACUUACUUGUGAAUAGGAUAUAUGUCAAGCAAUGCUGCAUACAUGUAUACAUGGAGGGAGGAGUUGGAGAAAGCAAAAAGACUAGGAGGGUAGGCAGAGCUGCAUCCAAGAAUGUUAAGUUCUUGUACGACUUUAUCUUUUGGUAAUUCAAAUUCGUAAGAGCUUGGCAUCAGAUGCCUAGCCUUGGUAGUUUUUGUAUUCUAUUCUCACUGGAAAAAUUUAGAGAGGAGGUAUAUUUUCUCCAGAAACAUCUGAAUGCCGCAUGCAUCAUGUUGCCUUCUUGAUAUGAAAAACAUGUUGUUGAGUGCUUCUUGAACCAAUCCUUGAGUGGUUUCUGUUGAGAUAAGUUGUAGAUACUUGUACACUUGUGAUCCUUGCUUGACGUAUGCUUUCAUGGUUACCCUCCACCUCGAGGUUCCAAAGCUGAACAAUAAGAUUCGUUCCUGGAUUGAGAUAAUGGAUUGAAGGCUGCCAAAAAGAUAUAGAUUCCCUAGCUUUAGAUGAUCUACUAGCCCAAAGAAAUCCCAUGUCAAGCUACCAGUAUCCCUG
rnacentral:lncRNA from 1 species